ACCCAACCCAACGAAAUGGACUGCGUACGUGUAGUUGCCAGUUGCCAGUUUAAAUGUCUUAGUUAUCAUCUGGCGGACACAGGUUAACUGAGAUAAUGCACGUAGGUGAGCAUCUGACAACACUGUUCCACAACUGUCAAGCGAGCUUAUUUACAUCAACAACUGCAGCAUCCUCCAGUAGCUGCCAUCAACUAUCUUUCUACCCAUCAGCGGCAUAGAAGGGAAGUGACUUGAGUGGCAUCACCUUCUCCUGCAAAGGGAAAUGGAGACUGGUGUGAGUGGAUUUAUACCUGUGUUAACAGAACAUUACGAACAGUGUGCCUCUGAUUCCACCUCAGAGUUCUCCACAUGUUCUGAGGGGAAAUGAAGCCCAGUGGAACAGUUUUCAAGCACUUCAGGUCUCUUCAGCCAUGCUUUGUGAGCUUCGAUUGCUUUCAUCUUGAAGCGAAACAUCUGCAAGUGCCAUAUCCAACCAAUUCAGGUGCUCGGCUGCUAUAGAAGUAAUUUGCAAGAAGUUGCCUGAAUGAAAAAUCAGGGACUGACAGCAGAAGAGUGAAUAUGUGCUCCAGACCUCUGAUAAAGAAAUGCUUGGCUUCUCAAGUUCAUCUCCGUUGACGUGAAUUCCAGUACCCUGACAUUCUGGGCAAACUAUGGACGUUAUUUUGCUUCUCUUAGGUGCAUUCUUUGCCUUCCUUCCUCGGUUGCUCUUCCCCUUCCUAGCUAUUUCAUCGUUCAGCAUCUCGUAUUGGCACAGAAUAGUCCAGUGUAAAAGGCAGGAAGUGUGAAAUAGAUGGUAAGCCUGCAUAAAUCAAGUGUAGAGAAGUCAUUACAGAACAUUUGGAAUUUGGUGGAAACAUAACUGCUAUGUUUUCAGGUAAAAAAUGUACAAAAAGGUAAACAGGUCCAUGCUCUCUAAUCUAUAAGAGCAAUUAUUAUGAAACAGGAAUACAGUAGCAAAGAAUGCUCAAAGAUGCUCACCCCACUUGAAUUUCUACUGCUGCAAGCUAGUUUUCCUGUAUUGCAGUUCAGCAAGGUGGCAACAUCCUUUCCAGAGAGCAUUGGUCUGCCGCAAAGAUCACACACUUUCUCAGCUGCUAUUCGCUUCUGCUUCCUCAACUCUCUCCUUGCUGCCUUGCUUGAUAAGAGACCAACUUGAAGAUCAUUUGAGGUACCUACCGGUGAACAAGUCACAAUAGCUUGCCUACUGCCCUGUAAAGAGCUGUUCUGACCAUUUGACUCUUCUGAAGAUGCUUCUUGAUCAGAGAAUGAUUUUCUCAUUCGCUUUCCACGGUGUCCAGCAUCAUCAAUUACAAAGAAAGAUCCAGCAGAGACAGACAGGUCUUGUUCCUCAGAAGACCACUUCCUGCCUAAAUCAUAGGUAUAAGAGAAGUUGACUAUGGCAAAUCCAGAUUGCUCAUAAGUGUUACAACUCUCAAAACCAUGGGAGCCUUGUCCUACCCAAGCACACCAGAUCUUGCUUAUCUUCCUGCAGUUCUUGCUAGCUUCAUAGAUCCUGUAUGAAAUAUUCCCAUAGCCCAAAAGAUGCACAGGCAAAUCUGAAACAACAUCCUUUAGCAAUACACCAGGAAUAACAACAGGACCAUCAGUUCCAUGGUUUGAAAGCAUGUGAUCUUCAGAUACAGCAGCAGUUCUACCAUUAGCACGGCCUUUUGCACCAUAGCGUGCACCUUUCACACCAUUAGAGGAGGUUGAACCAUCUCUCAGCCUUGAUGUCACCUCAGUAUCAUUCCCUGAAACCUCAGGCUCUGGAACCAGGGCAAGCUCUCUGGUGCUCUGUGAGCUUGAGUCCAGCAGGAGCGGAUCCUUCUCGCGUAAGUUGUUGAAGAAGAGCACACCAUCAUUAAACGGCCAUGGCAUGGGCCCAAACAGCGUAACCUUGGCCUCAGCAUACCGCCGUGAAUGCAGGUUUCCCUUGAGGUGGUCAAACAGCACAUUGUCGCUGAAGCACUCGGUGAGGCAGAUGGUGCAGAAGAAGAUGACACGCUUCCCGACACGCCGUAGUUCGACGUAGGUGUGCCCGCUCUGCCGCACCUCCCGAAGCGUGGCCUUUGCAGCAAUCUCACGUAUGUCAACAGGGCCAUUCCUUUGCACCACCAGCUCCUUACCCACCAUCGUGGAUCAACAGGCUACCACCAACCUCAAAUUUCUGCUGCUGUGCUCACAGAUCCCUCCAGAAACAACCUCCACGCCCUUGUCUCCUUGAAAUUCUCAGGAAAUUACCACCAAAUUUCACCCCUCUUGAGAUCUAUGCUUCCCUCCAGACCCUAGAAUUACAAACUUAACAACAUACUAAACCUAACGAAGUACGUAGGGGCGGCGGCGGACCCAGUAAAGGACUUGGGUGUAUACAUGCAGAGCUGAUAAUUCAAAAACAAUCGAGGUUAGUAGACAUAAUACAUGUAAGCACGCGUAAUUAGACCAGAUCCGAAUACAAAUAGCGUAGUUUAGGGUUUGGCUGCUCGGUUUCGCACAGAAAAUUGAAGAGGAGGGGUGGAGGGGGAAGGGGGAGGAGCGUACCUGGCAGUGCACGUCGCCGGUGAAGAGCCCGAAGAAGACAUGGCACCUGAUGGAGACUAGGCACCUGUCGCGGGAGGCCGCAGUAGCGGCGCGGUAGCCCAGGCGUCGCCUCGAGAGGAAGAGACAGAUAGAGCUCGAAGGGGGGUUUGGGUGACGGGAGAACAAAAGGAAGGGCCGCACGGAUAAAGCGGCGGUCGCCCAGCCGUCGCCCGGAGCGAGAGAGAGGGAGAGAGGGGCGGAGGUGAGGGAGAGAACGCGCGCGCAGGCCGCGGGGAACGGGAGAAGAAAGGCAGGGCUGCACAGAUAAACGCGAGAACGAAGAAGAAUAUUCGGACCAGACGUUCGAUGAAGGGAGGGUUGUCGCUGGCGAGCAAAAAAAUUGAUCAAACUUAUUAGAAAAAACUAACUGUGUUUAUAUUUAUUAGAUUCACUGAAAUAUAUUUUUAUAGUAUUUGGCACUCUUUUUCAUAAAUUUGAUCAGAUUUUUGAAUAUUUUGAUUUUCGACAAAACUAUUAUUGUAAUCGUUUGUUGGAUAGUCCCAUAUCGUGUUUAUCGAGAGGUGUCUAAUCAGAAUAAAUUACGGUGCGUUUGGUGACGAAGAGUGGAGAAAAAUAGAACUCUAUUUUUAUUUUCUAAAUGUUUGGUUUAUAAUAAAAUAGAGUCGAGCGGCUUCUAAGUUUCUAUUUCUAUUAUAUACUUAGAUGUCUUUGUUUCAUCAAUAUGAUCGGACACGAGCGUUUUGUUCGCUCUCUUGUCCAUGGCUUUCUAACUAAAUAAAGAACGAAAUAACUUCGUUCUAUUGUAUCUUUAAACUAAACAAAAAAUUAGAAUGACUUCGUUCUACCUAACAAAUACGGAGGAGAAUGGCUUUAUUCUCGUAAUCUCCCGACCAAACUACAAAAACCCAAACAGGACACGCACCUUCCGUGAACUUCUCGCAUCGCCGAUUCGUGAAGCAGUAGUAAACCACAUCCACAUGACUGACGCGGGGGUUGCAUGAUUCUAUCAGGCAGAUAAAAAAAGGCAGCAUCACACUUCACACGCCUUGUUUUCUCGAAGGGAAUGGCUAGAAUAUGACGGUCACAUUCAUCUCUUUUCCCUGCCAACCGUUCGUUUUUUUUAUUAUUGGCCAGGUCGAGUUUUUAGAUGCAAUUUUGCCGGUGUCGACAGGUUUUAGCUCCACGAAGCGAGAAUCGUUUCCGUGCCUAAACGUUCUAUUCUGGCACCGGUUCCCGAAUUGACAUUUCGCGUCUUUGCCUGCACACCAAACAACACCGACGUGACACGCAACCACGCAGAAGGAGACACUACUGUAGCGUGAUGUAUUUCCUAAUUUAUUAUAUUUCGUGAAUAGCAGUUCGAUUUGUUUUCUAAAAAAAGAAAUAAGUUUCUGUGUGGCUGUCAACGUGAGACCACAUAGAAUAGACUAGACCCAUGAGGCCACGAGCAUCUCUAGAGCAUAAUCCUUUUUUAGGCCACAAAGAUGCCAGGGGAUAUCUUACGUUCUUUACAGAGACCUCUACACUAUUUUCUUUCAGAGGUAACCAAACAAAAUCCUCCGAGGGCAAUAGAAAAAUGAAGCUAUCAACAACCAGCAGAUGAAUUCAUGAUCUGACGGUGCCAUCACCCAUCAGCCAAAAGAAAUCGGCACACCUACCUCAAGUUUCAUGGUGCGCAGGAACAGCAAUGACGGAUCUAGAAAUCUUCGAGAGGCUAGACAAAAUAAGUACAUAUACUAUAAAUAAACAGCUUUAUCUAUAUGUUACACAUAUUUAAAUAUAUUUUAAUGCUUCGUGCACGUUUACAAAUUCAUUGGCACUAAUGUAAGAGCCUGAGUAAGACCCUAGCCUUGUCUGCACCUGGGUCCGCCCUGCGCUGAGCCAUUGAUACCCUGUUCCAUUUCAUAUUGCGUUGGUCUCCAACGACGAGGAUAUCAAGGAUAUUUUUUUUCUAAAUAAUACUACAAAAACAACAAGAAAGUUAUUUAUCCAAAAUAAGUUGGUGUCGGAAAUGACCUCCGGACUAUGGGAUCCGACGGUCAGUGAGCAUGCUGAGAAAAAAUUCCCUGAUCGCCGGUGGCCGUUAGUUAGUUGGAAGAGACAGGUAUGUCGGCCCCGAAAGGACCUGACCCCGGUCGAACCAUGUGGUACCGAGCCCAGGGUCGAGUGUGGUGGAGCCUGACAAGAAAGGAUGGGCGUGUCAGAAGGGAAACACUCAAAUGGAUCCUGCGUUUGGCCUUGGACUGAUUCGUCAUAAAUGACCGGUUGCAUUAACCACGCCUCGCACCGAGCCACAGCGUGGACGCCGGUCCGUUUCCUACCCAUCACCUACGGACCCCUCGGGCAGCAUUGCGCUCAUGACCUACAAGCCCCCGGACUGCGGCACAUUAAUGGCAUGUCGUCCCUCAGCCUGCGGCACACUUAUGUCCUAUUGAACUAGGCCUAUGUGUGCAGACCUCUCAUAUGGCACUACACAACGGGCUACGGCGAGCCCAAGCGAAGCCUGGGGUUGGCAUAGCCGGAAUGAUGGCACCUGGGACCAUUGAAAGUCGCCUAGAGGGGGGGUGAAUAGGGCGAAACUGAAAUUUACAAAUAUAAACACAACUACAAGCCGGGGUUAGCGUUAGAAAUAAAGAAACGAGUCCGCGAGAGAGGGCGUAAAACAAAUCGCAAGCAAAUGAAGAUUGAGACACGUGGAUUUGUUUUACCGAGGUUCGGUUCUCGCAAACCUACUCCCCGUUGAGGAGGCCACAAAGGCCGGGUCUCUUUCAACCCUUCCCUCUCUCAAACGGUCUCUCGGACCGAGUGAGCUUUCUCUUCUUAAUCACUUGGAACACAAAGUUCCUACAAGGAUCACCACAAGAUUGGUGUCUCUUGCCUCAAUUACAAGUGAGUUUGAUCGCAAUGAAGGAGUCAAGAAAGCACGAUUAAAAAGCCAAGCGACAAGAGCGACAAAUAACACACGGAUCACUUUCUCUCUCAAGUCACUAAUCACUAAUGAUCUCUUUUCUCAAUUGUGAAACUUGGAGAGAUGGAGGCUUUGAAUGUGUCUUGGAAUAGAUUGCUAGCUCUUGUAUUGAAUGUUGAAGGUUGGAAUGCUUGGGUGAAGUGAAUGGAGGUGGUUGGGGUUGUAUUUAUAGCCACCAACCACUUCCUAGCCGUUGGGCCAUUCUGCUGAGCGCGGACGGUCCGCCCUCCUGGUGCGGACGGUCCGCCCCUGUAGAUCAACGGCUGAAAAUGCAACGGUCAGCAGUAACGGCUAUAUCAACGGCUAUAUUGCAUUUAAUGCGUCGUCAGAUGUCAGACAGAGCCAGUCGUGGACGGUCCGGUCGUGCACCCCGGACGGUCCGCGAGGCCCCCUAUAAUUCAUUUCUCCGAACCCGUCACCUUCGGGUUUUUCGGUUUCUUACCGACCGGACGGUCCGCGCCUGAGGCCGGACGGUCCGCGCGAGGGCUCGGACGGUCUUCGCUUUUCCUCCGGACAGUCUGUAGUGGAAACUUGUGUUUUUGCAUUGGUUCUGUCCGAGGGUCAUUCUUCUGUCACGGACGGUCCGCCGCAGGGGCCCGGACGGUCCGCGCUUGGCCUGUUUUUCCAAAAAGCUUCUCCUGUCCGGAAUAAUCUACGGUAUUCCGGACAGUCGAAUUAGUAUAGUUGUGGAUGAACCUUUGGCACCUGUAGAACGUAUAAUCUAGAGCAAACUAGUUAGUUCAUCAAUUUGUGUUGGGCAAUUCAACCACCAAAAUAAUUUAGGAACUAGGUGUAAGCCUAAUUCCCUUUCAAUCUCCCCCUUUUUGGUGAUUGAUGCCAACACAAACCAAAGCAAAUAUAAAAGUGCAUAAUUGAACUAGUUUGCAUAAUGUAAGUGCAAAGGUUGCUUGGAAUUGAGUCAAUAUAAAUACUUACAAAAUAUGCAUGAAUUGUUUCUUUCUUAUAUAACAUUUUGGACCACGCUUGCACCACAUGUUUUUGCAAACUCUUUUGUAAAUCCUUUUCAAAGUUCUUUUUGCAAAUAGUCAAAGGUAAAUGAAUAAGAUUUUGAGAAGCAUUUUCAAGAUUUGAAAUUUUCUCCCCCUGUUUCAAAUGCUUUUUCUUUGACGAACAAAACUCCCCCUAAAUGAAAUCCUCCUCUUAGUGUUCAAGAGGGUUUUGAUAUGCCUUUUUGAAAUGCUACUUUCUUCCCCUUUUUUUUGAACACAAUAGAAUACCAAUUGAAAAUAUUCAGUUUUUUUGGAAUUGGUGGUGGUGGUGUGGUCCUUUUGCUUUGGGCUCAUUUCUCCCCCUUUUUGGCAUGAAUCGCCAAAAACGGAAUCAUUAGAGCCCUCGAAGUGCUUUCUUCACCUUUGGUCAUAAAUGAAUGAGUUAAGAGUAUACCAAAGACGAAGUCCUUUUCCUUGAUGCUCAUUUCUCCCCAAGGAAUAGAGAGUUGCUUGGAGUGAUGGCGAAGUAUGAGUUACGGAGUGGAAGCCUUUGUCUUCGCCGAAGACUCCAAUUCCCUUUCAAUAUACCUAUGACUUGGUUUGAAAUAGACUUGAAAACACAUUAGUCAUAGCAUAUAAAAGAGACAUGAUCAAAGGUAUAUAAAAGAGCAAUGUGUGCAAUUUUAACAAAAGAAGUUCCUAGAAUCAAGAAUAUUGAGCUCAUGCCUAAGUUUGUUAAAAGAUUGUUCAUCAAGAGGCUUGGUAAAGAUAUCGGCUAAUUGAUCUUUAGUAUUAAUGUAUGAAAUCUCGAUAUCUCCCUUUUGUUGGUGAUCCCUCAAAAAGUGAUACCGAAUGGCUAUGUGUUUAGUGCGGCUAUGCUCGACGGGAUUGUCGGCCAUUUUGAUUGCACUCUCAUUAUCACAUAGCAAGGGGACUUUGGUCAAUUUGUAACCGUAGUCCCGCAGGGUUUGCCUCAUCCAAAGCAAUUGCGCGCAACAAUGACCUGCGGCAAUGUACUCAGCUUCGGCGGUGGAAAGAGCAACCGAAUUUUGCUUCUUUGAAGCCCAAGACACCAAGGAUCUUCCCAAGAACUGGCAAGUCCCCGAUGUGCUCUUCCUAUUGAUUUUGCACCCCGCCCAAUCGGCAUCCGAAUAACCAAUCAAAUCAAAUGUGGAUCCCCUAGGAUACCAAAGCUCAAACUUAGGAGUAUAAGCCAAAUAUCUCAAGAUUCGUUUCACGGCCGUAAGGUGAGCUUCCUUAGGGUCGGCUUGGAAUCUUGCACACAUGCAUACGGAAAGCAUAAUAUCCGGUCGAGAUGCACAUAAAUAUAGCAAAGAACCUAUCAUCGACCGGUACACCUUUUGAUCCACGGACUUACCUCCUGUGUCGAGGUCGAGAUGCCCAUUUGUUCCCAUGGGUGUCUUGAUGGGCUUGGCAUCCUUCAUUCCAAACUUGGUUAAGAUGUCUUGAGUGUAUUUCGUUUGGCUAAUGAAGGUGCCCUCUUGGAGUUGCUUUACUUGGAAUCCUAAGAAAUACUUCAACUCCCCCAUCAUAGACAUCUCGAAUUUCUGUGUCAUAAUCCUACUAAACUCUUCACAAGUAGACUCGUUAGUAGACCCAAAUAUAAUAUCAUCAACAUAAAUUUGGCAUACAAACAAGUCAUUUUCAAGAGUUUUAGUAAAGAGUGUAGGAUCGGCUUUACCGACUUUGAAGCCAUUAGCAAUAAGGAAAUCUCUAAGGCAUUCAUACCAUGCUCUUGGGGCUUGCUUGAGCCCAUAAAGCGCCUUAGAGAGCUUAUAGACAUGAUUAGGAUACUCACUGUCUUCAAAGCCGGGAGGUUGCUCAACAUAGACCUCUUCCUUGAUUGGUCCAUUGAGAAAGGCACUUUUCACGUCCAUUUGAUAAAGCUUAAAGCCAUGGUAAGUAGCAUAGGCCAAUAAUAUGCGAAUUGACUCAAGCCUAGCUACGGGUGCAUAGGUUUCACCAAAAUCCAAACCUUCGACUUGAGAGUAUCCCUUGGCCACAAGUCGAGCUUUGUUCCUUGUCACCACACCAUGCUCGUCUUGCUUGUUGCGGAAGACCCAUUUGGUUCCUACAACAUUUUGGUUAGGACGUGGAACUAAAUGCCAUACCUCAUUUCUCGUGAAGUUGUUGAGCUCCUCUUGCAUCGCCAUCACCCAAUCCGAAUCUUGAAGUGCUUCCUCUACCUUGUGUGGCUCAAUAGAGGAAACAAAAGAGUAAUGUUCACAAAAAUGUGCAACACGAGAUCGAGUGGUUACCCCCUUAUGAAUGUCGCCGAGGAUGGUGUCGACGGGGUGAUCUCGUUGGAUUGCUUGGUGGACUCUUGGGUGUGGCGGCCUUGGUUCUUCCUCAUCCUCCUUUUCUUGAUCAUUUGCAUCUUCCCCUUGAUCAUUGCCAUCAUCUUGAGGUGGAUCAUCUUCUUGACUUUGCCCUUCAUCAACUUGAGCCUCAUCCUCAUUUUGAGUUGGUGGAGAUGCUUGCGUGGUGGAGGAUGGUUGAUCUUGUGCACUUGGAGGCUCUUCGGAUUCCUUAGGACACACAUCCCCAAUGGACAUGUUCCUUAGCGCAAUGCAUGGAGCCUCUUCAUUACCUAUCUCAUCAAGAUCAACUUGCUCUACUUGAGAGCCAUUAGUUUCAUCAAACACAACGUCACAUGAGACUUCAACUAGUCCAGUGGACUUGUUAAAGACCCUAUAUGCCCUUGUGUUUGAGUCAUAACCAAGUAAAAAGCCUUCUACAGUUUUAGGAGCAAAUUUAGAUUUUCUACCUCUUUUAACAAGAAUAAAGCAUUUGCUACCAAAAACUCUAAAGAAUGAAAUGUUGGGCUUUUUACCGGUUAGGAGUUCAUAGGAUGUCUUCUUGAGGAUUCGGUGAAGAUAUAACCGGUUGAUGGCGUAGCAGGCAGUGUUGACCGCUUCGGCCCAAAACCGGUCCGGUGUCUUGUACUCAUCAAGCAUGGUUCUUGCCAUGUCCAAUAGAGUUCGAUUCUUCCUCUCCACUACACCAUUUUGUUGAGGGGUGUAGGGAGAAGAGAACUCAUGCUUGAUGCCCUCCUCCUCAAGGAAGCCUUCGAUUUGAGAGUUCUUGAACUCCGUCCCGUUGUCGCUUCUUAUUUUCUUGAUCCUUAAGCCGAACUCAUUUUGAGCCCGUCUCAAGAAUCCCUUUAAGGUCUCUUGGGUUUGAGAUUUUUCCUGUAAAAAGAAUACCCAAGUGAAGCGAGAAUAAUCAUCCACUAUUACAAGACAAUACUUACUCCCACCGAUGCUUAUGUAAGCAAUCGGGCCGAAUAGAUCCAUGUGGAGUAGCUCAAGCGGCAUGUCGGUCGUCAUGAUGUUCUUGUGUGGAUGAUGGACUCCAACUUGCUUCCCCGCCUGGCAUGCGCUACAAAUCCUGUCUUUCUCAAAAUGAACAUUUGUUAAUCCUAAAAUGUGCUCUCCCUUUAGAAGCUUAUGAAGAUUCUUCAUCCCAACAUGGGCUAGUCGGCGGUGCCAGAGCCAACCCAUGUUAGUCUUAGCAAUUAAGCAUGUGUCGAGUUCAGCUCUAUCAAAAUCUACUAAGUAUAGCUGACCCUCUAACACACCCUUAAAUGCUAUUGAAUCAUCACUUCUUCUAAAGACAGUGACACCUACAUCAGUAAAAAGACAGUUGUAGCCCAUUUGACAUAAUUGAGAAACAGAAAGCAAGUUGUAAUCUAAAGAAUCAACAAGAAAAACAUUGGAAAUAGAAUGGUCAGGAGAUAUAGCAAUUUUACCAAGUCCUUUGACCAAACCUUGAUUUCCAUCCCCGAAUGUGAUAGCUCGUUGGGGAUCCUGGUUUUUCUCAUAUGAGGAGAACAUUCUUUUCUCCCCAGUCAUAUGGUUUGUGCACCCGCUGUCGAGUAUCCAACUUGAGCCCCCGGAUGCAUAAACCUACAAAACAAAUUUAGUUCUUGACUUUAGGUACCCAAACUGUUUUGGGUCCUUUGGCAUUAGAAACAAGAACUUUGGGUACCCAAACACAAGUCUUGGAACCCUUGUGUUUGCCCCCAACAAACUUGGCAACGAUCUUGCCGGAUUUGUUAGUAAGCACAUAAGAAGCAUCAAAAGUUUUAAAAGAAAUGGCAUGAUCAUUUGAUGCAUUAGGAAUUUUCUUUCUAGGCAACUUGGCAUGGGUUGGUUGCCUAGAACUAGAUGUCUCACCCUUAUACAUAAAAGCAUGAUUUGGGCCAGAGUGAGACUUCCUAGAAUGAAUUCUCUUAAUUUUGCUCUCGGGAUAACCGGCAGGGUAUAAAAUGUAACCCUCGUUAUCCUGAGGCAUGGGAGCCUUGCCCUUAACAAAAUUAGACAAUCUUUUGGGAGGGGCACUAAUUUUGACAUUGUCUCCCCUUUGGAAGCCAAUGCCAUCCUUGAUGCCCGGGCGUCUCCCAUUAUAGAGCAUGCUACGAGCAAAUUUAAAUUUCUCAUUUUCUAAGUUGUGCUCGGUAAUUUUAGCAUCUAGUUUUGCUAUAUGAUCAUUUUGUUGUUUAAUUAAAGCCAUAUGAUCAUGAAUAGCAUUAACAUCAAUAUCUCUACAUCUAUCACAGAUAGACACAUGCUCAAUAGUAGAUGUAGACGGUUUGCAAGAAUCAAGUUCAACAAUCUUAGCAUGAAGAAUAUCAUUUUUAUCUCUAAGAUUGGAAAUUGUAACUUUGCAAACAUCAUAAUCUUUAGCCUUAGCAAUUAAAUUUUCAUUCUCUAAUCUAAGGCUAGCAAGAGAUACAUUCAAUUCAUCAAUCUUAGCAAGCAAAUCAACAUUAUCAUCUCUAAGAUUGGGAAUUGAAACAUUACAAACAUGUGAAUCAACCUUAGCAUUUAAACUAGCAUUUUCAUUUCUAAGGUUGUCAAUAGUCUCACGACAAGUGCUUAGCUCACUAGACAAUUUUUCACAUUUUUCAACUUGAAGAGCGUAAGCAUUUUUAACCUUAACAUGUUUCUUGUUUUCCUUAAUAAGGAGGUCCUCUUGGGAAUCCAAAAGGUCAUCCUUUUCAUGAAUAGCACUAACCAAUUCAUUCAAUUUUUCCUUUUGAGCUAUGUUAAGGUUGGCAAAAAGGGAACGCAAAUUAUCUUCCUCAUCACUAGCAUUGUCAUCACUAGAGGAUUCAUAUUUAGUGGAGGAUUUAGAUUUAACCUUCUUUUUGCCGUCCUUUGCCAUGAGGCACUUGUGGCCGACGUUGGGGAAGAGGAGUCCCUUGGUGACGGCGAUGUUGGCGGCGUUCUCGUCGUCGGAGGAGUCGCUUGAGCUCUCGUCGGAGUCCCACUCGCGACAAACAUGGGCAUCGCCGCCCUUCUUCUUGUAAUACCUCUUCUUCUCCUUUCUUCUCCCCUUCUUGUCGUCACCUCGGUCACUGUCACUAGAUAUAGGACAUUUAGCAAUAAAAUGACCGGGCUUACCACACUUGUAGCAAACCUUCUUGGAGCGGGACUUGUAAUCCUUCCCCCUCCUUUGCUUGAGGAUUUGGCGGAAGCUCUUGAUGACGAGCGCCAUUUCCUCAUUGUCGAGCUUGGAGGCGUCUAUGGGUUGUCGACUUGAUGUAGACUCCUCCUUCUUCUCCUCCGUUGCCUUGAAUGCAACGGGUUGAGCUUCGGAUGUGGUGGCAUCAUCAAGCUCGUUGAUCUUCCUCGAGCCUUCGAUCAUGCACUCAAAACUUACAAAAUUCCCGAUAACUUCCUCGGGGGUCAUUUUAGUAUAUCUAGGAUUACCACGAAUUAAUUGAACUUGAGUAGGGUUAAGGAAAAUAAGUGAUCUUAGAAUAACCUUAACCACCUCGUGGUCAUCCCACUUUACACUCCCGAGGUUGCGCGCUUGGUUCACCAAGGUCUUGAGCCGAUUGUACAUGUGUUGUGGCUCCUCCCCUUUGCGAAGCCGGAACCGACCGAGCUCCCCCUCGAUCGUUUCCCGCUUGGUGAUCUUGGUGAGCUCAUCACCUUCAUGUGCGGUCUUGAGUAAAUCCCAAAUCUCCUUUGCAUUCUUUAACCCUUGAACUUUGUUAUACUCUUCUCUACUCAAAGAGGCUAGGAGUAUUGUUGUUGCUUGAGAGUUGAAGUGCUCGAUUUGGGCCACCUCAUCCUCAUCAUAGUUCUCAUCCCCUACGGAUGGUACCUGCGCACCAAACUCAACAACAUCCCAUAUGCUUUUGUGGAGCGAGGUUAGAUGAAAUCGCAUUAAAUCGCUCCACCUAGCGUAAUCUUCACCAUCAAAAGUUGGUGGUUUGCCUAAUGGGACGGAAAGUAAAGGUGUAUGUUUGGAAAUGCAAGGAUAGCGUAGGGGGAUCUUACUAUACUUCUUGCGCUCUUGGCGCUUAGAAGUGACGGAGGGCGCAUCGGAGUCGGAGGUCGAUGUUGAUGAAGUGUCGGUCUCGUAGUAGACCACCUUCCUCAUCCUCUUGUGCUUGUCGCCUUUCCGAUGCGGCUUGUGGGAAGAAGACUUUUCCUUCUUCUCUUUGUGGUGAGAAGAGGAAGACUUUUUCUCCUUCCGUUUGGAGGAGUCCUUCUUCUUCUCCUUCCUCUUGGUGCGGGACUCUUCCGAUGAAGUGCUCCCGUGGCUUGUAGUGGGCUUUUCGCCGGUCUCCAUCUCCUUCUUGGCGUGAUCUCCCGACAUCACUUCGAGCGGUUAGGCUCUAAUGAAGCACCGGGCUCCGAUACCAAUUGAAAGUCGCCUAGAGGGGGGGUGAAUAGGGCGAAACUGAAAUUUACAAAUAUAAACACAACUACAAGCCGGGGUUAGCGUUAGAAAUAAAGAAACGAGUCCGCGAGAGAGGGCGUAAAACAAAUCGCAAGCAAAUGAAGAGUGAGACACGUGGAUUUGUUUUACCGAGGUUCGGUUCUCGCAAACCUACUCCCCGUUGAGGAGGCCACAAAGGCCGGGUCUCUUUCAACCCUUCCCUCUCUCAAACGGUCUCUCGGACCGAGUGAGCUUUCUCUUCUUAAUCACUUGGAACACAAAGUUCCUACAAGGAUCACCACAAGAUUGGUGUCUCUUGCCUCAAUUACAAGUGAGUUUGAUCGCAAUGAAGGAGUCAAGAAAGCACGAUUAAAAAGCCAAGCGACAAGAGCGACAAAUAACACACGGAUCACUUUCUCUCUCAAGUCACUAAUCACUAAUGAUCUCUUUUCUCAAUUGUGAAACUUGGAGAGAUGGAGGCUUUGAAUGUGUCUUGGAAUAGAUUGCUAGCUCUUGUAUUGAAUGUUGAAGGUUGGAAUGCUUGGGUGAAGUGAAUGGAGGUGGUUGGGGUUGUAUUUAUAGCCACCAACCACUUCCUAGCCGUUGGGCCAUUCUGCUGAGCGCGGACGGUCCGCCCUCCUGGUGCGGACGGUCCGCCCCUGUAGAUCAACGGCUGAAAAUGCAACGGUCAGCAGUAACGGCUAUAUCAACGGCUAUAUUGCAUUUAAUGCGUCGUCAGAUGUCAGACAGAGCCAGUCGCGGACGGUCCGGUCGUGCACCCCGGACGGUCCGCGAGGCCCCCUAUAAUUCAUUUCUCCGAACCCGUCACCUUCGGGUUUUUCGGUUUCUUACCGACCGGACGGUCCGCGCCUGAGGCCGGACGGUCCGCGCGAGGGCUCGGACGGUCUUCGCUUUUCCUCCGGACAGUCUGUAGUGUAAACUUGUGUUUUUGCAUUGGUUCUGUCCGAGGGUCAUUCUUCUGUCACGGACGGUCCGCCGCAGGGGCCCGGACGGUCCGCGCUUGGCCUGUUUUUCCAAAAAGCUUCUCCUGUCCGGAAUAAUCUACGGUAUUCCGGACAGUCGAAUUAGUAUAGUUGUGGAUGAACCUUUGGCACCUGUAGAACGUAUAAUCUAGAGCAAACUAGUUAGUUCAUCAAUUUGUGUUGGGCAAUUCAACCACCAAAAUAAUUUAGGAACUAGGUGUAAGCCUAAUUCCCUUUCAACCAUCAUCGCCCCCACGUCAUCCACCACGAUAAAUACACGACAGCUAGGCAAUCCCGGGUCCACAAGUACGCAUGGCCUCACUCUUAGUAAAACAUUGGUUUUACUCUUUCCUUAUGGCUCCUUCCCGGGGAAGCCAUCGCUAGCUGAUCCCUACUCCGGCCUAUAAAAAGGAGAUCUCGACCUCCGAGAAAGUGAGGGGAAAACAAGGACAGGUCGAAUAGAGAGCUCUUGGAGACAAUGUGACGGCUUUAGACAGAGACGAACCCACAAGGACGAAUGAGCGGAGGAGCACUGACGAGGACCAGGAGGUCGAAGCCCCGCCAAGCCAAGACUUAGCUAGGACUCCACCUUGCAACUUCUAAGCUCCGCUUCCACCACAAUAAGAUAUCUGGGAGCCUCUCCUCCCUCUCUCGACUGCUUGUAACCCCUACUACAAGUUUAAUCAUCAAUGGUGCCGGUAGCGCAAGCCAUCGAUGACUGGAAGUAGGGACAUUCUGUCCGAACCAGUAUAAAUCUUGCGCCCUCCACACACACCCUCCGGAGCCCGAAACCAUUGAUCUAAGCUCCGGAGCAUGGUACGAAAUACCGACAGUUGACGUGCCAGGUAGCGGACUUGUGCAUUCCGCGAUGAGAUCAUCCGAGCUCCGGAUGGCUACCAACGACAGUACCGCAAUCUAGACUCCCGGGACAACCAUUCGCUUUGGGGGUCUGGAUUUCAUCGUCAACAAAGGAGAGAUGACGAGGGCCUCGCAAGCCCCGUCUCCCUUGGCAAACGACUUGCCCAAUGCAGCCAUAAGUCUCGGCGACCUCCGAUUGGACCCACCUCAGGUGUACCAUGGGUCGCAGGGCUCGCCACCAGUCGAUUGUACCGAGGUAGUGGGAGUAUUGGACCGUGUAUGGGACUCAUUCAUGAAUAUCCUCUUGUAAGGGUCGAAAGACGGACUCACGUCCAUGCCUAUCUAGGCAAGUUGCGACCCUAGUCAGGAAUGCUUUGCAGCAAAUACCACGGGAGAUCACUUCCCCGUGUGGGGAGCCUAGGCGAGAACUCGCCCAUCAUCAUGGAGUGCACCGUGGUGUUUGCCCUGCCUUAGCUCAACCCUCCUCCCCAGGAGGUGUCGUUGGGCCCGAGCCUCUCACGGAGCGAGCAGCACCCUGCGGCGAAAAGACAAGGAAGCUUACGAGGGGACGGGGCGAACACGCUAAGCAGUGGGGCGACAACACGCCAUGACGACAAAAGCCCGCCGUUGCCUGGUUUAUGGCAAGGGCGCAACGUCGUGUUUUCCCUGGACAAGCCAUAACAUCGUUGCUGUUGCGACGCUUCUGGACAAGCUCCCUAAGGCGAAAACACCAAGUGAAUGGAAGACCCACCAAUAGAUCGAAGACCUCCUCGGCCUUGCUGUGUAGCAAUAAGCCGAAAGUUCCAUGUCUCGAUGUUGCGAGCCGGAGACCAACCCGUACGCCGCGUUGAAAGGGAAAUUGGGUUAACCGUUUCCCACAAAUAAUUUCGGUGGUUGAAUGCCCAACACAAAUAAAUGGACUAACUAGUUUGCUCUAGAAUACAUGUUCUACAGGUGCACAAAGGUUCAACACAAACCAAUAAAUGUUCAAGUUAGGGAUCCAAUUCAAAGGAGCAAAAGAAGCCAAGUGUGUUGUGGCCUGGCGCACCGGACUGUCCGGUGUGCCACCGGACAGUGUCCGGUGCACCAGGACCGUACUGAGUCCAACCAGCCACUCUCGGGUUUCCACAGGCGCACUCCGCUAUAAUUCACCGGACUGUCUGGUGUACCACCGGACUGUCCGGUGCACCAGCGGAGCAACGACUAACUCGCGCAACGGUCGAUUGUAAAGGAGCUGACAGAUGAACAGUGCGCGCAGAGUCAGAGCUGUAGAGUCAGAGGUGCAUCGGACAGUGAAUAGGACCUGUCCGGUGUGGCACCAGACUAUCCGGUGCCACAAGAAGACAACGGCGCCAACAGUCGACUGCUCUCGAACCCUAACGGUUGGGUGACGUGGCGGCGCACUGGACAGUGAACAGGACCUGUCUGGUGGCGCACCGGACUGUCCGGUGCCACAAGAAGACAACGGCGCCAACAUUCGACUGCUCCUAAACCCUAACGGUUGGGUGACAUGGCGGCGCACCGAACAGUGAACAGGACCUGUCCGGUGCCGCACCAGACUGUCCGGUGCGCCCAUCGCUAGCAGACUUCCCCAACAACUACUUGGUGGUUGAGGGCUAUAAAUAUCCCCCAACCACCACAACUCCAAGCAUCCAAGUUUUAUAAAGAUUUCAUUCAAUACAAGAGCUAGUGCAUUCACUACUAGACACAAAUCAAAAGAUCAAAGCCUCUCCAAGUCCCAAAUUCAUUCCAAGCACCUAGUGACUUGAGAGAGUGUGUGUUCGUGUUCAUUUGCGCUCUUGUUGCUUGGAUCGCUUUAUUCCUUCCUCAUUCUUGUUCCAAAGUGACUUGUAAUCAAAGCAAGAGACACCUAAGUGUGUGGUGGUCCUUGCGGGGUCUAAGUGACCUGUUUGAUUAAGGAGAAAGCUCACUCGGUCUAAGUGACCGUUUGAGAGAGGGAAAGGGUUGAAAGAGACCCGGUCUUUGUGACCACCUCAAUGGGGACUAGGUUCUUUAGAACCAAACCUCGGAAAAAUAAAUCACCGUGUUCAUUCGCUUGUUUUCCAUUUGAUUUGUUCCCCCCUCUCUUCCGGACUUUAUUUAAGUUCUAACGUUAACCUUGGCUUGUAGUGUGUAUUUAAAGUUGUAAAUUUCAGAUUACGCCUAUUCACCCCCCUCUAGGCGACUUUCACGCGUCUACGUCGAUGACAAAUGGUGCCACAUCAUGGCAACCUCUGGAGCUCGAAGGAAGCGUGGCACAAGUCCCACCUCGUUGGCCCCAAAAGCUAGGUCGAUGUGCCUGGCCAUGGGACUGGGGAGGAGGGACGUGAAAGGUCGGGGUGACUCCUGAAAGGGAAAUAGUGUUAACCGUUUCCCACAAUUAAUUUUGGUGGUUGAAUGCCCAACACAAAUAAAUGGACUAACUAGUUUGCUCUAGAAUUGUCGGCGUUUCGACCCCGGGGGGGUCCCUGGACCGACGAGUAAAUUGUCGCUGCGUGUCCCAGCCCAGAUGGGUUGGCGCGAGAUGGAACACAAAGAGGGGAAAACCGCGGCUUCGUGCUGUCCUGCGCCAGAGUGGAUGCGCUUGCAGUAGGGGGUUACAAGCGUUCACGAGGGAGAGAGAGAGUCCCGCGCGACCACCCUCUCGUACGAGGGCCCUGGACCUUCCUUUUAUAGAUGCAAGGAGAGGGUCCAGGUGUACAAUGGGGGUGUAGCAAUAUGCUAACAUGUCUGGCAGAGAGGAGCCAGAACCCUAUGUACAUGCCAACGUGGCUGUCGGAGAGGUGCUAGAGCCCUGUGCAUGCGAUGUCGUGGCCGUCGGAGGAGCGCUUGAGCCCUGUAGAAGCACAGCUAUCGGGGCUGUCGGGACCUUGCUGACGUCUCCUUGCUUCCGUAAGGGGCUGAGAGCUGCCGUCGUCAUGGGCGGACGUGGGGUGCCAUCAUUACUUGUUCACCGGGGCGAGCCAGAUGGGACGCCGGUCUUGUUCCCCAUAGCCUGAGCUAGCUAGGGGUAGAGUAAUGAUGAUCCCCCCUGUGGCGUGGUCGGUCCAAGCCCAAGGUCGGGCGAGGCGGAAACUCCUCCGAGGCUGAGGUCGAGGCCGAGCCCUGGGGUCGGCGAGGCAGAGUCCAUCUUCUGAGGCCGAGGCAGAGGCCGAGCCCUGGGGUCGGGCGAGGCGGAGACUUCUCCCGAGGCCGAGGCCCAAGGUUGGGCGAGGCGGAGCUUCCUGUGGCGCCUGGGCUGGACUUGACUGUUGUCAGCCUCACCCUGGUGGGUGGCACAGCAGUCAAAGCAGGGCAGUCGGCGUUGUUUUCCUGUCCGGUCAAUCAGUGGAGGGGCAAAGUGACUGCGGUCACUUCGGCCCUGUCGACUGAGGAACGCGCGUCACGAUAAGGUGUCAGGCGAUCCUUGUAUUGAAUGCUUCUUUGAUACGGUCGGUUGGCGAGGCGAUCUGGCCAAGGUUGCUUCACUGUGAAGCCUGCCCGAGCUGGGCCUCGGGCGAGUCAAGGGUGUGCCUAUUGCUUGAGGAGGCCCUCGGGCGAGGCGUGAAUCCGCCUGGGUCUACUGUUCCUGCCCGAGGCUGGGCUCGAGUGAGGCGAGAUCGCGUCCCUUGAGUGGACGGAGCCUCGACCUGAAUUGCGCCCAUCAGGCUCUACAGCUUGUGCUGAUGGUGAUUACCAGCCGAGUUUAAGAGUAUUGGGGGUACCCCUAAUUAUGGUCCCCGACAGUAGCCCCCGGGCCUCAAAGGGAGUGUUGGUACUCGCUUGGAGGCUUUGUCGCACUUUUUUGCAAGGGGACCGACCUUUCUCGGUUACAUUUUGUUCCGGUGGGUGCGCGCGAGCGCACCCGCCGGGUGUAGCCCCCGAGGCCUCAGAGGAGUGGUUUGACUCCUCUGAGGUCUUAAUGCCUUUUCGUGAUGCCUCGGUCGGUCUGGUUGUUCCCUCAUGCGAUCUGAUCGUAGCCCGGGUGCAUGGUCAGGUUCCAAGUUCUCGGGCUGGUUUGUUGACGCUGUCAGCGGUUUGGCCGGAGCCGGGUUUGCGAGAGCAGCCCCUGAGCCUCUGCACAGAGCGAGAGGAUGAUCAAGGACUGACUCGGCUUUUAUCAUACGCCCCUUCGUCGCCUUUCCGCAAGGAGGAGGGGUGGAAGUGCCAUGUUGCCCUCGGAGGGCACCGAACAUGGUGUUUCCAGUGAGUUACUAACAGGUGAUCCGAGUGGAUGCCCAUGCCCCGUUCGAUAAGGGUCGGCUAGUGGCCCAGAGGCGCGCUCCAAAAGUACCUGCAGGUGAUUUGCCGGACCCGGUCCCGUUUGAUAGGGUCCGAGGGCUCGAUGCCUCCCUCUGAUGGGAUUCCAUUACAGAAUCGCUCCCGCUGGUCUCGGAAAUGUCCUAGGGUACCUCGGGAGCGUAGCCCGAGCCUCGGCCAUGUAUCGGAUGUACCCAGAGUCAUCCCUCGCUCUGCACGUUCUGGGGCGGCUGUCGAACCCUUUGGGGGGCCAGCCUUCGAACCCCUAAUCAGUAGUGGGUGCGGAGCCCGAGUGCUCUGAGGCGGCUAUCGAACCCUUCCGAGGGGCCAGCCUUCGAACCUCUGAUCAGUAAUGAGCCUAAAGCCCGAGUGCUCUGGGCGGCUGUCGAACCCUUCCGAGGGGCCAGCCUUCGAACCCCUGAUCAGUAGGAGGGCUCGGGGCCCGCUUCCUUCGCGGAGAAGGAUCCCUUUCGAAAUAUCCCCUUUCCGGUCCCUAUAGCAAGAGAGAGAAAGGGGAAGAGGAAAAGGAUACGAAAUUAAACGAUGUGGCGCACCUUUUUUGAUGCGGUCAUCAUGGCGGAGGUGAAACGUCGCCCGCUUCGCCUGCCAAAGGUGUCGCCUGCCCUGCCGCGAAGUUAAUGCGACGGGACGAGUGGUUCGCGGGGCAGCCGUUGUGCGUGCACGAGUCGUUCGAGGAACGGGCGUUUCGCCUUCGAGUUUGAAUUUCGCGGCGGGUUCGGGCGAAGUGUUGAACGGGUCUUGUCCGGGCCUUUAUAUACCCAGAAGAGGGACCGAUGGUGGUUCUUUACUCUGCUGCUCGCCUCCUGCUUUGGUUUCCGCGACCCAAGGGAAUAGCCAGAGAAAGAAAACCAUGCACCUUGUCCGCUCUGCCGUCGCCCCCUUCGUUUGGUGAUGGCCGACCGGGUAACCGUUGUUCCACCGUGCGACCCGUGGCCUUUCUCCACCGUCAUGGUGGACGAUCUGGAGGCCCUUGUCGCCGAUGGUUUGCUCUGUCCCCUCUCCGGUGACCCGCAGCCGGAGUGGAUGGUCCCUCCGAGCGGGGUCGGCCUGACCCCGCCACCGGGGUACGUGCUGAGUUUCGUCUCCUUCCAUGAGCGGAGGUUCGGAGUGCCAGCAAGCCGUUUCAUGCGGGCGCUCCUGCAUUACUACGGGGUGGAGCUGCACAAUCUCAACCCCAACUCCAUUGCGCAAGCGGCCAUCUUCGCGGCGGUUUGCGAGGGUUUUUUGGGGAUUGACCCCCACUGGGAUCUGUGGACCCAUCUCUUCACCGCGAAGCCUUUUGCCUUGACGACGGGGGAAAAAGAAGGUAUGCAUGGCGGUGCGGGCCGGUGGCUGCAUCCUCCAGUUGAUGCAGGCGCGCGCGCAACAGUACAUUCCCGCCAUCCUUGUGUCUUCGAACUAGGGGUGGCAGCGCCGGUGGUUUUACCUCCGGAAUGACGACGGGAGGCUCCCGUCGUUUUAUCAACGAGUGGUGACUGCCGCCGGCAGCAACUGGCGCUAUGGGGCCGCGCGCGAGAAACAGGAGAAAAUCUAGCCCCUUCUGGAGGCCUUGCAGGAGCUACGAGAUGGGGGCUUACCGUCGCGGGGGUGGUUGUCGUCAUCCAUCGCCGGAGGGUGCUUCCCUUGGCAGAGCGGCAGUUGCCGCUUUCGGAGAUGACGCCGGGGGUCGACUUGGAGGGUUCGCAGGUGUCCUCGGUCCCCCUCUCCACCGAUGACCUCCGCAGGCGGGUAGCGGGCACGGUAGGGAGGCUGGACGUCGGCGCCCUUACCCAGCCCUUGAUGCGUCCCGAGCGUGGGUGCGUGUCCCUGGUGAGUGUUCGCUCCUUCUCCUUUCUUGUGUCAGGUUUCCCUUGAUUCUCACGGUCGGGAUUUCCGUUCGUUUCCAGGAGUUGGGGUGUUACAAGCCUUCCCUGCCACCGGUCCCGAAGGACACGGUGGACCGAGCCGCGCGGAGGGUCACCGUGGAGAAGAAGAAGGAGAAGAAGGACGCGAAAAAGGCUCGGGCUCGCGAGCGGAUGCGGGGUCGGGACGCCUUGGAGAGCCGCCGUCGGAGGCAGGAGAGGGACGGGCUCCCGAGGGAGCCGUCGCCGGAGAUGCCUAACGACGACGAUGACGACGAUGAUGACGAGGACGACGACAUGGCGGCCCGCCUUGGCCUCAGCCCGGAUCUGAGGCUAGGUCAGGGGUCAUCGAGCCACCCCCGAGCGGGCUGGUGCCAUCGGUAUCUAAGGCUGGGACAUCGGGGUCCCGGUCCGAAGAGCAGGGGCAGGCUGAGGGGGUACUUGACCCCUUGGCCGAGGUAGUUGAGGUGACCCUGGGGGGUCAGGCCGACCCGCCUGUCCCCCAAGAGCAACUGCUCGUGUCGGUCGUAAAGGAGGUUGAUCCUCAGGCCGUCGUGACGUCGCAUGGGCAGGCCGUCCCUUCAGCGCCCCGGGCGCCUGAAGUGGGAACGGCGCUGAAGCUGGCAGCGGGGCGAACCUCGGCGGCGCCUGCGGGGACCGAGGCCCGAGGGGCCUCCCCGCAGGCACGAUUGGCCUUGGUCUGGAGCGGGUAAGUAUCCGAGGAUACCUAUGUCCUGGCUCUUUCUUCGUGUGUCCUGAUCCUGCUUUACUUUUUCCUCCCAGCAAACGGAGGCACGGUCCGGCCGAUCUAGCUCCCAGGAAGGCCCUUAAGACAGUGUCGGCUUCUGCAGCCAGUGUCGCACCGCGCCACGCCGGUUGGCUGGCCUCCGCACAAGAUGCCCCCAAGCGGGGGGGCCCAGGCGGCGCGAGUUGCCAUGGGGCGAGCUCCCCAGGCUGACCCCUCCGUCGAGGCGGUCGUCGUGUCGGGGGAGACUGCUGGCGCGGCUGCGGCCUUGAGCCCACCUGACGUACUGCCGGCGCCGGCACCAGCUUCUGUCGAGGCUGUUGUCGUUCUGCCUGUGGAGCCACCCGUCACUGCUGAUGCUGAGAUGGCUAAGGUGCCGCUGCUCGAGGUCGGUGAUUGGAAGCCCGCCUCCUUAGCCGAGGGGUACCCGAUGCGUCGACUGCAGGGGGUCUUGAUGCCUUCGAGGAGGGGGCACAGAACCGCGACUCAUCUUGGGGAGCGACGACCUCAUCCCCGCGCGGCGCGAUCCCAAUGAGCGGCGUGGACAGGCGCUCCGGUUCUGGACCCGUGGCGCCUCGAAACCCCUCUUCGUCCUUGACGAUGAGCGGGAGAAGCAGUCUCGGGAUGAGCUCCGUGAGUACGCCAAGGCAGCGAUGGGGUCGCUUCGGUCGACCAUGGAGAUCCUUUCCAGGGACGUUCUCAGGAUCUUCCAGGUAAGGAUUUCAGGCAUACCUUUCGCGUGACCAGGGCAUUCUUUGUGACGCCCUGCUUCCCUUCCUCAGGAUCUAACGGAUCUGAGUGUCGCCAAGUCAUCAUUCAUCCGCCGCGAGACCGAUGUCUAGGGUUUGCUGCGGUUCCUGAGGGCCGCGCUUACCGAGGCUACCGAACGCCUCACCCAACGGAGCGCCGAGGCGGUGGACCUUCGGUUGCUCUGUGAUGAGCUAGGGGUGGAGGCGGCGACGGCACGCGCAGAGGCGCAGCAGCGGCAGCUGGAGCUUGGCCAGGUCAUCGGCGAGCGGGACCAAUCUCGGAACUAGGCUGACGAGGCUGAAAGCUAGGCUGAGGCCCUUGGGGGCCAGCUAGCCGAGGUGUCUGCUCGGGCCGGAGCCCUUGUGGAGGACCUGGCUGUGGCCGUCGGGUCUGCCCAGUCUGCCCAAGCCGCAGUUUCGGAGCAGCGUGCCCGGGCUGAAGGUAUGUUUUGGCCGCUUUGUGACUUCGAUUCAGCUUCAUUCUUCAACUCGUGUCUGAAGAAUUCUGUUUGGCCGUUUGCAGAGUUCGAGUCAACCUUCAACGAGACCGUCAAGGCACUUGCCCAGGCAGCUGAGCAGAAGGAGGCCGACCGCGUGGCCAUGUAUGAAGCUAUCUCGACCUUUUGCCCGGUCUCUGGUCUUGACGACGUCCCCUCGGGAAGCUCCCCCCAGAGUCGCCUGUAGGCCUUGGGCGGCCAUGUGCGCAACAGACUCUGCGAGGCGCUGCAUCACGGCGUUAGGCGGGCCUUCGCCAUGCUCGCUUCCCACUACAACGUGGACCUGGAGCGGGUCAGCGAGGGGUACUGUCUACCCGACGAAGAUGAAGCUACCUUAGCCGAGGUUCAGAGGCUCGACGCGGCCGUUGCGGGCCCAAGUGCGGUGCUGGCGUCCUCCUUCGAGGUGGAGAUCCUUCCGCAUGCGUCGUCGUCCAGGGCCGGGGCGGACCUCGCCGAGGGUGGAGACGACGCUGAGGGUGGAGACGAAGUCGAGGGUGUCGCUCCUCCCCCGGGCGAUGCCUGAUUCUGCCGGAGCAGUUUGUUUGGAGCAUGUAUGUGUCUUUUGCGGCCGCUGAGGCCUGAACACUUUGCCGUCGUGCUAUAAAGCUGCGUUUCUCUUCCUCUUGUUUCGAGUAUCCGGACUUGUUCGUCAGUAGCAUAAUCGCUUAUCCGAGUAAGAGUUGUUUUUCGCGGAAGGUGACGAGUGAGGUAUCCGUAUCCCGGAGGCGUAGGAGUCCCUCGGCUCGGUCGGCCUUGCUGCUUACAUGCGCUCUUAUUCGUUUUGCGGGGUUCUGUUACCGAUAUAGUCGGGAAACACGAAAGUCGUUUUGGUAGAAAAACUUUUCCGAGGAAAAUUUUUGACGCAGAGGGGGUUCCCCCCUUCGAGCCCCCGAGGGAGGGUCGGGCUUUGCCGAGGCAAGGCUGACCCUUCCUUGACGGUUAGACUUUAUUUGUGUAUGUAAAGAGAACGAGGUAUAUGAACAACUUGAAAACAUCUUAAGGGUAAAAGCGACGUAGCUGUCAGAUGUUCCAAGCGUUGCUGUAGACCUCGCCUUGACUGUUGGCCAGCUUGUAUGUUCCGGGCUUCAAAAUCUUGGCGAUGAUGAACGACCCUUCCCAGGGAGGAGUGAGCUUGUGGCGCCCUCGGGCGUCUUGUCAUAGCCGAAGUACCAAGUCCCCCACCUGGAGGUCUCGGGACCAAACCCCUCGGGCGUGGUAGCGUCGCAGAGACCGCUGAUACCGUGCCGAGUGUAGUAAGGCCAUGUCUCGAGCCUCUUCCAGCUGGUCCAGUGAGUCUUCUCGGCUGGUCUGGUUGCUUCUGUCGUCGUACGCCUUCGUCCUCGGGGAACCGUAUUCUAAGUCUGUGGGCAAGAUAGCCUCGGCCCCAUAGACUAGAAAGAACGGUGAGAAGCCCGUGGCUCGGCUUGGCGUCGUCCUCAGACUCCAGACCACCGAGGGUAGUUCCUUCAUCCAUCGCUUGCCGAACUUGUUGAGGUUGUUGUAGAUCCUCGGCUUUAGUCCUUGCAGGAGCAUACCGUUGGCACGCUCUACCUGCUCAUUCGUCAUGGGGUGAGUUACGGCGGCCCAGUCCACACGGAUGUGGUGGUCCUCGCAGAAGUCCAGGAACUUCCUGCCAGUGAACUGGGUGCCGUUGUCGGUGAUGAUGGAGUUCGGGACCCCAAAGCGAUGGAUGAUGUUGGUGAAGAACGCCAUCGCCUGCUCGGACCAGAUGUUGUUUAGGGGUUGGACCUCGAUCCACUUGGAGAAUUUGUCGAUAGCGACCAGCAGGUGCGUGAAGCCCCCCGGGUGCCUUCUGCAAGGGACCGAUGAGGUCCAGACCCCACACAGCAAACGACCAGUUGAUGGGUAUUGUUUGCAGGGCCUGAGCGGGCAGGUGUGUCUGCCUUGCGUAGAAUUGACACCCUUGGCAGGUGAGUACAAUCCUAGUGGCGUCAGUCACCGCGGUUGGCCAGUAGAAACCUUGUCGGAAGUAGGGAUGGCAGCGGGUCGGGUAAAGUGCGGGUAAGCCAUUUACCCGCCCGCUAACAUAUCCGCGCCUCUAGUGCUUAUCCGUGCCCGCGAGAGCUUGCGGGUAAAAUUUUCGACCCGUGCCCGUACCCGCAGGAUAUCCGCGGAUAUCGGGCAACCCGUUAUCCGCCAGAAAAUACCAUAGAGUAUGGGGUCAUGUUUAUUUUACCAAGAACACAAUAACUUGACAGACAUAAUAACGAUAAGGAACAUAGUUCAAACUUAAAAGUCCACAAACAUGAUCGAUCAUCCACAAACAUAAGUUUCAAAGUCUUAAGAUAAUUAAUUAUUACAACACAAUGUUUUAGGAUAAAAUGAACACAUGGACGAUAUUUUGAUGGGCUAAUAAAUUAAGCGGGUAACGGGUAAUACCCGCAGGCGAAAUUUUAUAUCCGUUAAUUACCCGCGGGUGAGAAGUGUUGCCCGUAUCCUUACCCGUGGGCGAGAUUUCUUACCCGUAUCCAUGGCCAUCGGAUACGAAACCCGCGGAUAUCCGUGUCCGCGGGCAGAAUUGCCAUCCCUAGUCGGAAGGCGUUUCCAAUGAGGGCUCGAGGUGCUGCGUGGUGACCGUAAGCCCUCGAGUGUAUUUCUUGCAAUAGCUCCUGACCUUCGGGGAUGGAUAUGCAUCGUUGGAGGAUGCCUAAGGGGCUGCGAUGGUAGAGCUCCUUCUCGUCCCCCAGUAAGACGAACGACUUGGCGCGCCGCGCCAGUCGCCGAGCUUCGGCUCUGUCGAGGGGUAGCUCUCCUCGAUGGAGAUAUUGCAGGUACGGGGUCUGCCAGUUUCGAUUAGGCGUGACCCCAUUCCGCUCUUCCUCGACGCGCAGUGCCUCACCCUCGGCGGCCGAGGGUGCCUCGGGCUGGGCCGAGGCCUCCUUAGGCUCGGGCGCGUCGUCGGUCUUGACGAAGGGUUGAUGUAGGUCUCGGGAGAAGACGUCCGGGGGAACCGUUGUCUGCCCUGAGGCUAUUUUAGCCAGCUCAUCCGCAGUCUCGUUGUACCGUUGAGCGACGUGGUUGAGCUCUAGCCCGUAGAACUUGUCUUCCAGGCGCCGAACCUCGUCGCAGUAGGCCUCCAUCUUUGGGUCGCGGUAGUGGGAGUUCUUCAUGACUUGGUCGAUGACAAGCUGCGAGUCGCCACGAGCAUCGAGGCGCCGAACCCCUAGCUCGAUGGCGAUGCGCAACCCGUUAACCAGAGCCUCGUACUCGACCACAUUGUUUGACACCGGGAAAUGGAGGCGUAGCACGUAGCGGAGGUGCUUUCCGAGGGGUGAGAUGAAGAGCAGGCCCGCACCUGCUCCUGUUUUCAUCAGCGGCCCAUCGAAAAACAUGGUCCAGAGUUCUGACUGGAUCGGAGCUGUCGGAAGCUGGGUGUCGACCCAUUCAGCCACAAAGUCCGCCAAGACUUGGGACUUGAUGGCCUUCCGAGGAGCGAACGAGAUUGUCUCGCCCAUGAUCUCCACUUCCCACUUUGCAAUCCUACCCGAGGCCUCUCGGCACUGGAUGAUCUCCCCCAGGGGGAAGGACGACACCACAGUCACCAGAUGAGACUCGAAGUAGUGUCGCAACUUUCGCCGCGUCAGGAUUACCACGUACAGUAGCUUCUGAAUUUGCGGGUAGCGGAUUUUGGUCUCAGAUAGUACUUCACUAAUGAAGUAAACCGGCCUCUGGACGAGCAGUGCAUGCCCUUCUUCUCGUCUCUCGACUACGAUCGCGGCGCUGACCACCUGAGUGGUUGCGGCUACGUAGAUCAAGAGGGCUUCUCCUGCAGCGGGGGGCACCAAGAUGGGCGCGCUUGUAAGGAGCGCCUUUAAGUUCCCGAGGGCUUCCUCGGCCUCGGGGGUCCAAGUGAAGCGCUCGGUCUUCCUUAAGAGGCGGUACAGGGGUAGGCCUCUUUCGCCGAGGCGUGAGAUGAAGCGGCUCAGAGCCGCAAGGCAUCCCAUGACCCUCUGUACUCCUUUCAAGUCUUCGAUAGGCCCCAUGUUGGUGACGACCGCGAUUUUCUCCGGGUUGGCCUCGAUGCCCCGCUCGGAGAUGAUGAACCCCAGGAGCAUGCCUCGGGUGACUCCGAAGACACACUUCUCAGGAUUAAGUUUUAUGCCUUUCGCUCUCAGACACUUGAAUGUCGUUUCAAGGUCGGUGAGGAGGUCGGAGGCUUUCCUCGUCUUGACUACGAUGUCAUCGACGUAAGCCUCGACCGUUCGACCGAUGUGCUCUUCGAACACGUGGUUCAUGCACCUUUGGUAUGUCGCGCCUGCAUUCCUCAAACCAAAUGGCAUAGUAAUAUAGCAGUACAUGCCAAAGGGUGUGAUGAAAGAGGUCGCGAGCUGGUUGGACUCUUUCAUCCUGAUUUGGUGAUACCCUGAGUAGGCAUCGAGGAAUGACACGGUUUCGCACCCGGCAGUGGAAUCCACGAUUUGAUCGAUGCGAGGCAGAGGGUAGGGAACCUUUAGACAUGCUUUGUUUAGACCAGUGUAGUCUACACACAUCCUCCAUUUCCCACCUUUCUUUUUCACAAGCACAGGGUUGGCUAACCAUUCGGGAUGAAAUACCUCUUUGAUGAACCCUGCGGCCAUCAGCUUGUGGAUCUCCUCGCCUAUGGCUCUGCGCUUUUCUUCGUCGAAUCGGCGCAGAGGCUGCUUCACGGGUCGGGCUCCAGCUCAAAUAUCCAGCGAGUGCUCGGCGACAUCCCUCGGUAUGCCAGGCAUGUCCGAGGGACUCCACGCUAAAACCUCGGUGUUCGCGCAGAGAAAGUUGACGAGCACUGCUUCCUAUUUGGGGUCGAGCUCGGAGCCGAUCCGGACUUGCUUGGAGGCGUCAUUGCUGGGGUUGAGAGGGACGGACUUAACCGCCUCUACUGGUUCGAAGUUGUCGGCGUGGCGCUUCGCAUCUAGCACCUCCUUGGAGAGGCACCCUAGGUCGGCGAUGAGGGCCUCGGAUUCGGCAAGGGACUCAGCAUACUCCACGCACUCCAUGUCGCAUUCGUACGCGUGUCGGUACGUGGAUCCGACGAUGAUGACCCCGUUGGGGCCCGACAUCUUGAGCUUGAGAACGGCCAUGAACUUGGCGUAGCACGGUCUCCCCAGCACGGCGUGGUAGGUUCCUCGGAACCCGACCACCUCGAACGUGAGGGUUUCCUUUCAGAAGUUGGAGGGAGUCCCGAAGCAGACGGCCAUAUUGAGUUGUCCAAGGGGCCGGACGCGCUUCCCGGGGAUGAUCCCGUGAAAGAGCGCCGCACCGGCCCGGAUCGUGGACAGAUCGAUCUGCAAGAGCCUGAGGGUCUCGACGUAGAUGAUGUUGAGGCUGCUGCCUCCGUCCAUGAGGACCUUAGUGAGCCUAACGUUGCCGAUGACGGGGUCGACAACAAGCGGGUACUUUCCUGGGCUCGGCACGCGGUCGGGGUGGUCGCCUUGGUCGAAGGUGAUGGGCUUGUCGGACCAGUCUAGGUAGACUGGCGCCGCCACCUUCACCGAGCAGACCUCCCGGCGCUCCUGCUUGCGGUGCCGAGCCGAGGCCUUCGCCACUUGCCCACCAUAAAUCAUGAAACAGUCGUGGACCUCGGGGAACUCCUCUACCUUGUUGCCCUCCUUCUUGUCGUUGUCGUGGCCUCUGCCACCUUCUGCCGGGGGCCUGACCUUGUGGAAGUAGCGCCGAAGCAUGACGCAUUCCUCAAGGGUGUGCUUGACGGGACCCUAAUGAUAGGGGCAUGACUCCUUGAGCAUCUUGUCGAACAGGUUGGCCCCUCCGGGAGGCUUCCGAGGGUUCCUGUGCUCGGUGGCGGCGACAAGAUCUGCGUCAGCGGCGUCGCGUUUCGCUUGCGACUUCUUCUUGGCCUUCUUCUUCAUGCCGCGCUGGGCGGACGCCUCAGGGGUGUCUUCCUGCUGGCGUCCCUGAGGCUGCUUGUCCUUUCGGAAGAUGGCCUCGACCGCCUCCUCAUCAGAGGCGAACUUGGUGGCGAUGUCCAUCAACUCGCUCGCCCUGGUGGGAGUCUUGCGACCCAGCUUGCUCACCAGGUCACGGCAAGUGGUGCCGGCGAGGAACACGCCGAUGACAUCUGAGUCGGUGAUGUUGGGCAGCUCGGUGUGCUGCUUCGAAAAUCGCCGGAUGUAGUCCCGCAGGGAUUCUCCUGGCUGCUGGCGGCAGCUUCGGAGAUCCUAGGAGUUCCCAGGGCACACGUAUGUGCCCUGGAAGUUUCCAACGAAGGCUUUGACCAGGUCGUCCCAGCUGGAGAUCUGCGCAGGAGGCAGAUGCUCCAACCAGGCCCGGGCGACGUCGGAGAGGAACAGGGGGAGGUUACGGAUCAUGAGGUUGUCAUCGUCCGUUCCACCCAGCUGGCAGGCCAGCUGGUAGUCCGCAAGCCACAGUUCCGGCCUUGUUUCCCUCGAGUACUUGGUGAUGGUAGUCGGGGCUCGGAACCGGGUCGGGAACGGCGCCCGUCGUAUGGCCCGGCUAAAGGCUUGCAGACCAGGCAGUUCAGGCGAGGGGCUCCGAUCCUCCCCGCUGUCGUAGCAUCCCCCACGCCUGGGGUGGUAGCCUCGGCGCACCUUCUCGUCGAGGUAGGCUCGACGGUCGCGGCAGUGGUGCUCGUUGUCGAGGCGACCCAGGGCUGCAGGCGUCGCGUCCCGCGUGCGCCCGGGGUGGACCGAGGCUUCCCGCAUGAAUCGGGAAGUCGCGGCGCGAUGCUCCGGGGGGCCUUGCCUUUGGGAGGCAGAGCUCUCGGCCCGUUGGACCGCGGCAUCCUCCAGGAGAUUCUUGAGUUCUCCCUGGAUACGCCGCCCCUCGGUGGUGGAUGGCUCCGGCAUCGCUCGGAGUAGUAUUGCCGGUGCAUCCAGGUUCUGGCCGACCCCACUGGAAACUGGGGGCAGCCUUGCCCUGGCAUCGUCAGCGAUGCGGUGCUGGACGUCCUGGGCCAGAUGACGCGCUUCUCCGGCUAGUGCUCGGCCUGCCCACUCCUGCCCGAUGUUCUGCCGGAGCUGCACAAGUUGUCCUGCUUCCUCGUCGAGCUUGGCCUGCAUCUCGCGAAUUUGCUCGAGCUGUGUGUCCUGAACCCCCACAGGGACUGGGACCACAGCUAGCUCCCAUAGGAUGUCAAUGCGAGGCGCAGGCCUAGGGGGAUCAUCAUCCUCUGGCAUACCAAGGUGGUUGCCUUCGUCGUGACCUCCCAGAUCGACGUGGAAACAUUCGCGACUUGGGCCACAACCUUCGUCGUCAAGGUUGUGGCCAUCAUCGGAGCAAUCGGAGAGGCAGUAGUCACAUGCGAUCAUGAAGUCUCGCAUGGCGCUAGGAUUACCGAGCCUGGAGAAAUCCCAACCAGAGUCGGGCUCGUCGUCUUCCUCGAAGCCCGGAGGCCCGUAGGUCGAGACGGCCGUCAGUCGGUCCCAGGUUGACCCCCAUAUGGUACCCCGGAAGGUUAGGAUAUGCCUAUAUGAAAGCGUCCACCGAAUCGGGGUUGCUUGGCGGAUCGAAGCUGAAUCUAAAAGGCACAAGGUGGAAAACGGACGGUACCUCCUGAUCGACGGACGGUGACGAAGUCAUAUAAGGGACGGACUGCACUGUUAUCUCAGGUACGAGGCUAACGGCCGGCAAGUCCUUCGCGAGCGUGCUGGCGUCAUCCGUCCGCUUAGGGUUAGCGUGAUGCGGGGAAACGGCGCCCGUCUUUGUCUCAGACGCGAGGUCAACGACCGUUGUGUCCCCCGCUGGGGCGCCGACGUCGUUGACUCGCUCAACAGCCGACGAGGUGCCGCCUUCUGCUUGGCCAUGGUUUCCCCGCCUCCUCCUCCUACGGCGAGGGAGGCGACGAGACAAACCCGGAUGUUGCUCUUCCGCCAUGGAGGGAAGAUGUCGCCGAGUCCGCCGCUGCCGGGCGGGCUGACGGCCGUCGUUGUCGUUGUCGCGCGGCGGAGGAAGGAGUACCAUGUCGUAGCUGCCGUCGAGGGACAUGAACUCGAGACUCCCGAAAUGGAGCAGUGUCCCGGGUUGAAGAGGUUGUUGGAGACUACCAAUCCGGAACUUGACGGGCAGUUGUUCGUCAACACGCAGCAGGCCCCUACCUGGCGCGCCAACUGUCGGCGUUUCGACCCCGAGAGGUCCCUGGACCGACGAGUAAAUUGUCGCUGUGUGCCCCAGCCCAGAUGGGUUGGCGCGAGACGGAACAUAGAGAGGGGAAAAACACGGCUUCGUGUUGUCCUGCGCCAGAGUGGAUGCGCUUGCAGUAGGGGGUUACAAGCGUUCGCGAGAGAGAGAGAGAGAGUCCCGCGCGACCACCCUCUCGUACGAGGGCCCUGGACCUUCCUUUUAUAGAUGUAAGGAGAGGGUCCAGGUGUACAAUGGGGGGUGUAGCAAUAUGCUAACGUGUCCGGCAGAGAGGAGCCAGAGCCCUAUGUACAUGCCAACGUGGCUGUCGGAGAGGUGCUAUAGCCCUGUGCAUGUGAUGUCGUGGCCGUCGGAGGAGCGCUUGAGCCCUGUAGAAGCACAGCUGUCGGGGCUGUCGGGACCUUGCUGACGUCUCCUUGCUUCCGUAAGGGGCUGAGAGCCGCCGUUGUCAUGGGCGGACGUGGGGUGCCAUCAUUACUUGUUCACCGGGGCGAGCCAGAUGGGACGCCGGUCUUGUUCCUCGUAGCCUGAGCUAGCCAGGGGUAGGGUAAUGAUGAUCCCCCCUGUGGCAUGGUUGGUCCGAGCCCAAGGUUGGGCGAGGCGGAAACUCCUCCGAGGCCGAGGUCGAGGCUGAGCCUUAGGGUCGGGCGAGGCGGAGUCCAUCUUCUGAGGCCGAGGCGGAGGCCGAGCCCUAGGGUCGGGCGAGGCGGAGACUUCUCCCGAGGACGAGGCCCAUGGUCGGGCGAGGCGGAGCUUCCUAUGGCGCCUGGGGCUGGACUUGACUGCUGUCAGCCUCACCCUGGCGGGUGGCACAACAGUCGGAGCAGGGCAGGCGGCGUUGUUUUCCUGUCCGGUCAGUCAAUGGAGGGGCGAAGUGACUGCGCUCACUUUGGCCCUGUCGACUGAGGAACGCGCGUCAGGAUAAGGUGUCAGGCGAUCCUUGUAUUGAAUGCUUAUGUGAUAUGGUCGGUUGGCGAGGCGAUCUGGCCAAGGUUGCUUCACUGCGAAGCCUGCCCGAGCUGGGCCUCGGGCGAGUCGAGGGUGUGCCUGUUGCUUGAGGAGGCCCUCAGGCGAGGCGUGAAUCCUCCUGGGUCUACUGUUCCUGCCCGAGGCUGGGCUCGAGUGAGGCGAGAUCGUGUCCCUUGAGUGGACGGAGCCUCGACCUGAAUUGCGCCCAUCAGGCUCUGCAGCUUGUGCUGAUGGUGAUUACCAGCCGAGUUUAAGAGUAUUGGGGGUACCCCUAAUUAUGGUCCUCGACAAGAAUACAUGUUGUACAGGUGCACAAAGGUUCAACAUAAAUCAAUAAAUGUUCAAGUUAGGGAUCCAAUUCAAAGGAGUAAAAGAAAUCAAGUGUGCUGUGGCCUAGCGCACCGGAUAGUGUCCGGUGCACCAGGACCGUACUGAGUCCAACCAGCCACUCUCAGGUUUUUCGCAUGCGCACUCCGCUAUAAUUCACCGGACUGUCCGGUGUGCCAGCGGAGCAACGACUAACUCGCGCAACGGUCGACUGCAAAAGGGGCUGAUAGAGGAACAGUACGCGCAGAGUUAGAGCCGUAGAGUCAGAGGCGCACCGGACAGUGAAUAGGACCUGUCCAGUGGGGCACUGGACUGUCCGGUGCCACAAGAGGACAAGGCCUCCAACGGUCGACCGGGCUCCAGAACCUAACGGUUGGAUGACGUGGCGGCGCACCGAACAGUGAACAGGACCUAUUCGGUGGCGCAUCGGACUGUCCGGUGCGCCCAUCACCAGUAGCCUUCCCCAAUGGCUUCUUGGUGGUUGAGGGCUAUAAAUACCCCCAACCACCACAACUCCAAGCAUCCAAGUCUUCUAAAGUUUUCAUUCAAUACAAGAGCUAGUGCAUUCACUCCUAGACACAAAUCAAAAGAUCAAAGCCUCUCCAAGUCUCAAAUUCAUUCCAACCACCUAGUGACUUGAGAGAGUGUGUGUUCAUGUUCAUUUGCGCUCUUGUUGCUUGGAUCGCUUUCUUCCUUCCUCAUUCUUGUUCCCAAGUGACUUGUAAUCAAAGCAAGAGACACCUAAGUGUGUGGUGGUCCUUGCGGGGUCUAAGUGACUCGUGUGAUUAAGGAGAAAGCUCACUCGGUCUAAGUAACCUUUUGAGAGAGGGAAAGGGUUGAAAGAGACCUGGUCUUUGUGACCACCUCAACGGGGAGUAGGUUCUUUAGAACCGAACCUCGGUAAAACAAAUCAUCGUGUUCAUUCGCUUGAUUUCUAUUUGAUUUGUUUUCCCUCUCUCUCUUGGACUUGAUUUAAGUUCUAAUGCUAACCCCGGCUUGUAGUGUGUAUUUAAAGUUGUAAAUUUUAGAUUAUGCCUAUUCACCCCUCUCUAGGCGACUUUCAAUUGGUAUCGGAGCCCGAUGCUUCAUUAGAGUCUAACAACUCGAAGUGAUGUCAAGAGAUCACACCAAAAGGGAGAUCGUGACCGGAGACAAGCCCGCAAGCUCGGGGAGAACCCUUUCAAGGGAGUCCGACCACAAGCAUAAGGAGGAAUCCUCUUCCUCCAACAAGACACAUCGGAAGGGUGACAAGAAGAAGAAGAUGAAGAAGGUGGUCUACUACGAGACUGACUCUUCGUCACCCUCCAUGUCAUCAAGCUCCAACUCGUCCGUCGCUUCUAAGCGCUAUGAGGUAUAGUAAGAUGCCCUUACGCUAUCCUCGUAUUUCUAAAUGCGCUCCAUUACUUUCCAUUCCCUUAGGCAAACCACCAUAUUUUGAUGGUGAUGAUUAUUGUAUGUGGAGUGAUAAAAUGAGGCAUCACCUAACCUCACUCCACGAAAGCAUAUGGGAUAUUGUUGAGUUUGGAGUGCAGGUACCACAGGUGGGGACAAAGACUAUGACUCGGACGAGGUCACCCAAAUUAGGCACUUUAACUCCCGAGUCACGUCUAUACUCUUCGCCUCCUUGUGUCGAGCGGAGUAUAACAAGGUGCAAGGGUUAAAGAGCGCCAAAGAAAUUUGGGACGUGCUCAAGACCGCACACGAAGGGGACGAGGUGACCAAGAUCACCAAGCGGGAGACGAUCGAGGGGAGCUCGGUCGGUUCAUCCUCAACAAAGGAGAAGAGCCUCAAGCCAUGUACAACCGGCUCAAGACAAUGGUCAACCAAGUGUGCAACCUCGGGAGAACCAAAUGGGAUGACCAUGAAAUGGUCAAGGUUAUUCUAAGAUCCCUUGUUUUUUGUGACAGAACCUCCCAAGUCAUUAGGCCCACCUACAGUUGUCCUUGUCCAACGGACCUCAGAUAACCCUGCAGGUGCCCCUAAUCACUUGACAAGUUCGGUAUCUGUAUUCUUUACCUUUCCCAAGAGCAUUUCACCCGUCACACAGACAUUACAACACAUCGGAGGUACGAGAAUGUGGAAGCAGUUACAAUAACUUACUUUAUUUUAAAGUAAGAAAGAGUAGUAUUAUUACAGACCAGAGUGAAUAUAGGAGUGCAGGAGUAAUAUUAUUACAUAACUUGGGAGGCAAAAACCCCUCCCGAUAAACAGUAAAAAGUUUUUCUUAAAGGAGGACACUUCCUCCCGAGGCUUCAGUCUUGAUUUUCUUCUUUGGGCACCACCUUGGAACAAAAGCAACAAAAAUUUGCUGCUUCCUCACCUAAAACAACAUGGGACAAAGCCCUAAGUACGAAGUGUACUUUCGCAAGUCUUACCCGUCAAAAUAAAAGACUCUCAAGGAUAUGCUGGCCUUUGGGAAUCAAGGUAUGACUUAUCAAUAAUCAAAGACUCUGUUUGCAUAAAUGCUUACUAAUAGUGGAUCCUUAAAAGUCCAGUUUUAUUAGCAAGUUAAGUCAUUACCUGAGUUCUAGAGUUCUUUAUACCCUAGUUCAAGCACUUGACCUAUACUAGCCAAUUUCUUUUCAACCCUUCUUAUUCACUGGAAUGCUACGUGUAGGGCAGUGACCAAGUCUUCAUGUCCGAGAAGUAACGGCGAUCUGAAUCGAUUAAUACUCAGCUGAGGAUCUCCAAUCACACGACAUAUGUAGCACUUAACCCUUGCAUAUGUCAACUCGCCACCGGGGUUCUUAAGACCAGAUCAGGUUCACGCCAACCGAGAGCACAAAUACACCAUCGUCCAGCCUCUUUCCACGGAGGGUACACGCUACUCUUGCCAUCUCUCCACUCCCAUUGCGUGUUAUCUUAUUCUGGUAUUAGUCUGCCCGAGGCAAAGCUUACCCAUGAUGAGGCAUGUGACCAGUUAGAAGGUCCUCGAUCAUCAAGCCUACAUCGAGAAGGUCCUUAAUCGACUCAGACGGAGACACUACACCGAGACUCUCUUCUCGUGCAAGUCACCCGCCCGGUCUCAGCUUUAUCAUUUCAAACCCAAAGUUUGGUACCUGACAGAGGUACAUCUUUUCCGAUGUUGAACCCAUCAUGGCCAUGAUGGAUCCACCAUCAAGUUUUAUUUUUGAAAACAUCCCACCCACUUUGAAGCAUCAUCUUUUGUUAAAACAAAACAUUUUUGUUUUUCUAGAGUAAGGCUAAGCAUAAGAAAAACCUUUUUGUAAAACAGGGGAUUAAGGAGAAGUAAUCAAAUCCAAGGAAGGAAAUGCAGCAACUGGUUUAGAACACAACUCUUAUCACCUAAUGCAUCAAGUAAGUGAGAAAGAUUUCAAAAUAGCAAGGAGGUGGCAAAUGCACUAGGGCUUGCCUUGUGUGAUAGGUGAGUCAGGCUCUGCUCCACAGAUAUCAAAGUAAAAGCAGUUUCCUGCCUGAGGUUCUUCAGGUGGGGGUGGUGUAGUCCUCGCUUCUUCAACUUCUAUCUCUUCUUCGUUUUCUAUAUAUAGCCAUAUAUAAUCAUGAAUGCUCAUGUAAUGCUCAUGAAAGUGCAAAGAUAACAAAAGUAUAUUAUCUUAAGUCUUGAAUAUAAUUUUCCUUCAUGGAUCUCCAAGAAACUAGGGUUUUUAGAGUCUAUAGUGAAGUUCAUAGGGCACGUGACUAGGAUUUUGGGUUCUAGGUACCAAACAUGGUCCAAAUCAAACCAAAUUUUACCCAAGGCUUCUAAAUAAUAUUUAAAGCUUAUCUAAAAAGUUUGGUGAAUUUUGGGAUUAUUAAUUACUCUCUAAAACUCCAGAAGUAUGGGUUUUGGCUAUAUUAAAUACUCUAUAAUUUCCUAUUUGGACUAAAAACAUGAAACUAUUUUUAUUAAAUACUAUGAAAAAUUAGGAACUUAGCAAAAUUGGUCUUGCAUUUUUAGCAUUUUUCUAGAAAUUCUCUAAGUCUAGUAGAAAAAGAAAAAGAGAAAGUAUGAAUAGUAACGGGCUCAAUCUAAGCCCGAGCCGGCCCAAGACAGGCGAAAUGCGCCCGCGCGCGCCCGCGAUGUCUAUUUUGCACAGGGGUCUCUGGUCAUUUGAAAUACCAGUAAAGAAUCCUCUCUACAGUUUCUCUGUCUCACUGACAUCUGCGCAAAGCCCCUCCCCUUUCUGUUUCUUUACAACCCGAGAUCCUCGACCGUGGGCGGCGGAGCAGCGACUCCGGCGAGCCCAUACCGGCCGGAAAAUGCACCGGCUAGACUUCUCCUUUGUUUGUCACUUAAUUCAACCCUCCCCAACACUAAUCCCUCACCUAAUUUUAUUGAUCCGGACCGGAGCACGCCUGCUCACGACGACGGCGGAAACCAAGGAUAAUCCAAGGUGUUCUAGGCAAUUUAAGGCGGUCUAGUUCAAUCGAAUGGGUCGGUGAUAUUCAGGGGACAUUAAGAAAGCUAGAACACCAAUUAAGAAAGCUUGAACUGACCUACAGAAGGGUGGCCACGGCGAGGUGUUCACGCGGCGGUAUUUUGGCUGAUUUGGGGGAAAUCUGAAAUUGGCGAGCUCUGGUGAGCAAUUGGAGGCACGGCUUGGUGGCUUGGGUGCUUGACUAACUUAAGGACCCAAAGGCACGCUCAAUUUAUAGGCUCUGGGGUGGUGGCGCAUGAAUUUGGAAUGGCACGGUGGCGGCCGGAGAAGGAGAGUUGCACUGGUGCGAGCGAUUAGUGGCUUUCACCGUGGCGGACUCACCGGCGAUCACCGGACAUGCAUGACGUGACUCACUGCAACGUGGUUAAAGUGCCGAGUCACGUGGCACAAGACCGCGAGGUGUCUAAUUCCGGCGAGGGUUGAUUCAAAGCGAUCGGGGCAGAGCGGACACGGCGACUAGACGGAACAGUGUCUUAAGCUCAUCCGUGGUGGAGAUCUUUUCACCGCGAGACGUUAUCCGGGCAUCGGUGAGCACAAAUCACUUUGCCGGCGUAAAUCCAGGCACAGGGAUCGCCGGCGGCAAGGUGCACUGCACCUGCGAUUUCGUUCAGUCUACUGUACCAUUGGAAUCUCUGUUUGAAGCGCUUGACAGAGCAUGUUUGGGGGCAAUUUGCUCCAUAUUUUAUGUGGUGACCCAACCAUCACCCUGUAUCAAAGUUGAAGCUUAAUUAACCAGCUUUAAUUUUGUUACAUUGUGCACCCACAAAAAGUCAUAGGAUCUUACUCAAAAUCGAGCCCUAAGCUCAGCCAAUCUCACUGUCACUGAAAGUUCAGACUUAAGGUAACCUGACAGCCCGACUUUGGAUCAAAUUUUCUCAAACUUUUUCAUGCACCAAGGCUUAAUCCCUAUAGCAAAGUUGUUCUCCUAUAGUAAUUCUACAACUUUACUAUAUUGACUUUGAGAAAAAAACUUCAAGAAUCCUGAGAUGCAGGACUCCAAAGUUAGCCUUGUUCAACUGUUUUCAGACUUAACCAUGGGAACACUAGGGUGACCUUUUUGCAAAUAAGCCCAAAACUCAUGGUUUCUUUUGCAAAUCUUCAAACAUGUGAACUAUAUGACUAAAGAUACCCUAACUCCAUGGUUUUUGCACUUAGGUCCAAAGUGUGCACAUUUUUAUAGAUAACCCCCUAGAGUUUCAGUCCAGGGUUUUCCAGGGGUCUAUUUAGGGUUUCUGGCAUCACUAGGGUUUGGAUGCCACUUAAGUCCAUCCAUGGUGACAUUUUAUGAUCAUUACUAAUAGGUUUGAAGUUUUCUUUUAUUUAGACCUUGUUUACUCUUUUAAGCCUAGUUUAGGGUUAAGUUCUGUACCCUAUGGUUUCACACAUGACAUGUCCCAUCAAUACAACUUUGUUUGAAAUUUUUGCCUAGUGAAUGCACUCUAGGUGUGACAAACACAUGAUAUGCCAAUGCUUAUGAUGUUAUGCUCAAGUUUUAGUGAUAGUAACACCAGGGGUGUUACAUUUUUCGCAAUCCUACUCAAGUGCAAUUAAUUCGUGGGGAUCCUAGAUACAAAUUAAUGUCUCCCGAGGAAGUGAUAGGGAAGUUUGUGAGCUUUGAGAUAAUGAUCAAAGACUCCAAACACAUUGUCAACUUGAAGCAAGGCGCCACCUCCACACCCGAGGUGCAACUCGUCGCAUUUAAAGCGACGGAAGAGAAGAAAGAGGAGUCUACAUUAAGUAGGCUUCCCAUCGACGCCUCCAAGCUUGACAACGAGGAAAUGACGCUCAUCAUCAAGAGCUUCUGCCAAAUCCUCAAGCAUAGGAGGGGUAAGGACUACAAACCCCGCUCCAAAAGGGUGUGCUACAAAUGUGGUAAGCCCGGUCAUUUCAUUGCUAAAUGUCCAAUGUCUAGUGAAAGUGACAGGGACGACGACAAGAAGGGGAAGAAGAAGAAGAAGAGGUACUACAAGAAGAAGGGCGGUGAUGCCCACGUGUAUCAGGAAUGGGACUCCGAUGAGAGCUCCACCGACUCCUCCUCCGACGAGGACGCCGCCAACAUCGUUGUCAACAAGGGCCUCCUCUUCCCCAACGUCGGCCACAAAUGUUUUGUGGCCAAGGACGGCAAGAAAAAUAAGGUACAAUCUAGAGCCACCCCAAAUAUACAACAUCUAGUGAUGAGGGUAGCUCUAGUGAAGACGAAGAUGAUUUACUUACUUUUUUUGCCAACCUUAGCAUGGAACAAAAAGAAAAAUUAAAUGAAUUAAUAGAAGCCAUUCAUGAGAAGGAUGAACUCUUGGAUAGCCAAGAGGACUUCCUUAUUAAAGAAAACAAGAAACAUGUUAAAUUGAAAAAUCCUUAUGCUCAGGAAGUAGAAAAAUGUGAAAACUUAACUAAGAAGCUUAGGAUUUGUCAUGAUUCUAUUUCUAUCCUUAGGAAUGAAAAUGCUAGCUUAAUUUCUAAGGUUAAAGAUUUAAAUGUUUGCAAUGAUUCUAUUUCCAAUCUUAGAAACGAGAAUGCCAUUUUAAACGCUAAGAUUGAUGAAUUGAAUGUUUGCAAUAAUACAAUUUCUAGUCUUAGAAUUGAGAAUGAUAAUUUAAAUGCUAAGAUUGAGAAAUUGAGUGUUUGCAAACCAUCUACAUCUACUGUUUGUACUAGAUGUAGAGAUGUUAAUGUAGAAGCUAUUGAUGAUCAUCUUGCUAUGAUUAAACAACAAAAUGAUCACAUAGCUAAAUUAAGUGUUAAAAUUAAUGAGCGUGAACUUGAAAAUGAAAAGUUUAAAUUUGCUAGAAGCAUGCUCUAUAAUGGGAGACGCUCUGGCAUUAAGGAUGACAUUGGUUUCCAAUAGGGAAGCAAUGUCAAUCUAAAUGCCCCUAAAAGAUUGUCUAAUUUUGUUAAGGGCAAAGCUCCCAUGGUUCAGGAUAAUGAGGGUUACAUUUUAUAUCCUACUAAUUAUCCUAAGCACAAAAUUAGGAGAAUUCAUGCUAGAAAACCUCACAGUGUUUCUCAUCAUGCAUUUAUGUAUAAAAAUGAGGCUUCUAGCUCUAGGCAAUCAACUCAUGUUAAAUUGCCUAAAAAGAAAACUCCUGCUGCAUCAAAUGAACAUAACAUUUCAUUUAAAACUUUUGAUGCUUCAUAUGUGCUUACUAACAAAUCAGGCAAAGUAGUUGCCAAAUAUGUUGGGGCAAACAUAAGAGCUCCAAAACUUGUGUUUGGGUACCCAAGGUGCUUGUUUCUAACGUCAAAGGACCCAAGACUGUUUGGGUACCUAAGAACAAGGCCUAAAAUUGUUUUGUAGGUUUAUGCAUCCGGUGGUUCAAGUUGGAUAAUCGAUAGCGGGUACACAAACCAUAUGACAGGGGAGAAGAGAAUGUUCUCCUCCUACGAGAAAAACGAAGAUCCCCAACGAGCUAUCACAUUCGGGGAUGAAAAUCAAGGUUUGGUCAAAGGACUUGGUAAAAUUGCUAUAUCACCUGAUCACUCUAUUUCCAAUGUUUUUCUUAUAGAUUCUUUAGAUUACAACUUGCUUUAUGUUUCUCAAUUAUGUAAAAUGGGCUACAACUGUCUUUUUACUGAUAUAGGUGUCACUGUCUUUAGAAGAAGUGAUGAUUCAAUAACAUUUAAGGGAGUGUUAGAGGGUCAGCUAUAUUUAGUUGAUUUUAAUGAGAACACAGCUAAACUCAAACUUAUUUAAUUGCUAAGACUAAUAUGGGUUGGCUUUGGCAUCGCCGACUAGCCCAUGUUGGGAUGAAGAAUCUUCACAAGCUUCUAAAGGGAGAACAUAUUUUGGGACUAACAAAUGUUCAUUUUGAGAAAGACAGGGUUUGUAGCGCAUUUCAAGCAAGAAAGCAAGUUGGUGAUCACCAUCCCCACAAGAACAUCAUGACAACCGACAGGCCGCUCGAGCUACUCCACAUGGAUUUAUUCGACCCGAUAGCCUACAUAAGCAUCGACGGGAGUAAGUACUGUCUAGUUAUUGUGGAUGACUAUUCUCGCUUCACUUGGGUAUUCUUUUUGUAGGAAAAAUCACAAACCCAGGAGACCCUAAAGGGAUACUUAAGACGAGCUCAAAACGAGUUCGGAUUAAGGAUCAAAAAGAUAAGAAGCGAUAAUGGAACAGAGUUCAAGAAUUCACAAAUUGAAGGCUUUCUUGAGGAUAAGGGCAUCAAGCAUGAGUUCUCUUCUCCCUACACACCUCAACAAAAUGGUGUAGUGGAGAGGAAGAAUAGAACUCUACUGGACAUGGCAAGAACCAUGCUUGAAGAGUACAGACACCGGACCGGUUUUGGGCUGAGGCGAUUAACAUCGCCUGCUACUCCAUCAACCGGCUAUACCUUCACUGAAUCCUCAAGAAGGCAUCAUACGAACUCCUCACCGGUAAAAAGUCCAAUGUUUCAUAUUUUAGAGUCUUUGGUAGCAAAUGUUUAUUCUUAUUAAAAGAGGAAGAAAAUCUAAAUUUGCUCCUAAGGCUGUAGAAGGUUUUUUACUUCGUUAUGACUCAAACACAAGGGCAUAUAGAGUCUUCAACAAAUCCAAUGGAUCAGUUGAGGUUUCUUGUAACAUUGUGUUUGAUGAGACUAAUGGCUCCCAAGUGGAGCAAGUUGAUCUUGAUGAGCUAGAUGAUAAAGAGGCUUUGUGUGUCGCGCUAAGGAACAUGUCCAUUGGGGAUGUGUGUCCUAAGGAAACCAAAGAGCCCACACAAGCAUAAGAACAACCGUCAUCUUCCAUGCAAGCAUCUCUACCAACUCAAGAUGAGGAACAGGCUCAAGAUGAUGAAGAUCAGGAGGAUGAGCCACCUCAAGAGGAGGACAAUGAUCAAGGGGGAGAUGAAGUUAAUGAAGACAAGGAAGAUGAUCAAGAGAUACAGGGUCAAAGACUGCCACACCCAAGAAUCCACCAAGCAAUACAACGAGAUCACCCCGCCAACUCCAUCCUUGGUGAUAUCCAUAAGGGGGUAACCACUAGAUCUCGAGUUGCUCAUUUCUGUGAACAUUACUCUUUUGUAUCCUCUAUUGAGCCAUACAGGGUGGAGGGUGCACUAAGAGAUCCGGACUGGGUGCUGGCAAUGCAAGAGGAGCUCAACAACUUCAUGAGGAAUGAGGUAUGUCAUUUAGUUCCACGUCCUAAUCAAAAUGUUGUAGGUACCAAAUGGGUAUUCCGCAACAACCAAGAUGAGCAUGGUGUGGUAACAAGGAACAAAGCCCGACUUGUGGCCAAGGGUUAUUCACAAGUCGAAGGUUUCGAUUUUGAUGAAACUUAUGCACCCGUAGCUAGGCUUGAGUCAAUUUGUAUAUUACUUGCAUAUGCUACUUACCAUGGCUUUAGGUUUUAUCAAAUGGACGUGAAAAUUGCCUUCCUCAAUGGACCAAUCAAGGAAGAGGUCUAUGUUGAGCAACCUCCCGGCUUUGAAGAUAGUGAGUAUCCUAACUAUGUUUAUAAACUCUCAAAGGCGCUUUAUGGGCUCAAGCAAGCCCCAAGAUCAUGGUAUGAAUGCCUGCGAGAUUUUCUUAUCACUAAUGGCUUCAAAGUCGGUAAAGCUGAUCCUACUCUCUUUACUAAAACUGUUGCAAAAGAUUUGUUCGUAUGCCAAAUUUAUGUUGAUGAUAUUAUAUUUGGGUCUACUAACAAAUCAACUUGUGAAGAGUUUAGUAGGAUCAUGAUACAGAAAUUCGAGAUGUCGAUGAUGGGGGAGUUGAAGUAUUUCCUAGGAUUUCAGAUCAAGCAACUCCAAGAUGGCACCUUCAUCAGUCAAACAAAGUACAUUCAAGACAUACUUAAGAAGUUUGGGAUGAAGGAUGGCAAACCCAUCAAGACACCCAUGGGAACCAAUGGGCAUCUCGACCUCGAUAGGGUAGGUAAAUCCGUAGAUCAAAAGGUAUACCGGUCGAUGAUAGGAUCUUUACUCUACUUAUGUGCAUCUCGACCGGAUAUUAUGCUUUUCGUAUGCAUGUGUGCAAGAUUCCAGGCCGGUCCUAAGGAAGUUCACCUUAGGGCCGUGAAGAGAAUCAUGAGAUACUUAGUUUACACUCCUAAGUUUGGGCUUUGGUUCCCCAAGGGAUCCACUUUUGAUUUAAUAGGAUAUUCCGAUGACGAUUGGACAGGGUGUAAAAUUGAUAGGAAGAGCACAUCAGGGACUUGUCAGUUUCUGGGAAGAUUCCUGGUGUCAUGGGCUUCGAAGAAACAAAACUCUGUAACUCUUUCUACCGCCGAAGCCGAAUACAUUAUCGCAGGCCAUUGUUGUGCGCAAUUAUUUUGGAUGAGGCAAACCCUCAGGGACUAUGGCUACAAAUUGAACAAAGUCUCUCUCUUAUGUGACAAUGAGAGUGCUAUCCGCAUGGCGGAUAAUCCCGUUGAACACAGCCGCACUAAGCACAUAUACAUUCGGUAUCACUUUUUGAGAGAUCACCAACAAAGGGGGGAUAUCGAAAUAGCUUAUGUAAACACCAAGAAUCAAGUAGCUGAUAUUUUUACCAAGCCACUAGAUGAGAAAAUCUUUAGCAAACUUAGGAAUGAGUUAAAUAUACUUGAUUCUCGGAACUUUGAUUGAAACAGUGUACACAUAGCUUAUUAAUAUACCUUUGAUCAUAUCUCUUUCAUUUGGUACAUAUACAUAUUUCUUAUGUACCAAGGCUAUGACUAAUGUGUUUUCAAGUAUAUUUCCAUACUAAGUCGUAAAUUGAAAGGGAAAUGGAGUAUGUGACGAAGACAAGGCUUCUGUGGGGGAUGGAUAUCCCCCGGGUCCACUAAAGAAGUAAAAGACCUCACGAAAGGCCCAAGGGCCCAAUAAAUCGUAAGGCCAUUCCUUCAUGGGCCUGAGGAGAAACAACCAACAAAGCAGAGAAGACGUAAGACCGGAUUGAUGCAAACCCGGACGGCCCACAACGUCGAGCGAGUAAAUCGCAACAGAGACCCGACUUUCCCGCGCUAAAGCCCCCAUGCAACAGAGCCAUGCGAGGAUAAGUCGGCAAGGGUUACGUAGGGAUAAAUUCAAGAGGUUCACUACCUUUUAGCUACUUGUUGUUAUCAUAUCCACGUGUACUGCCCCACGGUCGAGUAUAUAAGGCCUAGGGGGCACCCCUUCAGAUCGAUCGACCCUAUUUUUACUUAGCCACCCUCAUUAACUCUCUGUGCCUUCAAUCCAGAGAGCCCUCUUGUAACCACACUCGUAUACUCACCAGGACGUAGGGUGUUACGCAUCUCUAAGCGGCCCGAACCUGCAAAUCUUGUCCACUGUCCCUCGUGCGAUCGGCACGAACCAUUUUGCUACAGUCGUUGACACCGUCCUACUCCUAAAAACACCUUGAGGGGCAACCCCGGGUGUGCGGUCGGACCCAAAACACCGACAGCUGGCGCGCCAGGUAGGGGGUGUGUCGACGAUCCAAGCUAGCUCAAUGGCCGUCACCUUCCACAGCAAGAUCACCGUGCGUCCCGGAUCUGUAUUCUGCUUCGGGACAAUCUCAUCUGUAGCGGAUGAAGAGGGAAUUCUACACCGCAUCGCAGAUCCGCCGGAAAAGAAGUCCCCUCCAACGAACUCCGAAAAUGCUGGAAAGACACAACCUCCGGCUCUUCGGAAAAAGAUUGUCUCCGAAAAGGCUGGAGCUGGAAGCUCGCUGACCCGGGAGACUCCGCUGUCUACUUCCCCGACGAAAGAAUGGACACGGAUCGCGAGGAAGAAGGAGACCAGGGAAAGGCAAGUCGUUCUUUCCGUUCCUCCGGCCUCAAAGGAGAACGGAAAGAAAGUCGCCACGACAGCAGCACCAUUCUACCCCGACGUCCUCUUCAUCGGGAGAGUGGAGUCGCCCGCCGUCUCUGACGACGAACCGACCGCGCCUGGAGAAGAACCACCUCAACGAGAAUCCCGCCGACGGAGGAACCAACACAGGAACGUUCGACGACAUCACGCGGCCGGAGAAUGGGAUCCGGAGCAGCCUGUCUCGCGAGACGAGGUCUCGGAGAUAGGAGAAACUCCGGAAGAACGCGUCUUCAGGGAACGAAGAAACUCCCGACGACGUGAUCGCCGACGGACUCAGGAGCAAGCCGAGCAAGAUGCAAGGCAACGCCGGGAGAAUCCGCUCUUCGGGCGCAACCUGAACCCCGACUUCGCCCGAGCUAUGAACACGCCAAGCGAAGUCGGAGGUGUACUAGCUCGGAUAGCUGACGGACUUCCUCGGACUCCCGACGCCGAGGGAUACCGACGCCUGUUCACUCAGGCGGCCAACCAUCUUCUACCGCUCGCUCACCCGCCGAACGAUCUACAACACGCCAUCAACAGUCGCCGAGACGCGCGAAGCUCUAUCAAUGCUUCGCGCGAACGGCGACAUGAAAACGAAAUUCACCGUCGGGAGGAGUAUGACCGAGAUCAUGGCUUCCCGACUCAAAGCCAGGCCACCGGGACUGAGUCGGCAACAGCUUCAACUGGCGGUACCACCCGGGGACGGUCGAGGAACCACAACCACCACUCCCCUCCCCGGGACAGACGUCGUCCCCGACGACAGGAGGACACGUGCGGAGUAUCCGCUCUUACUCCGCGCCUUAGGGCCAUCCAGUGGCCUCCCAACUUCAAGGUAUCCAAUGUCGACAAAUAUGAACCUAAGCAGGAUCCAGGGGGUUGGCUAGCCGUCUACACCACCGCUGCUCGGGCUGCCGGGGCAUCUGAGGACGUCAUGACCGCGUAUCUGCCCAUCGUCCUUGGGCCAGAUGCGCUACAGUGGCUACGACAUCUACCCCGACACUGCAUCGACGACUGGGGAGACUUCAGUCGACGUUUCACCGCCAACUUCCAGUCCCUCUCCGACAAGCCAGCGCAACCAUGGGACCUUAAAUCCAUCAAGCGCCGGGGGGAUGAGACUCUCCGGUCAUACCUCAAAAGGUUCCAGACCAUGAGAAACCGCAUCCCCGAGGUCACGGAGGCGGCCGUGAUCGAGGACUUCUACAGGGGAUCCAAUGACUCGGCUUUCGUCCGAGCCAUACUACAAAAGGCGCCGACUACCUCCGAGGAGCUGUUCCGGGAAGCCGACCUCUACAUCACCGCCGACGAGCGGGCCCAGGAUCUCAUCGGAGGAGCAAAGCCUGCACCGGCAGCGCCACGACGUGACGCGAACCAACCACCCGACAAACACUGGGAGAAGAGGCCUCGUGAAGAAGUACACGCCGCCGGACCACCCGCCUCUCGCGCCCGAGGAGGACCUCGUGGAGGCGAGAGCACGCUGGACGACAUCCUCGACGCCCAGUGCCCGUACCACAAGGACAUGCGCCACACUCUUCGUAACUGCCGGGACUUCAAGCACUCCGUCGGGCACGGCCGACCCUUCCAACCUCUACCGCCUCCUCCGCCGAGGGGAGGACCAGAUGAACCACGACAGCCCCAUCAGCAGGAGGAGGGGGGAGGAGGAGCUUUCCCACGCGUUGACAGGGAGGUCAACGUCAUCUUCGGCGGACAUGGGUCGCAGGAGAACAAAAGACAACAAAAGCUCAACGACCGCCAGAUAUUGGUGGCGACCACCGGUCCUCCCGCCCCAUACCGGUGGUCGGAGCACCCAAUCACUUUCACUCGGGAGGAUCAAUGGCUCAACUUCGACCAUCCAGGCAAAUACCCGCUCCUCGUCGAUCCGGUGAUCCGAGAAAGCCGGGUAAAGAAGGUGCUAGUGGACGGGGGGAGCAGCAUCAACGUCACCUUCCCCCGGACACUCCAGGGCUUGGGAGUUCACCUCAAAGAGCUCCACGAGUCGGACACUCCUUUCUUCGGCAUCGUGCCGACGGAAGGGGAAUACCCGCUGGGCCACAUCUACAUGCCGGUCACCUUCGGAACUCCGGAGAACUACAGAACCGAGUUCCUGAGGUUCGAGGUGGCGAACUUCGACUGCGGGUACAACGCCAUCAUCGGGAGGCCGGGACUGGCCAAAUUCAUGGCCAUUCCGCACUAUACGUACAUGACACUGAAGAUGCCAGGACCGCAAGGAAUCAUAACUGUGCGCGCCGACUUCCAAGGCGCCGCAGAAUGUUUCCGAGUGGCCAUCCAAGCAGCCCUCACCACCAAGCCGUCAGCGGUUCCUUCUACACUGGCGAACUCUAAGCCUGAGGAGGACCUCGCCGUACCGACAAAUGAAGCUCAGGCCGCGACCUCUAUGCGGCCGACUGAAGAAACCAAGCGAAUCAACCUGGGGUUCACUGAUGAGCGCAAGACAGCCAUCAUCAGCUCUAGUUUGAACAACAAAUAGGAAAGCGCGCUCGUCCAGUUCCUGCAAGAUAACCGAGACGUAUUCGCAUGGCAACCUGCGGAUAUGCCGGGAGUCCCAAGAGAACUGGUCGAGCACAAAUUGAAGGUCUAUCCCCAGGCGAGGCCGAUCCGGCAAAAGCUACGUCGUUUCACGCCCGACAAGAGAGAGGCCAUUCGUGCCGAGUUAGCUCGCUUGGUCGCGGCUGGAUUUAUUAGAGAAGUAUUACACCCCGAGUGGUUAGCCAACACUGUUCUUGUACUCAAAAAGAAUAAAGUGGAUUGGCGCAUGUACGUCGACUAUACUGAUCUCAACAAACACUGUCCGAAGGAUCCCUUCGGGCUCCCGAGGAUAGAUCAGGUGGUGGAUUCCACCGCUGGGUGUUCUGUGCUGUCUUUCUUAGAUUGCUAUUCCGGGUAUCAUCAGAUUAGUUUGGCAAAAGAAGAUGAGGAAAAAACGGCGUUCAUCACUCCGUUUGGUGCUUUCUGUUAUACCUCCAUGCCGUUCGGCCUCAAAAACGCUGGAGCGACUUAUCAGAGAGCCAUUCAAACAUGCUUAGCCGAUCACUGGGGCAAGCGUGUGGAGGCUUACGUAGAUGAUGUGGUGAUCAAAACAGAGAAUUCAGAAAACUUCAUUGAGGACUUACAGCUGGUUUUCAACAGCCUGAGAAGAUAUAGAUGGAAGCUCAAUCCUGAAAAAUGUGUUUUCGGGGUACCAGCAGGAAAGUUGCUCGGGUUUAUCGUCAGCCACCGGGGAAUUGAGGCUAAUCCAGAUAAGAUUGAAGCUAUCAUGAAGAUGGAAGCUCCUCGGUCACAAAAGAAGGUUCAGCGACUCACUGGAUGUAUGGCAGCUCUGAGUAGAUUUAUAUCCAGGCUAGGAGAAAAAGGUUUGCCAUUUUACAAGCUACUCAAGAAGGUGGAUAAGUUUCAAUGGACUUCAGAAGCACAAGAAGCUCUAGACGCACUGAAGAAAUUCUUGACAACACCACCAGUACUGAAACCACCCCGGCGAGCUACGCCGACUCAACCGGCUGAAGAUUUGUUGCUAUAUGUCUCUUGCACGACUCACGUGGUAAGCACCGUGUUGGUAGUCGAGCGAGUAGAAGAAGGGCAUGCCUAUCCAGUACAACAUCCUGUUUACUUCAUCAGUGAAGUUCUAGGCCCCUCGAAGAAAAAGUAUCCUCAGGUUCAGAAGCUAUUAUAUGCAGUACUUCUAACUGCCCGCAAGCUGUGUCACUACUUUGAUGACCACAAAGUCAUAGUAGUCACUGGUUUUCCAAUAGGGGACAUUCUUCACAACAAGGAAGCCAUUGACCGAAUAGCCAAGUGGGCUUGCGAGUUGGGAUCCCACGAUAUCGAGUUCCGACCUCACACUGCCAUCAAAACUCAAGCACUGGUUGAUUUCGUAUCAGAGUGGACAGAACAGCAAGUACCAGACAAUCCAGAAACGGCAGAAGUAUGGCGAAUGUAUUUUGAUGGCUCGCUGAAGCUGCAGGGAGCAGGAGCAGGGAUUCUCUUCACUGCACCUGGAGGCGAACACCUCAAGUACGCUCUCCAAUUGCUAUUCCCGGCCUCUAACAAUGCAGCCGAGUAUGAAGCUUUGAUACAUGGAUUAAACAUCGCCAUGUCACUGGGCGUCAAGAGAUUGAUGGUAUACGGAGAUUCUCUGGUAGUCAUCAGCCAGAUAAACAAGGAAUGAGAUUGUUCAAGUGAUUCAAUGGGAAAAUAUUGUGCUGCCGUCCGAAAGCUAGAAGAUAAAUUCGAGGGUCUAGAAUUUCGUCAUAUAGAAAGAGAUCGGAACACGGCGGCCGAUGUACUGUCCAAGCUCGGAUCCGGUCGAACUCAGGUCCCACCUGGAGUCUUCGUGCAAGAAAUUCUGCAGCCGAGUAUCUCAAUGGAUCAAACAGAAGAGUGCAACAUCAUAAAUCAACUCGAGUCAGAUUCUGACGACUGGAGAAGACCGAUUAUUAAGUAUAUAAAGAAUGAAGAAGAACCAGACGACAAGAACUCGGCAGAGCGCAUUGCCAGGCAGUCGGCUCACUAUACACUCAUUGGGGAGGAACUGUACAGAAGGGGCGCGUCAGGCAUCCUCAUGAAGUGCGUUCUCCCGUCCACCGGGAAACAACUUCUGGAGGAAGUCCAUGCAGGGCAAUGUGGGAUACAUGCAGCAUCCAGAACACUAGUCGGGAAGGUUUUCAGGUCAGGAUUCUAUUGGCCGACGGCGAAGAACGAUGCGGCCGAAUUAGUUCAGAGAUGCGAAGCUUGCCAAUACUUGUCAAAGCAACAGCACAUGCCAGCACAGCAGCUACAGACCAUACCAGUAACCUGGCCUUUCGCAUGCUGGGGACUGGAUAUGAUUGGACCUUUCAAGAAAGCUCAAGGGGGAUAUACCCAUGUAUUGGUGGCGAUUGACAAAUUCACUAAAUGGAUAGAGUUCAAGCCCAUUGCUUCUUUAACUUCUGCUAAAGCCGUGGAAUUCAUACAAGGCAUAAUAUUCAGAUUCGGGAUACCAAACAGUAUCAUCACUGACUUGGGAUCCAACUUCACCAGUUCAGAAUUCUUUGACUUCUGCGAGCAAAAGAGCAUUCAGAUCAAGUACGCAUCUGUAGCACAUCCAAGAGCCAACGGGCAGGUUGAGCGAGCCAACGGAAUGAUAUUGGAGGCACUCAGGAAAAGGGUCUUCGAUAAGAAUGAAAAAUUCGCAGGAAAGUGGAUAAGGGAAUUGCCUUAUGUUGUUUGGAGCCUGAGAACCCAACCUAGCCGAGCCCUGCAUGGAAACACUCCUUUCUUCAUGGUCUAUGGAUCGGAGGCAGUGCUACCUGCUGAUCUCAAGUUUGGGGCGCCAAGAUUGAUCUUCGAAAGCAUAGCAGAAGCCGAGGCCACCAGGCUGGAGGAUGUUGAUGUACUUGAGGAAGAACGACUGAAUGCAGUAAUCCAAUCAGCACGGUACCAGCAGACUCUAAGGCGCUAUCACGACAAGGCUGUGCGGCAACGGUUCUUUUCGAUAGGAGACCUCGUCCUCCGCCGAAUUCUAACGGGAGAGGGACGGCACAAGUUAUCACCCUUAUGGGAAGGGCCUUUCAUAGUAGCAGAAGUCACUCGGCCCGGAUCGUAUCGCCUCACCCAGAUGGAUGGCACAGAAGUUGGGAACUCCUGGAACAUAGAGCACCUCAGAAAGUUUUACCCCUAGCUGUACUUAAAAACAGCUGGGGCGACCAUGUAUUCUGUAAAAUGGAAAUACGUCAUCAAUAAAGAGAGAUUUCAAAGAUACUCGGCUCGUUUAUGAUUGACUUGCAUUCUUACUUAACCCAGGGUGACCACUAUGCCCUACAAACGGAGCAAUCGACUUAAGUCGGCAACGACUUAAGGCGGUGCAACAUGCUCACGCUUACCUAACUCGGGGUGACCACUAUGCCCUACAAACGGAGCAAUCGACUUAAGUCGGCAACGACUUAAGGCAGUGUAACAUGCUCACGCUUACUUAACUCGGGGUGACCACUAUGCCCUACAAACGGAGCAAUCGACUUAAGUCGGCAACGACUUAAGGCGGUGCAACAUGCUCACGCUUACUUAACUCGGGGUGACCACUAUGCCCUACAAACGGAGCAAUCGACUUAAGUCGGCAACGACUUAAGGCGGUGCAACAUGCUCACGCUUACUUAACUCGGGGUGACCACUAUGCCCUACAAACGGAGCAAUCGACUUAAGUCGGCAACGACUUAAGGCGGUGCAACAUGCUCACGUUUACUUAACCCAGGGUGACCACUAUGCCCUACUAACGGAGUUAUCAGCUAAAGUCAGCGAUGGCUUAAGCCGGUGCAGCAUACUCGCGCUUAUGCAAUUCAGGGGAUGACUUCCACAUCCCGCAAACAAACUUCAUAAUCAUCAUGCAGCGUUACCACAAACUUGUGAACUAAUAAAUUCUGAUACAAUAAGAGAGUAAUCAUGUCAUUCGAAUGAUAAGCUGAUAUCCUCUAACGAAUACUUGAUCAUGCUAACCGCGCGCUCAUAGCACGCAAAAUGUUUCUCUAUUUCCCAAUGUCUUUCUCAGGAACGACCGACGAAGAAGGGCGAUUCGAGGAAUCGGGGGCAGCAUGCACAUCGGCCUUUAUGUCUUCAGGAACAACCACGCCGGGUCUCCUCAUCAAGAUUCGUCCCGCCCGAAUAGCCUUGUCCAUGGCUUUAUCGCGCUGGGCUUUGAGAGUAGCAGCAGUUUCUUCGGCAACUUUAACAGCCUGCUGAGCAGCUUCUAACUCCUGAGCAAUGGAUUUCUUAGAAGCUCGGAGUCCCUUGAUGGUGGCAUCCUUUGCCGAUAUCAAUUGCUUAAGGCGGGUCACUUCGUCAGCAGACUCUUGCAGACUACAACGCUGAUUGUCCAGUUCCUCCAUUGUAAAGCGGUGACUCCUCUCCAAAAUGGUCAGUGAGUUGCUAGAAUCACGAUACAAUCUGUCCAGAUUGUCACGAGAAGCAGCAAGGAUACGUUUUUCUUCCUACAAACAAAAAUAAACUCCUUCAGAAUCCAAGCAAGUAAUAAGAGCAUAGCAAGGCGAGGCACGGUUUUGUAAGUUACCUUUUCAGAGUCAAGCCGAGCAUGAAGAGAAGAACUCAGAGCGUUGGCGUCAUCCAAAGUGGCGGACACCUGAUUUAGUUCAGUCUGGCUCUGAGAAUACUUCGCCUCGAAGUCAGCGCACCGUUGAGCCAUUUCAGGUUGAUCUCGGGAAUGUUUUUCCUCAAGAACUGCAAUCUGCCGAGUCAUUCCUAUCAAGAGAUAAUCAAACGAAAUGAGGUCAGAAGGUAAAACAAUACACGAACAAAGGCAAAGAAGAAGAAGAAAAAGGGCACUAACCAGCAUUAGUUGCCUCCAACUCGGAUACACGACGAUGAAGCGACACUGGAUUCCAAUGCUCAAGAGAUGAAGCGACUUCUGGGAUGAAAGCACCCUGCGAUCUCAGCUGGCUGGCCAUCCCAUCCACCAAAGCCUGAUAAGAAGAACAGAUGAACAUAAUGACAAAAGUUCGUGCAACGUAAAGAUCAAGCUAAAGUACAGCACAAUACUUGGAGGUUGGAAAAGAACGAAGGGAUCCCCAAAUCAGGAGAAAUCAGCUGAUAACCAGGUGCCAGACCACCACCCGAAGCAACUUGUAACAGACCAGUAGGAAUGAGCUCAGUGCCUUCAACAGAGCCAAACGCCAGACCAGCGGGGACGCUGCCCUCUAAAGCGACCCCCUGAUCCAGAUUUUGGGCCACCACCAUGCCGCCAGAGUGUGGAGGUGAACCCGCGUGAACGUCCAUGGAAGUGCAGGAAGGAGACCUUGCUCGGGCACCCUCGGGGGCUGGGUCACAGUUGGCACUGCCCACUUGAGCCGGAUCAUCCCCGGCAACACCCUCGGGGGCUGGGCAGUAGCUUAUACUCUUCAACCGAGCUAAGUCUUCCCCGACGACACCCUCGGGGGCUGGGCAUGUGUCGGCACUAUUCUUGGGGUCCAAGCUCUCUGCAGUAACCACCUCUAAGGUUGACGGGCCUUCAGCUACUUCCAUGGGACCAGAACAAUCCAAGUCGACAUCCCGACCCUCGAGACCGUGCUCUAAGGUCGACGAGGCACGAGAUGACCUCAACCCAGCAUCAGGCACGGCAGCACAAGUCUCUGUUGCAUCAUCAUCCACAGGCUCUGACAACAAGUCCUCUGGGACCAUAUCCUCUAGAGUUUGAUCAAAGUUGGCCAGGGACAGUUCUUGCAGACCAAUAAGGGCAGACAAUGCAGGAGAAGGAACUCCACUACUUCCACCGCUGGCGAUGAACUGCCGACUGUUUUUCCGAGUUAAUGGAGCUUCAUUUUCUUCCUCCUCAUCUUCCACAGUAACAACGCAAACAGCACCCCCAUCGGGGUCAGCAGCAGAUGGAGCACACCCAUUGGGUUCAACAGCAGUUUGGGCACACCCAUUGGGGUCAGUGUCAGUAAGGCCAGUUGCAGGCACUUCUUCAGCAGCAGGAGCUAAGGUACCGGUGUCCUCAUCAAAGCUGGAUACUCGCCGGAGGCGUCUUCUCUUCUUCUUUUGCUCAUCAGCAGAAGGCUCGGGCUGACUGGUUCGGCUAGGGCGCCUCGGGCGAGUACUGACAGGUUUCGGGACAUCCAAAGUUGUAUCAACCUCUGGAAGGGGCACCACUGCCAACGUACCAUCAGGAGCAGCAUCGGAUGAAUCCUCAGCUAACAGAUCAAGCAUGUCAUUUAUGUCGGCAUCACUAGGGUUCAGAGGCACUUCAAAAUAAACUUGUCGUUCAUCAUCAGGAAUCUCCCCGAGCGAAGCAACCAAAGUACUGACUUCUUCAGCAGAGGGUCGCACUCUAAGGCCCAAAUUGCUAUCAGUCACAGGCGGAUUUGACACAAAAAGGGUGGAAGCUUUGGGAGGAGGUAGGUUCCAGGCCGAGUAUGCCACUGGAGCACCAAUAUUUGAAACUUUACCCCUGAGGAUCAUUUCAAGUCGGCUUACCAAGUCUACAGAAGGAAUUCUCCUAUUGGUAACCCGAGUUGAGUCGGCCAGCCCUCGAUACAGAUAUGCCGGAUAGGCCCUAUCUUUCAGUGGCUGAAUGUUCUUAAAAACAAAGUCAGUGACCACCGCUUCAGCAGUUAGACCUCUCUCUUUCAGCAGUCCAACUUCAGCCAGCAACACACCUGCCUCAGCCACUUCCUGAUCCGUGGAAGACUCAGUCCAACUCGGAGUGCGAACGUCUGGCUGUCUUCCCGACCGGGAAGGGAGAGAAUUUCCAUAAUUAUCAACUAUAAACCACUCUAGACGCCACCCCUUAAUACUAUCCUUGAGGGGAAUCUCAAGAUACUCAGUUUUCCGCCCACGACGCAUCUCCAAACUGGCACCUCCGACCAACUGAUGUUGCCCCCCGGCCAUCCCAGGGCGACAAUGAUACAGAUACUUCCAUAAACCGAAAUGCGGCAGCACGCCGAGAAAGGCUUCGCAUAGGUGAACGAAAAUGGAGAUUUGCAGAAUGGAAUUAGGGUUCAAAUGGGUCAAGUUGAUGUGAUAAAAAUCAAGGAGGCCGCGGAAAAAAGGAGAGAUGGGAAGGCCGAGGCCGCGGAGAAGAAAAGGAGCGUAAACUACAGACUCGUGGGUAUCCUCUGUUGGGACAGUAGUCCCGUGGCAAAUCCGCCAAGAACAGAGUUCCCGCGGAGGAAGAACCCCGACGGAAACGAGGCGGAGAAGCUCAGCUUCGGAAAUAACGGACAUAUGGUUACCUGCGAAGGGUAACUGACUGUUGGGGUCGAUUGCAGGGAUCACCGCAGCAGACGAGUUCGCAGUUUUCCUCUUGGGCGCCAUCUUGCUUUUCACCGGCGAACAGAGUAGGAGGCGAGUGGUAGAGAAGAUUCAGAUGUGGGAAUGCAAGAACUAGGGCACGGAAAGCAAAGGCGGCUAAAAGCGUAACUCUUAUGGGAUAUUCUUGAGCCAGAUACCGCUUCAAAAAGUGCCCAGUCAUCACCCGGCGGUUAUUUCCGAAACUCCAGCAUGCCACGUGGACAUCUGGCAGUUAUUUCCGAAAAAGCCGACGUGCCACUUCAUCACUCGGUUAUUAUCCUCAAAAUAACUCGUGCGGCCGGCUAUUACUCGGCGUUGCCUCUAACACGCCGACCUCGUGUUCAAUCGCUCGGCAUUACUUCUAAAAUGCCGACGUCGACCUUCAAUCAUUCGGCGUUGCCUCUAAAGCGCUAACCUCAUAUUCAAUCGCUCGACAUUACUUCUAAAAUGCCGACGCCGACCUUCAAUCACUCGGCGUUGCCUCUAACACGCCGACCUCGUGUUCAAUCGCUCGGCAUUACUUCUAAAAUGCCGACGUCGACCUUCAAUCAUUCGGCGUUGCCUCUAAAACGCUAACCUCAUAUUCAAUCGCUCGGCAUUACUUCUAAAAUGCCGACGCCGACCUUCAAUCACUCGGCGUUGCCUCUAACACGCCGACCUCGUGUUCAAUCGCUCGACAUUACUUCUAAAAUGCCGACGUCGACCUUCAAUCAUUCGGCGUUGCCUCUAAAACGCUAACCUCAUAUUCAAUCGCUCGGCAUUACUUCUAAAAUGCCGACGUCGACCUUCAAUCAUUCGGCGUUGCCUCUAAAACGCUAACCUCAUAUUCAAUCGCUCGGCAUUACUUCUAAAAUGCCGACGCCGACCUUCAAUCACUCGGCGCUCGGCAUUACUUCUAAAAUGCCGACGUCGACCUUCAAUCAUUCGGCGUUGCCUCUAAAACGCUAACCUCAUAUUCAAUCGCUCGGCAUUACUUCUAAAAUGCCGACGCCGACCUUCAAUCACUCGGCGUUGCCUCUAAAACGCUGAACUCGUAUUCAAUCGCUCGGCAUUACUUCUAAAAUGCCGACGCCGACCUUCAAUCACUCGGCGUUGCCUCUAAAACGCCGAUCGCGUGUUCAAUCGCUCGGCGUUACUUCUAAAAUACCGAUGUCGACCUUCACUUACUCGGCGUUGCCUCUAAAACGCUGAUCUCGUGUUCGAUUGCUCGGUGUUACUUCUAAAAUGCUGAUGUCGACCUUCAAUCGCUCGGCGUUGCUUCUAAAACGCCGAUACCGACUACAAUAUUACUCGGCAGCUACUUCUGGAAGCGUCAGCGUGAUGCACAAGUUAUUCAUCUACUGUAUCAAAAGAAUCAGUUCAACAAUCAGGGAAAGCGAGUCAUCGAGAAGGGGCCAACGUCGGUUUUUCAUUAAGGGGAAGAUAAUAAGCUUACAAACCAACUCUUUGCGAGUUGGUGCUUCCCUACUACUACUUUACAUUACUACUACUACUAAACUACACUAUACUACUCUACAUUACUACUACAUUAUUCUAACUACACUAUACUAAUAUCUAAAGACCAGUGGCGUUUAGCCACUGGCCUUGCUGCUGCUGCCCUUGCCGCCGCCGCCCCUGGUGCUGCCCUUGCUGCUGCCGCCUCUGGUGCUGCCCGUGCUGCUGCCGCCUCUGGUGCUGGCCGUGCUGCUGCCGCUUCUGGUGCUGCCCUUGCCGCCGCUGCCCCCGCCGCCGUUGCUGCCGUCACCGUCGCCGUCGCCACCAUCGUCGUCGUCGCUGUUGUCGUCGUCGCCGUUGUCGUCGUCGUCAUCUUCGUCCUCGCCGCCGUCCGAGUCCUCCUCGUCCGAGGAGAACUCAGACUCAUCCGAGCCCUCGAGCCCGGAGCGCUCGACGGCCCGGAUGUACGUCCAGACCUCCGCGGCAAUCCCCUGGGAGUCGUCUGAAUCAUCAGACGACGCCGGGGGAGAGACGGGAGCCGGAGAUCCCUCGGACUCGGAGGAGAACUCCUCCUCCGAGUAUUCCGAGUCGCCGAAAUCCUCCGACGGAGGAGUCGGCUCACGCUUGCGUUUGUUACCCUUGCCCAUGGCGGAAGCAGACAGAAGGGAGGAGAAGGAUGCAGUAAAGAACAGUGAAGAAAUGUGAAAAAACCAGAGGAGCAAGGGCGUUAUUUAUAGAAGGGGAAAGCAACCGCUCACUUCCAACCGCGGUCACUGAACAGUCGCAAAGCAUUCAAUAAGCACUCCCACCCAUCUGAAGACACGUCAGACGGCUGACGCCGUUUCAUGCAACACUACACCCAUUGGGACUCCAGUCAACAGCGCAAAGGAUAUGAUUACACUAGCCGUCCCAUCACAUUACUACUCAGAAGCAGCCGGCUAAAACACUCAGCGUACCAAGCCGUCCCUUGCCCACACCCAUUGGGGGGGGGACGCCCAGAAAUUAUCAGUAUAUUUUUCAAAACGGUCACAUCCGUGCAGGGCACACAGUAAAUACCUCAAGACAAAAAUGAGAUAUCAGUAAGGAUCAAAGGAAAGCCAAAUAUAGCCAGCAAAGUACAAGAUGUGGCCGACAGAAGCGACGUGAGGACUAGACAGAGAACGUCCAUCAAACGUCCAAUCAAGUCGCAGAAGCAAAUAAAUUGCAUUACCUAGCAAGAUAUGGAUGGAUUGCAAACUCGGCUGCUAAAGACAAAAUAUAUGCUGACCUCUGCAGCAAAAUAUUGAUGACAUAAUGCUGACCUCCAAAGCAUAAUGCAAAUAGCUUCAUGCCAAUUUUUACAAGCAAAAGGAAGACCUUCGAAUGGAUUAUCCUUAAAAAAUCCAUUUGAAGGUCGGGGGCUACACCCAUUGGGUGCACCUCCGGUGCACCCCAUGGAUUAUCAUUCCAAACCGAGAUAGUGCCGACUUCUAAGGCGUGGGACAAGAUUAAAAAGACCAAUCUUCAACCGAGACGCAGGAGCGCAAAUGGAGAUAAUUUCUGGUGAAGACCUUCGAGUAGAUUAUCUUCUAAAAAUCUACUCAAAGGUCGGGGGCUACACCCAUUGGGUGAUGAAGUUCAGAAUCCUACAAAUCAAAAUGCCGACCUCUAAGGCACAAGCACAAAACUAAACUUCGGUCGAACGAGUGAUCGGAGCAAAAGAGGACAGCAGGAAGUCAUUUUUUGGACCUUGGAUCUUUGGGUUGAUUACCUCUAAAAUCAACCCAAAGAUCGGGGGCUUGUGGGGGAUGGAUAUCCCCUGGGUCCACUAAAGAAGUAAAAGACCUCACGAAAGGCCCAAGGGCCCAAUAAAUCGUAAGGUCAUUCCUUCGUGGGCCUGAGGAGAAACAACCAACAAAGCAGAGAAGACGUAAGACCGGAUUGAUGCAAACCCGGACGGCCCACAACGUCGAGCGAGUAAAUCGCAACAGAGACCCGACUUUCCCGCGCUAAAGCCCCCAUGCAACAGAGCCAUGCGAGGAUAAGUCGGCAAGGGUUACGUAGGGAUAAAUUCAAGAGGUUCACUACCUUUUAGCUACUUGUUGUUAUCAUAUCCACGUGUACUGCCCCAUGGUCGAGUAUAUAAGGCCUAGGGGGCACCCCUUCAGAUCGAUCGACCCUAUUUUUACUUAGCCACCCUCAUUAACUCUCUGUGCCUUCAAUCCAGAGAGCCCUCUUGUAACCACACUCGUAUACUCACCAGGACGUAGGGUGUUACGCAUCUCUAAGCGGCCCGAACCUGCAAAUCUUGUCCACUGUCCCUCGUGCGAUCGGCACGAACCAUUUUGCUACAGUCGUUGACACCGUCCUACUCCUAAAAACACCUUGAGGGGCAACCCCGGGUGUGCGGUCGGACCCAAAACACCGACAGCUUCCACUCCACUCUAACGGUAUCAUUUAUCCUUCGUUGCUACUUCGCUCACUCCAAAUUGGUAUAAUCUUUCACUCUUAUUUACUUGUACCUAUGGGAGAGAAAAUAUAAGGGCUCUCAACGUCUCCGUUUUUUGCGAUUAAUGCCAAAGGGGAGAAAGUAUUAAGCCCAAAGCAAAAGGACCGCACCACCAAUUUCAAAAUUUUCAAAAUAAAGCUUUAAUUGAUAUUUUUCAUUGGUAUCUAAGAGGAGAAAUUCAUUCCGGGGGAGUUUUAUUUAGUCAAAGGAAAAGAAUUUGAUACAGGGGGAGAAAUUUCAAAUCAUGAAAAUGCUUCUUGCAAUCUUAUUCAUAUACCUUUGACUAUUUGCAAAAGACUUUGAAAAGAUUUUCCAAAAAAUUGCAAAAACAAAACAAGUGAUGUAAAUGUGGUCCAAACUAUUAAAGGAAAGAAAAGCAAUCCAUAUCUAGUGAGAUAAUCAAUUAGUUUAAUUCCAAGUAACCUAUGCACUUACCUUAUGCAAACUAGUUCAUUUCUGCACUUUAUAUAUUUGCUUUGGUUUGUGUUGGCAUCAAUCACCAAAAAGGGGGAGAUUGAAAGAGAAAUAGGGUUAACUGUUUCCCACAAUUAAUUUUGGUGGUUGAAUGUCCAACACAAAUAAAUGGACUAACUAGUUUGCUCUAGAAUACAUGUUCUACAGGUGCACAAAGGUUCAACACAAACCAAUAAAUGUUCAAGUUAGGGAUCCAAUUCAAAGGAGCAAAAGAAACCAAGUGUGUUGUGGCCUGGCGCACCGGACUGUCCGGUGUGCCACCGGACAGUGUCCGGUGCACUAGGACCGUACUGAGUCCAACCAACCACUCUCGGGUUUUUCGCAGGCGCACUCCGCUAUAAUUCACCGGAAUAUCCGUUGUGCCACUGGAGUAAUGGCUAACUCGCGUAACGGUCGACUGCAAAAGGGGCUGACAGAGGAACAGUGCGCGCAGAGUCAGAGCCGCAGAGUCAGAGGUGCACCGGACAGUGAACAUGACUUGUCCGGUGCCGCAAGAGGACAAGACCUCCAACGGUUGACCAGGCUCCAGACCCUAACGUUUUGGUGACGUGGCGGCGCACCAGAGUGUCUGGUGCGUCCAUCGCCAGCAGCCGUCCCCAACGGCUUCUUGGUGGUUGAGGGCAAUAAAUACCCCCAACCACCACAACCCCAAGCAUCCAAGUCUUUUGAAGUUUUCAUUCAAUACAAGAGCUAGUGCAUUCAGUCAUAGACACAAAUCAAAAGAUCAAAGCCUCUCUAAGUCUCAAAUUCAUUCCAACCACCUAGUGACUUGAGAGAGUGUGUGUUCGUGUUCAUUUGCGCUCUUGUUGCUUGGAUCGCUUUCUUCCUUCCUCAUUCUUGUUCCCAAGUGACUUGUAAUCAAAGCAAGAGACACCUAAGUAUGUGGUGGUCCUUGCAGGGUCUAAGUGACCCGUGUGAUUAAGGAGAAAGCUCACUCGGUCUAAGUGACCGUUUGAGAGAGGGAAAGGGUUGAAAGAGACCCAGUCUUUGUGACCACCUUAAUGGGGAGUAGGUUUUUUAGAACCGAACCUCGGUAAAACAAAUCACCGUGUUCAUUCGCUUGAUUUCCAUUUGAUUUGUUUUCCCUCUCUCUCUCGGACUUGAUUUAAGUUCUAACGUUAACCCCGACUUGUAGUGUGUAUUUAAAGUUGUAAAUUUCAGAUUACGCCUAUUCACCCCCCUCUAGGCAACUUUCAACUCCAGUCGGUACAAACAAUGCCAUAGAGGCUGUUUGGACCCCGAUGGGAGCUAGAGCCUAAGCCCACCACCGCAGGGGCCUUGGGUAUUAAGCCAUCGUAUCCUUCAAGCACCAGUGCCGCAAGGUACAGGGCACCCAUCAAUAUCGUGAAAUAUUCGAGAGAAUCGAACCCCAGUCUAUGGCUGGGGAUUAUCGGCUGGCAUGCCAUGCAAGAGGAACGAAUCAUGAUGACUUCAUAAUCCGCAAUCUCCCCCUGUACCUAGCAGACUCAGCGUGGGCAUGGUUGGAAAACUUGAGGCCCGGCUGCAUUCAAAACUAGACCGACAUCGAAGAGAUUUUUAUGGGGAACUUUCAAGCACAUACGUUCGCCCCUGCAAGGAAAACGACGCGCGAAGGAGGGGAAGGAGGAGAAGGUCUUGGUGGCUACGACUUUGACAUGGAUGGCACGCUCGUGGUGGCAGAGCAUGGCGAGUGGGCGUUGGUUGCCGAGUUCGGUUGAGCUCCUAAGCCGGAUGGAUGACGCGAACGAUGCAAAGCGGUUUUAAAGACACACAGAAGGCUUCAACAUGGGGGAGGAGUGGAGGACGCACUAAAGUGCUGCAUUAAAGGAGUAGAUAUAUGACACGAUGUGAAACAUAGGAAGUUAUUUAUUAUAUUUACUUUAUCUUAAAAUAAUUAUCGUUCUUAAUUUUUAAAGAGUCAAUUAUUCUAAUUUGAGCCAAAUAUAUAAAAACUAGUACAAUGACUAUGCAUUACGACGACACACAAUCAUAUUUCAUACCCAUCAAAAACAAAUGUAAUAUCAAAUAUUAAAUAGAGAAGAACAAAUAUCACACUUUGUCUUAGCCAAAAGAUAGAGAGAUACGAGUCCGAAAAUAGUCCAACCCCUUUUUUAUAGCUAGCUUGGUGGUUUGUCCUCUUUCAGCUAGCGAUGUGGUACUAUGUGUAAGUGUUAUGUUACGCGUGGCUUUCUAUUAUGUUGGACGGUUUACUACCGUGUUGUUCUUGGAUGGUUUCCCACGACCCAUGUGGGUAAUAGUACACUAAUAGAGGCUUAGUUGUUUUCAUGUCCUAUGUGGGAGAGAGGAGAAUAGACUUAUGUGCUUAUAACGACCGUGAGAAACUAUCUUCAACAAAUUAUUCAUACUCAUAUUUUUAUUCAAACUAUACUUUAAAAACAUCGGUGUAAAAUGGUGUUUUUAGUGACCAUAUGAGUAAUGUACAAUAGUUUGAAUAUGUGUAUGAUUAUGCUUAAAAAUGUUUUAUUGUAUCGUAUAGAUAUUAAUUGUUAUAACAUAUAAUUAGAUAAAUCUUUAAAUCUUUUUAUAAUAUAUUUAAAGAUAUAUAUUAUUGGCAUUAUUAAAAUAUUAAAAUCUGAAAAAAAAAGUUUAACCGUAGCGAGACGCACAUGCACCCAAGACAAGCACCGAAGAUGGCUUGACGCCCGAAUCCAGACCCUCGUCUGUUAUGGCGGCGGCGGAGGCGGCGCCACCGCCGAUACUCGAGCUGGACCCGUCGCACGAUCGAGCCGUCAGCGUUGUCGAGGACAUCGUGCGUCUAGAGCGGAGGAUCUUUCCGAAGCACGAAUCGCUGGCGCGGUCACUGCACGACGAGCUAAAGCGGCGGAACUCCGGGCUGAUCUACAAGACGUCCAGCGCCGACGGGGGGGAGGUCAUCGGGUAUGCCAUGUACACCUGCAACACAUCCCUCUGCGCCACCAUCACCAAGCUCGCCGGUGAGACACACGUCGCGAUCCCCCUCUCUCCCUGGGUCAUGUUAAGGUUAUGCGGCGGAAUGACCGGAUCCGUGCCCCCGAAACUGCAAACUUUUGGUUUCAGUGAAGGAGAACUGGAGGCGGCAGGGCCACGGCGAGGCGCUGCUGUCGGGCGCAGUGGAGCGGUGCCGGCGGCGGAAGGUCCAGCGGCUCUCCCUCCACGUCGACCCCACGAGGACGGCCGCCGUGGCGCUGUACUGCAAGGCCGGGUUCCAGGUCGACACCACCGUCGAGGGCUACUACGCGCCUCACAGGGACGCCUACCGGAUGUUCUUGGAUCUGUAGAACCGUCGAGGACGAGAAAACCAGCCCAUGUGUUCAGGGUAGCUGGCCGUUCUGCAGCUGCUGCCGGCUUGUAGCUGGUCUGGUCUGGUGAUACAAUACCUCGUGAGUGAGGAUACAGCCAACAACCGAGCAGGGUGGAUGAUUCGAAGCUGUAAGAACGAUCUGCUAGAAAGAUUUCGUACGACCAAAGUAAUUUCCCGCUGGAUUCUGAAAAUAGUGUUGCCGUAUUAUAUGAGCAUAAGGUUUCAGUAACUGCAACUGUAGUUAGGAUAUCGCUUUGGCUGUAUGAUAGUAAUUCAGUUCAUAGAUGCUGCCACAUCAGUUCCUCCAUUGUCAAGGUAACUCGGCAAGAAUUUGGUGGACAAUUUUGACCUUAUGGUAACUAAGAGAUGUUUACUAAUAGUAGCUGGCUAACGCCACUGACACACAUAGAAAAUCGAAAGCCCAAUCUGAUUCAGCAUCGAUUCAAGUGCCCCUUAGGCAAUGUUGAUUCACAGUAGGAGGGAGCAAACCAAUUCCGCUAGUGUGCCUGGCCCAUCGGAAGACCGAUGCGCUGGAGUCUUGGAGAACACCCAGCGGGCAGUGCCUGUGCAAGGCCGCCGGCGGCGACGACGACGACGACCCGUUAGCUCACAGGAAGAUUGCUCGGGACGGACGGGAGAGAGGCUUUGCGUCAAGGAAGAAGUCGUUGGUGGUACUCAUUACCUAGUGGCCAUGUUCAAACUCUUAUCCGCCUCUUUUUUUUUUGAAAGGGCUCUUAUCCACCUCAUUUUGAUAGAUAGGGCUCUUUUACAGGGUAGAAUAGAAUAAGGGCUAAUUUGGUGAUUAGGGAUCCCUAGGGGAUCCAUGGAGGGGGAAUCCUCUCACAAUUCAAUUUUGAAUAGCAAGAGGAUAUUUUCCCUUCGGGAUCCCCGGUCAUCAAAUCAGGCCUAAGGGAGUGGAUUAUCCAUGGGUGAAUCUUCAGCUCAAUUCACCUAGGUAGCGUUUGGUUCGCAAAAUGUAACAUAAAUGGUAAUAAUAACGAUUCACAUUUGAAUACCGGCGGUAACUAAUUUAAAUAAGGCGGUAUCUAUUUGUAGUGUUAUAUCGAUUACGGUUAAAAUUAAACAAACAUAAUUUAACGUUAUCGGUUACUCAUUCCGUUACCAAUAUGUGAACCAAACGGCACCCUAGAUCUAGUAGAUAACACAAAGUUCGUGAAAAAACACGUCGGCAGUGGUUACAAUACUCUCGAGUCCUGACUCCCCGUGUGAGCAAAUAUUUCAUUUCUAACAUGGGACUCGUUAUUGAGAACAACACAUCGACUUCCAUACCGAAUCAUCUCUACAACACACUUAGGUCAUGUUUGGAAUUGUAGUAUUUUUGCAGUUUUGAAACAAUACUAUAAUAUUUGAUGAUACUAUAGUAUUGGAGCUCAAAAGGUGUUUGAUUUGUAUAGUCAAAACUCGGUUUUAAAAACCAUAGUUUAUCCAAAACUGUGGUAUUUUUGGAGUUUUCGAAACUCCACUCAGUACCUUAAUUUUCUUCUCUUCUCUUUAUAUAUACUUUGUUUUUUCCAAUAGAACCAAACAGAUCUCGGUUUUGAGCAAUACUGCAGUUUUAUUGUGGUAAAACAAUACUGUAGUAUUUAUGUCAUGUACAAUUGUAAACUAUGGUAUCUCAAAACUACAGUAUUUUAAAACAGCAUUUCUAAACAGGCCCUUACACAUUUAAGACUUAUUUGGAUACUAUACUCCCGUAUUCAUCUUAAUAUAUGUGUAUUAAGGUGGGUUAAAGCAACUCCAAGAGUUCCCCUUUAUUGCUCCUAAAACUUUAUUUAGAAAGAAAAAUGUAAAAAUAUGGAUUCCAACAACUUCCCUAAUUCUUGCGAAAAAUAGAGGUACCAAAAAAACUCCAUCCCCCUCCCGCAUAUUUUUGCGUCUCCCAUCCUCCCCAUACGUCAGUGAAAAGCGUCCAUGAAAAGCGCGAUUCACCCUACCCCGCAUGCAAGUCCAUCAGCAAGGGCAAGCUCAAGCGUGGACAUUGAGGAUUCAUCGGUCGUUGUUGGAGCACUCGAGUGUGUGUGAGGCUUUUGAGGACUACGAGUCUACGACGUUGUGCACCUCGCCAGUCGUCACAGACGUCACGUUGGGACGCAGAGCGUCUGGAGUCAAACGAGAAGGAGAAAGAAAGAGAUCAGCAACUAAUGGACAUGACAGUGAUUGAAUGGAUGAUAUCCGUAGAUGAGAUUGAUGACAGGUAGAGUUCACAUGUGUUGAUGUGGCUAGUUUAAAAAGUAUUGGGGAAUGUACUGUUGGAGAUCUGUUGUGGGGCAACAUGAUUUUGGGAAAAUAAAAUUUUAGCAGAAUCCCAAUAAAUUAUUUUGGGAAAAGAUUUUUUUGAACACUCUUGGAGUUGUUCUUAGAGCUGUAAAUUAGGUUAAGUUACACCCCUCAAUCUAGCUCAAUACACAUGCACUGAGGUCAAUGCGAGGGUAUCCAAACAAACAAGGUCUUAGUUGAUUUCGCUAUGAUAUAUGAACAGGGGUUUUUAAAUCCUACGUCCUAUCUUGUUGUAAUACGAGUCCACUUUUACAUCUACCCACUCUAAUAUGCACGAAUUAGUCAUAUGUUAUAAUGGAGCAUCCCAAGGCCUGUCUGGCAUUUGGAGCGGAGGCCGCGCGGGGAUGAGGCCGCCGGUCGUGAGUUGUUGCCCGGUCGCGGGCGAUGCCGACCGAUUUCUGCCUUGGCCGCCGUGGCUGCGUUCGUCGUGUUGCUUCGGAUCGGCGAGCACAGGUACGGCCACAUAUGGGUGUGCAACAGCCAUCACACAUGUUUUUUUUUCUUUCAAUCUGACCAUCCUCUGCUUUCUUUCUUUCGUUGUGGAGGAUGACCAAUGAAGCCGGUUGACGACUUCUUCUGUCAAUCUUGAUGGCCAUCGCUUCUCAGUUCUCUUGCGAGUUGCGAUCAGCCACCCAUACUUCUCUUUGCAGAGCGCUGGUCAUGGCUGGACGUGCUUCCGUCGCCGGCGAAGCCGGUCUUUGCAGAGCGCGUGACCAUGGUUGAACUCAGCUGACUAAACGCAGGGAAUACAAAAAAAAAAACACAGUCAUUCCGUUGCCGGGACUCGAACCCGGGUCUUUCGGGUGAGAGCCGAAUAUCCUGACCAGCUAGACUACAACGGAUUGUAUUAGAACUCAUUAAUUUUUAUUUUAAGAUUGUAUCCAAGUUGUCUAUUCGUGGAAUCGUGUGAUGGUGUAAGUAUGCCUAAGGGAGGGUAAGAUGGACUUACUUGAGUGACCAGCUGCUAUAUUUUUUUUAUCGAAUAUGCAAGUUAUUAAUAAGAGAAAAGAGCUGAGGCUCAAAAACAUACAAGAGAAAGACGUACUCACGCAGAAACAAAAAACUUGUAGUGAUAGUUUUCUUCCGUUAGGUUAAUCAUUAUCCAAUGUGCAUGCAUGGAUAAGAUUGGAGAGGGUGAGAUACAAUAUCUAAACAGAUUGAUGAUAUGGACAGCUAGCGUGGAUAACGAGACAAGUACGAGUAUGUCCAUACCCUCAGUGGCAGAUAGUCCAAAAUUUAUCAAGACUCCAUCUCAUCUGAAACGACUCGGGCAGUUUGCCUAUCGGAUCCUUGUUUAUUUAUCUUAAAUUGCUUAGAUGCUUAAGGCCAUGUUCGGUUGUCCAGAAUUCUAUCUAGAAAUAGUUUCAUUUGAUCAAAGCUUAUGUAAAUUAUACAAACAAUCCGGCUACGACUCGUUUCAGGUCAUCGUUCCGAGUAAACCGAACAGUCCCUUAGGCCUUGUUCGUUUGUGUUAGAUUUCACUCGGAAUCGUUCCAAUUAAUCAAAGUUUAUAUAAAUUAGAGAAAUAAUCCGAUUAGGAAUCAUUCCGACCCAUCAAUCCGGCACAAACGAACAAGGCCUUAUGUGUUAAUAAUCCAGUUCUAAUUUUGACUCGCACAAUUUCUCCGGCAAGAGUUAAGUAGUUCAGCUUGCUGGACAUUUUUGGAGAAUUCUGAUACUUUUAUACCUUAUUACUAGUAGAUCCAGACUUAUUAAGUAUAGAGUACUAGGCUGGAUUUAUUAAUUAAACUAGCUACCAAUUACCAUCCUAACAUUGCAGCAGAAACCUUCCAAUGCCCCCCAGAACUUUGCGUUGCUUCGCUAAUGGAAACAUGAGAAAGACACAAACGGCCCUGCCUCCAUUUGGGGCAAGCACAGUCCCCUAUUAACUGAGCCAAGUCAGAUAUGUACAGAGUGGCUGCAUAUGAUUAAGGAUGCAUGCAGGCACUAAACAAGUUUCUAAAGCACCACCGGAAGGCUUGCGGUUCCAAAUCAGUUCAGGCACUUCCAAAAGCUUGAGCAAAGCAUGAAAAUGGAGGACAUGGGGGCAUAAGAUUAACUGGAGCUGGGCACUGGCUGAAGGUCGUCAGGAAGGUCGCGUCGGAAGUCAUUUGAUGUGGGAAUCAUACACACUGAAGAUGACGUCUGGGACAAUCAGAGGCAGCUUGCUUAUGUACAUGAACAGCCGUCUGAGGUUCUCGCUCGACACCGUCUCCAUGUCAACCACAUCUUGGUCCUCAACAUAGAUCCACAGGUCACCAGGACAGGUCUUCUUCAGGUUGUCACGGCAGAAUGGGCAGGACUGCGAUCUUGAACUCCUGUAGGAAAACCAAUGUUAUCGUCAAAGUAUGGUAUCUGGAACAUAGACAGCAUUCAAUCUUAAUGCUGAUAUAAUACAAUGAACCCUGAAACAAGACAUUCAGAAAUUCAGUCGAAGUUAAGCUGAAUGAAAAGGUUACACUGGCAAAAAGAACACAGACAAACCACAAAUAUUAUUGGAACACCUAGUACACAAGAUCAAUAAAUCGCAGACACCCACCAUCAGGGCUUGCUAACAUACAAAGCUACUAUUAAUUAUGAUCGGCAGGGCCACAAGUUUAAUGAGCUAAAUUGUUAGCUGCAGUGAACAAAGGAGUAAUGUGCCUUCAUAGCCUAGAACCAAUUGGCCGUAAACAUAGUGCACGGUCUAUACAAGAAGAUGGAUGAUUAUGUGCGUGGAUUGGACAAAAAUGAAAAAUCAAUACUUGACUCGGCACACCAGUCAGAUUCCUCUUUGCACUGAAGGAAUGGCAGAACAUAGUUCAAAAAAUCCAGGUGGUGAAUCGCCACAUUUACCCUACUUACUGUAGUUGGCAAAAUCAGAUGAAUAUCACAAUGCCACUUUCCAACGACCACUUCAUUUUCAGAAUGAUACAGACAGUGGGAAAGCAUGUAAAUGAAUACAGAUCUGCUUCACAGAGCACUAUUUUUUUUAAAGAACCGGCAUGAGAUCUGCCUGUUGUAUUAAGGGGGUGUUUGGUUUCUAGGGACUAAUUUUUAGUCCCUCCAUUUAUCCCAUUUUAGUACCUAAAUUUCCAAAUAGAGAAACUAAAACUCUAUUUUAGUUUCCAUAUUUAGCAAUUUAUGAACUAAAAUGGAAUAAAAUGGGGAGACUAAAAAAUAGUUCCCUAGAAACCAAACAUCCUCUAAAGAGAGGAAAGACCCCAAGGGUCAAAGUACAAUGUACACAUGAAAACAACAACACAACCGCACGGCAAAAAAAACAAUGUACACCUGAAAACAGCAACACAACCGCCCACGGCAAUCAAUGAGAACAAUGUUUCACAGAGCACUAUGUCCUGUUGAUCUAAUAUCACUUCAUUUUCAAAAUGACAGACAAUGGGAAAGCAUGUAAAUGAAUACAGAUCUGUUGCACAGAGCACUAUAUUCAAUAUUCUGUUGAGCUAGUAUCACUUCAUUUUCAGAACGAUACGUUUCACAGAGCACUAUGUUCUGUUGAGCUACUGGCCAUUCAUACCAAAAGGAUUCCUUAGAAGAAGUUAACCCUGUGUGUGGAGGGGUUCCACUUCCAUUGUGUUUAUACAAGCAUAUAAGUUGCUGGAAAGAACAAGGAAGAUGAGUUUAAGCUUAUCUAUAGACACUGUUCACAGCAGCUCAUGUUUAGCAGGAUAUAUACCUUGCUAUGAUACAGAUAUGUGGAGGAAUGAUAUAGAUGAGUCAUCUAGCUAAAAAGCUUGUUAAUCGAUAAUGAUAACAUAAGUCUACGCAAGAAGUUUGCACUUGCACAGCAGUAAAUGAAGGGUGAUUGAGAUUUGAGAAUGUAACACUCAAUGCAGUCCCAGAAAACACAUGGGCAGAAACUGAAUCAUGCACAUACCAGUCCUGGUAACAUCUGAUACACAUAGCAUGGGUGCAGUUGGGCAACACAACUUUGCUGUUCAUCUCCAUGCAAAUCCCACACUCCUCUUCCCUCUCAACAUCAAUAUCAGAUAAGGUGUCCCGUCCAUCCUCAUCUUUCUUUCUGUACUUCUCCAUGCAUAUGGCCUUCUGCUUCUUGUCCUCGACAUCAGUGAUCCCCCUUUGCAGUUGCAGCAAAGAAGGAAAUAUCACAGCUGCUCAUGCCAAAUAUAUAGUAAUUCUGAUCAGCAGUGCAGCACCAAAAAAAACAUAGUUAGGCAAAGAUGUAAUAACAUCAUGCCCUCCUACCAUAGAAUUCUUUGAUGCUGGCUUUCCUCUCAUGAGUCGACAUGGUUGUUGUGCCAUCCACAUAAACCUGAACAAUGACUCAGUGAGCUACAGAUUCAGCAGGGCACAUCCACAAUGUGAGCACGGCACAACCAAACGCGCAACAGACCUUGUAUAUGAGGAUUCUCAGCAGACCAAGAGCCCCUGCGAGGCUGCAGUCCGUCCACUGCACCAGGAAGAGGAAUAUAUGAGCUGCGGGACUGUACGACAGCCGCAUCUGCAGGCACGCACCAUCAUAGUCCCGGGGAAACUCGGAGGCCCUGCUCAUCCAAAUAAACAACUAGCAUCACUUGGCAGAUCACAUGCUGAUGAAGCAACCCUCACCUAAAGACCACACUAGUGGACUCAUCUCGUACCCUUUUCUUCUUAAGCAGAAAAUUAUAUAUAAUUUAGAACGCUAAAACACAUGGGAAUCAGGGUUUGUUUAAACAUCCUAAACACAUGGGAUUCCCACAUGAUCUACUGCCGCUUCGCCACUCGUGCGUGAACGGAUAGGGCAACCACCACAACGGAUCCCGAUGGAGGGGGGCGAACCGGCGUUCGGUCGGUCAAUCUAUCACCCUCCCUGGCCGCCGCAUUGCGCAACCCCGGCAGCAGGCCGAGGAGUCGGCGACGGCGCGACGCAGCCCCGCCGAAACCCCCAAGCACCCGCUCGAUCACGGAGGCAGACGGAGAAACGAGAAGGACAUGGGCCCGUGCUAGUGAACUGGAGCAGAAUCGACAGGGGAUGUGAGGCGGCGCUGGAAUCAGGAAGGGGAGAGAGGAGGGAAGCGGGCGAGAGCUGGGCUUACAGGGUGUUGGCGUGCUGGAUGUCAGCUUCGAGCACCUUGAUGGAGUCCCUGUACGCCUUCCGCAUCCUCCUCCACCGCUGCCCUUCUCAUCCAAGUGCCGCGCGCUAACGGCGACCCCCUCCCUCCUCGCCGCGACGAAGUGAUCUCCCGAACCUGGCCGACCGCCGAGCGCCGGAGCCGGGGGCUUGCGAUUGCGAUGGGAAGGAAGGUGAAGAAAGGGGUCUGGCCUCUGGGUCUCGGGCACCGCGCGGUAGGGGCGGGGGCGGGGUGGGGUGGGUGGCGUGGGGGCAGCGGCGGUGGGCUUUGAGGGGAGGCCGGGAGGAGACGAUGAGGGCGCGGGGCAGGGCCGGGCGUGAGUGGGCGCGGGCGUGCCGGGCGCGCAGGCAGACAGGGGUGAGCACAGCGCGCCGCGUGUGCCCGCGGCGAGCGUGGCCGCGUUCGGGAUGCGUGAGAAUCCCGUGGGUCUGGGCACCUGUCCCCGCCCCUGGCCGUCUGCCGGCCCAGCUCUCGUUUUACCGGUGUCCUGCCGUGGUAAAAGUAUUCUUUUUUUUCCGUGGAAAGCAGCCGUGCAACGGACACGGACGUCGGAAGUCACCAAAAGCGGCAAGGCUGUCCCCAACAACCGUUCUGAAAUAACUAGACACAUAGAAUAUUUUAAUUUUAGAAUAAUUUUUAGCUACAAAUUUAAAAUCUGAAUAAUUUAUAAGCUGUGCAAGUCGCCGAUGCUUACUAACAGUAGAUAGCUUAAUAACAGUUGGAUACAUAUAUAAAAAUUAUUUAUAUGCAAUAAUCCCAUAAACAUGAUGCAUUGCAUUUUAUUUAAUGCUAAUUCAUACCUUGCAUUUAAAAAAGUGUUGCCAAAGAUCUAUGUGAACUAAAGUUAGGAACAUGUUUCAGCCUUUCAGGCAUAUCAUGUCAUGUCUAUGAUAGAAUUUAUCAUUCUACCCGUGUACAUUUAACAUGAUGGAAAGCAUUGUAUUAUAAUAAAAAGACACAUAAGUUCUUUAUAAAGGAAGUUUUAAAAGCUACUCCCUCCGUUCGUUUUUAUAUGUUGUUUAAAUUAAGGAAACAUAGAUUUAACAAUAUUACCUUAUAUCUUCUCUGUUUGACCAUGAAAGUGUCUAACAGUAAACAAAGCAAUGUGCCGAAAGUGGAGAGGUAAAUAUGAAAAACCACCGAAAGUUUGUAAAAGGACGUCAUUUAAAAAAGCACUUUUAAGGGAUGUUUGGUUUGAGCGAUUAAAGAUUAGUUCCUCCAUUUUAGUCUCAUUUAGUCUCUAAAUUGCUAAACGGUGGGACUAAAAUAGGGACUAAAUUGUUUUAGUCUCUAGUCCCUCAAGGGGUGACUAAAAGGGACUGAAUCAUAUAAAUUCCACUUUUUACCCCUCCUUUAUUUCAGUUGCACUAAGAGUGGAAGAAUACUUAGCGGUAUUUUAGUCAUCUUAUGAUCCAUUUAAUACAUUUUGAAUAUUUUUAGUCCCUAUAACUAAAUAGGAUAGGGACUAAACUUUAGUCUCUUAACUAAAUUUUAGUCCCUAGACUAAAGGACCAAACGGGGCCUUACUUUGUGACGUGGCGUCAUAUAAAAACGAACAAAGAGAGUACUAACUAUGCAUAUUUCCUAGUUUUCAUGAGCCUUGCACAUGUUUAUGGCGUGUUUGUUAUGGCUCUAGAGCAAAACUCCAAGAAGGAGUUGGCCAGGACAUGUCAAACACCCUAACUCUAGAGUUGUAAACUCUAUGGAGUUUUUGGAGCUGCAGUACAUUUUUUUGGAGUACCUCUUUUGCUGCUCGGAAAACUCUAAAAAAGCAAACUAGUCAUGGAGUUUAGAGUUAUUUACCCGCCACUGGUUAUGAGAAACAAUCUAAACUCUGGGACAGAUCCGCUCCACCCAGAGUUUUAGAGUAGAGCUGCUCUGAGGUGUAGCAGAGCCAUGCCAAACACGCCCUUAGUCUCUAGCAUUGCUCUAAUCUUCAUUGUGCCUUGACCUCUAUUUUUUAAUCCUAUAAUGUAAGUGGGGGAGUGUAAAAAAUUAGUGAAGAUGGAAGUUGUCAAUUCAAUCAAUAGCAGAAUAAUAUUGUUAUGUUAUGUGCAACCACUUUUUGGAGGUAAUUCCAAUGGUGAUGUCUCUGCAUAAUCUUUCUAAGUGGGACUUUCAUCUACAUGUUAAGAAAUAGAUACAAUAAUAACUAUUAAAUAGAAUAAAUUUAGAAAGACUUAUUAGUAUUUUCUUUACCUAAAUAAUAGGGUAGUGAUCAUAUUUGGACAUAAGUGUUGUACCUUUUGUAAUAAUUGAAAGGGAAAUGUGCCCUUGGGCCAUUUCUAAGUAUUUUGGUGAUUUAGUGCCCAACACAGGUGCCUAAUUGUAAAAUGGUGGACAAAGUACAAAUCAAGGAUAAAGGUAUGUUUCUCAGACUUAGUACAUUGUAUUAUGGACUAAUGUAUUGUGUCUAAGUGCUGGAAACAGAAAAAAUCGAGUUGGAGAAGAGAUGACUCGAGCAGCCAAAGUCUGCCCAGUCUGGGUGCACCGGACUGUCCGGUGGUGCACCGGACAGUGUCCGGUGCGCCAGGCUGGCUUGCGCAAAGUGGCUGCUCUCGGGACUUCGACGGCGGUGUACGUCUAAAAUUCACCGGACUGUCCGGUGUGCACCGGACUGUCCGGUGGGCCGCUCACAGGCGAACUCGUCGCUCUCGGGAAACCAUCAACGGUGUACGGCUAAAAUUCACCGGACUGUCCGGUGUGCACCGGACUCUCCGGUGAGCCAACGGUCGGCCGGGCCAACGGUCGGCCGCGCAAUCUGCGCGGGACACGUGGCCGAGCCAACGGCUAGAAGGGGGCACCGGACAUGUCCGGUGCGCCAACGGUUCCCAGGCUACCAAUGGUCGACUGCGAUGUUUAUGGAAAGAAAUCGGGCACCGGACAUGUCCGGUGUGCACCGGACUGUCCGGUGCGCCAGUCGACAGAAGGCAAGAUCAGCCUUCCAAGAUUGCUCUCAACGGCUCCUAGCUGCCUUAGGGCUAUAAAAGGGACCUCUAGGCGCAUGGAGGAACACACCAAGCAUCUCCUAAGCAUUCCUAAGCACCAAGACAUCGACUCCGCGCCCUUGAUUCUUUGCGAUAGCAAUUAGAGCUCUAGUUGAGUGGUGAACUCAUUAAGUUGUGUUGUGAGCUCUCGUUGCGACUUGUGUGCGUGGUGUUGCUGUGAUUUCUUGUCUUGAGUGCGUUGCUAAUUGAGAGCACCUAGAGGGGGGGGUGAAUAGGUGAUCCUGUAAAAACUUAAACUUAAGCCACAAAAACUUGUUAAGGGUUAGUACAAGUAUGGCCAAGUGGCUAGAGAGAACUCAAAACACGAUAACCACAAGAAAGCAAUCACAGAGUUGACACGGUGGUUAUCCCGUGGUUCGGCCAAGUACAAAACUUGCCUACUCCACGUUGUGGCGUCCCAACGGACGAGAGUUGCACUCAACUCCUCUCAAGUGAUCCAAUGAUCAACUUGAAUACCACGGUGUUUUUCUUUCCUUUGAUCUUUUCCCGUUUGCGAGGAAUCUCCACAACUUGGAGUCUCUCGCCCUUACAAUUGAGUUCACAAAGAAAUACGGAGUAAGGUGGGAAUGAGCAACGCACACAAGACUCGAAAAUCAGAGCAACACCACGCACACAAGUCGCAACAAGAGCUCGCAACACAACACAAAGAGUUCACAACUCCACAAGAGCUCUAUAUGCUAUCACAAUGAAACGAAUGCGUGAGAUUGAUGUCUUGGUGCUUAGAAGAGUUGUAGGAAUGCUUGGUGUACUCCUCCAUGCGCCUAGGGGUCCCUUUUAUAGCCCCAAGGCAGCUAGGAGCCGUUGGGAACAAAUCUGGAAGGCCAUCUUUGCCUUCUGUCUCGUGGCGCACCGGACAGUCCGGUGCACACCGGACACUGUCCGGUGCCCGAUUUGUUUCCUUAAACAGCGCAUCCGACCGUUGCUGUCAGAGUCAGAUCUGCGCACCGUUGGCGCACCGGACAUGUCCGGUGCACACCGGACAGUCCGGUGUAUCUUUCCGACCGUUGGCUCGGCCACGUGUCGCGCGCCGAUCGCGCGGCCGACCGUUGGCCCGGCCGACCGUUGGCUCACCGGACAGUCCGGUGCACACCGGACAGUCCGGUGAAUUUUAGCCGAAGUCGCCGGAGAAAAACCCGAGAGUGGCCUCUUCGGCCGAGGCAGCCUGUCCGGUGCACCACCGGACACUGUCCGGUGCACCACCGGACAGUCCGGUGCCCCAGACCGAAACAGCCCCUUGGCUGUACACAGCCAAGUCUCUCUUCUCUUCUUCUUUCUGUUUCUAACACUUAGACAAAUAUAUUAGUACACAAACCAAUGUACUAAGACUUAGAAACAUACCUUUGUUGAAGAUUUGCACUUUGUUCAUCCAUGGGCGUUGAUUCACAUUUAAACACUUGUGUUGACACUCAAUCACCAAAAUACUUAGAAAUGGCCCAAGGGCACAUUUCCCUUUCAAUCUCCCCCUUUUUGGUGAUUUAUGCCAACACAACAUAAAGCAACUAGAACAAGUGCAAAAUCACUUCAAAUAAAAACUAACUUUGAGUUUUAUUCAAUUUUGGCAUAUAUGGAUCAUCCUUUGCCACCACUUGGUUUGUUUUUGCAAAUCAAACUCAAAUCUCUAUCUCUAAGUCAAACACACAUGUUGAAGCAUAAAGAGAGUCAUUCCAAAAGAGAUUGAUCAAAGAUUUCAAAAACUCCCCCUAUUUCCCAUAAUCAAUACUUCUCCCCACAAGAAGCCAAUUUUUGACAAGAGAGACAAUAAAAGAGUUUAACAAUACAAAAACUCUAUUCUAUUAUUUUCAAAAUCUCUCAAGUGGUAGCUGAUCCAUUUAUCACUUUGGCCUUUAUUUUCUCCCCCUUUGGCAUCAAGCACCAAAACGGGAUCAAUCUUGGCCUUUUAACCCCAUUGCCUCACCAAAGUCUUCAAUUAAGAGCAAAUGGCAAUAAGAUUUCAUGAGAUGAACUUGGAAUUAGUUACCCUCUCAUCGGAGUGCAGUGGAAGUCUUUCAUGGUCCAAGUCCACCUUUUCCCUUUCAAUCCUCCUUCGAGACUAAAUCAUCAAACUCAAGCACAUGGUUAGUCUCAAAAGGGUCAAGUUGUAACACAUCUCCCCCUAAACAUGUGCAUCACUUUGCAACGGACUUGUGAGGUCCAGGGAGUGUUUGUACAACUUGAGCACCACAAUAAGCAACAAAAUGCAAAAAGGAACAUGAUCAAAAGCAUAACUACAUGUAUGCUAUAAUUCAAUCCAGGUUCCGCGAAUGUAAGACAUUUAGCUCACUACGCAACCUGCAAAAGGUCUUCUCAUCUAGAGGCUUAGUGAAGAUAUCGGCUAGCUGGUUCUCGGUGCUAACAUGAAACACUUCGAUAUCUCCCUUUUGCUGGUGGUCUCUCAAAAAGUGAUGUCGGAUGUCUAUGUGCUUUGUGCGGCUGUGCUCAACAGGAUUCUCCGCCAUGCGGAUAGCACUCUCAUUGUCACAUAGGAGUGGGACUUUGCUCAGAUUGUAGCCAAAGUCCCGGAGGGUUUGCCUCAUCCAAAGUAGUUGCGCGCAACACUGACCUGCGGCAACGUACUCGGCCUCAGCGGUGGAUAGGGCAACGGAUGUUUGUUUCUUAGAGUUCCAUGACACCAGGGACCUUCCUAAGAAUUGGCACGUCCCCGAUGUACUCUUCCUAUCGACCUUACAUCCAGCAUAGUCGGAGUCUGAGUAUCCAACUAAGUCAAAGGUAGACCCCUUUGGAUACCAGAGCCCGAAGCAAGGCGUAGCAACCAAAUAUCUAAGAAUUCGCUUCACCGCCACUAAGUGACACUCCUUAGGAUCGGAUUGAAAUCUAGCACACAUGCAUACACUAAGCAUAAUGUCCGGUCUACUAGCACAUAAAUAAAGCAAAGAACCUAUCAUUGACCGGUAUGCUUUUUGAUCAACGGACUUACCUCCUUUGUUGAGGUCGGUGUGUCCGUCGGUUCCCAUCGGCGUCUUUGCGGGCUUGGCGUCCUUCAUCCCAAACCGCUUUAGCAGAUCUUGCGUGUACUUCGUUUGAGAGAUGAAGGUGCCGUCCUUGAGUUGCUUCACUUGGAACCCAAGGAAGUAGUUCAACUCGCCCAUCAUUGACAUCUCGAAUUUCUGCGUCAUCACCCUGCUAAACUCUUCACAAGACUUUUGGUUAGUAGAACCAAAUAUUAUGUCAUCGACAUAAAUUUGGCACACAAACAAAUCACCAUCGCAUGUCUUUGUAAAAAGAGUUGGAUCGGCUUUCCCAACCUUGAAAGCAUUAGCAAUUAAAAAGUCUCUAAGGCAUUCAUACCAUGCUCUUGGGGCUUGCUUAAGUCCAUAGAGCGCCUUAGAGAGCUUACACACAUGGUCGGGAUACCGUUCGUCCUCGAAGCCAGGGGGUUGCUCCACGUACACCUCUUCCUUGAUUGGCCCGUUGAGGAAAGCGCUCUUCACAUCCAUUUGGUACAACCUGAAAGAAUGGUGAGCGGCAUAUGCUAGCAAGAUUCGAAUUGACUCUAGCCUAGCCACAGGAGCAAAGGUCUCCUCGAAAUCCAAACCUGCGACUUGGGCAUAACCUUUUGCCACAAGUCGAGCCUUGUUCCUCGUCACCACCCCGUGCUCGUCCUGUUUGUUGCGGAACACCCACUUGGUUCCCACAACAUUUUGCUUCGGACGAGGCACCAGUGUCCAAACUUCAUUGCGCUUGAAGUUGUUUAACUCCUCUUGCAUGGCCAACACCCAGUCCGGAUCUAGCAAGGCCUCUUCUACCCUGAAAGGCUCAAUAGAAGAGACAAAGGAGUAAUGCUCACAAAAAUUAACUAAUCGAGAUCGAGUAGUUACUCCCUUGCUAAUGUCACCCAGAAUUUGGUCGACGGGAUGAUCCCUUUGAAUCAUCGCUCGAACUUGGGUUGGAGGUGCCGGUUGCACUUCUUCCUCCAUCACAUGAUUAUCUUGUGCUCCCCCUUGAUCGAGCGCCUCCACUUGAGGUACCUGUUCGUCAUCUUCGGUUGGGGGAUGCACCAUAGUUGAGGAAGAAGGUUGAUCUCGUUCAUCUUGUUCCUGUGGCCGUACUUCUCCAAUCGCCAUGGUCCGUAUAGCGGCCGUCGGAACAUCUUCUUCAUCUACAUCAUCACAAUCAACAACUUGCUCUCUUGGAGAGCCAUUAGUCUCAUCAAAUACAACGUCGCUAGAGACUUCAACCAAACCCGAUGAUUUGUUGAAGACUCUAUACGCCUUUGUAUUUGAGUCAUAACCUAAUAAAAACCCUUCUACAGCUUUGGGAGCAAACUUAGAAUUUCUACCCUUCUUCACUAGAAUGUAGCAUUUACUCCCAAAUACACGAAAGUACGAUACAUUGGGUUUGUUACCGGUUAGUAGCUCAUACGACGUCUUCUUGAGGAGGCGAUGAAGGUAGACCCUGUUGAUGGCGUGGCAAGCAGUGUUAACGGCUUCCGUCCAGAAGCACUCGGGGGUCUUGAACUCUCCUAGCAUCGUCCUCGCCAUGUCGAUGAGCGUCCUGUUCUUCCUCUCUACCACACCAUUUUGCUGUGGUGUGUAGGGAGCGGAGAACUCGUGCUUGAUCCCUUCCUCUUCAAGGAACUCCUCCACUUGAAGGUUCUUGAACUCGGACCCGUUGUCGCUUCUUAUCUUUUUCACUUUGAGCUCAAACUCAUUUUGAGCUCUCCUGAGGAAGCGUUUGAGAGUCCCUUGGGUUUCGGAUUUUUCCUGCAAAAAGAACACCCAAGUGAAGCGGGAAAAGUCAUCAACAAUAACCAAACCAUACUUACUUCCUCCUAUGCUCAGAUAGGCGACAGGUCCGAAGAGGUCCAUAUGCAGCAGCUCCAGGGGUCUUGAAGUGGUCAUCACGUUCUUGCUGUGAUGUGCUCCUCCCACUUGUUUACCUGCUUGACAAGCUGCACAAGGUCUAUCUUUUUCGAAAUGCACAUUAGUCAACCCUAUCACGUGUUCUCCCUUUAGAAGCUUGUGAAGGUUCUUCAUCCCCACAUGUGCUAAGCGGCGAUGCCACAGCCAGCCCAUGCUAGUCUUAGCUAUUAAGCAUGCAUCUAGACCGGCCUCUUCUUUUGCAAAAUCAACUAAAUAAAGUUUGCCGUCUAAUUCACCCUUAAAAGCUAGUGAACCAUCACUUCUUCUAAAGACAGACACAUCUACAUUUGUAAAUAGACAGUUAUACCCCAUAUGACAUAAUUGACUAACAGAUAGCAAAUUAUAUCCAAGACUCUCUACUAAAAAUACAUUAGAUAUGGAGUGCUCAUUAGAAAUUGCAAUUUUACCUAAACCUUUUACCUUGCCUUGAUUCCCAUCACCGAAUACAAUUGAAUCUUGGGAAUCUUUAUUCUUGACGUAGGAGGUGAACAUCUUCUUCUCCCUCGUCAUAUGGUUUGUGCAUCCGCUGUCGAUAAUCCAGCUUGAACCCCCGGAUGCAUAAACCUGCAAGGCAAAUUUAGGCUUGGGACUUAGGUACCCAACUCUUGUUGGGUCCUACAAGGUUAGUCACAAUUUCCUUAGGGACCCAAAUGCAAGUUUUAUCACCUUUGCAUUUUGCCCCUAACUUCCUAGCAAUUACUUUUCUAUCCUUUCUACAGAUUGCAAAUGAAGCAUUCAAAGCACAAUAAAUUGUAGAAGGUUCAUUUGCUAUUUUCCUAGGAGCAUGAAUAACAUUCCUUCUAGGCACAUGAUGAAUAGCAUUUCUUUUAGGAACAACAUUUCUCCUAGUAACAUUUCUAUCAUACACAUAAGAGGAACUAGGAGCAAACAUGGCAUGAGAAUCAUAAACAUAUGAAUCAAAAGCAUCAUAACUUCUAUUUCUAGUUUGUCGUUUAUCAUGAUACAAAAAGGCAUGGUUCCUUUUAGCACUAGUAGCCAUAGGGGCCUUCCCUUUCUCCUUGGCGGGAAUGGGAGCCUUAUGGCUUGUUAAGUUCUUGGCUUCCCUCUUGAAGCCAAGUCCAUCCUUAAUUGAGGGGUGUCUACCAACCGUGUAGGCAUCCCUAGCAAAUUUUAGUUUUUCAAAAUCACUUUUGCUAGUCUUAAGUUGAGCAUUAAGACUAGCCACUUCAUCACUCAAUUUUGAAAUGGAAACUAAGUGUUCACUACAGGCAUUAAUAUCAACAUCCUUACACCUAGUGCAAAUUUCAACAUGUUCAACACAAGAGUUGGAUUUAUUUGAUUUAUUUGCUUCUACUAGUUUAGCAUUUAAAUCAUCGUUUAUGCUCUUUAAGUUAGAAAUAGAAUCAUGGCAUGUUGACACUUCACAAGCAAGCAUUUCAUUCCUCUUAAUUUCUAAUGCAAGAGAUUUUUGAGCCUCUACAAACUUAUCAUGUUCUUCAUACAACAAAUCCUCUUGCUUUUCUAAAAGUAUAUUCUUUUCAUUCAAGGCAUCAAUUAAUUCAUUAAUUUUGUCUAUCUUAGAUCUAUCUAAGCCCUUGAACAAACAUGAAUAAUCUACUUCAUCCUCAUCACUAGAUUCGUCCUCACUUGAAGAAGCAUAGGUAGAGUUGCGAGUACAUACCUUCUUCUCCCUUGCCAUAAGGCAUGUGUGACGCUCGUUGGGGAAGAGGGUUGAUUUGUUGAAGGCGGUGGCGGCGAGUCCUUCAUUGUCGGAGUCGGACGAGGAGCAAUCCGAGUCCCACUCCUUGCCUAGAUGCGCCUCGCCUUUUGCCUUCUUAUAAUGCUUCUUCUUUUCCCUCUUGUUUCCCUUUUCCUGGUCACUUUCAUUAUCAGGACAGUUAGCAAUAAAAUGACCAAGCUUACCGCAUUUGAAGCAUGAUCGCUUCCCCUUGGUCUUAGUCUUGCUCGGCUGUCCAUUGCGACCCUUUAGCACCGUCUUGAAGCGCUUAAUGAUGAGAGCCAUUUCUUCAUCAUUAAGCCCGGCCGCCUCAAUUUGCGCCACCUUGCUUGGUAGUGCCUCCUUGCUCCUUGAUGCCUUGAGAGCAAUGGGUUGAGGCUCGUGGAUUGGACCGUUCAACGCGUCAUCGACGUACCUUGCCUCCUUGAUCAUCAUCCGCCCGCUUACAAAUUUUCCAAGAAUUUCUUCGGGCGACAUUUUGGUGUACCUGGGAUUCUCACGAAUAUUAUUCACCAAAUGAGGAUCAAGAACAGUAAAGGACCUUAGCAUUAGGCGGACGACGUCGUGGUCCGUCCAUCGCGUGCUUCCAUAGCUCCUUAUCUUGUUGACAAGGGUCUUGAGCCGGUUGUAUGUUUGAGUUGGCUCCUCGCCCCUUAUCAUCGCGAACCGUCCAAGCUCGCCCUCCACCAACUCCAUUUUGGUGAGCAAGGUAGCGUCAUUUCCCUCAUGAGAGAUCUUGAGGGUAUCCCAGAUUUGCUUGGCGUUAUCCAAGCCACUCACUUUAUUAUAUUCAUCCCUGCACAAUGAGGCUAGAAGAACAGUAGUAGCUUGUGCAUUCUUAUGGAUUUGCUCAUUAAUGAAUAUAGGACUAUCCGAACUAUUAAAGUGCAUUCCACUAUCUACAAUCUCCCAUAUGCUAGGAUGGAGAGAGAAUAGGUGACUACGCAUUUUGUGGCUCCAAAAUCCGUAGUCCUCCCCAUCAAAGUGUGGGGGCUUGCCGAGUGGAAUAGAAAGCAAAUGUGAAUUUGAACUUUGCGGAAUACGAGAGUAGUCAAAAGAAAAGUUAGAAUUAACCGGUUUCCUUUGUUUGUCGUGGUCGUCGUCCUUUUGGGAAGAAGAGGACUCAUCGCUGUCGUAGUAGACGAUCUCCUUGAUGCGUCUUGUCUUCUUCUUCUUCCCAUCUCUUCGCUUGUGGCCCGAGCCCGAGUCAUUGGACUUGUCAUCCCUUGGCUCGUUGACGAAGGACUCCUUCUCCUUGUCGUUGAUCACAAUUCCCUUCCCCUUAGGAUCCAUCUCUUCGGGCGGUUAGUCCCUUUCUUGAAGAGAACGCCUCUGAUACCAAUUGAGAGCACCUAGAGGGGGGGUGAAUAGGUGAUCCUGUAAAAACUUAAACUUAAGCCACAAAAACUUGUUAAGGGUUAGUACAAGUAUGGCCAAGUGGCUAGAGAGAACUCAAAACACGAUAACCACAAGAAAGCAAUCACAGAGUUGACACGGUGGUUAUCCCGUGGUUCGGCCAAGUACAAAACUUGCCUACUCCACGUUGUGGCGUCCCAACGGACGAGAGUUGCACUCAACUCCUCUCAAGUGAUCCAAUGAUCAACUUGAAUACCACGGUGUUUUUCUUUCCUUUGAUCUUUUCCCGUUUGCGAGGAAUCUCCACAACUUGGAGUCUCUCGCCCUUACAAUUGAGUUCACAAAGAAAUACGGAGUAAGGUGGGAAUGAGCAACGCACACAAGACUCGAAAAUCAGAGCAACACCACGCACACAAGUCGCAACAAGAGCUCGCAACACAACACAAAGAGUUCACAACUCCACAAGAGCUCUAUAUGCUAUCACAAUGAAACGAAUGCGUGAGAUUGAUGUCUUGGUGCUUAGAAGAGUUGUAGGAAUGCUUGGUGUACUCCUCCAUGCGCCUAGGGGUCCCUUUUAUAGCCCCAAGGCAGCUAGGAGCCGUUGGGAACAAAUCUGGAAGGCCAUCUUUGCCUUCUGUCUCGUGGCGCACCGGACAGUCCGGUGCACACCGGACACUGUCCGGUGCCCGAUUUGUUUCCUUAAACAGCGCAUCCGACCGUUGCUGUCAGAGUCAGAUCUGCGCACCGUUGGCGCACCGGACAUGUCCGGUGCACACCGGACAGUCCGGUGUAUCUUUCCGACCGUUGGCUCGGCCACGUGUCGCGCGCCGAUCGCGCGGCCGACCGUUGGCCCGGCCGACCGUUGGCUCACCGGACAGUCCGGUGCACACCGGACAGUCCGGUGAAUUUUAGCCGAAGUCGCCGGAGAAAAACCCGAGAGUGGCCUCUUCGGCCGAGGCAGCCUGUCCGGUGCACCACCGGACACUGUCCGGUGCACCACCGGACAGUCCGGUGCCCCAGACCGAAACAGCCCCUUGGCUGUACACAGCCAAGUCUCUCUUCUCUUCUUCUUUCUGUUUCUAACACUUAGACAAAUAUAUUAGUACACAAACCAAUGUACUAAGACUUAGAAACAUACCUUUGUUGAAGAUUUGCACUUUGUUCAUCCAUGGGCGUUGAUUCACAUUUAAACACUUGUGUUGACACUCAAUCACCAAAAUACUUAGAAAUGGCCCAAGGGCACAUUUCCCUUUCACUAAUCCCUCCCUUGCUCUGUGCUUCUUUGUGAAUUUCAAGUGUAAGGGCGAGAGGCUCCAAGUUGUGGAGAUUCCUCGCAAACGGGAUUGAGUAAAGCAAAGCAAAACACCGUGGUAUUCAAGUGGGUCUUUGGACCGCUUGAGAGGGGUUGAUUGCAACCCUCGUCCGUUGGGACGCCACAACGUGGAGUAGGCAAGCGUUGGUCUUGGCCGAACCACGGGAUAACCACUGUGCCAUCUCUGUGAUUGUUUUCUUGUGGUUAUUGUGUUUUGUUGAGAUUCCUCUCCAGCCACUUGGCAUUUACUGUGCUAACGCUUAACCAAGUUUUUGUGGCUUAAGUUUUCAAGAUUUACAGGAUCACCUAUUCACCCCCCCUCUAGGUGCUCUCAAUUGGUAUUAGAGCCGUUCUCUUCACAAAGGGACUAACCGCCCGAGGAGAUGGAUCCUAAGGGGAAGGGUAUCGUGAUCAAUGAUAAAGAGAAGGAAUCUUUCGUCAACGAGCCAAAGGAUGACAAGCCUACCGACUCGGGCUCGGGUCAUAGACGAAAAGAUGGGAAGAAGAAGAAGACAAGGCGCAUUAAGGAGAUCGUCUACUACGACGACAGUGAUGAGUCCACUUCUUCCCACAAGGACAACGACGACAACGACUACGACAAACGAAAGACGGUUAACUCGAACUUUUCUUUCGAUUAUUCGCGUAUUCCUCAAAGUGCAAAUGCUCAUUUAUUAUCUAUUCCACUUGGUAAACCUCCUCAUUUUGAUGGAGAGGACUACGGAUUUUGGAGUCACAAAAUGCGUAGUCACUUGUUCUCUCUCCAUCCUAGUAUAUGGGAGAUUGUAGAGAGUGGAAUGCACUUUGAUAGUUUGGAUAGUCCCAUGUUCAUUAAUGACCAAAUUCAUAAGAAUGCACAAGCUACUACUGUUCUUCUAGCUUCAUUGUGCAGGGAUGAAUACCACAAAGUGAGCGGCUUGGAUAACGCCAAGCAGAUCUGGGACACCCUCAAGAUUUCACAUGAGGGGAACGACGUCACCUUGCUCACCAAGAUGGAGUUGGUGGAGGGCGAGCUUGGACGAUUCGCGAUGAUAAGGGGCGAGGAGCCGACACAAACAUACAACCGGCUCAAGACCCUUAUCAACAAAAUAAGGAGCUACGAAAGCACGCGAUGGACGGACCACGACGUCGUCCGAUUGAUGCUAAGGUCCUUUACCGUUCUUGAUCCUCAUUUGGUGAAUAACAUUCGUGAGAAUCCCAGGUACACCAAAAUGUCGCCCGAAGAAGUCCUUGGAAAAUUCGUAAGCGGGCGAAUGAUGAUCAAGGAAGCGAGGUACGUGGACGACGCUCUAAACGGUCCAAUCAAUGAGCCUCAACCCGUUGCUCUCAAGGCAACAAGGAGCAAGGAGGCGUUACCCAGCAAGGUAGCACAAAUUGAGGCCGCCGGACUUAAUGAUGAAGAGAUGGCUCUCAUCAUCAAGAGAUUCAAGACGACGCUUAAGGGUCGCAAGGGACAGCCAAACAAGACCAAAGCCAAGGGGAAGUGCUCAUGCUUCAAAUGCGGUAAGCUUGGUCAUUUUAUUGCUAACUGUCCCGACAAUGAUAGUGAUCAGGAUCAAGGGAACAAGAGGGAGAAUAAGAAAAACUAUAAAAAAGGCAAAGGGCGAGGCUCAUCUUGGCAAGGAGUGGGAUUCGGAUUGCUCCUCGUCUGACUCUGACAAUGAAGGACUCGCCGCCACCGCCUUCAACAAAUCAUCCCUCUUCCCCAACGAACAUCACACAUGCCUUAUGGCAAGGGAGAAGAAGGUAUGUACUCAAGACUCUACUUAUGCUUCUUCAAGUGAGGAGGAAUCUAGUGAUGAGGAUGAAAUAGAUUAUUCAUGUCUAUUUAAGGGCCUAGAUAGAACCAAGGUAGAUAAAAUUAAUGAAUUAAUUGAUGCCUUGAAUGAUAAGAAUAGGCUUCUAGAAAAACAAGAAGAUUUAUUGUAUGAAGAACAUGACAAAUUUAUAGAAGCACAAAAAUCUCAUGCUUUAGAAGUCAAAAGAAAUGAAAUGCUUUCAUGUGAAUUAUCUUCGUGCCAUGAGACAAUUUCUAGCUUAAGGAACAUUAAUGAUGAUUUGAAUGCUAAGUUGAAAAUAGUUAGUAAAUCAACAACUUGUGUAGAAAAUGUUGUUAUCUGCAAUAGAUGUAAAGAUUUUGAUAUUGAUGCUUGUAGUGAACACAUAGCUUCUAUUGCAAAGUUAAACGAUGAAUUGGCUAUUCUCAAUGCCCAACUUAAGACUAGCAAAAGUGAUUUCGAUAAACUAAAAUUUGCAAGGGAUGCCUACACGAUUGGUAGACACCCCUCCAUUAAGGAUGGACUUGGCUUCAAGAGGGAAGCCAAGGACUUAACAAGCCAUAAGGCUCCCAUCUCCACCAAGGAGAAAGGGAAGGCCCCUAUGACAAGUAGCACUAAAAAGAACCAUGCUUUUAUGUACAACAAUAGAAGACAGUCUCAUAGGAGUUGCAAUGCUUUUGAUUCACAUGACUCGUAUGCUAUGUUUGCUCCUAGUUCUUCCUAUAUGCAUGGUAGAGAUAUGCCUAGGAAAAAUGUUCAUCAUGUGCCUAGGAAGAAUAUUGUUCAUGUUCCUAGAAGAGUUAUGAAUGGUCCCUCUACAAUUUAUCAUGCAUUAAAUGCUUCCUUUGCUAUUUGUAGAAAGGAUAGGAAGAUAGUUGCUAGGAAAUUAGGGGCAAAAUGCAAGGGUGAUAAAACUUGCAUUUGGGUCCCUAAGGAAAUUGUGACUAACCUUGUAGGACCCAACAAGAGUUGGGUACCUAAGACCCAAGCCUAAAUUUGCCUUGCAGGUUUAUGCAUCCGGGGGCUCAAGCUGGAUUAUCGACAGCGGAUGCACAAACCACAUGACGGGGGAGAAGAAGAUGUUCACCUCCUACGUCAAGAAUAAGGAUUCCCAAGAUUCAAUCAUAUUCGGUGAUGGGAACCAAGGCAAGGUGAAAGGUUUAGGCAAGAUUGCAAUAUCAAAUGAGCAUUCUAUCUCUAAUGUGUUUUUAGUGGAGAGUCUUGGAUAUAAUUUACUAUCAGUUAGUCAAUUAUGUAAUAUGGGAUAUAACUGUUUAUUUACAAAUAUAGAUGUGUCUGUCUUUAGAAGAUGUGAUGGUUCACUAGCUUUUAAGGGUGUACUAGACGGCAAACUUUACUUAGUUGAUUUUGCAAAAGAAGAGGCCGGUCUAGAUGCAUGCUUAAUGGCUAAGACUUGCAUGGGCUGGUUGUGGCAUCGCCGCUUAGCACAUGUGGGGAUGAAGAACCUCCACAAGCUUCUAAAGGGAGAACAGGUGAUAGGUCUAACCAAUGUUCAUUUCGAAAAAGAUAGACCUUGUGCAGCUUGUCAAGCAGGUAAACAAGUGGGAGGAGCACAUCACAGCAAGAAUGUGAUGACCACGUCAAGACCUCUGGAGCUGCUACAUAUGGACCUCUUCGGACCCGUCGCCUAUCUGAGCAUAGGAGGAAGUAAGUAUGGUCUAGUUAUUGUUGAUGACUUUUCCCGCUUCACUUGGGUGUUCUUUUUGCAGGAUAAGUCUGAAACCCAAGGGACCCUCAAGCGCUUCCUAAGGAGAGCUCAAAAUGAGUUUGAGCUCAAGGUGAAGAAGAUAAGGAGCGACAACGGGUCCGAAUUCAAGAAUCUUCAAGUGGAGGAGUUCCUUGAGGAGGAGGGGAUCAAGCACGAGUUCUCCGCUCCCUACACACCUCAUCAAAAUGGUGUGGUAGAGAGGAAGAACAUGACGCUUAUAGAUAUGGCGAGGACUAUGCUUGGAGAGUUCAAGACCCUUGAGUGCUUUUGGUCGGAAGCCGUGAACACGGCUUGCCACGCCAUCAAUAGGGUCUACCUUCACCGCCUCCUCAAGAAGACUUCAUAUGAGCUGCUAACUGGUAACAAACCCAAUGUAUCGUACUUUCGUGUAUUUGGGAGUAAAUGCUACAUUCUAGUGAAGAAGGGUAGGAAUUCCAAAUUUGCUCCCAAAGCCGUAGAAGGGUUUUAUUAGGUUAUGAUUCAAAUACAAAGGCGUAUAGGGUCUUCAACAAAUCAUCGGGUUUGGUUGAAGUCUCUAGCGACGUUGUAUUUGAUGAGACUAAUGGCUCUCCAAGAGAGCAAGUUGUUGAUCUUGAUGAUGUAGAUGAAGAAGACGUUCCAACGGCCGUGAUACGCACCAUGGCGAUUGGAGAUGUACGGCCUCAGGAACAUUUGGAGCAAGAUCAACCGUCUUCCUCAACUAUGGUGCAUCCCCCAACCCAAGAUGACGAACAGGUACCUCAAGUGGAGGCGCAUGAUCAAGGGGGAGCACAGGAUGUUCAAAUUGAAGAGGAAGAUGCACCUCAGGCACCUCCAACCCAAGUUCGAGCGACGAUUCAAAGGAAUCAUCUCGUCGACCAGAUAUUGGGUGAUAUUAGUAAGGGAGUAACUACUCGUUCAAGAUUAGUUAAUUUUUGUGAGCAUUACUCUUUUGUCUCUUCUAUUGAGCCUUUCAGGGUAGAAGAGGCCUUGCUAGAUCCGGACUGGGUGUUGGCCAUGCAGGAGGAACUCAACAAUUUCAAGCGCAAUGAAGUUUGGACACUGGUGCCUCGCCCCAAGCAAAAUGUUGUGGGAACCAAGUGGGUGUUCCGCAACAAACAGGACGAGCACGGGGUGGUGACAAAGAACAAGGCUCGGCUUGUGGCAAAAGGUUACGCCCAAGUCGCAGGUUUGGACUUUGAGAAGACUUUUGCUCCUGUGGCUAGGCUAGAAUCAAUUCGUAUCUUGCUAGCAUAUGCCGCUCACCAUUCUUUCAGGUUGUACCAAAUGGAUGUGAAGAGCGCUUUCCUCAACGGGCCGAUCAAGGAGGAGGUGUACGUAGAGCAACCCCCUGGCUUCGAGGAUGAACGGUACCCCGACCACGUGUGUAAGCUCUCUAAGGCGCUCUAUGGACUUAAGCAAGCCCCAAGAGCAUGGUAUGAAUGCCUUAGAGACUUUUUAAUUGCUAAUGCUUUCAAGGUUGGGAAAGCCGAUCCAACUCUUUUUACUAAGACUUGUGAUGGUGAUCUUUUUGUGUGCCAAAUUUAUGUCGAUGACAUAAUAUUUGGUUCUACUAAUCAAAAGUCGUGUGAAGAGUUUAGUAGGGUGAUGACGCAGAAAUUCGAGAUGUCGAUGAUGGGCGAGUUGAACUACUUCCUUGGGUUCCAAGUGAAGCAACUCAAGGACGGCACCUUUAUCUCCCAAACGAAGUACACGCAAGAUUUGCUAAAGAGGUUUGGGAUGAAAGACGCCAAGCCCGCAAAGACGCCGAUGGGAACCGACGGACACACCGACCUCAACAAAGGUGGUAAGUCCGUUGAUCAAAAAGCAUACCGGUCCAUGAUAGGUUCAUUGCUUUAUUUAUGUGCUAGUAGACCAGAUAUUAUGCUCAGCGUAUGCAUGUGUGCUAGAUUUCAAUCCGAUUCUAAGGAGUGUCACUUAGUGGCUGUGAAGCGAAUUCUUAGAUAUUUAGUCGCUACGCCUUGCUUCGAGAUCUGGUAUCCAAAGGGGUCUAACUUUGACUUGAUUGGAUAUUCAGAAUCCGACUAUGCUGGAUGUAAGGUCGAUAGGAAGAGUACAUCGGGGACGUGCCAAUUCUUAGGAAGGUCCCUGGUGUCGUGGAACUCUAAGAAACAAACUUCCGUUGCCCUAUCCACCGCUGAGGCCGAGUACGUUGCCGCAGGACAGUGUUGUGCGCAACUACUUUGGAUGAGGCAAACCCUCCGGGACUUUGGCUACAAUCUGAGCAAAGUCCCACUCCUAUGUGACAAUGAGAGUGCUAUCCGAAUAGCGGAAAAUUCUGUUGAGCACAGCCGCACAAAGCACAUUGACAUCCGGCAUCACUUUUUGAGAGACCACCAGCAAAAGGGAGAUAUCGAAGUGUUUCAUGUUAGCACCGAGAACCAGCUAGCCGAUAUCUUUACCAAACCUCUAGAUGAGAAGACCUUUUGCAGGCUGCGUAGUGAGCUCAAUAUCUUAGAUUCGCGGAACUUGGAUUGAAUUGUAGCAUACAUGUGUUUAUGCCUUUGAUCAUGUUCCUUAUGCAUUUUGUUGUUUACUAUGGUGCUCAAGUUGUACAAACACUUCCCGGACCUCACAAGUCCUUGUGCAAGUGAUGCACAUAUUUAGGGGGAGUUGUGUUAUAACUUGACCCUUUGAGACUAACCAUAUGCUUGAGUUUGUUUGUUUUAGUCUCAAAGGAGGUUUGAAAGGGAAAAGGUGGACUUGGACCAUGAAAGACUUCCACUGCACUCCGAUAAGAGGGUAACUUAUUCCAAGUUCAUCUCAUGUACUCUUAUUGCCUUUGCGUUCUUAUUUAAAGAUUUUGGUGAGGCAAUGGGGUUUAAGGGCCAAGAUUGAUCCCGUUUUGGUUCUUGAUGCCAAAGGGGGAGAAAAUAAAGGCCAAAGCAAUAGAUGGAUCAGCUACCACUUGAGAAAUUUUGAAAAUAGUAGAAUAGAGCUUUUGGUUUGUCAAAACUAUUUAUUGUCUCUCUUGUCAAAAGAUGGCUUCUUGUGGGGAGAAGUGUUGAUUAUAAAAAAAGGGGGGGAGUUUUUUUAAAUCUUGAAUCAAUUUCUCUUGGAAUGGCUCUCUUUAUGUCUUAACAUGUGUGUUUGACUUAGAGAUAGAAAUUUGAGUUUGAUUUGCAAAAACAAACCAAGUGGUGGCAAAGAGUGAUCCAUAUAUGUCAAAUUUGAAUCAAAAUAAUUUGAGUUCUUAUUUGAAGUGAUUUUGUACCUGUUCUACUUGCUUUAUGUUGUGUUGGCAUAAAUCACCAAAAAGGGGGAGAUUGAAAGGGAAAUGUGCCCUUGGGCCAUUUCUAAGUAUUUUGGUGAUUUAGUGCCCAACACAGGUGCCUAAUUGUAAAAUGGUGGACAAAGUACAAAUCAAGGAUAAAGGUAUGUUUCUCAGACUUAGUACAUUGUUUUAUUGACUAAUGUAUUGUGUCUAAGUGCUGGAAACAGAAAAAAUCGAGUUGGAGAAGAGAUGGCCCGAGCAGCCAAAGUCUGCCCAGUCUGGGUGCACCGGACUGUCCGGUGGUGCACCGGACUGUCCGGUGGUGCACCGGACAGUGUCCGGUGCGCCAGGCUGGCUUGCGCAAGGUGGCUGCUCUCGGGACUUUGACGGCGGUGUACGGCUAAAAUUCACCGGACUGUCCGGUGGGCCGCUCACAGGCGAACUCGUCGCUCUCGGGAAACCAUCAACGGCGUACGGCUAAAAUUCACCGGACUGUCUGGUGUGCACCGGACUGUCCGGUGAGCCAACGGUCGGCCGCGCAAUCUGCGCAGGACACGUGGCCGAGCCAACGGCUAGAAGGGGGCACCGGACUGUCCGGUGUGCACCGGACAUGUCCGGUGCGCCAACGGCUCCCAGGCUGCCAACGGUCGACUGCGAUGUUUAUGGAAAGAAAUCGGGCACCGGACAUGUCCGGUGUGCACCGGACUGUCCGGUGCGCCAGUCGACAGAAGGCAAGAUCAGCCUUCCAAGAUUGCUCUCAACGGCUCCUAGCUGCCUUGGGGCUAUAAAAGGGACCUCUAGGCGCAUGGAGGAACACACCAAGCAUCUCCUAAGCAUUCCUAAGCACCAAGACAUCGACUCCGCGCCCUUGAUUCUUUGCGAUAGCAAUUAGAGCUCUAGUUGAGUGAUGAACUCAUUAAGUUGUGUUGUGAGCUCUCGUUGCGACUUGUGUGCGUGGUGUUGCUGUGAUUUCUUGUCUUGAGUGCGUUGCUAAUCCCUACCUUGCUCUGUGCUUCUUUGUGAAUUUCAAGUGUAAGGGCGAGAGGCUCCAAGUUGUGGAGAUUCCUCGCAAACGGGAUUGAGUAAAGCAAAGCAAAACACCGUGGUAUUCAAGUGGGUCUUUGGACCGCUUGAGAGGGGUUGAUUGCAACCCUCGUCCGUUGGGACGCCACAACGUGGAGUAGGCAAGCGUUGGUCUUGGCCGAACCACGGGAUAACCACCGUGCCAUCUCUGUGAUUGUUUUCUUGUGGUUAUUGUGUUUUGUUGAGAUUCCUCUCCAGCCACUUGGCAUUUACUGUGCUAACGCUUAACCAAGUUUUUGUGGCUUAAGUUUUCAAGAUUUAUAGGAUCACCUAUUCACCCCCCUCUAGGUGCUCUCAAUAAUAUACUUUUAGUAAAAGUACUUGUUGGUCAUAUAUUAAAGUUCCUUAAUAGAACCAAAAUAGGACAACACGGUUAAAGUAAAAGGAUUCUUUCUCUAGGAGGACAAAUCUAGGUUGAAGGUUGAAAGUAAAUGCAAGGGAUUCGAAGCAGUCAAAUUCAAUUCAUGUUCAUCCUACUUUUUUAUUAAUUAAACGAUGUUACAAGACUACCUUCAGAAUGUUCAAAGACAAUAAAGACACACCUAAAUUUUAUAGCUUUGGACGUGCAGCGAUCCAUUAUGAAAAUGUAUAUCUCAUCUCAGGAAGAAUCUGGCUCUAUGCAUAGGCACAGUAAUUCUAUUUAUAGGGGGCAUGAUACACAUCUUCAUAUAAAAUUAUAAUUACAAUCUCGAAUCCUAUACUUGUGAACUACACGGUUCAUCAAAGGUAUUGCUAUCUUUUCUUCUUGGAGACGUGCUAAAUAUGUCGCUUGAUUCCUUCUUUGUUUUCUUGCCAUCCGCUUCACGUGUCACAAGGUGCUUCGGCUAAACACCAACGCCUAAGCUAGUAGUUUGAGGACUAGAAUCAUUCUAGGUCGGUAGAGGCUACUGUGAUGAAGAUCACUUUGUUACUCCUGAAACAAACCACAAAGCAAUGAGAUUAAUUAGUUUGAGUACCUUCGGCAAAGGUAUACCUCCAACAGUACUACAUAUUCGUAUUGGUGCUUUGUCUAUAUCUGAGUGAAAUUUUCAUUUUAUUGUUAAAAUGUAAACACAAUAAUAAUUUUUAAACAGAAUAGGUGUAAAGAGAUUUUCCAAAAUUUUGUUUUGCUAAAUACUACUCCGUCCCAAAUUAGUAUUCGAUUUAGCUCUUUGUUUUUAUGUCUAUAUUCAAAUGAAUGAUAAUAAAUCUAGGCACAUAUGCAAAACAUAUACAACAAUUUGAAUCCAUAAAUGGCUAAAACGAAUUUUAAAUUGGAAAAGGGGAAGUAAUAGGUAGUGAUCAUAUUUAAACAUGAUUGUUCUGCCUUUUGUAAUAGUAUACUACUAUCAGUAAAAGUACUACGUACUUGUAUUGAUGUUUUGGGUUGUUUGGUUUGCAGCCUCACCUUACAUUUUGUCACGUCUAAGGUUACACAUGUUUAACAGAGCUAGACAUGUGUUUGGUUUGCAGCCACAGUUCUGACAAGAUUUUUCUGCAAAUACGUAGGUCUCACGUUAAUAAUUUGUAAAAGUGUGACAAAAUUUAUUUUAGUCAUGUUAAGAUGUAAUGUAGAAUUUAGGCGGCUAACCUUAGUCAACUCAAGGUUGCCGGUGAGCCUCCCUCCAUACGACGCGAGGAGCCCUAGUCCAGCGGCGACGAACCUCGAUUGCCUCGAUUCAGCGUCGGUAAAUUUUAACCCGGCACCGGUGAGCCUCGACUGGGCACCGACAAGUCUCGAUGCGACGCCAACUCGACUGUCCAGUGUCCACGGAGGUGCACGAUCGAGGACCUUGCUUACGUAGGAGAGUUGAUUUGGCUCGCCUAUGCUGACAAAGAUUUUCUUGCCCGGGCGGGUAAGCUUGCCUAACAACUGGGUGAGGCGAGCGAGAGAGACUACCAAACAGCUUGUCUCGCCCAGCUAGGUGAUGCAAGCGGCUGGCAAGGGAUUUAAGCACAUCCGUAGUUACCUUCAUACUUGAGUGGAAGAUCUUGUGUUCUUAGUAGAGCUGUUGUUAGGAGGUACGAAUAAUUUUUUUAUAUCUAUAGAUCUGACCAAAUCUUAUUACAUAGCACCACCAAAUCUAUUAUAUAAGCUAAUAUUAAGCGUACUUUGAGCAUUGUGUUAUCCAGGUAUACAUAUAUAUAUAUAUAUAUAUAAAAACUCCGCGAACAAUUUAUUUAAACUCAAACGAAUUGCACCGUACAGGGAUAGAAAAUGGCACACGUAGGCGACCCAUCGCCUGUGGCCAUCCAGUUGCUUUCAGCUCUCCCUGUCCACAUGGUGCACCAACUUUCUAGCCUUAGAUUCAACUGACCAACCUCUUUUGUGUUAUCGUGUGUGUGACUCCUCCGUCACAAAACUCUGAAACGAAAGGACUCCGUGGGUUUAACAUAGGAUGCGUCUAGCAAUUUGGCUCCUGGUGGGCCCAAAACGGACAAAAUUGGCCUGGAUGGAUUCGUAAGGACCGUAGUGGGUCCUUCCAGUAGUUUCUCAACUAAUUAUAAGGCAUGAUUGAUACAUGUGGAUAAAGUUUUCUCUGAUGAUUGCAGCGGGACAUUACCCCCGGUUUUUUAGACGUGUACAGUCAAUUACCAUGAAACGACUUCAUUCUGGUUUAAAUAUGACAGGUAAAAGUAAAACAUCAUAAAAGUUCCGUGUGCGAGUGAAAGAGGGUAGACGAGACAAGCAGACAAGCGUUGGAUAUUUCUAGACCGGUCAGCUGUGGCUCUGCUUUGAAAAACAGCCUUGCCUUAUCCUGUAAGGCAUGUGGUCCCCCGGUUUUCAAAAAAAAAUGUUUUCUCUCUCUCUCGGAUCUGAUCUUAGGGGGAUCUAGUAUUUGUUUAGUUCAGUGAGCUUCAGCUCUUAGGCCGAAUCUAGGAAGAGUUUUGCUAAAUAGUACUUCUUCCGUUUUUUUACUUAACGUUUUUUAUUCAAAAAUAAACUAUUCGACGUCAAAUAUUUAAAAAUAAAGUAGUAGUAUUUCAAAAGAACCGAUUUUUUCGCAUGUUUGAGUAGAUUCGCUGGGGAAUUUGGUGUUGCCUGAAGCCCACUAGACGAGUGGCCCAUUGAUCCUGAGGACAUGGUGGCCGCCUUUGUGGUCCAGUAGGUAGGUUGAGAACUGUGUUUAGAAUAAGAGGACCACGGCACAACUUCUUAUUCUGUUUCAGUACCAAUGAUAGGAGGAAAUAAAGCAACAACUCACGUUCUACUUAGUUUUGUUCAGAAAUCAUAUCAUCUCUGUCCUUUGCCACAGCUGUCUGUCCUGGAGGAUUGGACCAGCCCCUGUGCGUGCUCGUCGCCGUCGUCGAUGGAUAGGCACCGUCCGUGCCGGGCGCUUGAUAGAGCUGUUGGCUGUUGCCGCUGGUCAAUAGUUCACUGCCAUGUUAGUUUACGAAUGUCUGUUGGGAUAAUCCACCUUCAUCGAUGAGUAGUACAGCAAUGUUUAGUCGUUGGUGUGACGCCGAUCUAAACCGCCGACCGUCAGUUGUAGCAAUACUUACACAACAGCGCAGUUGCCCACAACUGGAUAGCUUGCAUAGAAUGUUUAAAUAUAACUUAAUUAGAUAAAACGAAAUCCGUUGUAGUCUAGCUGGUCAGGAUAUUUGGCUCUCACCCGAAAGACCCGGGUUCGAGUCCCGGCAACGGAAUAAUUUUUUUGCCUGGUUGCAGGCCUACGUUUUGCAUUUCCUGUGUUUCGCCAGAGCUCGGUGGCCUCGUGCGGCAUCUGCGUCUGUGGCACGUCACGGCCGACGGCCUCCCGCGCGGCCUUAUGCGAAAUUAAACAGGACUUCUUAUUGAAGGAUGUUGAAUUCUUCAUUAUUUUCGAUAGAGAUUACAGAGACAACGAAAACAUAAUUUUGACACUAUCUAAAUAUACAACAGAUCUCUUUUAAAAGAGUUGGUAUGGCAAACUACAAUUCUAUAAACACACCAUUAUGUACUAGUAAAAAGUAGAGAUGACAAUGGGUACUACCUCAUACCCAAACCCACGAUACAAAAAUAACCCCAUCGGAUCACCCAUAUAAACUGACGGGUAUGGAUUUACCCCCAUACCAUACCCAUGUGGGUAUGGGUCACCCAUCGGGUCACGCGUACCCACAAAAAGUAAACAUCUAUCAAAAUAUUAUAUUAUACAGAUAUCAAGUAUAUCCAUCUAAAUACCAUUACAAAAUUUAUAGCAUCAUUUAACCAUCCAUUCAACACACCAAAGAUAAUUGGAUAAAGUAGUAACACUAGGAUAGUACUACAUAGCACAUUACAUGUUCCAUUACAUGGUCAUUAAAUUAUCGUUAAGCCUUCUAUGACAUUAUGACCUAGAAGUUUGUUAAAUAAAAGAUUGAUGACUAAAGUCCAAUUUCAUGCUUGGGCAAAGUUUAUAUUGGGUAUUUUAUACCCAUGGGUUAACGGGUAUGAGUGAAGGCAGAACAUUCUAAUACCUGUUUACCCUUUGGGUGAAGAUUUUUGCCUAAUAAUAGAUACACGGGUAGAAUAUUUAGCCCACAUACAUACCCUAAUGGAGUAAAUACCUAUCGGGUAUCGGGUCGCGGGUACCCAUUGCCAUCUCUAAUAAAAAGUCAUCUCUUCACGAAGGAUUGUUGUUAGAACCAAAAGAUGUAACAUGGUAUAGAAAUAUACCAUGUGUUUGGUUGCCGUAGAAGUCGAGUCAGUCCGGCAUGAGACUAGCUAGUAUUGUUAGAAUUAGGGUGAGUCAUGUAAGCAGUUUUGUUUGAUUGUUUGUACAUGUUUGUGCAGACUAGACACCGACUUUGUUUGGUUGUUUGCACUGAGACGUAGGUGCAUAAAUAAAUCUCUAAUAUUAUAUAGUAUGACUGGCCUAGUUUUAUUCACGAAAGUCUUAGGGACACAAAUAUAAAAUUAAUUAGGUGAUUAAAUAUUUUUAAUUAAAAGAUAUAAUAAAAAAACAAUCCAGAAUGUAUUCUUGUUUUAUGUGCCGCACGCAGCGGCCGACUGCAUCUAGCCUGGGCGCGCGCUUACGUGAAACGUGGGCGUAUGGCAUGGACCUGGCCGGAAGCCAAUAUUUGCAUCUGAGCAGCCUGCGUCUGUAAAGAAGAGUAAACAACACUUUACGGACCCACGAAUGCAACUGCAUGCGAGCAGCAGUCAAUCAAACACAUAGACAGUGGGUGCUCUUCAAUAUUUUGACUUUGACUAUACCUGAUAUUGCAUUCCGGCGUUCUCAAGGUAUAUUAGUAUCUGCAUGCUCCUACUACAAUGCAUCGGACAACAGUAAAGUUAAUAGUAAGAUAUAUCAAAUCUUAUACUAAUCUCGGUGUGAAGAUUUGUAAAUCUCUGUCAAUGAUAGUAAACGGUUACCUAGAUGCAGACAGGCCCGGCCCUGAGGGUAGGCAGGGUAUGCCGCCGCUCAGGGCCCCCAAAAGUUAGUAGGGCCCCCAGUCCUACCUAAAUAGAUAUAUACUCUUAUAUAUAUGUAUGGUAUAUAUUUAUUCUAUUCCCAAAAUCUCUAGCCGCUGCUCGCUGGUAACCAUUGUUAAAGAUAUUGCAAAUGAUUUUGGUGUAAAUACAUCAUUUCCAAUAAAGCGUAAAACGGUGAGAAAGAAACAAUUUGAUGAAAGUAGGUGCCACGAAGAAAUUCUAGAAAAUGAGAGAGCUUUUCAAGUCAACUAUUUUUUGGUAUUAGUUGACAUGACGAGCACUUCUUUGAGGACCAGAUUUGAAGAACUCUCCAUGUUUAGGUAUAUUUGGGUUUUUAUUGAGCUCAAGCACACUAAGCUCACUAAAUGAUAGAGAACUUGAAGAGUUUUGCACUAAAUUUGCAAACACUUUCUCUCAUGAUGGUUCAUGUGAUGUUGAGUUAAAUAAUUUGAUUUCUAAAUUGAAUAUUCUAAAGUUUACUUUGCCUAACGACACAUUAUCUGCUGUGGAGAUUUUUGAGCAUAUCAGAGUUGUGGAUUGUUAUCCUAAUGCCUCUAUUGCUUAUAGAAUAUUAUUUACUGUGUUUGUUACUAUUGCAUCUGCUGAAAGAAGCUUCUCAAAAUUGAAGUUACCGAAUAAUUAUUUAAGAUCAGCAAUGAGUCAAGAAAGGUUGAAUAGUUUGACGCCUUUAUGAUCGAGAAGAAGCUAUUGAAUGAUAUCGAUAUCAAUAGUAUAAUCGAUGAUUUUGUAUCAAAAAAUGUUAGAAGAAAUUUUAUAAGAUGAGAAGUGUCAAGUAAAUUUUUAUUAUUUCAGCCAAUGUUAUUUUAUAAACAAUAAUGUGUAAUAUUCUAUAUUACAGUAACUUAUAUACAGUUUCUUUACUGAUAUGUAUUUAGUAGAUGUAUAGAUGAUAUAUACAUAUAUCUAAUUAUAUGGGGCCUCUAUAUAAUUUUUUGCUUAGGGCCCCCGAAAUGUUAGGACCGGCCCUGGAUGCAGAUUAGACAAAUUGUUUAGAUGAUAUUAGAUCUACAUGAGGUUUUGCUAUUUUUCUAGGGAAUAAUCUUGUUUUCUAGGAUGCAAGGAAACAUGCAACGUAAUGGAAAAAAAGUGAAUACUACCGUCGAGAUGACGUGGAUACAAACCUUACUGUUUAAACCACAAUUUUCAAGUCCUUUUUUAUGAAGGUAUGGGUUGGCAAGACAGGUGCAAAGCACCUAGUAUUUAAUCCAGUUUUUUUCAUGCCAGAACAAAACACAUUAAAGUUGAUUACCCUUUUGUUAGAGAACGAGUGGUUAGAAAAAUAAUUGAUGUCGAUUUUGUGUAUAUAGAAGAUCAAAUCGUUGAUAAGUUCAUAAAAGCUCUCACUAUAAGAAAGUUAGAAAAUUUGAAGUACAAUCUUAAUCUAGGGGGGGGGGGGGGGGAAUGCGAUCGAGGGGAUAUAUGCCGUGUUUGGAUCGGCUUUUGGUGGACUUCUGGCCGCCAGAAGCUGGAAGCCCAUCCAAACAGCUAGCUUCGUGACCAGAUUCUUUCCACCACGCGGCGGCUCGCAGCAGCUUCACCACAGCGGCCAAGAAUCGGCCAGGCGGCCAGCAGCCCACGUCCAUGAGAAGUUAGACGACUUCUCACCUUAAGCCGACACGGAAGCAAACUAUUUAGGGAUGAAACCAAAUUAGUUGUAAUGAACAUCACAUGUGUUAUUUGUGGAGCAAACUAACCAUCAGUUUCUUCCUACAGCCAGCUUAUCAAACAUCUAGAUCCUUGUUUUUGCAGGUAAAUACUAUCUUGUAGCCUUGUUCAUGAUGUACACGAUCGAGGCUUUGACCAAUAUGUACAUAGUAGCCUUGUUCAUGAUGUACCCGUAUCAAACACCCAGAUUCUAACCACCAGUUUCUUUCCACAGCAGCCGAACCAAACAUCUAGAUUCUAACCACCAGCUUCUCACUACAGUCAGUUUUUCCCUACAGUCAGCUUUUUAGAAAAGCUCUUCAGAAAAAAGCCGAACCGAACAUGCCCAUAAAAUAGUAUAGCUUCGAUUUCAAUCACACGUGAUGUAAUUGAUUGUAUUCUUUAAAAGAUAAGGAAUAAAUUUGAUUUAAUUUAAAUAAAGACAGAAAGAUAUAGUAUCUAAAUUAAACCUUAGUUAUAUUUAAAUUUGUAAACUAAAGCAAUGGUGAUAGCAUCGUAGCUCCAUGACUGGUUCAGAGAUUAGGGAUAGCACUGGUGGCUCAGGAUUACCUGUAGGAUCGACAAUUUGUCACGUGUUCUGUUUCUGUUGUCUUUGUGCGUUAUUGUGGAAUUAAACACCCUCUGUUGUUUAGAGCUGACGAAUGUUGUAGCUGUGGGUUCAUGUGGUACCAGUACCUUUUUCUUUGUCUGUGAACACUGCGCAUGUUUCCUCAGGCAUGUUCACCUUUACUGAAAAAGAAUUUUUUUUUGUGGGGGGGGGGGGGGGGGGGGGUCAAUCUUUUAUGCCAGUGGCACAUUGCCUUUUCUUCUUCGUUGUGCCUUUUUUUUUUAAAAAAAUUACUGCUUCGAACACAUAAUAUGCGUCGAAGUCUCUGCGACAAUGUUGCAACAGGAACCAAACUACUUGCAAUCUUGAACCAAACAAGUGCUCUGCUAUGCUAUGCAUACCCGACAUAUUUCCUCACAAACAAGAAAAAGAAUACCGCCAAGGGAGAGAAGAAAAAAAUAACCAAGAAACGAAUAUGAUGCGCAGUAAAAAGCAACCAGAAACUGCACGAAUUCACGCAAGCAACCGGGUCAAACGCGGCCAAAACUCCCGGGGGUUCUUGUGCUUCCAACCAGAAACUGCACAGGCACAGCUCCUUCCUUCAUCACGUUUUAAGUGCUGGACGAGUACCCGACUUUCUUGUCGUCGCGGUGCGGAACAACGGUCCUGGGAGCGUCGACGUGCAUCCUCAGGGAGCUGAACUCGAGCGCGAAGAUGGGCCUGGACAACAGGACCGAGAUGCUGUGGCUUCGGGCGUCCAAGUCGGCUGCCACGCUGGACCCGGAGCUGCUGACCUCGCCGUCGGAUUUUUCCUGCUGGGGCUCUGUGGUUCUUGCACUCCAGAUCCUAGCAGGCUUCACAGGGCGCACCCUGUGGAAGGAAACAGUCAACAGUGCGUCGAAUACGGGUAGAUCGUACGCCAUCAAUGGAUAGCUCACUAGCCCAGGACGUUCACAGAGUUUUGUUUUUUGUCAUCACCUGCAUUCUACUUGACAGGAGUACUUGAGAAGAUCAGGAUGGUCCACUGUACGUCCGCUGAAAUUCGCAAAGCAAGCGAGACGUGCCUGUUUCAGAAACAAUACGUAUUUUGACGAGGACUCUUUUUUUUCCCCUUCUUCUUGCCCUUCUUUCGAUUUCUCAGUAGAAAUCUGCGCAUGGCUACGUAAAUUCUUUCUUUGAAGGAAAUCAUGGGGGAAUACGGUUUGGUUCGCCUGACCUGAAACUCGGGAGUGACAUUCUGAUUGCUGGGCCCGCCCACUGGUGGUCCUUAUGUGAUCCUGCUGUCGCCUCCAUAUGGUUAGAAAGUGAAGUAAAAGCAUUGGAUCAACAAAGCAGAGGCUCGUGUCGUGAGUAGCGCGUCUUGAGAGUGAAAAAGGAUAGAUAGCAUUAGGAAACAUGUCGUUCUGAAAGACAUACAGGAAAACCUCAUCGUAUUUGACAUCCACAUCAGUGAAGAAGUGAGGUCAAGAGUGAUUUGACAAAAUCCAAUGCGACAGAUUCAGACUACUAUAUAUAUAGUUUAUGUAUUUUGAGCCCUAGGCUUUUAAUAGUUGAGCGGAAGCCCUGACCCGAUGUUGCCAACCGGUUCAGCCGCAUCUCGUCCAAAGUGUUUAUAAAAGAAGCUCUAGAUCGCUAGCCGCUAGGGUUCAGUUACGUCGACAGUUACGCCCCCACCCCUGAGGGGCGCGCGCGACGGCGGAUCCUGGGAGCAAGCGCGCGACGGCGGAUCUGGGGGACACGCUUGCGACGACGGAUCAGGGGACACGCUCGCGACGGCGGAUCCCUGAGGCGCGCACGACAGCGAGGUGGGAGCGACUGCGGCAUCGGAUCCCGAGGGCACGCACACGACAGCGGCCCCAUGAGGUGCGCACGACGGUGAUGUGGCAGCGGUCGCGGCGGCGAAUCUCGUGGGGCUCGAGCGCGACAGCGUCUCCCUGAGGUGCAGGCGGUAGCGACCCCUUGAGGUGCGCACAACGAUGACGUGGGAGCGGUUGCGGCGGCGCGACGGUGGAUCUCAGGGGCAUGUGAGCAACAAUGACACCCCUAAGGCAUGCAUGACGACGAGGUGGGAGCGGUUGGUGCAACGGAUCUCGGGAUUCAUGCGCGCGAGGGUCGACUCCUGAGCGCAUACAACUGCGAUGCCAUCCAAGGUGGGAGCAGCGAUGGCGGAUUUCCCUAGGCGCAAGCGACGACGGCAUCCUCCCCUAGGCACGAAGUGGUGGCGCAUCCCAGAUGCAAGGCGUCGGUUCCGCAGGCCGGUGAUCAUAUUUUUAUGCUAUUUUGUAUACAUAUUUAUACCAAUGUCAAUAGAAUUUUACGACCUAUAUUUCAGUUCAUGGCUCCGCUUCCAUCUAUUAGUCUGUUUAUGAUAUUUCUAUUCAUAUUUUACGCAAACGAUUUAUUGUUUUAUGCAUUAACUCGUUCAUUAAUCUAGUGUGUAUUGGAUUCCUACCAUUUAUGCCAUAUGUAUAAGAUAUAUUUACGACCCACACAUUAACGCAAUAAAAUAGAAAUUUAGAAAGAAAAAAUAACCGCUAUAAGAAAUGAGGUCAUUUGCCACAAUUCCAUAAAUCUCGCAUAUGCUGAUCCAUUUUCUUUUCAGCUCACAUUAUUGCCAUCCUAAAUUUGAGCACAUGCAGUACAAAACCGAUUUUUUACGCAGUCCACCGUAGGACAUAAAUAACUUCACCGUGUUGUAUAACUAGUAUCAGUAUAUAUCAUAAACUGGUUAUAAUGAGCCUUAAUGCAUGGAUGUUGGAGAGAUCUUAUAUUUAUAGAGGAAAUAAAGCAUUGAAAUCAGAUUUUUUUUAUUUCCAUACGUGUUUUCGUUAUGAAAUAGAUCGAUGAUUUACACUAAAAUGUAUACCCAUUUAUACUGUUUUGGUUCACGUUUUCUGAUGAUAAGUCAUCUUACUGGGCACUAGUUCUGGUUAAAAAAAGAACAGUGCAUUUUGCAUGUUCAAAAAUGUUAUUUUGAAGAGUCCACGUUCAGUAAUAUAGCCGAAAAAAAAGUUCAGGGAAACGUAGCUCAAAAGGAUAAGGAAACAAGCACAACAUUUGAGCCUAGCAAUUACUGUAUAACCGUAUCAACGUGGUUUCGAUAGAUUAAGGGCAUGUUUGUUUCCUCGCUGGAUUGUAUAAUCCAACUUAUUUUAUAUAGAUUAUAUAAUUCAUAAUCCUAUUAGAGAUGUUUAUUUACGCAAAUUAUUAGCAGGUAAAACGCAAACAAUUAAUUUAAAAUAACCAUCUACUGAUCUGCUUAUGGAUUUAUCACAAUCUAGGUAGAGGUGGUAAUGAGCUUUAAAUUUUAUACUACAAAAUUUAAGGAUCAGAUCGGGAUCUAUUUCUAUUUAUUUUUAGACUAAAAUUAAGUAAGGGAUCAAAUAUAAUGUGGAAAAAAAAUAAUAUUUGGAUCGUGAUCUAUUACCACCUAUAAAUCUAGGUAACUAGAUUAUAUAAUCUACUUCAAUAAUCUAUGUUGUUUGUUUGCACGCUUAACUUAUUUAAGCUCGAUUAUAUAUGAUAUAGAGGGUAAACAAACAGUACCUAAAUGGAUAAGAAGACUGUUACCGGUAAAUGGCAGGCUGAUGUUGCACAGAUGCCGAGUAGACGAGCCGCCCUUGGACUCUGAAACCUCAAUCUCGCGGCCAUUCCCUUGCUCGAAGGCUGUCGACCCGAUCCCCAGCAUGUUGAGGAAGCUGUUUGGUCUAGCCAACGGUCUAUCCCCAAGCGAAGCAGCCUCGUUCUGUCUCAUCAUGUGACACAGACAGGUUACAAGUCUCACGACAGCGACAUUUUGCAGUCCUAAUCAGCUGCCACAAGCGUUCGGAAUGUAGCAAGUAGCAACGGCUUUGGUAUCUCGGUACCUUUGACGAGAAUGUGGCGACAUGGCUUGGCAGUCCUACCUCCUGCAGAGAUCGGGACGACGGCUCCAGUUCAGUUCAGGGAAAGGGAAACAGCAGGACAAGAAACGUGACACAGAGGAGUUCCGGUGGUCAAAGUAACCUUGCGGCCGUGCCGGCAGGCUUCGACGCUGUUCACCAGCACCCUGGCAGCCCACCUGAAAACAAGCUCAUACAGUAGUAGAUCAGAAGCAGCAAGAACUGAAAAAAAGCUCAGUCAAGCAAGUCACCACUAUUCAGAGUUCCAUCCAACUGCUGCAUUUCGAAGACGGAGGAAAGUAGGAAACCACGGGCGGCUGUAGGCUGUAGCUGAGCUGCGCAGGGCAGCAAGUUGGCCACGCGGAGCAAGUGCAGCGCACCCGGACACCCCUCCCCAGCCUACGAAUAAUUGAAAGAAGCAAGGCACAGUCCGUGCUGCCAAGUACAAUCAUAUGGGGGAUAAGGCGCUUGUUUAUGGCCGGCUGGCGCAAGCACGAGGGUUUUCGUUUUUUUUCUUUCCCCUUCGCAUACUGCAAGUUGCCCCUGUUCUUUUCUGUUGGGGGGUCCCUGAUCGAGGCCAAUCAGGCAGGAGAAAGCGGCGAAGAAGCCUACAAGGGAUUAAACUAGGCCACAGAAGAUGCGAAUGCAAUGCAGGCAUGAAGCGGAGCGAAGGCGAACUCACGCGCAGGAGGUCGGCGGGUUCCACACAAUGCCGGCGAUCACCACGAGCUGCAGGCGCCAAAAAAAAAGGGUGUCGGUCGGUGGGUCGGCCGGGUCGUCGAACCGAAUCUUGCAGGAACAUUAGAUAGAACCCGCAGCAGCAGCCAAUGGCGGCGGCAGGCGCGGUGCGCGCAGGCAGUAUACCUCGUCGAAUUCGCCGGCAGGGCUGUCGUGGUAGCGCGCCAGGAACAUGCCGCCGAGCGUGUAGCCGAAGGCCUCAACCAGGCGGAGGUCCCGCGGCACGAAGGCCCGCGCCGUCGACGCCUUCACCAAAUGCAGCUGGUACAAUGCGCUGCAGUGCAGCAGGAGGAGGAAGGAGAGCGCGGCGGCGAGAGACCAUCACCCAUCAUCCAUCACGCACUGGCUCGAUCGAACAGGUGGGGGGAAAGAAGAAAAGAAAAAAAAGGAAAGGAGAGCUGCGGGCCUUGCCUGCCUUUGAACACCCAUGGCGGCCCGUGCUUGUACCCCGCGCAGGCCGUCUCCUUCUCCUCGUUCUCCGCCGCCAUGGAUCCCCCUUCCUCCUCACGCUCUCGGCAGCUAGCUAGCUAGCUAGACAGACAGACAGACUCUCCGCGAACGCAAGGGAAGCGGCCCCGCCACUGGACAGGGAAGGAGAGUCAAAGGGCGGCCCUGGGUUUAUAGGCAGGCAGGAGCUGGUGGAGUGGGAGGAGGGCGAAUGGAAGGGGAGGCAGGGGGCGAUGAAUGCUGAUGCACUGACUGAUGCUGGGACGCAGGUCGCGGCUUAAACAAGUGGUUGUCGCCGCGGCUUUGCGGCUCGCGAGCUUUGGUUCGACGGAGGGGACGGGAGGCGAGAGGGGAUGGGAGCCCGGGCGGACCUUAUCCGGUGGACAGGUGGCACCAGCCUAGAGGCCACGGGUGCGGGUGACGUCAUCCGUCGAGAUCCGAGCGGGGCCCACGCUUUGCUGUCUCAUCGUCCGCGUCGGUUCCCUGCCGCUGAUCAGCUCCCGGACCCGGAGUCCGGACCCCGGACAAAGAUGUGGCGGGCUGCUUGUUUGAUUGCGGGGCCGGGGCGCCGCUGUGUUUUCCCUGCUGCUGUUUUCGGGAUCUUGGAUUAGUCAACCAAGGCCACGGCCAUGAAAGCCACAGCGGAGCGGGGGCAGCGUGCGGCAUGCGCUGUGUGCCGGUCAUGGCAACGAGACCUGAACUCCGCGGGAAUUUAUCUAUUAGGACAUGUUCCCAAUAUAAUAACGAGAUUUAGCGUUUUUAUCAGGCGUGUACAAACCAAGUCAUAAAACCAGAUACUCCCUCCUUUCUUUUUAGUUAUCGCUGGAUAGUUCCAUUUUGUACUAUCCAGCGACAACUAAAACGAAACGGAAAGAGUACAUAAUGCUUUUGCUAAAUCUAUUAGCUUCAUUACCAAACAAAAACGUGAGAAAGAGCGUCUACACAACAUCUUUGAUUAUUGAAAGGAAGGCAAGUUCCUAACCCUGUCAUACCGUAGCAAAUGGACUAAUUUGUGGGUAAAGAAGUGGUUUUACAUGAAAAAUAAUUUUAAAAGCGGUGAACAUAUCAAGGGCAUAAUUCAAAUGCUUAUCAAGCCCAAUUUUGGAUUUAAGAGGUCGACUUGUUAUAUGAGUAUGACUGUCUUUAAUAUUGUUUGCACCUAUACAUCGGAACACGAGAUCGGGUUCAAGAGCAUUUAGCUUUGAAUAUCUGGACGCUGAGGACUGAGUGGGUGAAAGUUGUCUAGAGAGGGGGUGAAUAGACGAAACUUGAAAAUUACAAACUUUGAACAUAAACUUCACCCAAGGUUAGCGUUAGAACGAGUAAUGACGAAAUUAGAGUGCAGAAGAUAGUUCUACUGCCAUGGAUUGAUCAAUCAAUUCGCAUAACUUUGGGAGUUAACUCAAAAUGAUCACAAGCAAGAGAACUCAGAGAGAUGGGAGAGGAAGAAUCAAAUCACAAUGCAAGAUUAACAUAAAGACACAGGUGAUUUGUUUCCCGAGCUUCAGUUCCGAAGAACCUACUCUCCAUUGAGGAGGCCACGUAGGUCGGGUCUUUUUCAACCUUUUUCCUCUCUCAAACGGUCACUUAGACCGGUUUAGUGCUUCUUCUUAAUCUCGAGGGUCACUUAGACCCCGCAAGGACCACCACAUAAUUAGGUGUCUCUUGAUACCUUUACAAGUCAAUGAGAAUUUAGAAGAAGAGGAAGAAAGCACGAUCAAGAAACCAAGCAACAAGAGCAACAAUAAAACACAAGGUCACACUCUUUAUAGUGUCUCUAUAAAGCGCUAAUCACUAAAGAUUACAAAUCACAAUUAUGGCACUUGGAGGAGUUUUGAGACUUUUGAGUGUGCUUGAAGUGAAGAGUUGCUCUUGCAAUGAAUGAGAGUUAUGGAAGUUUGGAUGAGUUGAAUGGAGGUGGUUGGGGUUGUAUUUAUAGCCACCAACCUUUUCCUAGUUGUUGCCCUUGUUCUGCCACGUGUGGUUGGUCCGCGCUCCUGGUUCGGACGGUUCGCCCCUGCACAUCAACGAUUGGAUUUUGCAACGGUCAGUUAUAAUGGCUAAAAUCACAUUAAAUGUCUCGUCGAAUGUCAGAUAAAGUCUGACGUGGACGACCCGGUCGUGCCUCCAAAUGGUCCGCGUGUGCGUUAUAAUUCAUUUUACCGAACCAGACACCUUCGGGUUGUUCUGUCUUUCAACGAUCGGAUGGUUCCCUCCUGAGGCCGGACAGUUUUCACAUGACUUCAGACGGUACUAUUCUUUCCUUCGGAUAGUCCGUAGUAGAAAAGUGCAUUUGGCAUAGUAUCUCUCCGAAGUCCAUCGAGGUGUCACAGACAGUCCGCCGAAAGGGCUCAGACGGUCCGAGCACAUGUGAAUUUUCUAAAAAUAGCUCAUGUCCAGAAUAAUCUAUGUAAUUCCGGACAGUCCGCUUUAGAACCUCAGACAACCCACGAAGCGCUGUUUUGAUGGUUAAUCUUUCUUGAAGUAUUUUCUGAGUUCCUGAGAUCAUAACUUGCUAAACUAGUUAGCUAAAUUGGUUGUGAUGGUCGUCAAUUACCAAAAAAUAGUGGAAAUGGUUUUUAGGCCUAUUUCCCUUUCAGUGGGCGACGUUAGAGCCGAAGGAAGGUAGCACGAUGAAGCAAGAGGCAAGUCUUGUUAGGUUGAAAUAUACGUAUAAGUUCAAAAAAUAGUUUGGGAGCCAUGCGACAAAUGGUUGAAAGCUAUCGAGGAUAAAUGCAAUGAAAUCCUUGGAUUUCAAUAAGAAAGGAGACGAUGUUUUUCCCGCUGCCCUCGGAGAAAUGAUGGUUGAACCGCGUGUUCGACACCAUCGGUUUGUUUACCUUGACUACCCGAGCUAACACUAGGUGGGGGAAAUAAAAGGAAGCAGAAAAAAUUAAGAUGAUGACCAAACAUCGCAAAAUCUUUGCUACAGAGGAAGGUGAACAUGCUAGGAAGAAAGUUAAUUUUGAAGAAAGAGCAGCAGAUGUCGAGCUGAGGCUAACUAUUAGGACUUGAGAAAUAUCGAGGGCACAUAAUGACAUUUUGCUCGACUUUUACUAAUGCUUAGAAUUUGUCAUACGAUACCUUUCUUUGAUGGCUUGUUCACAUUUUUAUAGGAAAAUUUUGAGACUAAAGAAGUUAUUGAAUUGUCUAUACUUUGAUGAAACUUCUUUGGCCAAAAUUGAAGCAAAGCCAAAGAAAAGCCUUGACUCCGACACCUGGAGCAAAAACCCUAAGGAAAGAUAGACAUAUAAAUCCUAUGAUGAAUGCCUUUCUUUACGAGGAUACACAUGAGGAGACUACUGAAGCAGAAGCUACUUCUAAGGCUUUGGGAGAUAAGACAGCCACCACAACAAUGGUGGUGGCCAAAGAAAUUGAUGUUUGCAUGGCGAUCACGCCAACAACGGAAGCUAAAGAGAUGCCCAUGGCCGCACCAUUAGUGGUACCAGAAAAGGUCGAAGCCAAGGACAACUCUCCAAAGCAAGAUAUUAUUCCCAAAAAACAAUGAGGGUGAAAAGGCUGUGGAGGCCAAAAGGGCAAAAUAAACGGAGGAAGAGAAAUUCUCCAAACACAGGACUGAAAGGGAAAUGUGCCCUUGGGCCAUUUCUAUAAGUUUUUGGUGAUUAAGUGCCCAACACACAUUAAGGGAAUGAGUAUAUGCCAAAGGGUGGACAAAGUGCAAAUCAAUACAAAGGUAUGAUUCUAUACUUAGUACAUUAGUUUUUGUGUACUAACAUAUUUGUCUAAGUGCUAGAAUCAGAGAAAAGACAAUUGGAAAAGACUUGGCUCGAGCAGCCAAGACUCUGCUCAGUCUGGGUACACCGGACUGUCUGGUAGUGCACCGGACAGUGUCCGGAGGUGCACCGGACAGUGUCCGGUGCGCCAGGCUGGCUCUGGUGAAAAGGCCGCUCUCGGGAAUUCGUCGGCGGCGUACGGCUAAAAUUCACCGGACUGUCCGGUGAGCCAACGGUCGACCGAGCCAACGGUCAGCCGCGCAAUCCGCGCGUGACGCGUGGCCGGGCCAACGGUCUGAAGGGGGCACCGGACUGUCCGGUGUGCACCGGACAGUGUCCGGUGCGCCAACGGCUCCAAAUCGCCAAUGGUCGGCUGCGCCAAAAUAGGAAAGAAAUCUGCACCAGACAGUGUCCGGUGGUGCACCGGACUGUCCGGUGCGCCAGUCGACAGAAGGCAAGAAUUGCCUUCCUAGAAUGCUCUCAACGACUCCUAGCUACCUUGGGGCUAUAAAAGGGACCCCUAGGCGCAUGGAGGAGAACACUAAGCACACUUUGAGCAUUCUUGAUCAUUCACACUUCGUUCUUGCGCACUCGUUUGACAUUCUUAGUGAUUUGAGCUAUGUUCUAGUGAGAACUUUGAGAUACUCAUUUGAACUCAAGUCUUGGCCGUGUGUGUGUGUAUUGCUGUGGACUUGUGUGUGUUGCUCAUCCCAUCCUUACUUCCGUGUUCAUUUGUGAUCAUCUUUUGUAAGGGCGAGAGACUCCAAGUUGUGGAGAUUCCUCGCAAACGGGAUAUAGUGAAAGAAAAAGAAAUACCGUGGUAUUCAAGUGGAUCUUUGGAUCACUUGAGAGGGGUUGAUUGCAACCCUCGUCCGUUGGGACGCCACAACGUGGAGUAGGCAAGUGUUGAACUUGGCCGAACCACGGGAUAAACCACUGUGCCUCUCUGUGUUGAUAUCUUUGUGGUUAUUGUGUUUUGCAAGAACUCCUUUCUAGCCACUUGGCUUUAUUGCUCUAACACUUAAUCAAGUUUGUGGCAUUAAGUUUUAAGUUUUUACAGGAUCACCUAUUCACCCCCCCUCUAGGUGCUCUCAAUUGGUAUCAGAGCCGUUCUCUUCAAGAAAGGGACUAAUCGCCCGAAGAGAUGGAUCCUAAGGGAAAGGGGAUGGUGGUCAACGACAAUGAGAAGGAGUCCAUCUUCAACGAGCCAAGGGACGGCAAAGUCAAUGACUCCGACUCAAGUCAAAAGAAGAAAGAUGGAAAGAAGAAGAGACGCAUCAGGAAGGUUGUCUACUACGACAGCGACAAAUCUUCCUCUUCUCAAAAGGACGACAAAUACGAGGAAAAGAAGAAAACAGUUAACUCUAACUUUUCCUUUGAUUAUUCUCAUAUUCCGCAUAAUUCCAAUGCUCAUUUGCUUUCUAUUCCACUUGGUAAACCUCCUCACUUUGAUGGAGAGGACUACGGAUUUUGGAGUCACAAAAUGCGUAGUCAUUUGUUCUCUCUUCAUCCAAGUAUAUGGGAGAUAGUAGAAAACGAAAUGCAAUUUGAUAGUUCAGAUAAUUCUAUGUUUAUCAAUGAACAGAUCCAUAAGAAUGCACAAGCUACUACUGUUCUUCUAGCAUCCUUGUGCAGGGAAGAAUACAAUAAGGUGAGCGGCUUAGACAAUGCCAAGCAGAUCUGGGACACCCUCAAGAUCUCACAUGAGGGGAACGACGUUACCAUGCUCACCAAGAUGGAGUUGGUGGAAGGCGAACUAGAAAGGUUCGCAAUGAUCAGGGGGGAGGAGCCAACCCAAACGUACAACAGGCUCAAGACCCUCGUCAACAAAAUAAGGAGCUAUGGAAGCACGCGAUGGACGGACCACGACGUCAUCCGACUUAUGCUAACGUCCUUCACCGUCCUUGAUCCUCAUCUUGUUAACUCUAUUCGUGAUGUUAGGACGUUUAUGCCCCCAGGCAUCUGGAUUAUCCCUAGGAUAUUCCCAUAAUGGAGGGUUACAGACUGUCAUUAUAUGAAAGUCAUUACAAAUCGGGCCCGUAACACACAUCGCCGUCGCGGGGCCUAAUACGACGGGCCGCUUCCCACAUGGACCUCCAGGCUAGGUGAGGACGUGGGAUGACGGGACUUCAUCGUGGCCCUUCGUCUUGCGAUGAGAAGGACGAAGGGUAGCCUGCGCCGGUCAUCUAGCUUCCGUAGGUGCGCAGAGUUGACGAGGGCUUCGAGCGAAGGGUAGUGUCUUUGCCUUCGCCCCAACAUUUGCCCUUCGAGGGACCAGUUCGACUAAGUCAUCUGGUGCCGAAGACGUCGCUAGAUGGUGGAGACGCUGCCCUCGCUCGAAGUGGUUCCGUGGGGGUUUUUGAUGUGACCGUUGAUGAACGUAGUACUGUUGGACUGUGGGUUUCCCGAAGCGUCGCGUACUGAGUAUAAAAAGGUGGGGCAGCGCGGGUCAGGUUCUCUUACCUUUCUAUGUGUCGCGAAACCCUAGCCUCCUUUUGAAACCGUGCACCCGCUCGCCUACCCUCCUUGCUCCUUGAGAGCACCUAGAGGGGGGGGGGUGAAUAGGUGAUCCUGUAAAAGUUCAAAACUUAAGCCACAAAAACUUGUUAAGGGUUAACACAAGUAUGACCAAGUGGCUAGAGAGAACUCAAAACAAGAUAACCACAAGAAAGCAAUCACAGAGUUGACACGGUGGUUAUCCCGUGGUUCGGCCAAGUACAAAACUUGCCUACUCCACGUUGUGGCGUCCCAACGGACGAGAGUUGCACUCAACUCCUCUCAAGUGAUCCAAUGAUCAACUUGAAUACCACGGUGUUUUUCUUUCCUUUGAUCUUUUCCCGUUUGCGAGGAAUCUCCACAACUUGGAGUCUCUCGCCCUUACAAUUGAGUUCACAAAGAAAUACGGAGUAAGGUGGGAAUGAGCAACGCACACAAGACUCGAAAAUCAGAGCAACAACACGCACACAAGUCGCAACAAGAGCUCGCAACGCAACACAAAGAGUUCACAACUCCACAAGAGCUCUAUAUGCUAUCACAAUGAAACGAAUGCGUGAGAUUGAUGUCUUGGUGCUUAGAAGAGUUGUAGGAAUGCUUGGUAUUCUCCUCCAUGCGCCAAGGGGUCCCUUUUAUAGCCCCAAGGCAGCUAGGAGCCGUUGGGAACAAAUCUGGAAGGCCAUCUUUGCCUUCUGUCUCGUGGCGCACCGGACAGUCCGGUGCACACCGGACACUGUCCGGUGCCCGAUUUGUUUCCAUAGAAAGCGAAGCCGACCGUUGCCGACCGUUGCAGAUCUGGCGCACCGGACAGUCCGGUGCACACCGGACAGUCCGGUGCUCCCUUCCGACCGUUGGCUCGGCCACGUGUCGCGCGCCGAUCGCGCGGCCGACCGUUGGCCCGGCCGACCGUUGGCUCACCGGACAGUCCGGUGCACACCGGACAGUCCGGUGAAUUUUAGCCGAAGUCGCCGGAGAAAAACCCGAGAGCGGCUGGUUUGCGCUGCGCUGAUCUGGCGCACCGGACACUGUCCGGUGCACACCGGACAGUCCGGUGCCCCAGCCCGAAGCAGCCUUUGGCUGUACACAGCCACUCUCCACUUCUUUUCUUUUCUUCUUUCUCCUGUUUCUAACACUUAGACAAGAUGUUAGUACACAAAACUAAUGUACUAAGGCUUAGAAACAUACCUUUACUUGUGAUUUACACUUUGUUCAUCCAUGAGCAUAUUUUCACAUUUAGGCCCUUGUGUUUGCACUCAAUCACCAAAAUACUUAGAAAUGGCCCAAGGGCACAUUUCCCUUUCAAUCUCCCCCUUUUUGGUGAUUUAUGCCAACACAACAUAAAGCAAGUGGAACAAGUGCAAAAUCACUUCAAAUAAAAACUCAAAUUGGUUUUGAUUCAAUUUUGGCAUAUAUGGAUCAUCCUUUGCCACCACUUGGUUUGUUUUUGCAAAUCAAACUCAAAUCUCUAUCUAUAAGUCAAACACACAUAUUGAAGCAUAAAGAGAGUCAUUUCAAAAGAAUUUGACCACGGAUUUCAAAAACUCCCCCUUUUUCCCAUAAUCAACACUUCUCCCCACAAGAAGCCAACUUUUGAAAAUAGAGACAAUAAGAGACAAUAAAAGCUUUUGACAAAACAAAAACUCUAUUCUACUAUUUUCAAAAUCUCUCAAGUGGUAGCUGAUCCAUUUAUCACUUUGGCCUUUAUUUUCUCCCCCUUUGGCAUCAAGCACCAAAACGGGAUCAAUCUUGGCCUGUUAACCCCAUUGCCUCACCAAAGUCUUCAAGUAAGAGCAAAUGGCAAUAAGAUUUCAUGAGAUGAACUUGGAAUUAGUUACCCUCUCAUCGGAGUGCAGUGGAAGUCUUUCAUGGUCCAAGUCCACCUUUUCCCUUUCAAUCCUCCUUCGAGACUAAAUUAUCAAACUCAAGCACAUGGUUAGUCUCAAAGGGUCAAGUUGUAACACAUCUCCCCCUACACAUGUGCAUCACUUUGCAACGGACUUGUGAGGUCCAGGGAGUGUUUGUACAACUUGAGCACCAUAAUAAGCAACAUAAUGCAAAAAGGAACAUGAUCAAAAGCAUAACUACAUGUAUGCUACAAUUCAAUCCAGGUUCCGCGAAUCUAAGACAUUUAGCUCACUACGCAACCUGCAAAAGGUCUUCUCAUCUAGAGGCUUAGUGAAGAUAUCGGCUAGCUGGUUCUCGGUGCUAACAUGAAACACUUCGAUAUCUCCCUUUUGCUGGUGGUCUCUCAAAAAGUGAUGCCGGAUGUCUAUGUGCUUUGUGCGGCUGUGUUCAACAGGAUUUUCCGCCAUGCGGAUAGCACUCUCAUUAUCACAUAGGAGUGGGACUUUGCUCAGAUUGUAGCCAAAGUCCCUGAGGGUUUGCCUCAUCCAAAGUAGUUGCGCGCAACACUGUCCUGCGGCAACAUACUCGGCCUCAGCGGUGGAUAGGGCAACGGAAGUUUGUUUCUUAGAGUUCCAUGACACCAGGGACCUUCCUAAGAAUUGGCACGUCCCCGAUGUACUCUUCCUAUCGACCUUACAUCCAGCAUAGUCGGAGUCUGAGUAUCCAACUAAGUCAAAGGUUCCCUUUGGAUACCAGAGCCCGAAGCAAGGCGUAGCAACCAAAUAUCUAAGAAUUCGCUUCACCGCCACUAAGUGACACUCCUUAGGAUCGGAUUGAAAUCUAGCACACAUGCAUACGCUAAGCAUAAUAUCCGGUCUACUAGCACAUAAAUAAAGCAAAGAACCUAUCAUUGACCGGUAUGCUUUUUGAUCAACGGACUUACCUCCUUUGUUGAGGUCGGUGUGUCCGUCGGUCCCCAUCGGAGUCUUUGCGGGCUUGGCGUCCUUCAUCCCAAACCGCUUUAGCAGAUCUUGCGUGUACUUCGUUUGGGAGAUGAAGGUGCCGUCCUUGAGUUGCUUCACUUGGAACCCAAGGAAGUAGUUCAACUCGCCCAUCAUCGACAUCUCGAAUUUCUGCGUCAUCACCCUGCUAAACUCUUCACAAGACUUUUGGUUAGUAGAACCAAAUAUUAUGUCAUCAACAUAAAUUUGGCACACAAACAAAUCACCAUCACAUGUCUUAGUGAAAAGAGUUGGAUCGGCCUUCCCAACCUUGAAAGCAUUAGCAAGUAAAAAGUCUCUAAGGCAUUCAUACCAUGCUCUUGGGGCUUGCUUAAGUCCAUAGAGCGCCUUAGAGAGCUUACACACAUGGUCGGGGUACCGUUCAUCCUCGAAGCCAGGGGGUUGCUCCACGUACACCUCCUCCUUGAUUGGCCCGUUGAGGAAAGCGCUCUUCACAUCCAUUUGGAACAACCUGAAAGAAUGGUGAGCGGCAUAUGCUAGCAAGAUUCGAAUUGACUCUAGCCUAGCCACAGGAGCAAAAGUCUCCUCAAAAUCCAAACCUGCGACUUGGGCAUAACCUUUUGCCACAAGUCGAGCCUUGUUUCUCGUCACCACCCCGUGCUCGUCCUGUUUGUUGCGGAACACCCACUUGGUUCCCACAACAUUUUGCUUCGGACGAGGCACCAGUGUCCAAACUUCAUUGCGCUUGAAAUUGUUUAACUCCUCUUGCAUGGCCAACACCCAGUCCGGAUCUAGCAAGGCCUCUUCUACCCUGAAAGGCUCAAUAGAAGAGACAAAGGAGUAAUGCUCACAAAAAUUAACUAAUCGAGAUCGAGUAGUUACUCCCUUGCUAAUGUCACCCAGAAUUUGGUCGACGGGAUGAUCCCUUUGAAUCAUCGCUCGAACUUGGGUUGGAGGUGCCGGUUGCACUUCUUCCUCCAUCACUUGAUUAUCUUGUGCUCCCCCUUGAUCAAGCGCCUCCACUUGAGGUACCUGUUCGUCAUCUUUGGUUGGGGGAUGCACCAUAGUUGAGGAAGAAGGUUGAUCUCGUUCAUCUUGUUCCUGUGGCCGUACUUCUCCAAUCGCCAUGGUCCGUAUAGCGGCCGUCGGAACAUCUUCUUCAUCUACAUCAUCACAAUCAACAACUUGCUCUCUUGGAGAGCCAUUAGUCUCAUCAAAUACAACGUCGCUAGAGACUUCAACCAAACCCGAUGAUUUGUUGAAGACUCUAUACGCCUUUGUAUUUGAGUCAUAACCUAACAAAAACCCUUCUACAGCUUUGGGAGCAAACUUAGAAUUUCUACCUUUCUUCACUAGAAUGUAGCACUUGCUCCCAAAUACACGAAAGUAAGAUACAUUGGGUUUGUUACCGGUUAGAAGCUCAUACGACGUCUUCUUGAGGAGGCGAUGAAGGUAGACCCUGUUGAUGGCAUGGCAAGCAGUGUUCACGGCUUCCGUCCAAAAGCACUCGGGGGUCUUGAAUUCUCCUAGCAUCGUCCUCGCCAUGUCAAUGAGCGUCCUGUUCUUCCUCUCUACCACACCAUUUUGCUGUGGUGUGUAGGGAGCGGAGAACUCGUGCUUGAUCCCUUCUUCUUCAAGGAACUCCUCCACUUGAAGGUUCUUGAAUUCGGACCCGUUGUCGCUCCUUAUCUUCUUCACUUUGAGCUCAAACUCAUUUUGAGCCCUCCUGAGGAAGCGCUUGAGGGUCCCUUGGGUUUCAGACUUAUCCUGCAAAAAGAACACCCAAGUGAAGCGGGAAAAGUCAUCAACAAUAACUAGACCAUACUUACUUCCCCCUAUGCUUAGAUAGGCGACGGGUCCGAAGAGGUCCAUAUGCAGCAGCUCCAGGGGUCUUGAAGUGGUCAUCACAUUCUUGCUGUGAUGCGCUCCUCCCACCUGUUUCCCUGCUUGACAAGCUGCACAAGGUCUAUCUUUUUCGAAUUGAACAUUGGUUAGACCUAUCACGUGUUCUCCCUUUAGAAGCUUGUGAAGGUUCUUCAUCCCCACAUGUGCUAAGCGGCGAUGCCACAGCCAGCCCAUGCAAGUCUUAGCCAUUAAGCAUGCAUCUAGACCGGCCUCUUCUUUUGCAAAAUCAACUAAAUAAAGUUUGCCGUCUAAUACACCCUUAAAAGCUAGUGAACCAUCACUUCUUCUAAAGACAGACACAUCUAUAUUUGUAAACAGACAGUUAUAUCCCAUAUUGCACAAUUGACUAACAGAUAGUAAAUUAUAUCCUAGUGACUCUACUAAAAACACAUUAGAGAUAGAGUGCUCAUUAGAAAUUGCAAUUUUACCUAACCCUUUUACCUUGCCUUGAUUCCCAUCACCGAAUAUGAUUGAAUCUUGGGAAUCCUUAUUCUUGACGUAGGAGGUGAACAUCUUCUUCUCCCCCGUCAUAUGGUUUGUGCAUCCGCUAUCAAUAAUCCAGCUUGAACCCCCGGAUGCAUAAACCUGCAAGGCAAAUUUAGGCUUGGGUCUUAGGUACCCAACUCAUGUUGGGUCCUACAAGGUUAGUGCAAAUAUCCUUAGGGACCCAAAUGCAAGUUUUGUCUCCCUUGCAUUUUGCCCCUAACUUCCUAGCAACAAUUUUCUUAUCCUUUCUACAAAUAGCAAAGGAAGCAUUUAAAGCAUAAUAAAUUGUGGAAGGUUCAUUCACUACUUUCCUAGGAGCAUGAAUAGCAUUCUUUCUAGACACAUGAUGAAUAGUAUUUCUCUUAGGAACAACAUUUCUCCUAGUAACAUUUCUAUCAUACACAUAAGAGGAACUAGGAGCAAACAUGGCAUGAGAGUCAAAAUCAUCAAAAGCAUUAUAACUCCUAUAAGCAUUUCUAGUUUGUCUCCUAUCAUAAUACAUAAAAGCAUGGUUCUUUUGCACAUUACUAGCCAUAGGGGCCUUCCCUUUCUCCUUGGCGGGAAUGGGAGCCUUAUGGCUUGUUAAGUCCUUAGCUUCUCUCUUGAAGCCAAGUCCAUCCUUAAUUGAGGGGUGUCUACCAAUUGUAUAGGCAUCCCUUGCAAAUUUUAGCUUAUCGAAAUCAUUCUUGCUAGUCUUAAGUUGAGCAUUAAGACUAGCCAGUUCAUCAUUAAGCUUGGAAAUUGAAACUAGGUGUUCACUACAAGCAUUAAUGUCAAAAUCUUUACACCUAGUACAAAUUUCAACAUGUUCUACACAAGAAUUGGAUUUAUUUGCUACUUCUAAUUUAGCAUUUAAAUCAUUGUUGACACCUUUCAAAGUAGAAAUGGUUUCAUGACAAGUAGAUAGUUCAAAAGAAAGCAUUUCAUUUCUUUUAACUUCUAAAGUAUAGGAUUUUUGUGCCUCAACAAAUUUAUCAUGCUCUUCAUACAACAAAUCCUCUUGCUUUUCUAAAAGUAUAUUCUUUUCAUUCAAGGCAUCAAUUAAUUCAUUAAUUUUGUCUAUCUUAGAUCUAUCUAAGCCCUUGAACAAACAUGAAUAAUCUACUUCAUCCUCAUCACUAGAUUCGUCCUCACUUGAAGAAGCAUAGGUAGAGUUGCGAGUACAUACCUUCUUCUCCCUUGCCAUAAGGCAUGUGUGACGCUCGUUGGGGAAGAGGGUUGAUUUGUUGAAGGCGGUGGCGGCGAGUCCUUCAUUGUCGGAGUCGGAUGAGGAGCAAUCCGAGUCCCACUCCUUGCCUAGAUGCGCCUCACCCUUUGCCUUCUUAUAAUGCUUCUUCUUUUCCCUCUUGUUUCCCUUUUCCUGGUCACUUUCAUUAUCAGGACAGUUAGCAAUAAAAUGACCAAGCUUACCGCAUUUGAAGCAUGAUCGCUUCCCCUUGGUCUUAGUCUUGCUCGGCUGUCCAUUGCGACCCUUUAGCACCGUCUUGAAGCGCUUAAUGAUGAGAGCCAUUUCUUCAUCAUUAAGCCCGGCCGCCUCAAUUUGCGCCACCUUGCUUGGUAGUGCCUCCUUGCUCCUCGAUGCCUUGAGAGCAAUGGGUUGAGGCUCGUGGAUUGGACCGUUCAACGCGUCAUCGACGUACCUUGCCUCCUUGAUCAUCAUCCGCCCGCUCACGAAUUUUCCAAGUACUUCUUCGGGCGUCAUCAUCGUGUACCUGGGGUUCUCACGAAUAUUGUUCACGAGAUGAGGAUCAAGAACGGUAAAUGACCUGAGCAUUAGGCGGACGACGUCGUGAUCCGUCCAACGCGUGCUUCCGCAGCUCCUUAUCUUGUUGAUAAGGGUCUUGAGCCGGUUGUAAGUUUGAGUUGGCUCUUCUCCCCUUAUCAUGGCGAAUCGUCCAAGCUCGCCCUCCACCAACUCCAUCUUGGUGAGCAUGGUGAUGUCGUUCCCCUCGUGAGAGAUCUUGAGGGUGUCCCAUAUCUGCUUGGCAUUGUCCAAGCCGCUCACCUUAUUGUACUCUUCCCUGCACAAAGAUGCUAAGAGAACAGUAGUAGCUUGUGCAUUUUUAUGAAUUUGUUCAUUGAUAAACAUAGGGCUAUCCGAGCUAUCAAAUUUCAUUCCAUUCUCUACAAUCUCCCAUAUGCUUGGAUGGAGAGAGAAUAAAUGACUACGCAUUUUGUGACUCCAAAAUCCGUAGUCCUCCCCAUCAAAAUGUGGAGGUUUACCAAGAGGAAUGGAAAGCAAAUGCGAAUUCGAACUAUGUGGAAUACGAGAAUAAUCAAAUGAAAAGUUCGAAUUAACCGGUUUCCUUUGUUUGUCGUGGUCGUCGUUCUUUUGAGAAGAAGAGGACUCAUCGCUGUCGUAGUAGACGAUCUCCUUGAUGCGUCUUGUCUUCUUCUUCUUCCCAUCUCUUCGCUUGUGGCCCGAGCCCGAGUCAUUGGACUUGUCAUCCCUUGGCUCGUUGACGAAGGACUCCUUCUCCUUGUCGUUGAUCACAAUUCCCUUCCCCUUAGGAUCCAUCUCUUCGGGCGGUUAGUCCCUUUCUUGAAGAGAACGGCUCCGAUACCAAUUGAGAGCACCUAGAGGGGGGGGGGUGAAUAGGUGAUCCUGUAAAAGUUCAAAACUUAAGCCACAAAAACUUGUUAAGGGUUAACACAAGUAUGACCAAGUGGCUAGAGAGAACUCAAAACAAGAUAACCACAAGAAAGCAAUCACAGAGUUGACACGGUGGUUAUCCCGUGGUUCGGCCAAGUACAAAACUUGCCUACUCCACGUUGUGGCGUCCCAACGGACGAGAGUUGCACUCAACUCCUCUCAAGUGAUCCAAUGAUCAACUUGAAUACCACGGUGUUUUUCUUUCCUUUGAUCUUUUCCCGUUUGCGAGGAAUCUCCACAACUUGGAGUCUCUCGCCCUUACAAUUGAGUUCACAAAGAAAUACGGAGUAAGGUGGGAAUGAGCAACGCACACAAGACUCGAAAAUCAGAGCAACAACACGCACACAAGUCGCAACAAGAGCUCGCAACGCAACACAAAGAGUUCACAACUCCACAAGAGCUCUAUAUGCUAUCACAAUGAAACGAAUGCGUGAGAUUGAUGUCUUGGUGCUUAGAAGAGUUGUAGGAAUGCUUGGUAUUCUCCUCCAUGCGCCAAGGGGUCCCUUUUAUAGCCCCAAGGCAGCUAGGAGCCGUUGGGAACAAAUCUGGAAGGCCAUCUUUGCCUUCUGUCUCGUGGCGCACCGGACAGUCCGGUGCACACCGGACACUGUCCGGUGCCCGAUUUGUUUCCAUAGAAAGCGAAGCCGACCGUUACCGACCGUUGCAGAUCUGGCGCACCGGACAGUCCGGUGCACACCGGACAGUCCGGUGCUCCCUUCCGACCGUUGGCUCGGCCACGUGUCGCGCGCCGAUCGCGCGGCCGACCGUUGGCCCGGCCGACCGUUGGCUCACCGGACAGUCCGGUGCACACCGGACAGUCCGGUGAAUUUUAGCCGAAGUCGCCGGAGAAAAACCCGAGAGCGGCUGGUUUGCGGUGCGCUGAUCUGGCGCACCGGACACUGUCCGGUGCACACCGGACAGUCCGGUGCCCCAGCCCGAAGCAGCCUUUGGCUGUACACAGCCACUCUCCACUUCUUUUCUUUUCUUCUUUCUCCUGUUUCUAACACUUAGACAAGAUGUUAGUACACAAAACUAAUGUACUAAGGCUUAGAAACAUACCUUUACUUGUGAUUUACACUUUGUUCAUCCAUGAGCAUAUUUUCACAUUUAGGCCCUUGUGUUUGCACUCAAUCACCAAAAUACUUAGAAAUGGCCCAAGGGCACAUUUCCCUUUCACUCCUGCUCGUCGGAGAUCUGGCCCGCGUCAAGCAAACCGCGCGCCGCCGCCGAUGGUACGUAGCCAUGUCGUCUUCUUCCUCGUCUGCUGCGAACACGCCGUCGGCCGAUUCAUCUUCCGAGGAAACCUUGAUCAAUGUGGCAGCGACGGAGCUACAACCGGGCGAUACGCUGGAGUUUGGCGUUUCGAGGAUUUCCUCGGUUCGCGUGCAGGAUAUGUAGUAGCUGGGUUAUUUUGGCAGCAGAGUUGGGCAUGUCCCGGGGGCAGAGGAGGUGAAAGGGAAAUGUGCCAUUGGGCCAUUUCUAAGUAUUUUGGUGAUUGAGUGCCAACGCAAGUGCUUUUGUGUUGAUCUAUGCAAUGUGGUGAACAAAGUACAAAUCAAGUAUAAAGGUAUGUUUCUCAGACUUAGUACAUUGUUUUAGUGACUAAUGUAUUGUGUCUAAGUGCUGGAAACAGGAGAAAUCGAAUUGGAGAAGAGAUGGCCUUGUUCAGCCAAAGCCAGCUCUGUCUGGGUGCACCGGACUGUCCGGUGGUGCACCGGACAGUGUCCGAUGUGCCAGGCUGGCUCAGGCGAACUUGCCGCUCUCGGGAAUAAGUUAACGGUGUACGACUAUAAUUCACCGGACUGUCCGGUGAGCCAACGGUUGGCCGGUCCAACGGUCGGCCGCGCGAUCUGCGCGGGACACGUGGCCGAGCCAACGGCUAGAAGGAGGCACCGGACUGUCCGGUGUGCACCGGACAGUGUCCGGUGCGCCAACGGCUCUCUAACCCCAACGGUCGGCUUCGCCAAAUAAGGAAGGAUAUCCGCACCGGACAGUGUCCGGUGGUACACCGGACUGUCCGGUGCGCCAGGCGACAGAAGGCAAGAUCAGCCUUCCUGGAAUGUUCUCAACGGCUCCUAGCUACCUUGGGGCUAUAAAAGGGACCCCUAGGCGCAUGGAGGAGUACCACAAGCAUACUCAAAGCAUUCCUAAGCACCAAGACUUCGAUUCCACGCAUUUGUUUCUUCGUGAUAGCAUCUAGAGCUCUUGUUGAGUUGUGAACUCGUCGGUGUUACACCAUAAUAGCCAUCAAUUAAAAAUAAUGAAUUUAGUUAUUAUUAAUUAGGGUAAUAAUUUUUUUAAGUGUUUAAUUGUUUAUUUGCAUUUUUAUCAUUUUCAUUGCAUGUGCUUGAUUGCUUAUUGGAAUGUUUAUUAUCAACUCUUUUUAAAGAAAAUCCUAGCAAAUAAUAUAAUAAUUAUUAGUCUAAAAACAAGUAUUUUAUUUAUAAAUAAUUUUGGUGAAUUUCUCGGAAUUUUCGAGCUCUUUAAAAAUACAUUUCACAAUAAAAAAAAAACAAAUCCUACACUAAACCGGCCCACUAGGGGCCCAUUACCCCAAACCCUAUCCUCUAACGCGCGCGCGCCAGCAGAAGCCGCCGCCGCCAGCCUCUACUACUCCCUCUCCUAUCUCUCUUCUCUCUCUCCUCCACGUUCUCUCUGCACGCCGCCGCUCCCUGCCACGCUGCAGCACUCGCCCGGCCCUGCACCGGCGCCCUGCGCAAGCCGCGCCGAGCGCGCAGCCGCCUAGGCCGACCGGCCAACCCGCGCGCUGCCCUGGUGCGCGACGCCUGCGCUCCCUGCGCGCGCCUACGCCGCACGCCCAGCAGCGACGCCCGAGCAGACCCGAAGCCGCCGCGCCCGAAGCCGAAUCGCCCGAGCCCCACGCACCGCGACGCCCGACCGACCCUGCGCGAACCCCAACGGUCCCUCUGCACCGCGACCUCGCUGCCUAGAAGUCGAGCAGCCGCGCAGUCCGCGCCCCAUUGAAGUCAUAGCUGCCGUUACUGCCGUUUCUUCUUUCUGUGCCUCAUUCCUUCCUCCAUUAGUGGUGUUUACAACUCCUGUUCGUGUCGUGCAGAAACGGUUCAUCUUGUGGCCAUCACGGAGCUUUAAACAAGAUUUAAACUCUCUUUUCCGUCAGCCUAUAAAGCUAGAGACGUCCUGCUUCCUUCUUCCCCAAUAGCUCGGCUCUGCACUUCGUCUCGCUCAAUCGUCCUUAGGCUAUAGCCACUGCACCUUGUUAUCGUCGGAGCUUCACCCGCUCGGACACGCCGUCGUUUGCUGUCUACGCUCGUCGGAGUUCACCGGAGUCGCAGUUCGUCGCAGGAGCCACGCACUCGCCGUCCGUAGUCGAGCCCCGCACUCCGUCCGGCCGAAACCCGUCGAUCCGUGAAGCGUCCCGAUCCUUUGGGACUCAAAUGUGAAAGAAUUACUAGUCCCAGGAGGCUAGUAAACACAUUCCUUACUUCAAAUAGUACAGAGUUUAGAUAAAGUUAUUACAAUACCGGGGUACAAGCUCGAGAGAGCCAAAUAGAGAAGCGCAGUAGGAAAAUACACUAGCCCAAGCCACAGGCAGAACUGGGUGUAGACACAGCCCUCCUAAUCAAGCAUAGCAGAAAAGAAGUCCUCGGCUGCUGAAAAACAUAAAUAAAUCUGGGUGAAUACACUAGGUAUUCCGCAAGCCCACCCCGCUCCCGUAGAGAGAAAGUGACCUAUGAUGUACAUGCUCAAUUUGGUGGAGUUGUAGUCACUCAUCAUUUUCUUAGAGAGAGGCAGUUGCUUGAAGGUUUUCCCAUGGUAUUACCAGUAACCAAAAACUCAACCACCACGGAGCUUCCCGCUCCCGUGGCUUUAUUUUCUUUUUCAAAACCCAUUUAAACACACCUUUUCCUUGUUAAGAAAUUUAGAGAAAAAGCUCUAAUUGCCAUACCAUACCAGACUCAUCCAUACCAGUGGAUACGGACUAUUCGAAUAGGUUUCAACUCUGCGCAGAGGUGUACACUUUACCCACUAGUCCGGUUUCUGCGAUCUCACCGUCGCGAGACCCCAAUGCCGGAUCUCUUUCCUUACUCGUGCAUCCUAACCUUAACGGUUAUCCCGAAGGAGUCAGGCCACCACCAUGCCCAAACCGGACAAAACUUUCCCCCUCCUUAUCCUCCCGGUGCUCCCCAGCCUACUUAACCCUGAGGUUGGACCGCACGAGUUCGGAUUGAGUGACUGCCCACACAGUCUCGAGUGGUUGUACGUCAAAGGAGUACAGGCAGUGAAAAUGACAAACCGGUCCUUAUAUGAGGGGACAAUCCUUCUGCUCACGCCUAAACCAGCUGAGCCAACACCUUAGGCCCUCCCCUAAACCAGGGAGUCCCUGAUCAUCCCACUCCCAGGGUGAUGAGGGUGAGUACCCUUCAUCGCAAAACUUUUCAAGAAGAGACUUUAUUAGGGGAAAACACAUUGCCAUUCUUUCCAAACCACAUUACGUAUCCAGAAAGUAUAUAUUAAUGCGGGCCAUCUCUCACUCCCAAUGCAAUAUUCCCCCGUGAUUCCCGGCCUAGGCAGUGGUAGAGAGAAUAGGUAAUUUAUGCAUCAAGGGAAGGGUGGACUUGCCUUCGUCGAAGCUUUCCUGGCACAGAAGACCUACUUCCGGAAGUUCGGGCUCUGGUCCCUCUUCCGGGGCUACGGGAUCCGGAUUUGCGGUUCCCUCUUCUUCUAGGAAACAUACAGUAAAACAAUACAUCAACAGUAGUUUAACAAUCAUAGUGUGCCAUUUUCUAACAACAUUAUUUUAUGUGUCCUUGGAAAUCCUUUUUGAUAAUAUUUUGUGCAUAAAAUAUUGAGAAAACUAUUUAAAUGGGAAAAAGGGGUGGAAAAGAAAAAGAGAAGGGAAUUCCUCUUAUCUGGGCUGGGGGCAUGAAUUUUGGCCCAUCCCGGGCGCGAGCGCGCGCUGAGGCGCUUUUGGCCCAGCGGCGGCCCACGAGGGGGGGGGGGGAGAGAACGGCGCGGCCGUGGGGGGGGGGGGUGACGGCGUCGCAUAGGGCCCACUUGCCAGCGAGAGGGGGGGGGGAGAAGGGACGGCGUUACGGUUGACGGGGGGGGGGGGGGGGGGGGGUGAACCGGCCGUCCGCGGGGAGGACUCGGCCGCCGGUGGCCCGGCUCUUGGGCAAUGUGCAGGUGUCUUAGCAUGGGGAGGGGAUGGCGGACCUAGAGGUGGGCUCAACUUGGUCAGAGGAGGUCGGGAGGGGGCUGUCCGCGGGGAGGUGGCGGAGCUUCGCGGCGGGGUUGCCGUCGGUGAGCUCUGGGCGAGCAAUCGGGGUGGGGGAGUGGUGUAUUGCGUUUGCGGCAAGGUGAGGAAGCUGCUAGGCCAACUUAAUCGCUCGCUGGUCCAACAGAGAGGGAGAGAGAAGAGGGGGAGGGACUCACCAGAGAGGGGGAAGACGGCGGGGCUUCAUGAAUUGGGCUCGGGCGAGGGGAGGAGGGUAGUGGUCGAGGCCGGUGCGAGGAAGAAGGAGCUCGGGGCGAGCUUUUUAUAGGCGCGCGGGGGCAAGGGGAGCGGUGAAGCUCCCUGACUCCGGCGAGCUUCCCGGUGCCGCCAUUAAUGGCGCACAGCGCCGCCGAGGGGACGCUACGGCGGGGCGGUACUGGCGAGGACGCUGGUCAAGGGGAGGAGGACGGAGCGGUGCCAAACUUUCCUGUGCGGCGAGGAGACGGCGGUGAAGAGACGGCGGUGAAGGGACGGCGGUGAAGGGAUGGCGGGGCGUCGUAUGCGGGGAGGACGACGAAGCGGCUGACCGGUGGGGCCGGUCUGCCAGUGGGAGUGAGCGCGCGAGAGAGAGCGACUGGCAGGUGGGGUCGGGGAGGCAGGCCGGGAGUGGGCCGAGAGAGGAGCGCGGGCGUGAGAGGGGGGGGGGAGAGUCGCGGGUGUUGGGCCGGGAUUCGGUCCAACAGGGCAGGGAGAGGGUUUUUCCUUUUUCUUUUUACUUUUCAAACCCCAUUUCCCUUUUUGCCUUUUCUUCUUUUGAAUAAAAUAUUUUGUGAAUAUUCUAAGUGUUUAGAAAAUAGAAUCUAAGUGAGGUGCUUUGUGAUCAAACAAAAUGUAUGCAUAUGGUGAAGGAAAAUUUAGUGGAGGACUUUAGAAUUAGAGGAUGGAGGGAGGGGUAAAAGGUGGAUUAGGGUUUCAAACCUAGAUUAGGAUUUUUGGGAUGCUACAAACCUACCCCACUUAAAGGAAUCUCGCCCUUGAGAUUCAGACGGGGCUCGAGAAAAGGUAAGGGUAUUCCUUCCUCAGAGAGUCCUCACUUUCCCAGGUGGCUUCCUCUUCUCCAUCUCUGCUCCACUGAACCUUACAGAGCUUCACUUCUGAAUUGCGGGUCCUUCUGACUGCUGAGUCGAGAAUCUUCACUGGCUUUUCCCGGUACUGGAGAUCCUUUCGAAUCUGAAUUGCUUCUGCCUCGAUACGGGUUUCUGGUACUUUUAGGCAUUUGCGGAGUUGAGACACAUGGAACACAUUGUGAAUAUCUGACAUGGAUUCUGGUAGCUCAAGACGGUAUGCCACAGGUCCUAUUCGGGAAAUGACAGGGUAAGGACCGACGAAACGGGGUGCUAGCUUUCCUUUCAUCUGGAACCUUUUGACACCGUGCAUUGGGGAAACCUUGAGAUAAACAAAAUCUCCUUCCUCAAAUCUGAGUUCCCUUCGCCUAUUGUCUGCGUAACUCUUCUGUCGACUCUGAGCUUCAAGUAACCUUCUGCGGAUCAAAGCAACUUUUUCUUCGGCUUCUUUAACAAAGUCGGGUCCUUCUAGUGUUCUUUCCCCUACAUUGGACCACAUUAGGGGAGUCUGGCAUUUUCUUCCAUACAGUGCUUCGAAUGGUGACAUUUUGAUGCUGGCCUGAUGGCUGUUGUUGUAUGAGAAUUCGGCGUACGGUAUCUAGACUCCCAAUCUCUGUCGAAGGCUAAUACGCAGGCUCUGAGUAAAUCUUCAAGGACCUUGUUGACUCUCUCUGUUUGACCAUCUGACUGGGGGUGAUAAGCAGUGCUGAAAUCUAACUUGGUGCCCAUUGCUUGCUGAAGGCCCUUCCAAAAUUUUGAAGUGAACUGCGUUCCUCUAUCUGAUACUAUCUUCGUGGAAUGCCAUGUAGCCUGACUAUCUCUUUAAGGUAUAAUCGGGCGAGGGCUGCUCCUCCAAAGGUGGUCUUUACUGGAAUGAAAUGGGCCACCUUGGUGAGACGAUCGAUUAUUACCCAUAUGGAAUCAUUUCCCCUUUGGGAUCUGGGUAGUCCGGUGACGAAAUCCAUGCCUAUUUCUUCCCACUUCCAUUCGGGUAUUGGGAGGGGUUGAAGUAGGCCUGCAGGUUUCUGAUGUUCGGCCUUUGUUCGCUGACAGGUGUCACAUCGGGCCACAUACUGUGCUAUUUCCCUCUUCAUUCCUUUCCACCAAUAUCUGGCCUUGAGGUCUAGGUACAUCUUGGUGGUUCCUGGGUGGAUAGAGUAAGCUGAGUUGUGGGCUUCAUCGAGCAGGGUUUCUCGUGCUUCUCCCACUGGCACGCACAGGCGGUCCUUGAACCAGAGGGUUCCUUGCUCAUCUGUCCUGAGGUCUGCUAGUUGCUCCUUUCGUGCUCUUUCCAUAAGCUUGGUUGUUUCUGCGUCCAGGCGUUGGGCCUUGCGUAUGAGAUCGUCUAGAUUUGGCUUGACUUCCAGGCCACCGUUGUCUCCCAGACAUGCAUUUAGCUGAGCUGAUUCUUUCUUCCAAUCUUCCAGAAAGUUUGCUCCCUUAACCCCGAAGGGUUUUCUGCUGAGGGCGUCUGCUACCACGUUGGCCUUUCCGGGGUGGUAGUGGAUUUCAAGGUCAUAAUCUUUGAUCAAUUCGAGCCACCUUCUUUGACGGAGGUUGAGGUCCGGUUGCGUGAAGAUGUACUUUAGACUCUUGUGAUCAGUGAAGAUGUGGCAUUUGUUUCCAAUCAGAUAAUGCCUCCAAAUUUUUAGGGCGUGCACUAUGGCUGCCAAUUCCAGAUCGUGGGUAGGAUAGUUCUGCUCGUGCGGCUUGAGCAAUCGGGAUGCAUAAGCAAUGACUCUCUCAUUUUGCAUUAAGACACACCCUAAGCCUUGCUUGGAAGCAUCACAAAAGACGACGAAAUCCUGGUGUAUGUCUGGUAGGGUCAGGACUGGUGCAGUUGUAAGUUUCUCCUUGAUGAUUUGGAAGCUUCCUUCACAUUUGGGAGUCCAUACAAACUUAUUGUCCUUUUUGAGAAGUUCCGUCAUGGGCUUUGCUAUGCUGGAGAAUCCCUUGAUAAAGCGGCGAUAAUACCCUGCCAUUCCCAGAAAGCUUCGGACUUCACUGACGUUGGAUGGUUGCUUCCAAUUUGAAACAGCUUCUACCUUAGAUGGGUCCACUUCUAUCCCUUCAGCAGUCAAGAUAUGCCCUAGGAAGGCUAUCUUCUCUAACCAGAACUCACACUUGCUGAGCUUAGCAUAAAGUUGAUGUGCCCUGAGUCUUCCGAGGACGGUUCGAAGGUGCUGCUCAUGGUCCUUGCGACUCUUGGAAUAGAUGAGGAUGUCGUCGAUAAAAACCACGACAAACUUAUCCAAUUCUUCCAUAAAUACCUUAUUCAUGAGGUUCAUGAAAAAGGCGGGUGCGUUUGUUAGUCCAAAUGGCAUCACUGUGAAUUCAUAUUGCCCGUAUCUGGUGACGAAUGCAGUUUUCUGAAUGUCUGCUUCCUUAAUCCUGAGUUGGUGAUACCCUGACCUGAGAUCUAUCUUGGAGAAGUACUUGGCUCCUUGCAGUUGGUCGAAUAGGUCAUCGAUCCGGGGAAGAGGGUACUUAUUCUUGAUUGUAACUUCGUUCAAGGAUCGAUAAUCAAUACACAUCCUCAUGCUCCCAUCCUUUUUGGUAACGAAAAGAACGGGUGCUCCCCAGGGAGACGAACUGGGACGGAUGUACCCUUUUUGUUGUAGUUCCGAAAUCUGAAGUUUCAAUUCUGCCAACUCAGUGGGGGCCAUGCGGUAUGGUCUCUUUGCGAUGGGUGCGGUGCCGGGAAUGAGAUCUAUAUAGAACUCUACUUCUCUUUCUGGUGGCAUCCCGGGCAACUCUUCUGGAAAUACAUCUUCAAAUUCCUUGAUUACAGACAUGCUUUCUACUGCCAGAUUAAAUAUCAUUGGGUCAUUUGCGGGCGGUUGGGCUUGACAGGAAACUGCCUUUCCUUGGUGAUCUAUGAGAAGAACAGUCUUGCUUGCGCAGCUGAUAACACCUUUGUGCUUAGCUAGCCAAUCCAUUCCUAGGAUUACAUCAAUUCCUUGGGAUGGCAAGAUGGUUAAGUCUGCCAGGAACACUACCCCACUUAAAAGAAUUCUGACCUGGGAACACCUGAGUUUGCACAGGAGGUCUGAUCCCGGGGUUCGGGUGACCAAGGGGAUAGAUAGAGGUGUAGAUGGUAUGCCAUGCUUUUCCACAAACUUAGCGGCUAUAAAUGAAUGGGAUGCUCUCGAAUCAAAAAGCACAGAAGCGGGAGUAAAUUCAACUAGGAACUCACCGAGCACUACUCCCGGGGCUUGCUGGGCUUCCUGGGCGUCGACGUGGUUGACCCGGGCCCUGCCCUGGUACUUAGCCCUGCUCUGCUGGCUGCUGGAAGGAAACGCCUUGGGGGUAGGUGCUGAUGGAAUCUUGGGGCCAUUCACCGAGUUGGAGUAGGUUGGUCCUGGUGCCUUCAACUGGGGGCAGUUGUUCUUGAAGUGGCUGGGGUCCCCACAGUGCCAACAGGCGUUUGCUGGCGGCUGGUUGCUUGCAACGGAGGGUGCCUGAUGGGAGCUCUGACUCUGCUGACUAUAGCGCGAUGGAGAGGGUCCAGAUUGCUUGUUGAAGCUUGGACCCCUGGGUGGAAGCCCAAAGGGUCGAGCUCUCUGGUGACGCUCUUGCUGUUGAGCCCGGAGAACUUGGAAUUUCCUCUUGAGGUGCCCCUUCUCUUCCUCUUUUGCCCUUUCCACCUGGAUAGCCUUGUUGGAGAGGUGAGAGAAGCUGUGGAAGUCUUGGCUGGCGAGGAUGGUCUUAAGCUCGGGUCUUAACCCUCUCAGAAAACGAGCCAUCUUUCUGGCCUCGGUGCUGACAUCCUCGGGCGCGUAGCGGGCCAACUCUGUGAACUUGUGCACAUAUUCACUGACUGUUCUUCCGCCUUGGGUUAGCUCCCGGAACUCAUCCUCCUUAAGUUGAACUAUCCCCUGGGGUACGUGGUGCUCACGGAAGGCUGCUUCAAAUUCUGCCCAUGUGGCGUCUCUGAUGGCUUCACUGAAAGUGUCCCACCAUGCUAAAGCCAUUCCUGAAAGCUGAUGAGCUGCCAGCUGAAUACGCUGAUUCUCAGGACAAGCGAUGGCUUCCAGCUUCCUCUUGAUUGUGCGAAGCCAGUCAUCUGCAUCGAGGGGAUUGCUGGACCCCGCGAACGUGCGCGGCUUCAGUCUCAGGAAUUCUCCCAUCCUGUCCUGGGGCCUUCCACCGCCUGGGCGCUGGUUCUCCAGACUUCGAGUGAGGACUUCAAUGAGUCUGGUUUGAUUGGCCAGAACUUGGGCUAGAUCUAGUGGUAGUUCUGGAGGUGCGGGGAGGUGGGUCUCACUCCCUUCUCCGCCAGCCUCUCCUUCAGCUCCUAGAGGAAGUCUUGCUCCAAUCCCGGAGGCGGUAGGCGUGGUUCUAUCCGAAGCCAUCUGCCAUGGGAAGAGAGUCGCUAUUAUGCACAUGCCAUUUUUUUAACUAGUUAUUUUAUUCAUUACAUCAAGCCAUUACAUUACAUAGCACACCACUACCACAAGCUUAUUACACACGAGUGCUACCUAGGGUACCCCCGAACUCUUUCUCUAAAGUAUCCCCGAACUCCUUGAGAAGGUCAUCAAGGCUGGCCAGGGACAUGUCCUCGGGGUCGGACUGGUUCCUGGGAGGGUUCUCUUCCUACUGCUCAGUCUGACAUCCUUGGCUUUUGGUCUUCUUGCGAAUUUUCCUUGCGGGGGCGAGCUUCUUCAGUUUGUCGUAGUCCAUUUUGAGGGUGCGGUAAGCUUCACGGGUGUUGGUCUCUUCGCCUUCAGCUAACGAGAGGCUCUCUUGGAGGGACGCUUUUUCUUCUGAAAGUUCCCUGACUUUCUGCUCCAGGCUUUCCACCCGGGAGGUUAGGGAAGUGCAGUGGAGGGCGAGGUCAUCAUAUUGGUUAUCAAGGGUAUGAAGGUAUCCAGCCAUGUAGACAAUGGUGGGAUCAUUCUCAAUAGGAUCUCCUCCUGAUAGGGCCUGAAGUCUUUUCCUCCAGGUGGGGGUAUUCUUGUUGCUGGGUGGAAAGUAGCGAAGGGGGGUUUCAAUGAUUACUUUGUUGUAGUUCUGACAUAGCUGUCAGAGGGCUUUUCGGGUUUGGCAAGCAUCUAGGAAAUGGGCUCCGGUAAAAGUGACUUGGAAGGAACGUUGGUUGGGAUAGCUUUGGCUUUCCCCCAGGUAGACUGCCAUAGAGCAUCUUAUCAUUCCGCCCUCUAAAUGUUCCGUCCAGACGUAUUCCGGCUUCUUGCGGAUUCCCAUGCGGAGCGCACAACUUCGUAAGAGGCGUGGGAACCCUUCCACUUCUGAGCAGUAGGAUGACUUAAUGGCCAGAGAGUCUUCCAUCUGGAAUAGGAAAAGAAGGGUCUUGUUAAAACCGGGGAAGGGAAGAGAAAACUUUUCUUGAGGUAAGAGGUAUUUUCUUUUUAAGGUAGGUUCUAGGGUCAGGGCUGCGACCUACGGCCAGUCCUAUGGGCUCUGAUACCACCUGAAGCGUCCCGAUCCUUUGGGACUCAAAUGUGAAAGAAUUACUAGUCCCAGGAGGCUAGUAAACACAUUCCUUACUUCAAAUAGUACAGAGUUUAGAUAAAGUUAUUACAAUACCGGGGUACAAGCUCGAGAGAGCCAAAUAGAGAAGCGCAGUAGGAAAAUACACUAGCCCAAGCCACAGGCAGAACUGGGUGCAGACACAGCCCUCCUAAUCAAGCAUAGCAGAAAAGAAGUCCUCGGCUGCUGAAAAACAUAAAUAAAUAUGGGUGAAUACACUAGGUAUUCCGCAAGCCCACCCCCCUCCCGUAGAGAGAAAGUGACCUAUGAUGUACAUGCUCAAUUUGGUGGAGUUGUAGUCACUCAUCAUUUUCUUAGAGAGAGGCAGUUGCUUGAAGGUUUUCCCAUGGUAUUACCAGUAACCAAAAACUCAACCACCACGGAGCUUCCCGCUCCUGUGGCUUUAAUUUCUUUUUCAAAACCCAUUUAAACACACCUUUUCCUUGUUAAGAAAUUUAGAGAAAAAGCUCUAAUUGCCAUACCAUACCAGACUCAUCCAUACCAGUGGAUACGGACUAUUCGAAUAGGUUUCAACUCUGCGCAGAGGUGUACACUUUACCCACUAGUCCGGUUUCUGCGAUCUCACCGUCGCGAGACCCGAAUGCCGGAUCUCUUUCCUUACUCGUGCAUCCUAACCUUAACGGUUAUCCGGAAGGAGUCAGGCCACCACCAUGCCCAAACCGGACAAAACUUUCCCCCUCCUUAUCCUCCCGGUGCUCCCCAGCCUACUUAACCCUGGGGUUGGACCGCACGAGUUCGGAUUGAGUGACUGCCCACACAGUCUCGAGUGGUUGUACGUCAAAGGAGUACAGGCAGUGAAAAUGACAAACCGGUCCUUAUAUGAGGGGACAAUCCUUCUGCUCACGCCUAAACCAGCUGAGCCAACACCUUAGGCCCUCCCCUAAACCAGGGAGUCCCUGAUCAUCCCACUCCCAGGGUGAUGAGGGUGAGUACCCUUCAUCGCAAAACUUUUCAAGAAGAGACUUUAUUAGGGGAAAACACAUUGCCAUUCUUUCCAAACCACAUUACGUAUCCAGAAAGUAUAUAUUAAUGCGGGCCAUCUCUCACUCCCAAUGCAAUAUUCCCCCGUGAUUCCCGGCCUAGGCAGUGGUAGAGAGAAUAGGUAAUUUAUGCAUCAAGGGAAGGGUGGACUUGCCUUCGUCGAAGCUUUCCUGGCACAGAAGACCUACUUCCGGAAGUUCGGGCUCUGGUCCCUCUUCCGGGGCUACGGGAUCCGGAUUUGCGGUUCCCUCUUCUUCUAGGAAACAUACAGUAAAACAAUACAUCAACAGUAGUUUAACAAUCAUAGUGUGCCAUUUUCUAACAACAUUAUUUUAUGUGUCCUUGGAAAUCCUUUUUGAUAAUAUUUUGUGCAUAAAAUAUUGAGAAAACUAUUUAAAUGGGAAAAAGGGGUGGAAAAGAAAAAGAGAAGGGAAUUCCUCUUAUCUGGGCUGGGGGCAUGAAUUUUGGCCCAUCCCGGGCGCGAGCGCGCGCUGAGGCGCUUUUGGCCCAGCGGCGGCCCACGAGGGGGGGAGAGAACGGCGCGGCCGUGGGGGGGGGGGUGACGGCGUCGCAUAGGGCCCACUUGCCAGCGAGAGGGGGGGGGGGGAGAAGGGACGGCGUUACGGUUGACGGGGGGGGGGGGGGGGGGUGAACCGGCCGUCCGCGGGGAGGACUCGGCCGCCGGUGGGCUCGGUGGCGGUUCGCCGCCGGUGGCCCGGCUCUUGGGCAAUGUGCAGGUGUCUUAGCAUGGGGAGGGGAUGGCGGACCUAGAGGUGGGCUGAAUUUGGUCAGAGGAGGUCGGGAGGGGGCUGUCCGCGGGGAGGUGGCGGAGCUUCGCGGCGGGGUUGCCGUCGGUGAGCUCUGGGCGAGCAAUCGGGGUGGGGGAGUGGUGUAUUGCGUUUGCGACAAGGUGAGGAAGCUGCUAGGCCAACUUAAUCGCUCGCUGGUCCAACAGAGAGGGAGAGAGAAGAGGGGGAGGGACUCACCGGAGAGGGGGAAGACGGUGGGGCUUCGCGAAUUGGGCUCGGGCGAGGGGAGGAGGGUAGUGGUCGAGGCCGGUGCGAGGAAGAAGGAGCUCGGGGCGAGCUUUUUAUAGGCGCGCGGGGGCAAGGGGAGCGGUGGAGCUCCCUGACUCCGGCGAGCUUCCCGGUGCCGCCAUUAAUGGCGCACAGCGCCGCCGAGGGGACGCUACGGCGGGGCGGUACUGGCGAGGACGCUGGUCAAGGGGAGGAGGACGGAGCGGUGCCAAACUUUCCUGUGCGGCGAGGAGACGACAGUGAAGAGACGGCGGGGAAGGGACGGUGGUGAAGGGAUAGCGGGGCGUCGUAUGCGGGGAGGACGACGAAGCGGCUGACCGGUGGGGCCGGUCUGCCAGUGGGAGUGAGCGCGCGAGAGAGAGCGACUGGCAGGUGGGGUCGGCUUGUCAGCGAGAGAGAGAGGGAGUGCGGAGCGGGCUGGCGCGCGCGCGGAGGCAGGCCGGGAGUGGGCCGAGAGAGGAGCGCGGGCGUGAGAGGGGGGGAGAGUCGCGGGUGUUGGGCCGGGAUUCGGUCCAACAGGGCAGGGAGAGGGUUUUUCCUUUUUCUUUUUACUUUUCAAACCCCAUUUCCCUUUUUGCCUUUUCUUCUUUUGAAUAAAAUAUUUUGUGAAUAUUCUAAGUGUUUAGAAAAUAGAAUCUAAGUGAGGUGCUUUGUGAUCAAACAAAAUGUAUGCAUAUGGUGAAGGAAAAUUUAGUGGAGGACUUUAGAAUUAGAGGAUGGAGGGAGGGGUAAAAGGUGGAUUAGGGUUUCAAACCUAGAUUAGGAUUUUUGGGAUGCUACAAUCCGUCCCCGUCACACGCACGAACCCGAGGUUGUUGGCGACCCAAAUUUAUUUUAUGUAUUUUAUAAAGUGCUUUUGAUUCGAUUCAUGUGUUGUAUAGUUUGUUUGUUGUAUGAACACAUGUGAGUCGCGACAUUAUGUAUGGGUGUAUGAGCGUUAUGGAAUUGUUUGGUAGUUUCAAGCGAUUAUUCGUACACCUUGUUAUUUCAUGUUAAUCGAUGCGCUGAAUUUUGGUUUAGAGAAAUAUGACGUAGAUUUAAUAGUCACACGUCGGUGAUAAAAAUACUAGAUAAGAAUUUAUAGUUAAAAUUGGUCGCGAUAAAUUUUUGAAACUAAUUGGAGAAUUAUAGGUGCAUUUUUGAUGGAUUAGAAAAAUGGUAUAGAACUCAUGUCAUAUGAAUAAAAUAGGAUUGUUAGAUGAUUUAUCCGAUUAUUUAAUUAAUAUCUUCUUUUGGAAAGAAAAGAGAAAAUAUCGUUGGUAGAUGGCAAAAUAGGGUUUUGCUAGUCAAAUAAACAUGUUCACAGAUUUAGAACUUAAAAUUGUUAGAGUACUAGUUUAUGUCAAAUAACCCGCUUGUGUUAGAAAAUGUUCAAUUAGUAGUUUAUGUAGAUUUUAGAAUAUUAAUAUUAUUAGAUUCAUUUUUGGUCAUACUAACUAAUUUGUGUUAAAAGUAAUAAUAGGUAUUAAUUUAUUUAUUAGUAUUAAAAGAUAAUAAGUAUUAUUUAAUUUCAUUAAUGGUGUUAAAGUAGAUUAAUAUUAGUUAAAAUUAUAUUUAUUGCACCCACUCCUAAAUUCACCAUUAGGAUUCGCAUUAAUAGUUAUAAUUAAAUUAAUAAGUAUUUACGCGAUUAGUACGUAAUUAAAAUGUGAUUAGUGCGACGUGUUAAUGUGCAUGUAAUGGUGUAUGAUUAUGUAAUGGUGCAUGUUUACUUAUGGGUGUAUACUUUAUUUUUGUAUGUGCGAUGUGCGACUAUAAUAGAAGCGGACUGUGUGGUAGAGAAUCCGAACUCGUUCGGGGACGACCCGCAAGACGUUGUUGAGCAAGGCAAGUGGAUUCUCCCUCUGCAUACUCUUUUUGUACCCAGUCAUUGCAUUUAAUAAUGUUUACUUUUGAUAUACUGCAUAAUUUGAUGGGUUUCACCUAAUUAAGGAUUUCCUAGAUUUACUACAUGUAUUCCUUGUUUAACCUGGGGAAAUAAUUAAGCCGUGCAAGAAUUUGUGCUACCGCUCAACUUAAUGAUUUCUUAAUGUCACUCAUUAAUUGGUUUUAAUGUUCCAAGGAUUUAGUUGGCAAUUAUGGCAUUAACCCGAUGGUUAAGAUAACAUUAUUACAAAUUUAAUUGGAACAUGGAGUGACCACCCAGGAUAACAGUGCAACCACGAGUGCUAUCAUGGCUCUGGCUUUGGUAAUUAGCUCUAUAUGCUUAGUGCCUAGCAACCUUACCUGAAAGAUGGGCAAGAGGGGGAGCGGUAGGUGCUGGCAGCCCACGUUAACAUGGGGUCGUAUUCUUGGCUAAGGUACUUCACCCAGGGGGCCACCACCAUCGUCUUAGAAACCUUAGCGGGUUGCUUCGUAUUAAGUGUAUUUUGUGAAAACCUCAUGAUGGAUCCCUAGUGAGAGCACCUAGAGGGGGGGGGGUGAAUAGGUGAUCCUGUAAAAACUUAAACUUAUAGCCACAAAACUUGAUUAGGCGUUAGCGCAGUUUAUGCCAAGUGGCUAGAGAGGAGUCAAAACACAAUAACCACAAGAAUCCAAUCACAGAGAUGACACAGUGGUUAUCCCGUGGUUCGGCCAAGUACAAAACUUGCCUACUCCACGUUGUGGCGUCCCAACGGACGAGAGUUGCACUCAACUCCUCUCAAGUGAUCCAAUGAUCAACUUGAAUACCACGGUGUUCUUGCUUUUCUUUUCUCAAUCCCGUUUGCGAGGAAUCUCCACAACUUGGAGCCUCUCGCCCUUACAAAAGAUGUUCACAGAGAAUCACAGAGCAAGGGAGGGAUUAGCAACUCACACACGACACAAAGAUCACAGCGAAUACGCACACACAAGACCCAGACUUGAGCUCAAAAGACUAGCACACUAGAACGGAGCUCAAAUCACUAGAAUGUCGAACAAGUGCGCGAGAUUGAUGUGUGAGUGAUCAAGAGUGCUCAAGGAAUGCUUGUUUUGUUCCUCCAUGCGCCAAGGGGUCCCUUUUAUAGCCCCAAGGCAGCUAGGAGCCGUUGGGAACAAAUCUGGAAGGCCAUCUUUGCCUUCUGUCUCGUGGGGCACCGGACAGUCCGGUGCACACCGGACACUGUCCGGUGCCCGAUUUGUUUCCACAAAAAGCUCAUCCGACCGUUGCUUUCUGAUGCAGAUCUGCGCACAGUUGGCGCACCGGACAUGUCCGGUGCACACCGGACAGUCCGGUGUAUCUUCUCGACCGUUGGCUCGGCCACGUGUCGCGCGCCGAUCGCGCGGCCGACCGUUGGCCCGGCCGACCGUUGGCUCACCGGACAGUCCGGUGCACACCGGACAGUCCGGUGAAUUUUAGCCGAAGUCGCCGGAGAGAAACCCGAGAGCGGCUGGUUUGCUCCGCGCUGGUCUGGCGCACCGGACACUGUCCGGUGCACACCGGACAGUCCGGUGCCCCAGCCCGCUGUACACAGCCACUCUCCACUUCUUUUCUUCUUCUUCCUGUUUCUAACACUUAGACAAGAAUAUUAGUACACAAAACCAAUGUACUAAGGCUUAGAAACAUACCUUUGUUGAAGAUUUGCACUUUGUUCAUCCAUGGGCAUUGAUUUACAUUUAAGCACUUGUGUUGGCACUUAAUCACCAAAAUACUUAGAAAUGGCCCAAAGGCACAUUUCCCUUUCAAUCUCCCCCUUUUUGGUGAUUUAUGCCAACACCACAUAAAGCAACUAGAACAAGUGCAAAAUUACUUCAAAUAAAAACUCAAAUUGGUUUUGAUUCAAUUUUGGCAUAUAUGGAUCAUCCUUUGCCACCACUUGGUUUGUUUUUGCAAAUCAAACUCAAAUCUCUAUUUCUAUGUCAACCACACAUGUUGAGGCAUAAAGAGAGUCAUUCCAAACGAGAUUGAUCAAAGAUUUCAAAAACUCCCCCUAAAUCCCAUAAUCAAUACUUCUCCCCACAAGAAACCAACUUUUGACAAUAGAGACAAUAAGAGACAAAAGCUUUUGACAAAACAAAAACUCUAUUCUACUAUUCUACUAUUUUCAAAAUUUUCAAAAUCUCUCAAGUGGUAGCUGAUCCAUUUUAUCACUUUGGCCUUUAUUUUCUCCCCCUUUGGCAUCAAGCACCAAAACGGGAUCAAUCUUGGCUCUAUAACCCCAUUGCCUCACCAAAAUCUUCAAUUAAGAGCAAAUGGCAAUAAGAGUUCAUGAGAUGGACUUGGAAUAAGUUACCCUCUCAUCGGAGUGCAGUGGAAGUCUUUCAUGGUCCAAGUCCACCUUUUCCCUUUCAAGCCUCCUUUGAGACUAAAUCAUCAAACUCAAACACAUGGUUAGUCUCAAAGGGUCAAGUUGUAACACAUCUCCCCCUUAACAUGUGCAUCACUUUGCAACAGACUUGUGAGGUCCAGGGAGUGUUUGUACAACUUGAGCACCACAAUAAGCAACAAAAUGCAAAAAGGAACAUGAUCAAAAGCAUAAAUACAUGUAUGCUACAAUUCAAUCCAGGUUCCGCGAAUCUAAGAUAUUUAGCUCACUACGCAACCUGCAAAAGGUCUUCUCAUCUAGAGGUUUAGUGAAGAUAUCGGCUAGCUGGUUCUCGGUGCUGACAUGAAACACUUCGAUAUCUCCCUUUUGCUGGUGGUCUCUCAAAAAGUGAUGCCGGAUGUCUAUGUGCUUUGUGCGGCUGUGCUCGACAGGAUUUUCCGCCAUGCGGAUAGCACUCUCAUUAUCACAUAGGAGUGGGACUUUGCUCAGAUUGUAGCCAAAGUCCCGGAGGGUUUGCCUCAUCCAAAGUAGUUGCGCGCAACACUGUCCUGCGGCAACAUACUCGGCCUCAGCGGUGGAUAGGGCAACGGAAGUUUGUUUCUUAGAAUUCCAUGACACCAGGGACCUUCCUAAGAACUGGCACGUCCCCGAUGUACUCUUCCUAUCGACCUUACAUCCAGCAUAGUCGGAGUCUGAGUAUCCAACUAAGUCAAAGGUAGACCCCUUUGGAUACCAGAGCCCGAAGCAAGGCGUAGCAACCAAAUAUCUAAGAAUUCGCUUCACCGCCACUAAGUGACACUCCUUAGGAUCGGAUUGAAAUCUAGCACACAUGCAUACGCUAAGCAUAAUAUCCGGUCUACUAGCACAUAAAUAAAGCAAAGAACCUAUCAUGGACCGGUAUGCUUUUUGAUCAACGGACUUACCUCCUUUGUUGAGGUCAGUGUGUCCGUCGGUUCCCAUCGGAGUCUUUGCAGGCUUGGCGUCCUUCAUCCCAAACCGCUUCAGCAGAUCUUGCGUGUACUUUGUUUGAGAGAUGAAGGUGCCGUCCUUGAGUUGCUUUACUUGGAACCCAAGGAAGUAGUUCAACUCGCCCAUCAUCGACAUCUCGAAUUUCUGCGUCAUCACCCUGCUAAACUCUUCACAAGACUUUUGGUUAGUAGAACCAAAUAUUAUGUCAUCGACAUAAAUUUGGCACACGAACAAAUCACCAUCACAUGUCUUAGUGAAAAGAGUUGGAUCGGCUUUCCCAACCUUGAAAGCAUUAGCAAUUAAGAAAUCUCUAAGGCAUUCAUACCAUGCUCUUGGGGCUUGCUUAAGUCCAUAGAGCGCCUUAGAGAGCUUACACACGUGGUCGGGGUACCGUUCAUCCUCGAAGCCAGGGGGUUGCUCCACAUACACCUCCUCCUUGAUUGGCCCGUUGAGGAAAGCGCUCUUCACAUCCAUUUGGUACAACCUGAAAGAAUGGUGAGCGGCAUAUGCUAGCAAGAUUCGAAUUGACUCUAGCCUAGCCACAGGAGCAAAAGUCUCCUCAAAAUCCAAACCUGCUACUUGGGCAUAACCUUUUGCCACAAGUCGAGCCUUGUUUCUCGUCACCACCCCGUGCUCGUCCUGUUUGUUGCGGAACACCCACUUGGUUCCCACAACAUUUUGCUUCGGACGAGGCACCAGCGUCCAAACUUCAUUUCUCUUGAAGUUGUUGAGCUCCUCCUGCAUGGCCAACACCCAGUCCGGAUCUAGCAAGGCCUCCUCUACCCUGAAAGGCUCAAUAGAAGAGACAAAAGAGUAAUGCUCACAAAAAUUAACUAAUCGAGAACGAGUAGUUACUCCCUUGCUGAUGUCACCCAGAAUUUGGUCGACGGGAUGAUCCCUUUGAAUCAUUGCUCGAACUUGGGUUGGAGGUGCCGGUUGCGCUUCUUCCUCCAUCACUUGAUCACCUUGUGCUCCCCCUUGAUCAAUCGCCUCCACUUGAGGUACCUGUACGACACCUUCGGUUGGGGAAUGCACCAUAGUUGAGGAAGAAGGUUGAUCUCGUUCAUCUUGUUCCUGUGGCCGCACUUCUCCAAUCGCCAUGGUUCGUAUAGCGGCCGUCGGAACAUCUUCUUCAUCUACAUCAUCACAAUCAACAACUUGCUCUCUUGGAGAGCCAUUAGUCUCAUCAAAUACAAUGUCGCUAGAGACUUCAACCAAACCUGAUGAUUUGUUGAAGACUCUAUACGCCUUUGUAUUUGAGUCAUAACCUAAUAAAAACCCUUCUACAGCUUUGGGAGCAAACUUAGAAUUUCUACCCUUCUUCACUAGAAUGUAGCAUUUACUCCCAAAUACACGAAAGUAUGAUACAUUGGGUUUGUUACCGGUUAGUAGCUCAUACGACGUCUUCUUGAGGAGACGAUGAAGGUAGACCCUGUUGAUGGCGUGGCAAGCAGUGUUAACGGCUUCCGUCCAAAAGCACUCGGGGGUCUUGUACUCUCCUAGCAUCGUCCUUGCCAUGUCGAUGAGCGUCCUGUUCUUUCUCUCUACCACACCAUUUUGCUGUGGUGUGUAGGGAGCGGAGAACUCGUGCUUGAUCCCUUCUUCUUCAAGGAACUCCUCCACUUGAAGGUUCUUGAACUCGGACCCGUUGUCGCUCCUUAUCUUUUUCACUUUGAGCUCAAACUCAUUUUGAGCCCUCCUGAGGAAGCGCUUGAGGGUCCCUUGGGUUUCAGACUUAUCCUGCAAAAAGAACACCCAAGUGAAGCGGGAAAAGUCAUCAACAAUAACUAAACCAUACUUACUUCCUCCUAUGCUCAGAUAGGCGACGGGUCCAAAAAGGUCCAUAUGCAGCAUCUCCAAGGGUCUUGAUGUCGUCAUCACAUUUUUGGUGUGAUGAGAGCCUCCCACCUGUUUCCCUGCUUGACAAGCUGCACAAGGUCUAUCUUUUUCGAAUUGAACAUUAGUUAGACCUAUCACGUGUUCUCCCUUUAGAAUCUUGUGAAGGUUCUUCAUCCCCACAUGUGCUAAGCGGCGAUGCCACAGCUAGCCCAUGCUAGUCUUAGCUAUUAAGCAUGCAUCUAGACCGGCCUCUUCUUUUGCAAAAUCAACUAAAUAAAGUUUGCCAUCUAAUACACCCUUAAAAGCUAGUGAACCAUCACUUCUUCUAAAGACAGACACAUCUACAUUUGUAAAUAGACAGUUAUACCCCAUGUUGCAUAAUUGACUAACAGAUAGCAGAUUAUAACCAAGAGACUCUACUAAAAACACAUUAGAUAUAGAGUGCUCAUUAGAAAUUGCAAUUUUACCUAGCCCUUUUACCUUGCCUUGAUUCCCAUCACCGAAUAUAAUUGAAUCUUGGGAAUCCUUAUUCUUGACGUAGGAGGUGAACAUCUUCUUCUCCCCCGUCAUAUGGUUUAUGCAUCCGCUGUCUAUAAUCCAGCUUGAACCCCCGGAUGCAUAAACCUGCAAGGCAAAUUUAGGCUUGGGACUUAGGUACCCAACUCAUGUUGGGUCCUACAAGGUUAGUGCAAAUAUCCUUAGGGACCCAAAUGCAAGUUUUGUCUCCCUUGCAUUUUGCCCCUAUCUUCCUAGCAACAAUUUUCUUAUCCUUUCUAUAAAUAGCAAAGGAAGCAUUUAAAGCACAAUAAAUUGUAGAAGAUUCAUUUACUACUUUCCUAGGAGCAUUAUGAGCAUCAUUUCUCCUAGGCAUUUGAUGAACAACAUUUCUUCUAAGCACAUUUCUACCAGGCAUAACAUGAGAACUAGAAGCAGUCAUAGCAUAAGAGUCAUACGCAUGUGAACCAAAAACAUCAUGACCUUUAAAAGCAUUUCUAGAAUAUCUCCUAUCAUGAUAUAAAAAGGCAUGGUUCUUUUUAGUAGCCAUAGGAGCCUUCCCUUUCUCCUUAGUGGGAAUGGGAGUCUUAUGGCUUGUUAAGUUCUUGACUUCCCUCUUGAAGCCAAGUCCAUCCUUAAUUGAGGGGUGUCUACCAAUAGUGUAGGCAUCCCUUGCAAAUUUUAGUUUAUCAAAUUCACUUUUGCUAGUCUUAAGUUGGGCAUUAAGACUAGCCACUUCAUUAUUUAACUUUGCAAUAGAAGCUAUGUGUUCACUACAAGCAUCAAUAUCAAAGUCUUUACAUCUAUUGCAAAUAACAACAGUUUCACCACAAGAGUUGGAUUUAUUUGCUUCUACUAGUUUAGCAUUUAAAUCAUCAUUUAUGCUCUUUAAGUUAGAAAUAGAAUCAUGGCAUGAUGACACUUCACAAGCAAGCAUUUCAUUCCUCUUAAUUUCUAAUGCAAGGGAUUUUUGAGCCUCUACAAACUUAUCAUGUUCUUCAUACAACAAAUCCUCUUGCUUUUCUAAAAGUAUAUUCUUUUCAUUCAAGGCAUCAAUUAAUUCAUUAAUUUUGUCUAUCUUAGAUCUAUCUAAGCCCUUGAAUAAACAUGAAUAAUCUACUUCAUCCUCACUAGAUUCAUCAUCACUAGAAGAAUCAUAAGUAUUAGCAUUACGAGUGAUUACCUUCUUUUCCCUUGCCAUGAGGCAAGUGUGAUGUUCGUUGGGAAAGAGGGAUGACUUGUUGAAGGCGGUGGCGGCGAGUCCUUCGUUGUCGGAGUCGGACGAGGAGCAAUCCGAAUCCCACUCUUUUCCAAUAUGAGCCUCGCCCUUUGCCUUCUUGUAAUUCUUCUUCUUUUCCCAUUUUCCACUCUUCUUUUCCUGGUCACUAUCAUUAUCGGGACAAUUAGCGAUAAAGUGACCAAUCUUACCACACUUGAAGCAUGAGCGCUUCCCCUUCGUCUUGGUCUUGUUGGGAUGCUCCUUGCGACCCCUUAACGCCGUCUUGAAGCGCUUAAUGAUGAGAGCCAUUUCUUCAUCAUUAAGCCCGGCCGCCUCAAUUUGCGCCACCUUGCUUGGUAGUGCCUCCUUGCUUCUCGAUGCCUUGAGAGCAAUGGGUUGAGGCUCGUGGAUUGGACCGUUCAACGCGUCAUCGACGUACCUUGCCUCCUUGAUCAUCAUUCGCCCGCUCACGAAUUUUCCAAGUACUUCCUCGGGCGUCAUCAUCGUGUACCUGGGAUUCUCACGAAUAUUGUUCACGAGAUGAGGAUCAAGAACGGUAAAGGACCUGAGUAGUAGGCGGACGACGUCGUGGUCCGUCCAACGCGUGCUUCCGUAGCUCCUUAUUUUGUUGAUAAGGGUCUUGAGCCGGUUGUAAGUUUGAGUUGGCUCCUCUCCCCUUAUCAUGGCGAAUCGUCCAAGCUCGCCCUCCACCAACUCCAUCUUGGUGAGCAUGGUGAUGUCGUUCCCCUCGUGAGAGAUCUUGAGGGUGUCCCAUAUCUGCUUGGCAUUGUCCAAGCCGCUCACCUUAUUGUACUCUUCCCUGCACAAAGAUGCUAAGAGAACAGUAGUAGCUUGUGCAUUUCUAUGAAUUUGUUCAUUUAUAAGCAUAGGACUAUCCGAGCUAUCAAAUUUCAUUCCAUUCUCCACAAUCUCCCAUAUGCUUGGAUGGAGAGAGAAUAAGUGACUACGCAUUUUGUGACUCCAAAAUCCGUAGUCCUCCCCAUCAAAGUGUGGGGGUUUGCCAAGAGGAAUGGAAAGCAAAUGCGAAUUCGAACUAUGUUGAAUACGAGAAUAAUCAAAUGAAAAGUUCGAAUUGACCGUCUUUUUGUAGUCGUUGUCACCAUCCUUUUGGGAAGAAGUAGAUUCAUCACUAUCGUCGUAGUAGAUGAUCUCCUUGAUGCGCCUUGUCUUCUUCUUCUUCCCAUCUUUGCGCCUGUGGCCCGAGCCCGAGUCGUUGAACUUGUCAUCCCUUGGCUCGUUGACGAAGGACUCCUUCUCCUUGUCGUUGAUCACAAUUCCCUUCCCCUUAGGAUCCAUCUCUUCAGGCGGUUAGUCCCUUUCUUGAAGAGAACGGCUCUGAUACCAAUUGAGAGCACCUAGAGGGGGGGGGGUGAAUAGGUGAUCCUGUAAAAACUUAAACUUAUAGCCACAAAACUUGAUUAGGCGUUAGCGCAGUUUAUGCCAAGUGGCUAGAGAGGAGUCAAAACACAAUAACCACAAGAAUCCAAUCACAGAGAUGACACAGUGGUUAUCCCGUGGUUCGGCCAAGUACAAAACUUGCCUACUCCACGUUGUGGCGUCCCAACGGACGAGAGUUGCACUCAACUCCUCUCAAGUGAUCCAAUGAUCAACUUGAAUACCACGAUGUUCUUGCUUUUUCUUUUCUCAAUCCCGUUUGCGAGGAAUCUCCACAACUUGGAGCCUCUCGCCCUUACAAAAGAUGUUCACAGAGAAUCACAGAGCAAGGGAGGGAUUAGCAACUCACACACGACACAAAGAUCACAGCGAAUACGCACACACAAGACCCAGACUUGAGCUCAAAAGACUAGCACACUAGAACGGAGCUCAAAUCACUAGAAUGUCGAACAAGUGCGCGAGAUUGAUGUGUGAGUGAUCAAGAGUGCUCAAGGAAUGCUUGUUUUGUUCCUCCAUGCGCCAAGGGGUCCCUUUUAUAGCCCCAAGGCAGCUAGGAGCCGUUGGGAACAAAUCUGGAAGGCCAUCUUUGCCUUCUGUCUCGUGGGGCACCGGACAGUCCGGUGCACACCGGACACUGUCCGGUGCCCGAUUUGUUUCCACAAAAAGCUCAUCCGACCGUUGCUUUCUGAUGCAGAUCUGCGCACAGUUGGCGCACCGGACAUGUCCGGUGCACACCGGACAGUCCGGUGUAUCUUCUCGACCGUUGGCUCGGCCACGUGUCGCGCGCCGAUCGCGCGGCCGACCGUUGGCCCGGCCGACCGUUGGCUCACCGGACAGUCCGGUGCACACCGGACAGUCCGGUGAAUUUUAGCCGAAGUCGCCGGAGAGAAACCCGAGAGCGGCUGGUUUGCUCCGCGCUGGUCUGGCGCACCGGACACUGUCCGGUGCACACCGGACAGUCCGGUGCCCCAGCCCGCUGUACACAGCCACUCUCCACUUCUUUUCUUCUUCUUCCUGUUUCUAACACUUAGACAAGAAUAUUAGUACACAAAACCAAUGUACUAAGGCUUAGAAACAUACCUUUGUUGAAGAUUUGCACUUUGUUCAUCCAUGGGCAUUGAUUUACAUUUAAGCACUUGUGUUGGCACUUAAUCACCAAAAUACUUAGAAAUGGCCCAAAGGCACAUUUCCCUUUCACCUAGCCAUUCACCUCGGCAGUGUCUAAGGGUCCGAUCAACCCGGGCUAGAUGGGAUACAUGGCUUAUGGGUAAAGUUGUACCACCUCUGCAGAGUGUAAAACUGAUAUAUCAGCCGUGCUCCCGGUUAUGAGCGACCUGGACUCCUCACAUGAUAAUUGAACUUGAAGAUGGAAUUAAUUUGAGAUCCGAUGAUCUGCCAAUAAUUUGCUUAAGUGGUUUCACUUAAGUGUUUUUGUUAUAUUCAUAUUCCUUUGUUUAAUUUGGAUAUUUGGGAUUCACUCUUAUUAGUAAGACAGGUGUUGAUAAUAAAAUGUUGACCAACUAAAAUGCUUACUGCUCAACCUUAGCCUCCCCUUGUUAUACCUGCAUUAAUUUUUCCCCCACUUGCUGAGCCCCGACCAUAAGUGAGCUCACCCUUGCUAAUAUUUUGAUCAGAGGGUGAUGCUGGAGACUUUGAUGGAGAAUUUGUCGACGAGGAAUUCUAAGUCUAACGAUGCGCCGGUCAACUUCCUGUGGAAGAUUGCCCAGUUGUUUAUUCCCGCUUAACUUUGAUGUGAUACUUGUUUAAGACGCAAUGUUUCAGAUGAUGUAAUAAAGUUUUAUACUCUCUUUACGCCUUUAUUGCAUUGUCUUUUGAUAUAUUACACUUGUGACGUCAACAUAUGUGUGGAAAUGGAUCCUGGCACACAUAUGGUAUGCACUUGGUUCUACCCCCUGGAACCGGGUGUGACAGAAGUGGUAUCAAAGCUAUGCUGACCCUAGGUCGUUAGAUUAGUUAGAAAUGGAAAGCCUAGUUGUUCAAUAUUUGCUAAUUUCAUUCCUAUAAAUUCCUUUAUCAGUCUUACCUCUUUGAAAUUCAACUAAGUUGACUCUUCUCUUGUAGAUGGUUCGCACUCUCCAAACCACCCGCGUCAACACCAGCUACGCCCCUCAGCCCCGGCAGAUCCCGGUCUACCCAGUGGUAGUCGAGGAUGCUCCAGCGAAUCUCCCUCCCGUCCGAGUGGAGAACGUGAUCAACCUGGAGGACAGCUCGGAGGAGCAGCUGCCGACCCCCACCCCGUUGGCCGAGUCCCUGGCCUUCGCAGUAGGGUCAUCGACGUCAGCAUCGUCGGCACCAGCCUUCCAAGCACCUGCACCUGGAGGCGACGACCCCGACGACUCCGGAGACGGCGAUGACGAGGGUGACGACGACGACAACGACGAUGGAGAGGAUGAGCACGUCCACGAGGAAGCUGACUACGCCCAGCAGGACCACUUCAUGGGGAUUGGUCCAGUUGUCGAACAUUACACAUCAAUGUUCGAAACAGGGCACUUCCCCAGCCUGCUGCAGGAGGUGCUGCACGAGCUAGGAGCCUACGUCCGCCCCCUGUACGAGACGAGGCGGGUGAGCGAGCCUCCCCGGGCUUGCUAUUACAUCACCCGCAUCCAUGUCAGGGUAAUGGAUGCAGGUGACAGGGGAUUCAGGACUCUGUUUGCUCACGAGUCCCUGAUACCGCUGUCCACCUACGCUGCCUCUGUCAGCGACGCUGCCCGUCGGACCCUGUGGUCGCUUAGCCACACCUACCGGCAGCAGCUGCAGAACACAAGGUUCAGGCAUCUUCCUCAGUGCCUGCGUGGAGAGAACCAGACCAACAUUGUCCCAGGUGAGCCUGGUGAGGACCGCCUCAACACCCUAGCUGGUGUAGUGGCCGGUCUCAACACCGACCUGGACAGUGCCACUCUGGACCUCUACAGUGUGCACUUGGAGCUGGAGAAUGCCCACGCCAGGAUUGCAGCCCUGGAAGCCCAACUGCAGGGACUGAAUCCGCCAGAAGCUCAGGUUCCCGCCGUGGCGUUGUCUCCUCCCCGCAAGAGGCUGCGCUAUGGAGAGCCCGGAUCCGUCACUAGGCUGCUUUAGGAGUGUUGAUCAUGAUGUAAUAAGUUACGCUUCGCGUUAGACGAUGAAACUAUCUUUAAAUUUUUAUAUUAAUAAAUAUCAACCAUGUGAUGGUGAUUGGUUGAAAUGCUUGAUUUGAAUCUUUGUUUGAGUGCUAUGGUCUUAUGGAAUGAUGGCCAUAAGAACAUAUAAAAUUUGUAAAACUUAAGCUAUUUUCCCUCUAGAAUCUUUUCUACUCCUCACUUUUCUAAGGACUUCACUUCCUAACAAAACAGAUGGUGAACCAACGUCAAGGACCUAACAACCGGAACCAGCGUGGACAACAAGCACCACCACCACCGCCACCACCAAAUCCCAAUAUGGAGUAGUUCAUCGCCGCCCAAAUGCAGAUUCUGCAAGGACUUACUGCUGUGGUUCAGCAAUUACAACAGAACCAACAGAAUCAGCAACCCCAGCAGCAGCAGUAUGCACCCCCGGCCAGAGAUAAAUACCGGGAUUUCAUGAGUCAUCACCCGCCGACAUUUUCUCAUGCGGUUGAUCCUCUUGAUGCCGAUGACUGGCUCAAAGUCAUUGGGAAGAAGCUGGACAUCACUCAGUGCAACGACCGAGAGAAGGUCUUGUACGCCUCGGGAAGACUCGAGGGAGCUGCGUCCGAUUGGUGGGAUGCCUUCACAGCGGCACAUCCCAACGCUGAUACCAUAACCUGGCAGGAGUUUCAGGAGAACUUCCGCGCUCACCACAUCCCCUCUGGAAUCAUGAAGCUGAAGAAGAAGGAGUUCCUUUCCCUUACUCAAGGGAAUAUGUCUGUCAGUGAGUAUCGUGAUCGCUUCACUCAACUUUCAUGUUAUGCCCCUGAGGAAGUGGACACUGAUGAGAAGCGCCAAGAGCGUUUCCUAGAAGGAUUGAUUGGACCUCUGAACUAUCAACUUCAGAGUCACACUUUUCCCAACUUCCAGACACUGCUGAACAAGGCAAUUGGCCUUGAAAGCAAAAGGAAGGAGCUAUCUGACCAUAAGAGAAAAUUCCAAGGUCAGUCCAGCAGGAACACCCGGCCAAACAAUCCUCAAGGUUCGCAGUUCCGCUCUGGAAAUCAGGGUGGAAAUAAUUAUCAAGUGCAACGCUCUGGACAGCAAGGCCAGAGAAAUAAUCAGAACCAGAAUCAACAAAGGAGCAACCCCCAGACCAAUCAGAGGUCUAGUGGAAAUUCACAGAACCGUCAAGGUGGCACCAACAACACGCAGGCCAGGAACAACGCACCUGUCCAACCCAACGGCUGUUUCAAGUGCGGUGAACUAGGCCACUAUGCCAACAAUUGCCCAAGGCGCAACCAGCAGACACCUCAAAAAGGCAAUACUCAGAGGAAUGACCAGAGCACCCCCGCUCGUGGAUCUGCUCAGAACAAGACUCCGCAGAACCAGAGCCGAGGAAGGGUCAAUCACGUCACUGCGGAAUCAGUGCCUGAGGAUGCCGACAUAGUGUAUGGUAUGUUCCUUGUUAACUCCAUACCUGCAUCAGUUUUAUUUGACUCUGGAGCAUCGCAUUCAUUUAUAACUGAGUCAUUCGUGGAAAAACAUAACAUACCUAAGUACCCAUUGAAGAGGAUAUUACACAUUAGUUCACCGGGAGGUGACAUGAAGGCCACACACUCAUGCCCUCACGUUAAUAUCUAGAUUCAAGGAAUAGAUUUUACAGUCGACCCAGUGGUCCUAGGAUCCAACGGUAUUGAUGUGAUUCUUGGAUACAACUGGUUGAGAAGUUGUGAUGGAGUGAUACAGUGUGCCAAUGGAACAAUUAUGUUGACAAGUCCUCGAGGUGAAAGAAUCCAAGUCAACAUAGACAAGUCAACAGAUGAAAAAGGGAAGACAAUGAUCAAUCACUUGGAAGAAAAGCCCUUGGAAAAUAUCAAAGUAGUGUGCGAAUACCCAGACGUAUUUCCGGAAGAAUUACCAGGUAUGCCACCUGACCGUGAUAUAGAGUUUUCUAUUGAAUUAGUACCCGGAACCGCACCUAUCUCGAAAAGACCUUAUAGAAUGGAUGUCAAAGAUUUAGUAGAACUGAAGAAACAAAUAGAAGAAUUACUAGAAAAAGGUUUUAUUCGCCCAAGUUCAUCCCCUUGGGGAGCCCCAGUGCUAUUUGUGAACAAGAAGGAUGGUUCGAGGAGAAUGUGUGUGGAUUAUAGAAGUUUGAAUGAAGUAACCAUCAAGAAUAAAUACCCACUACCUCGGAUUGAAGAUUUAUUCGAUCAAAUGAAGGGAGCUAAAAUAUUCUCGAAGAUAGAUCUGAGAUCGGGAUAUCAUCAGUUAAAGAUUCGAGCAGAAGAUGUACCGAAGACAGCCUUCACGACGAGAUAUGGAUUAUAUGAGUUUUUGGUCAUGUCGUUUGGACCGACUAAUGCACCAGCAUACUUUAUGAACUUGAUGAAUAAAGUAUUCAUGGAAUAUCUGGAUCAGUUUGUGGUCGUAUUCAUUGACGACAUACUGAUAUAUUCUCCGAAUGAAGAAACACACGAAGAUCAUCUAAGGCUAGUCCUACGAAAGCUUCGUGACAACCAACUGUACGCAAAAUUCUUGAAGUGUGAUUUUUGGCUUAAGGAAGUUGCUUUCUUAGGGCAUAUUGUUACCGAUGGUGGAAUUAAAGUGGACCCAGGAAAGAUAAGUGAGAUACUAAAUUGGAAGCAACCCACAGAUGCGUCCAAGAUCAAAAGUUUUCUUGGAUUAGCAGGAUACUAUAGAAUAUUUAUUGAAGGUUUUUCCAAGUUAGUGAAGCCUCUUACCUCUCUACUGGAGAAAGGCAAAGAGUUCAAAUGGGAUGAAGCUUGUCAGAAUUGUUUUGAGGAACUCAAGAAGAGGUUAACCACUGCACCAAUACUGGUAAUGCCAGACAUCCACAAGGGAUUUGAUGUGUAUUGCGAUGCAUCACACCUUGGACUUGGAUGUGUGCUAAUGCAAGAAGGAAAGGUGAUUGCUUAUGCUUCAAGACAGUUGAGGAAACAUGAGAAGAAUUAUCCUACACAUGAUUUGGAACUAGCGGCCGUAGUGCAUGCUUUGAAGAUUUGGAGGCACUAUAUGAUUGGAAACAAGUGCAAAAUCUUCAUGGAUCACAAAAGCCUGAAAUAUAUAUUCACUCAGAAGGAACUCAACCUCAGACAGAGAAGAUGGCUUGAGUUGAUUAAAGAUUAUGAUUUGGAAAUACAAUAUCACCCCGGAAAAGCAAAUGUAGUAGCUGAUGCUUUGAGCCGUAAGGGUCAAGUGAACAACAUCACUACUCGUUUGAUGUCACAAGAAUUGUGCUGGGAAAUGGAACGACUCAACCUUGGAUUUCUCAAUAAUGUAGAAGCAACGGUGAUGGAAGUCGAAUCUACUUUGGAAGAAGAGAUUCGUAAUGGACAAGAGUCCGAUGAGAAGAUUAAGGAAAUUAAAACUUUUAUUAGUUUGGGUAAAGCCCCAGAUUUCACGGAAGAUGAACAAGGCACAGUAUGGUUUAAAAAGAGAAUCUGUGUACCCGAAAUGGAACACCUGCGCCAACUUAUUUUGAGAGAAGCUCAUGAUUCAGCUUACUCUAUUCACCCUGGAAGCACAAAGAUGUACCAGGAUCUUAAGGAAAAGUAUUGGUGGUACGGUUUGAAAAGAGAUGUUGCUACUCAUGUUGCAUUAUGUGACGUGUGUCAGCGAGUUAAAGCCGAACACCAAAGACCAGCAGGAUUGCUACAACCUCUCAAGGUACCUGAAUGGAAAUGGGAAGAAAUCAGUAUGGAUUUCAUAGUUGGGCUACCCCGUACUCGAGAUGGCUAUGAUUCAAUAUGGGUCAUAGUAGACAGGUUAACUAAAGUAGCACACUUUAUACCUGUGAAGACAACCUACUCAGGAGCCCAGUUAGCAGAGUUGUACAUGUCGAGGAUUGUUUGUCUGCAUGGAGUACCCAAGAAGAUCGUAUCAGAUCGAGGAACCCAGUUUACCUCGCGCUUUUGGAAAAGACUACAUGAGUCCAUGGAUACCAAGCUAAACUUUAGUUCAGCUUAUCAUCCACAAACGGAUGGGCAAACAUAAAGAACAAACCAAGUGUUGGAAGAUAUGCUAAGAGCUUGCGCUCUAACGCAUGGUAGAAGCUGGGAUAAAAGUUUGCCUUAUGCAGAAUUUUCGUAUAACAACAGUUAUCAAGCAAGUCUCAAAAUGGCACCAUUUGAAGCACUCUAUGGACGAAAGUGUAGAACACCGCUUUAUUGGAAUCAAACUGGAGAAAGUCAAGUAUUUGGUCCAGAGAUUCUCCAAGAGGCGGAAAAGCAAGUGCAGAUUAUCAGAGAAAAUUUGAAGACAGCACAGUCAAGACAGAAGAGCUAUGCUGAUAAUAGUAGAAGAGAAUUGAUGUUUGAAGUAGGAGACUUUGUCUACCUUAAAGUUUCACCGAUGAGAGGAAUGAAAAGGUUUAAGGUUAAAGGAAAAUUAUCACCUCGCUAUAUUGGCCCAUUCAAGAUUUUGGAAAGAAAAGGCGAAGUAGCCUACCAGUUAGAGCUACCUGAUAGAUUAUCAGAUGUGCAUGACGUAUUUCACGUAUCACAACUCAAGAAGUGCUUAAGAGUACCAGAAGAACAGUUACCCAUGGAAGAACUGAAUGUUAAUGAAGAUUUGACUUAUUCGGAGUACCCAAUCAGAAUUCUGGAAACAUCUCGCAGAAUUACACGGAGUAAAGUCAUUAACAUGUGCAAAGUUCAGUGGAGUCAUCAUUCGGAAGAUGAAGCCACUUGGGAAAGAGAAGAUGAACUCAGAGCAGAAUUCCCUCAGCUAUUCUCGAAAGUUUCUUAAUCUCGAGGACGAGAUUCUUUUUAAGAGGGGUAGGUUUGUAACACCAUAAUAGCCAUCAAUUAAAAAUAAUGAAUUUAGUUAUUAUUAAUUAGGGUAAUAAAUUUUUUUAAGUGUUUAAUUGUUUAUUUGCAUUUUUAUCAUUUUCAUUGCAUGUGCUUGAUUGCUUAUUGGAAUGUUUAUUAUCAACUCUUUUUAAAGAAAAUCCUAGCAAAUAAUAUAAUAAUUAUUAGUCUAAAAACAAGUAUUUUAUUUAUAAAUAAUUUUGGUGAAUUUCUCGGAAUUUUCGAGCUCUUUAAAAAUACAUUUCACAAUUAAAAAAAACAAAUCCUACACUAAACCAGCCCACUAGGGGCCCAUUACCCCAAACCCUAUCCUCUAACGCGCGCGCGCCAGCAGAAGCCGCCGCCGCCAGCCUCUACUACUCCCUCUCCUAUCUCUCUUCUCUCUCUCCUCCAUGUUCUCUCUGCACGCCGCCGCUCCCUGCCACGCUGCAGCACUCGCCCGGCCCUGCACCGGCGCCCUGCGCAAGCCGCGCCGAGCGCGCAGCCGCCCAGGCCGACCGGCCAACCCGCGCCCUGCCCUGGUGCGCGACGCCUGCGCUCCCUGCGCGCGCCUACGCCGCACGCCCAGCAGCGACGCCCGAGCAGACCCGAAGCCGCCGCGCCCGAAGCCGAAUCGCCCGAGCCCCACGCACCGCGACGCCCGACCGACCCUGCGCGAACCCCAACGGUCCCUCUGCACCGCGACCUCGCUGCCUAGAAGUCGAGCAGCCGCGCAGUCCGCGCCCCAUUGAAGUCAUAGCUGCCGUUACUGCCGUUUCUUCUUUCUGUGCCUCAUUCCUUCCUCCAUUAGUGGUGUUUACAACUCCUGUUCGUGUUGUGCAGAAACAGUUCAUCAUAUGGCCAUCACGGAGCUUUAAACAGGAUUUAAACUCUCUUUUCCGUCAGCCUAUAAAGCUAGAGACGUCCUGCUUCCUUCCUCCCCAAUAGCUCGGCUCUGCACUUCGUCUCGCUCAAUCGUCCUUAGGCUAUAGCCACUGCACCUUGUUAUCGUCGGAGCUUCACCCGCUCGGACACGCCGUCGUUUGCUGUCUACGCUCGUCGGAGUUCACCGGAGUCGCAGUUCGUCGCAGGAGCCACGCACUCGCCGUCCGUAGUCGUGCCCCGCACUCCGUCCGGCCGAAACCCGUCGAUCCGUCCCCGUCACACGCACGAACCCGAGGUUGUUGGCGACCCAAAUUUAUUUUAUGUAUUUUAUAAAGUGCUUUCGAUUCGAUUCAUGUGUUGUAUAGUUUGUUUGUUGUAUGAACACAUGUGAGUCGCGACAUUAUGUAUGGGUGUAUGAGCGUUAUGGAAUUGUUUGGUAGUUUCAAGCGAUUAUUCGUACACCUUGUUAUUUCAUGUUAAUCGAUGCGCUGAAUUUUGGUUUAGAGAAAUAUGACGUAGAUUUAAUAGUCACACGUCGGUGAUAAAAAUACUAGAUAAGAAUUUAUAGUUAAAAUUGGUCGCGAUAAAUUUUUGAAACUAAUUGGAGAAUUAUAGGUGCAUUUUUGAUGGAUUAGAAAAAUGGUAUAGAACUCAUGUCAUAUGAAUAAAAUAGGAUUGUUAGAUGAUUUAUUCGAUUAUUUAAUUAAUAUCUUCUUUUGGAAAGAAAAGAGAAAAUAUCGUUGGUAGAUGGCAAAAUAGGGUUUUGCUAGUCAAAUAAACAUGUUCACAGAUUUAGAACUUAAAAUUGUUAGAGUACUAGUUUAUGUCAAAUAACCCCGCUUGUGUUAGAAAAUGUUCAAUUAGUAGUUUAUGUAGAUUUUAGAAUAUUAAUAUUAUUAGAUUCAUUUUUGGUCAUACUAACUAAUUUGUGUUAAAAGUAAUAAUAGGUAUUAAUUUAUUUAUUAGUAUUAAAAGAUAAUAAGUAUUAUUUAAUUUCAUUGAUGGUGUUAAAGUAGAUUAAUAUUAGUUAAAAUUAUAUUUAUUACACCCACUCCUAAAUUCACCAUUAGGAUGCGCAUUAAUAGUUAUAAUUAAAUUAAUAAGUAUUUACGCGAUUAGUACGUAAUUAAAAUGUGAUUAGUGCGACGUGUUAAUGUGCAUGUAAUGGUGUAUGAUUAUGUAAUGGUGCAUGUUUACUUAUGGGUGUAUACUUUAUUUUUGUAUGUGCGAUGUGCGACUAUAAUAGAAGCGGACUGUGUGGUAGAGAAUCCGAACUCGUUCGGGGACGACCCGCAAGACGUUGUUGAGCAAGGCAAGUGGAUUCUCCCUCUGCAUACUCUUUUUGUACCCAGUCAUUGCAUUUAAUAAUGUUUACUUUUGAUAUACUGCAUAAUUUGAUGGGUUUCACCUAAUUAAGGAUUUCCUAGAUUUACUACCUGUAUUCCUUGUUUAACCUGGGGAAAUAAUUAAGCCGUGCAAGAAUUUGUGCUACCGCUCAACUUAAUGAUUUCUUAAUGUCACUCAUUAAUUGGUUUUAAUGUUCCAAGGAUUUAGUUGGCAAUUAUGGCAUUAACCCGAUGGUUAAGAUAACAUUAUUACAAAUUUAAUUGGAACAUGGAGUGACCACCCAGGAUAACAGUGCAACCACGAGUGCUAUCAUGGCUCUGGCUUUGGUAAUUAGCUCUAUAUGCUUAGUGCCUAGCAACCUUACCUGAAAGAUGGGCAAGAGGAGGAGCGGUAGGUGCUGGUAGCCCACGUUAACAUGGGGUCGUAUUCUUGGCUAAGGUACUUCACCCAGGGGGCCACCACCAUCGUCUUAGAAACCUUAGCGGGUUGCUUCGUAUUAAGUGUAUUUUGUGAAAACCUCAUAAUGGAUCCCUAGCCAUUCACCUCGGCAGUGUCUAAGGGUCCGAUCAACCCGGGCUAGAUGGGAUACAUGGCUUGUGGGUAAAGUUGUACCACCUCUGCAGAGUGUAAAACUGAUAUAUCAGCCGUGCUCCCGGUUAUGAGCGACCUGGACUCCUCACAUGAUAAUUGAACUUGAAGAUGGAAUUAAUUUGAGAUCCGAUGAUCUGCCAAUAAUUUGCUUAAGUGGUUUCACUUAAGUGUUUUUGUUAUAUUCAUAUUCCUUUGUUUAAUUUGGAUAUUUGGGAUUCACUCUUAUUAGUAAGACAGGUGUUGAUAAUAAAAUGUUGACCAACUAAAAUGCUUACGGCUCAACCUUAGCCUCCCCUUGUUAUACCUGCAUUAAUUUUUCCCCCACUUGCUGAGCCCCGACCAUAAGUGAGCUCACCCUUGCUAAUAUUUUGAUCAGAGGGUGAUGCUGGAGACUUUGAUGGAGAAUUUGUCGACGAGGAAUUCUAAGUCUAACGAUGCGCCGGUCAACUUCCUGUGGAAGAUUGCCCAGUUGUUUAUUCCCGCUUAACUUUGAUGUGAUACUUGUUUAAGACGCAAUGUUUCAGAUGAUGUAAUAAAGUUUUAUACUCUCUUUACGCCUUUAUUGCAUUGUCUUUUGAUAUAUUACACUUGUGACGUCAACAUAUGUGUGGAAAUGGAUCCUGGCACACAUAUGGUAUGCACUUGGUUCUACCCCCUGGAACCGGGUGUGACAGUCGGGUUGUGUUGCGAGCUCUUGUUGUGACUUGUGUGUGUGUUGAUAUUCUGAUUUCGUGUCUUGUGUGCGUUGCUCAUCCCUCCCUUACUCCGUGCUUCUUUGUGAACAUCUUUUGUAAGGGCGAGAGACUCCAAGUUGUGGAGAUUCCUCGCGAACGGGAUAUAGAAAAGAAAAGCAAACACCGUGGUAUUCAAGUGGGUCUUUGGACCGCUUGAGAGGGGUUGAGUGCAACCCUCGUCCGUUGGGACGCCACAACGUGGAAGUUGGCAAGUGUUGUACUUGGCCGAACCACGGGAUAAACCACUGUGUCUAUCUGUGUUGAUUCUCUUGGGGUUAUUGUGUUUAGCUAAGGCUCUUCUCUAGCCACUUGGCAAUACUUGCUAACUCUUAACCAAAUCUCUGUGGCAUUAAGUGUAAGUUUUACAGGAUCACCUAUUCACCCCCUCUCUAGGUGCUCUCAAUUGGUAUCAGAGUCGUUCUCUUCACAAAGGGACUAAUCGCCCGAAGAGAUGGAUCCUAAGGGGAAGGGAAUCAUGAUCAACAACAAGGAGAAGGAGUCCUUCGUCAACGAGCCGAAGGAUGACAAGCCUACCGACUCGGGCUCGGGCCACAGAUGCAAAGAUGGGAAGAAGAAGACGAGACACAUCAAGGAGAUCGUCUACUACGACGACAGCGAUGAGUCCACUUCUUCCCAAAAGGACAACGACGACAACGACUACGACAAACGAAAGACGGUUAACUCAAACUUUUCUUUUGAUUAUUCGCGUAUCCCACAUAGCUCAAAUGCACAUUUGCUUUCCAUCCCUCUUGGCAAACCUCCACACUUUGAUGGGGAGGACUACAGAUUUUGGAGUCACAAAAUGCGUAGUCACUUGUUCUCUCUCCAUCCAAGCAUAUGGGAGAUUGUUGAGAAUGGAAUGAAAUUUGAUAGCUCGGAUAGUCCUAUAUUUAUUAAUGAACAGAUUCAUAAAAAUGCACAAGCUACUACUGUGUUGUUAGCCUCUUUGUGCAGGGACGAGUACCAUAAGGUGAGCGGCUUGGACAAUGCCAAGCAAAUCUGGGACACCCUCAAGAUUUCUCAUGAGGGGAACGACAUCACCUUACUCACCAAGAUGGAGUUGGUGGAGGGCGAGCUUGGAAGAUUCGCGAUGAUAAGGGGCGAGGAGCCAACCCAAACAUACAACCGGCUCAAGACCCUUAUCAACAAAAUAAGGAGCUACGGAAGCACGCGAUGGACGGACCACGACGUCGUCCGCCUAAUGCUAAGGUCCUUUACUGUACUUGAUCCACAUUUGGUGAACAAUAUUCGUGAAAAUCCUAGGUACACCAAGAUGUCGCCCGAAGAAGUCCUUGGAAAGUUCGUAAGCGGGCGAAUGAUGAUCAAGGAGGCAAGGUACGUGGACGACGCGUUGAAUGGUCCAAUCCAUGAGCCUCAACCCAUUGCUCUCAAGGCAACGAGAAGCAAGGAGGCGCUACCUAGCAAGGUGGCGCAAGUUGAGGCGGCCGGGCUCAAUGAUGAAGAGAUGGCCCUCAUCAUCAAGCGCUUCAAGACGGCGCUAAAGGGUCGCAAGGGACAGCCAAGCAAGACCAAGACAAAGGGGAAGCGCUCAUGCUUCAAAUGUGGUAAGAUUGGUCAUUUUAUUGCUAACUGUCCCGAUAAUGAUAGUGAACAAGAACAAGAGGGCAAGAGGGAGAAGAAGAAGGCAUACAAGAAGGCUAAGGGCGAGGCACACCUUGGCAAGGAGUGGGACUCGGAUUGUUCGUCAUCCGACUCCGAAAAUGAAGGACUCACUGCCACCGCCUUCAACAAGUCAUCCCUCUUCCCCAACGAGCGUCACACAUGCCUCAUGGCGAAGGAGAAGAAGGUAUGUACUCGAGACAAUACUACUUAUGAUUCUUCUAGUGAUGAUGAGUCUAGUGAUGAAGAAAUAGAUUACUCUAGUUUGUUCAAGGGAUUGGAUAGAACUAAAAUAGAUAAGAUCAAUGAACUGAUUGAUGCCUUGAAUGAAAAGGAUAGACUCUUAGAGAAACAAGAAGACCUUUUAUAUGAAGAGCAUGAUAAAUUUGUUAGUGCACAAAAUUCACUUGCUCUAGAAGUUAAAAGAAAUGAAAUGCUUUCUAGUGAAUUGUCUACCUGUCAUGACUCUAUCUCUAGCUUAAAGAGAAUUAACAAUGAUUUAAAUGCUAAACUAGAAGUAGUAAAUAAAUCUAACUCUUGUGUAGAACAUGUUAUGAUUUGCACUAGGUGUAAAGAUUUUGACAUUGAUGCUUGUAGUGAACACCUAGUUUGCAUUUCUAAAUUAAAUGAUGAAGUGACUAGUCUUAAUGCCCAACUUAAGACUAGCAAGAGUGAAUUUGACAAGCUAAAAUUUGCAAGGGAUGCCUACACGAUUGGUAGACACCCCUCAAUUAAGGAUGGUCUUGGCUUCAAGAGAGAAGCCAAGAACUUAACAAGCCAUAAGGCUCCCAUCUCCACCAAGGAGAAAGGGAAGGCCCCUAUGGCUAGUAGUGUGCAAAAGAACCAUGCUUUCAUGUAUCAUGGUAGGAGACAUCCUAAGAAUGCCUUUAGAAGUUAUGACGCUUUUUGAUUUUCAUGCUAUGACUGCUUCUAGUUCCCAUGUUAUGCAUGAUAGAAAUGUUGCUAGGAGAAAUGUUGUUCAUAAUAUGCCUAGGAGAAAUGUUGUUAAUGUUCCUAGGAAAGUUAAUGAACCUUGUACAAUAUAUCAUGCUUGCAAUGCUUCAUUUGCUAUUUGUAGAAAGGAUAAGAAGGUGAUUGCUAGGAAGUUAGGGGCAAGAUGCAAGGGAGAUAAAACUUGCAUUUGGGUCCCUAAGACAAUUGUGACUAACCUUGUAGGACCCAACAAGAGUUGGGUACCUAAGACCCAAGCCUAAAUUUGCCUUGCAGGUUUAUGCAUCCGGGGGUUCAAGCUGGAUUAUCGACAGCGGAUGCACAAACCACAUGACGGGGGAAAAGAGGAUGUUCUCUUCCUACGUCAAGAACAAGGAUCCCCAAGAUUCAAUAAUAUUCGGUGAUGGGAACCAAGGCAAGGUAAAAGGGUUAGGUAAAAUUGCUAUUUCAUCUGAGCACUCUAUAUCUAAUGUGUUUUUAGUUGAGUCGCUUGGAUAUAAUUUGUUAUCUGUUAGUCAAUUAUGCAAUAUGGGAUAUAAUCAAUUAUGCAAUAUGGGAUAUAAUUGUCUAUUCACAAAUGUAGAUGUGUCUGUCUUUAGACGAAGUGAUGGUUCACUAGCUUUUAAGGGUGUAUUAGACGACAAACUUUACUUAGUUGAUUUUGCAAAAGAGGAGGCCGGUCUAGAUGCAUGCUUAAUUGCUAAGACUAGCAUGGGCUGGCUGUGGCAUCGCCGCUUAGCACAUGUGGGGAUGAAGAACCUUCACAAGCUUCUAAAAGGAGAACACGUGAUAGGUUUAACUAAUGUGCAAUUCGAAAAAGAUAGACCUUGUGCAGCUUGUCAAGCAGGCAAACAGGUGGGAAGCUCUCAUCACACCAAAAAUGUGAUGACCACAUCAAGACCCUUGGAGAUGCUUCAUAUGGACCUCUUCGGACCCGUCGCCUAUCUAAGUAUAGGAGGAAGUAAGUAUGGUCUUGUUAUAGUUGAUGAUUUUUCCCGCUUCACUUGGGUAUUCUUUUUGCAGGAUAAAUCUGAAACCCAGGGGACCCUCAAGCGCUUCCUCAGAAGAGCUCAAAAUGAGUUUGAGCUCAAGGUGAAGAAGAUAAGGAGCGACAAUGGGUCCGAAUUCAAGAACCUUCAAGUGGAGGAGUACCUUGAGGAGGAAGGGAUCAAGCACGAGUUCUCCGCUCCCUACACACCACAGCAAAAUGGUGUGGUAGAGAGGAAGAACAUGACACUUAUAGACAUGGCGAGGACGAUGCUUGGAGAGUUCAAGACACCCGAGCGUUUUUGGUCGGAAGCAGUGAACACAGCUUGCCACGCCAUCAACAGGGUCUACCUUCACCGCCUCCUCAAGAAGACUUCGUACGAGCUUCUAACCGGUAACAAACCCAAUGUAUCCUACUUUCGUGUAUUUGGGAGCAAAUGCUACAUUCUAGUGAAGAAAGGUAGAAAUUCUAAGUUUGCUCCCAAAGCUGUAGAAGGGUUUUUAUUAGGUUAUGACUCAAAUACAAAGGCGUAUAGAGUCUUCAACAAAUCAUCGGGUUUGGUUGAAGUCUCUAGCGACGUUGUAUUUGAUGAGACUAAUGGCUCUCCAAGAGAGCAAGUUGUUGAUUUUGAUGAUGUAGAUGAAGAAGAAGUUCCAACGGCCGCAAUACGCACCAUGACGACUGGAGAUGUGCGGCCACAGGAACAAGAUGAGCAAGAUCAACCUUCUUCCUCAACAAUGGUGCAUCCCCCAACUCAAGACGAUGAACAGGUUCAUCAAGAGGAGGCGUGUGAUCUAGGGGAGCACAAGAUGAUCAUGUGAUGGAGGAAGAAGCACAACCGGCACCUCCAACCCAAGUUCGAGCGACGAUUCAAAGGGAUCAUCCCGUCGACCAAAUUUUGGGUGACAUUAGCAAGGGAGUAACAACUCGGUCUCGAUUAGUUAAUUUUUGUGAGCAUUACUCCUUUGUCUCUUCUAUUGAGCCUUUCAGGGUAGAGGAGGCCUUGCUAGAUCCGGACUGGGUGUUGGCCAUGCAGGAGGAGCUCAACAACUUCAAGAGGAAUGAAGUUUGGACACUGGUGCCUCGUCCCAAGAAAAAUGUUGUGGGAACCAAGUGGGUGUUCCGCAACAAACAAGACGAGCACGGGGUGGUGACAAGGAACAAUGCACGGCUUGUGGCAAAAGGUUAUGCCCAAGUCGCAGGUUUGGACUUUGAGGAGACUUUUGCUCCUGUGGCUAGGCUAGAGUCCAUUCGUAUUUUGCUAGCAUAUGCCGCUCACCAUUCCUUCAGGUUGUUCCAAAUGGAUGUGAAGAGCGCGUUCCUCAACGGGCCAAUCAAGGAGGAGGUGUACGUGGAGCAACCCCCUGGCUUCGAGGAUGAACGGCACACCGACCACGUGUGUAAGCUCUCUAAGGCGCUCUAUGGACUUAAGCAAGCCCCAAGAGCAUGGUAUGAAUGCCUUAGAGACUUUUUGAUUGCUAAUGCUUUCAAGGUUGGGAAAGCCGAUCCAACUCUAUUUACUAAGACUUGUGAUGGUGAUCUUUUUGUGUGCCAAAUUUAUGUCGAUGACAUAAUAUUUGGUUCAACUAACCAAAAGUCUUGUGAAGAGUUUAGCAGGGUGAUGACUCAGAAAUUCGAGAUGUCGAUGAUGGGCGAGUUAAGCUACUUCCUUGGGUUCCAAGUGAAGCAACUCAAGGAUGGAACCUUCAUCUCUCAAACCAAGUACACGCAAGACUUGAUCAAGCGGUUUGGGAUGAAGGACGCCAAGCCCGCAAAGACUCCAAUGGGAACCGAUGGACACACCGACCUCAACAAAGAAGGUAAGUCCGUUGAUCAAAAAGCAUACCGGUCUAUGAUAGGAUCUUUACUUUAUCUAUGUGCUAGUAGACCGGAUAUCAUGCUUAGCGUAUGCAUGUGUGCUAGAUUUCAAUCCGAUCCUAAGGAGUGUCACUUAGUGGCUGUGAAGCGAAUUCUUAGAUAUUAGUCGCUACGCCUUGUUUCGGGAUCUGGUAUCCAAAAGGGUCUACCUUUGACUUGGUGCGUAUUGCAGCCGUUGGAACGUCUUCUUCAUCUACAUCAUCAAGAUCAACAACUUGCUCUCUUGGAGAGCCAUUAGUCUCAUCAAAUACAAUGUCGCUAGAGACUUCAACCAAACCUGAUGAUUUGUUGAAGACUCUAUAUGCCUUUGUAUUUGAGUCAUAACCUAAUAAAAACCCUUCUACAGCUUUGGGAGCAAACUUAGAAUUCCUACCUUUCUUCACUAGAAUGUAACAUUUGCUCCCAAAUACACGAAAGUAAGAUACAUUGGGUUUGUUACCGGUUAGAAGCUCAUAUGAAGUCUUCUUGAGGAGGCGAUGAAGAUAGACCCGGUUUAUGGCGUGGCAAGCCGUGCUCACGGCUUCCGUCCAAAACCGUUCGGGCGUCUUGAAUUCACCAAGCAUCGUCCUCGCCAUGUCUAGUAGUGUCCUGUUCUUCCUCUCUACCACACCAUUUUGUUGUGGUGUGUAGGGAGCGGAGAACUCGUGCUUGAUUCCUUCCUCCUCAAGAUACUCCUCCACUUGAAGAUUCUUGAACUCGGACCCAUUGUCGCUCCUUAUCUUCUUCACCUUGAGCUCAAACUCGUUUUGGGCUCUCCUUAGGAAGCGCUUGAGGGUCCCUUGGGUUUCAGAUUUAUCCUGGAAAAAGAAUACCCAAGUGAAGCGGGAAAAAUCAUCAACUAUAACAAGACCAUACUUACUUCCUCCUAUACUUAGAUAGGCGACGGGUCCGAAGAGGUCCAUAUGAAGUAACUCCAGGGGUCUUGAUGUUGUCAUCACAUUUUUGGCAUGAUGAGAGCUUCCCACCUGUUUACCUGCUUGACAAGCUGCACAAGGUCUAUCUUUUUCGAAAGUUACAUUAGUUAGACCUAUCACGUGUUCUCCCUUUAGAAGCUUGUGAAGGUUCUUCAUCCCCACAUGUGCUAAACGAUGAUGCCACAGCCAGCCCAUGCUAGUCUUAGCAAUUAAGCAUGCAUCUAGACUGGCCUCCUCUUUUGCAAAAUCGACUAAAUAAAGUUUGCCGUCUAGUACACCCUUCAAAGCUAAUGAACCAUCACUUCUUCUAAAGACAGACACAUCUACAUUUGUGAAUAAACAGUUAUAUCCCAUAUUACACAGUUGACUCACAGACAACAAGUUAUAUCCAAGCGACUCAACUAAGAACACAUUAGAAAUAGAGUGCUCGGAUGAAAUAGCAUUUUUACCUAACUCUUUCACCUUGCCUUGGUUCCCAUCACCGAAUAUGAUUGAAUCUUGGGGAUCCUUGUUCUUGACGUAGGAAGAGAACAUCCUCUUCUCCCCCGUCAUGUGGUUUGUGCAUCCGCUGUCGAUAAUCCAGCUUGAGCCCCCGGAUGCAUAAACCUGCAAGGCAAUUUAGGCUUGGGUCUUAGGUACCCAACUCUUGUUGGGUCCUACAAGGUUAGUACAAAUAGCCUUAAGGACCCAAAUGCAAGUUUUAUCUCCCUUGCAUUUUGCCCCUAAUUUUCUAGCAACCACCUUCUUAUCCUUUCUACAAAUAGCAAAGGAAGCAUUUAAAGCAUGAUAAAUUGUAGAAGGUUCAUUACUUGUUUUCCUAGGCACAUGAGUAUUUCUCCUAGGUACAUGAUGAAUGACAUUUUUCCUAGCCACACUUCUAUCAUACAUCAUAGAAGAACUUGAAGCAAACAUUGCAUUUGAAUCAUAAGCAUGUGAAACAAUAUCAUUGCAACUUCUAUCAUGAUGAACAUUCCUAGAAUAUCUCCUAUCAUGGUAUAAGAAAGCAUGGUUCUUUUGCACACUAUUUGCCAUAGGGGCCUUCCCUUUCUCCUUGAUGGAGAUGGGAGCCUUAUGACUUGUCAAGUUCUUGGCUUCCCUCUUGAAGCCAAGCCCAUCCUUAAUUGAGGGGUGUCUACCAACCGUGUAGGCAUCCCUCGCAAAUUUUAGUUUAUCAAAAUCAUUUUUGCUAGUCUUAAGUUGAGCAUUAAGACUAGCCACUUCAUCAUUUAGUUUAGAAAUGCAAACUAGGUGUUCACUACAAGCAUCAACAUUAAAAUCUUUGCACCUAUUGCAAAUCAUAACAUGUUCUUCACGAGAGUUUGUUUUACUAGCUAUUUCUAACUUAGCAUUCAAAUCAUCAUUUAUGCUCUUUAAACUAGAAAUAGAGUCAUGGCAUGUAGACAAUUCACAAGAAAGCAUCUUAUUCCUUUUAAUUUCUAAAGCAAGGGAUUUUUGUGCCUCUACAAACUUAUCAUGUUCUUCAUACAGAAGAUCCUCUUGCUUUUCUAAUAGCCUAUUUUUAUCAUUCAAGGCAUCAAUUAAUUCAUUAAUCUUAUCAACCUUAGUUCUAUCUAGGCCCUUGAAUAAACAUGAAUAGUCUAUUUCAUCAUCACUAGAUUCUUCAUCACUUGAGGAAGUGUAAGUACUAGUAUUAUGAGUGCUUACCUUCUUUUACCUUGCCAUGAGGCAGGUGUGAUGCUUGUUGGGGAAGAGGGCCGACUUGUUGAAGGCGGUGGCGGCGAGUCCUUCGUUGUCGGAGUCGGACGACAAACAAUCCGAGUCCCACUCCUUUCCAAGGUGUGCCUCGCCCUUAGCUUUCUUGUAAGCCUUCUUCUUUUCCCUCUUGUUCCCUUGUUCCUGGUCACUAUCAUUUUUGGGACAAUUAGCGAUAAAAUGACCAAUCUUACCACAUUUGAAGCAUGAGCGCUUCCCCUUUGUCUUGGUCUUGUUGGGAUGCUCCUUGCGACCCCUUAGCGCCGUCUUGAAGCGCUUGAUGAUGAGGGCCAUUUCUUCAUCAUUAAGUCUGGCCGCCUCAACCUGUGCCACCUUGCUAGGUAGCGCCUCCUUGCUCCUUGUUGCUUUGAGAGCAACGGUUUGAGGCUCGUGGAUUGGACCGUUCAACACAUCGUCAAUGUAUCUUGCCUCCUUGAUCAUCAUCCGCCCGCUUACAAACUUUCCAAGUAUCUCCUCGGGCGUCAUCUUGGUGUACCUAGGAUUCUCACGAAUAUUGUUCACAAGAUGUGGAUCAAGGAUAGUAAAAGACCUUAGCAUUAGGCGGACGACGUCGUGGUCCGUCCAUCGCGUGCUUCCAUAGCUCCUUAUUUUGUUGACGAGGGUCUUGAGCCGGUUGUAUGUUUGGGUUGGCUCCUCGCCCCUGAUCAUUGCGAAUCUCCCAAGUUUGCCUUUUAAUGACUCCAUCUUGGUGAGCAUGGUGACGUCAUUUCCCUCAUGAGAGAUCUUGAGGGUGUCCCAAAUCUUCUUGGCGUUAUCCAAGCCGCUCACCUUAUGGUAUUCAUCCCUGCACAAAGAUGCUAGAAGAACAGUAGUAGCUUGUGCAUUUUUGUGAAUUUGCUUAUUGAUAAAUGUGGGACUAUCAGUACUAUCAAAUUGCAUUCCACUCUCUACUAUCUCCCAUAUGCUUGGAUGGAGAGAGAACAAGUGACUACGCAUUUUGUGACUCCAAAAUCCGUAGUCCUCUCCAUCAAAGUGAGGAGGUUUACCAAGUGGAAUGGAGAGUAAAUGAGCAUUUGUAUUUUGCGGAAUACGAGAAUAAUCAAAAGAGAAGUUUGAAUUGACCCUUUUCUUUUUCUCGUAGUUGUCGUCUUCCUUUUGGGAAGAAGAAGACUCAUCGCUGUCGUCGUAGUAGACGAUCUCCUUGAUGCGCCUUAUUUUCUUCUUCUUCCCGUCUUUUCUUUUGUGGCUUGAGCCCGAGUCAGUAGGCUUGUCAUCUUUUGGAUCAUUGACGAAGGACUCCUUCUCCUUAUCAUUGACCACCAUACCCUUGCCCCUAGGAUCCAUCUCUUCGGGCGAUUAGUCCCUUUCUUGAAGAGAACGGCUUUGAUACCAAUUGAGAGCACCUAGAGGAGGGGUGAAUAGGUGAUCCUGUAAAACUUAAAACUUAACACCACAAACUUGAUUAAGAGUUAGAACAGUGAAAUCAAGUGAGUAGAGAGGAGAGCUCUUGUGAAGCACAAUAGACAUAAUAAGGACAAGCACAAGAGACACGAGGAAUUAUCCCGUGGUUCGGGUAAGUACAAAACUUGCCUACUCCACGUUGUGGCGUCCCAACGGACGAGAGUUGCACUCAACUCCUCUCAAGUGAUCCAAUGAUCAACUUGAAUACCACGGUGUUCUUCUUUACUUUGCUCUUUUCUCGUUUGCGAGGAAUCUCCACAACUUGGAGUCUCUCGCCCUUACAAUAAGAAUCAAUAUGAAGCACAAGAGUAAGGGAGGGAAGCAACACACUCAAAUCCACAGCAAAUAUGCGUACACAAGAUCAAGACUUGAGCUCAAAAGAGUAUCACAAGGUUCUCACUAGAACGAAGCUCAAAUCACUAAGAAUGUCGAACAAGUGCGCAAGAAUGAAGUGUGAGUGAUCAACAAUGCUCAAGUAAUGCUUGGUAUCCUCCUCCAUGCGCCUAGGGGUCCCUUUUAUAGCCCCAAGGCAGCUAGGAGCCGUUGAGAGCAUUUGAAGAAGGCAAUUCUUGCCUUCUAUCGCCUGGCGCACCGGACAGUCUGGUGCACCACCGGACACUGUCCGGUGCAGAUUUCUUUCCUUCUUUGGCGAAGCCGACUGUUGGCGCUUAGGAGCCGUUGGCGCACCGGACACUGUCCGGUGCACACCGGACAGUCCGGUGCCCCUUCUGACCGUUGGCUCUUGCCACGCAUCGCGCGCGGAUUAUGCGGCCGACCGUUGGCCCGGCCGACUGUUGGCUCACCGGAUAGUCCGGUGCACCACCGGACAGUCCAGUGAUUUAUAGCCGUACGCCGUUAAUUGCUUCCCGAGAGCAGCCAGUUGACAGUCGCCGGCCUGGCGCACCGGACACUGUCCGGUGCACCACCGGACAGUCCGGUGCACCCAAACUGAGCUGUCUUUGGCUGAACAAAGCCAUCUCUUUUCCAACUUGAUUUCUCCUGUUUCCAGCACUUAGACACAAUACAUUAGUUUCCAAAACAAUGUACUAAGUCUUAGAAACAUACCUUUUUACUUGAUUUGCACUUUAUCCAUCACUUUGCAUAGAUUAACAUGAGUCCACUUGUGUUGGCACUCAAUCACCAAAAUACUUAGAAAUGGCCCAAGGGCACAUUUCCCUUUCACUAACGCUAACCCGGCUUGUAGUUGUGCUUAAGUUGUUAAAUUUCAGAUUCACCCUAUUCACCCCCCUCUAGGCGACUUUCAAUUGGUAUCAGAGCCCGAUGCUUCAUUAGAGCCUAACCGCUCGAAGUGAUGUCGGGAGAUCACGCCAAGAAGGAGAUGGAGACCGGCGACAAGCCCGCUACAAGCCACGAGAAAGCUUCAUCGGAAGAGUCCCGCAACAAAGGGAAGGGGAAGGAGAAGAAAUCCCCUUCACACAAGUCGCGUCGGAGCGACGACAAGAAGAAGAAGAUGAGGAAGGUGGUCUACUACGAGACCGACUCCUCGUCGCCAUCCACCUCCGGCUCCGACACGCCGUCCGUAACUUCUAAGCGCCAUGAGCGCAAGAAGUAUAGUAAGAUUCCCCUACGCUACCCCCGUAUUUCAAAGCGUACUCCUUUACUCUCCGUUCCAUUAGGCAAACCACCGGUUUUUGACGGUGAAGAUUAUAAUAUGUGGAGUGACAAAAUGAGGCAUCAUCUAACCUCACUCCACACAGGCAUUUGGAAUGUUGUUGAGUUUGGUGUACAGAUACCAUCCGUAGGGGAUGAAGACUACGCCUCAGACGAAGUGGCCCAAAUCCACCACUUUAACUCCCAAGCCACCACUAUACUCCUCGCCUCUCUAAGUCGAGAGGAGUAUAAUAAGGUGCAAGGGUUAAAGAGUGCGAAGGAAAUUUGGGACGUACUCAAGACCGCGCACGAAAGAGACGAGGUGACAAAGAUCACCAAGCGGGAGACGAUCGAGGGGGAGCUCGGUCGCUUCAUGCUUCACCAAGGGGAGGAUCCGCAAGCCAUGUACAACCGCUUGAAGACCUUGGUGAACCAAGUGCGCAACCUCGGGAGCGAAAAAUGGGAUGACCAUGAGAUGGUCAAGGUUAUUCUUAGAUCCCUCAUUUUUCUUAACCCUACACAAGUUCAAUUAAUUCGAGAUGAUCCUAGAUACAAGCUAAUGUCUCCCGAGGAGGUUAUAGGAAAAUUUGUGAGCUUUGAGCUAAUGAUUAAAGGCUCAAAGAAAAUCAUCGAGCAAGGCACACCCUCCAUGCCCAAGGCACAACCCGUCGCAUUCAAGGCAACGAAGGAGAAGAAGGAAGAGUCUACAUCAAGUAGACAACCAAUCGACGCCUCUAAGCUCGACAAUGAGGAGAUGGCGCUCAUCAUCAAGAGCUUCCGCCAAAUCCUCAAGCAAAGGAGGGGGAAGGACUACAAGCCCCGCUCCAAGAAAGUGUGCUACAAAUGUGGUAAGCCCGGUCAUUUUAUAGCAAAAUGUCCACUAUCUAGUGACAGUGACAGGGGCGACGACAAGAAGGGCAAGAGAAGAGAAAAGAAGAGGUACCACAAGAAGAGGGGCGGCGAUGCCCAUGUGUGCCGCGAGUGGGACUCCGAGGAGAGCUCCUCCGACUUCUCCUCUAACGAGGACGCCGCCAACAUCGCCGUCACUAAGGGACUUCUCUUCCCCAACGUCGGCCACAAGUGCCUCAUGGCAAAGGACGGCAAAAAGAAGAAGGUUAAAUCCAAAUCCUCCACUAAAUAUGAGUCCUCUAGUGAUGAUAAUGCUAGUGAUGAGGAGGAUAAUUUGCGUACCCUUUUUGCCAACCUAAACAUGCCACAAAAAGAAAAAUUAAAUGAAUUAAUUAGUGCCAUCCAUGAAAAGGAUGAACUCUUGGACACCCAAGAGGACUUCCUAAUCAAGGAAACAAAAAGCAUGUUAAGGUUAAAAAUGCUUACGCUCUAGAAGUUGAAAAAUGUGAAAAAUUGUCUAGUGAGCUAAGCACUUGCCAUGAUACUAUUGCCAACCUUAGAAAUGAAAAUGCUAAACUUAUUGCUAAGGUUGAUUCUAAUGUUUGUAAUGUUUCAAUUCCCAAUCUUAGAGAUGAUAAUGUUGAUUUACUUGCUAAGAUUGAAGAAUUGAAUGAUUCUCUUGCUAGCCUUAGAAAUGAAAAUGAAAAAUUGACUGCUAAGGCUAAAGAUUUUGAUGAUUGCAAUGUUACUAUUUCUAACCUUAGAAGUUAAAAUGAUAUAUUACAUGCUAAGGUUGUAGAAUUAAAAUCUUGCAAACCCUCUACAUCUAUCGUUGAGCAUACUUCCAUUUGCACUAGAUGUAGAUACAUUAAUGUUGAUGCUAUCCAUGACCAUCUAGCUUUAAUUAAGAAACAAAAUGAUCACAUAGCUCAACUUAAUGCUAAAAUAAAUGAGCAUGACUUAGAAAAUGAAAAGUUUAAAUUUGCUAGAAGCAUGCUCUAUAGUGGGAGACGCCCUGGCAUCAAGGAUGGCAUUGGCUUCCAAAAGGGAGACAAUGUCAAACUUAAUGCCCUCCUAAGAAAUUAUCCAACUUUGUUAAGGGCAAGGCUCCCAUGCCUCAGGAUAACGAGGGUUACAUUUUGUACCCUGCCGGUUAUCCCGAGCAUAAAAUUAGGAGAAUUCAUUCUAGGAAGUCUCACUCUGGCCCUAAUCAUGCUUUCAUGUAUAAGGGUGAGACAUCUAGCUCUAGGCAACCAACCCGUGCUAAGUUGCCUAAGAAGAAAACUCCUACUACAUCAAAUGAUCAUAGCAUUUCAUUUAAAACUUUUGAUGCUUCUUAUGUGCUAACCAACAAAUCAGGCAAGGUAGUUGCCAAGUAUAUUGGGGGGCAAACACAAGAGCUCCAAAACUUGUGUUUGGGUACCCAAAGUUCUUGUCUCUAAUGCUAAAGGACCCAAAACUAUUUGGGUACCUAAAAUCAAGAACUAAACUUGUUUUGUAGGUUUAUGCAUCCGGGGGCUCAAGUUGGAUCAUCGAUAGCGGGUGCACAAACCACAUGACAGGGGAGAAGAAGAUGUUCUCCUCCUAUGAGAAAAAUCAAGAUCCCCAACGAGCUAUCACAUUCGGGGAUGGAAAUCAAGGUUUGGUCAAAGGUUUGGGUAAAAUUGCUAUUUCACCUGACCAUUCCAUUUCCAAUGUUUUUCUUGUAGAUUCUUUAGAUUAUAACUUGCUUUCCGUUUCCCAAUUAUGUCAAAUGGGCUACAACUGUCUAUUUACUGAUGUAGGUGUCACUGUCUUUAGAAGGAGUGAUGAUUCAAUAGCAUUUAAGGGAGUGUUAGAGGGUCAACUAUACUUGGUAGAUUUUGAUAGAGCUGAACUCGACACUUGCUUAAUUGCUAAGACUAACAUGGGUUGGCUCUGGCACCGCCGACUAGCCCAUGUUGGAAUGAAGAAUCUUCAUAAGCUUCUAAAGGGAGAGCACAUUUUAGGAUUAACAAAUGUUCAUUUUGAGAAAGACAGGAUUUGUAGCGCAUGACAAGCAGGGAAGCAAGUUGGUGUUCAUCAUCCGCAUAAGAAUAUCAUGACGACUGACAGGCCACUGGAGCUCCUACACAUGGAUCUAUUCGGCCCGAUUGCUUACAUAAGCAUCGGCGGGAGUAAGUACUGUCUAGUUAUUAUGGAUGAUUAUUCUCGCUUCACUUGGGUAUUCUUUUCGUAGGAAAAAUCUCAAACCCAAGAGACCUUAAAGGGAUUCUUGAGACGGGCUCAAAAUGAGUUCGGCUUAAGGAUCAAGAAAAUAAGAAGCGACAACGGAACAGAGUUCAAGAACUCUCAAAUUGAAGGCUUCCUUGAGGAGGAGGGCAUCAAGCAUGAGUUCUCUUCUCCCUACACCCACAACAAAAUGGUGUAGUGGAGAGGAAGAAUCGAACUCUAUUGGACAUGGCAAGGACCAUGCUUGAUGAAUACAAGACUUCAGAUCGGUUUUGGGCCGAUGCGGUUAACACCGCCUGCUACGCCAUCAACCGGUUGUAUCUACACUGAAUCCUCAAGAAGACAUCAUACGAACUCCUAACCGGUAAAAAGCCCAAUAUUUCCUAUUUUAGAGUCUUUGGUAGCAAAUGCUUUAUUCUUGUUAAAAGAGGUAGAAAAUCUAAAUUUGCUCCUAAGACAGUAGAAGGCUUUUUACUAGGAUAUGAUUCAAACACAAGGGCAUAUAGAGUCUUUAACAAGUCCUCAGGACUAGUUGAAGUUUCUUGUGACGUUGUGUUUGAUGAGACUAACGACUCUCAAGUAGAGCAAGUUGAUCUUGAUGAGAUAGGUGAUGAAGAGGCUUCGUGCAUCGCGCUAAGGAACAUGUCCAUUGGGGAUGUGUGUCCUAAGGAAUCCGAAGAGCCUCCAAAUGCACAAGAUCAACCAUCCUCCUCCACGCAAGCAUCUCCACGAACUCAAAAUAAGGAUGAGGCUCAAGAUGAUGAAGAAGAAAGUCAAGAAAAUGAGCCACCUCAAGAUGACGACAAUGAUCAAGGGGGAGAUGCAAAUGAUCAAGACAAGGAGGAUGAAGAACCAAGACCGCCACACCCAAGAGUCCACCAAGCAAUCCAACGAGAUCACCCCGUCGACACCAUCCUCGGCGAUAUUCAUAAGGGGGUAACCACUAGAUCUCGUGUUGCACAUUUUUGUGAGCAUUACUCUUUUGUUUCCUCUAUUGAGCCACACAGGGUAGAGGAAGCACUUCAAGAUUCGGAUUGGGUGGUGGCAAUGCAAGAGGAGCUCAACAACUUCACUAGGAACAAGGUAUGGCAUUUAGUUCCACGUCCUAAUCAAAAUGUUGUAGGAACCGAAUGGGUCUUCCGCAACAAGCAAGAUGAGCAUGGUGUGGUAACAAGGAACAAAGCCCGACUUGUGGCCAAGGGAUAAUCCCAAGUCGAAGGUUUGGAUUUUGGUGAAACCUAUGCACCCGUAGCUAGGCUUGAGUCAAUUUGUAUAUUAUUAGCCUAUGCUACUUACCAUGGCUUCAAGCUCUACCAAAUGGACGUGAAGAGUGCCUUCCUCAAUGGACCAAUCAAGGAAGAGGUCUAUGUUGAGCAACCUCCCGUCUUUGAAGACAGUGAGUACCCUAACUAUGUUUAUAAGCUCUCUAAGGCGCUUUAUGGGCUCAAGCAAGCCCCAAGAGCAUGGUAUGAAUGCCUAAGAGAUUUCAUUAUAGCUAAUGGCUUCAAAGUCGGAAAGGUCGAUCCUACUUUAUUUACUAAAACUCUUGACAAUGAUUUGUUUGUAUGCCAAAUUUAUGUUGAUGAUAUCAUAUUUGGGUCUACUAACGAAUCUACAUGUGAGGAAUUUAGUAGAAUCAUGACACAGAAAUUCGAGAUGUCAAUGAUGGGGGAGUUGAAGUAUUUCUUAGGAUUUCAAGUGAAGCAACUCCAAGAGGGCACCUUCAUUAGCCAAACGAAGUAUACUCAAGACAUUCUAAACAAGUUUGGGAUGAAGGAUGCCAAGCCCAUCAAGACACCCAUGGGAGCCAAUGGGCAUCUCGACCUCGACACAGAAGGUAAAUCCGUAGAUCAAAAGGUAUACUGGUCGAUGAUAGGAUCUUUACUCUAUUUAUGUGCAUCUCGAUCGGAUAUUAUGCUUUCCGUAUGCAUGUGUGCAAGAUUCCAAGCCGACCCUAAGGAAGCUCACCUUACGGCCGUAAAACGAAUCUUGAGAUAUUUGGCUUAUACUCCUAAGUUUGGGCUUUGGUACUGUCGGUGUUUUGGGUCCGACCGCACACCUGGGGUUACCCCUCAAGGUGUUUUUAGGAGUAGGACGGUGUCAACGACUGUAGCAAAAUGGUUCGUGCCGAUCGCACGAGGGACAGUGGACAAGAUUUGCAGGUUCGGGCCGCUUAGAGAUGCGUAACACCCUACGUCCUGAUGAGUAUUUGAGUGCGGUUACAAGAGGGCUCUCUGGAACUGAGGCACAGAGAGUUUACGUGAGUGGCUAAGUAAAGUAGGGUCGAUCGUUCUGAAGGGGUGCCCCCUAGGCCUUAUAUACUCGACCGUGGGGCAGUACACGUGGAUAUGAUAGCUACAAGUAGCUGAAAGAUAGUAAACCUCUUGAGUUUAUCCCUACGUAACCCUUGCCGACUUAUCCUCGAAUGGCUCUGUUGCAUGGGGGCUUCAGCGCGGGAAAGUCGGGUCUCUGUUGCGAUUUACUCGUUUGACGUUGUGGGCCGUCCGGGUUUGCUCCAAUCCAGUCUUACGUCUUCUCCGCUUCGUUGAUUGUCUUUCCCCAGGCCCACGAAAGAACGACCUUACGAUUUAUUGGGCCUUUGGGCCUUUCGUGAGGUCUUUUAUCUCUUUAGUGGACCCAGGGGAUAUCUAUCCCCCACAAGCCCCCGAUCUUUGGGUUGAUUUAGAGGUAAUCAACUCAAAGAUCCAAGGUCCGAAAAAUGACUUCCUGCUGUCUUCUCUUGCUCCGAUCACUCGUUCGACCAAAGUUUAGUUUUGUGCUUGUGCCUUAGAGGUCGGCAUUUUGAAUUGUAGGAUUCUGGACUUCAUUGGGUGCACCGGAGGUGCACCCAAUGGGUGUAGCCCCCGACCUUUGAGUAGAUUUUAGAAGAUAAUCUACUCGAAGGUCUUCCCCAAAGAUUAUCUCCAUUCGCGCUCCUGCAUCUCGGUUGAGAAUUGGUCUUUUCAAUCUUGUCCCACGCCUUAGAAGUCAGCGCUAUAUCGGUUUAGAAUGAUAAUCCAUGGGGUGCACCGGAGGUGCACCCAAUGGGUGUAGCCCCCGACCUUCAAAUGGAUUUUUUAAGGAUAAUCCAUUCGAAGGUCUUCCUUUUGCUUGUAAAAAUUGGCAUGAAGCUAAUCGCAUUAUGCUUUGGAGGUCAGCAUUAUGUCAUCAAAAUUUUGCUGCAGAGGUCAGCAUAUAUUUUGUCUUUUAGCAGCCGAGUUUGCAAUCCAUCCAUAUCUUGCUAGGUAAUGCAAUUUAUUUGCUUCUGCGACUUGAUUGAACGUUUGAUGGACGUUCUCUGUCUAGUCCUCACAUCGCUUCUGUCGGUCAUAUCUUGUACUUUGCUGGCUAUAUUUGGCUUUCCUCUGAUCCUUACUGAUGUCUCAUUUUUGUCUUGAGGUAUUUACUGCGUGCCCUGCACGGAUGUGACCGUUUUGAAAAAUAUACUGAUAAUUCCUGGGCGUCCUCCCCCAAUGGGUGUGGGCAAGGGACGGCUUGGUACGCUAAGUGUUUUAGCCGGCUGCUUCUGAGUAGUAAUGUGAUGGGACGGCUAGUGUAAUCAUAUCCUUUGCGCUGUUGACUGGAGUCCCAAUGGGUGUAGUGCUGCAUGAAACGGCGUCUGCCGUCUGACGUGUCUUCAGAUGGGUGGGAGUGCUUAUUGAAUGCUUUGCGACUGUUCAGUGACCGCGGUUGGAAGUGAGCGGUUGCCUUUCCUUUCUAUAAAUAACGCCCUUGCUCCUCUGGUUUUUUCACAUCUCUUCGCUGUUCUUUACUGCGUCCUUCUUCUCCCCUCUGUCUGCUUACACCAUGGGCAAGGGUACCAAGCGCAAGCGUGAGCCGACUCCUCCGUCGGAUGAUUUCUGUGACUCGGAAUACUCGGAGGAGGAGUUCUCCUCCGAGUCCGAGGGAUCUCCGACUCCCGUCUCUCCCCCGGCGUCGUCUGAUGAUUCAGACGACUCCCAGGGGAUUGCCGCGGAGGUCUGGACGUACAUCCGGGCCGUCGAGCGCUCCGGGCUCGAGGGCUUGGAUGAGUCUGAGUUCUCCUCGGACGAGGAGGACUCGGACGGCGGCGAGGACGAAGAUGACGACAACGACGACGGCGACGACGACGACGGUGGCGACGGCGAUGGUGACGGCAGCAACGGCGGCGGGGGCGGCGGCGGCAAGGGCAGCACCAGAGGCGGUAGCAGUACGGGCAGCACCAGAGGCGGCAGCAGCAAGGGCAGCACCAGGGGCGGCGGCGGCAAGGGCAGCAGCAGCAAGGCCAGUGGCUAAACGCCACUGGUCUUUAGAUAUUAGUAUAGCGUAGUUAGAAUAAUGUAGUAGUAAUGUAGAGUAGUAUAGUGUAGUUUAGUAGUAGUAGUAAUGUAGAGUAGAAGUAGGGAAGCACCAACUCGAGAAGAGUUGGUUUGUAAACUUAUUAACUUCCCCUUAAUGAAGAACUGUCGUUGGUCCCUUCUUGAUGACUCGCUUUCUCUGAUUGUCGAACUGAUUCUUUUGAUAUAGUAGAUGAAUAACUUGCGCAUCACAUUGACGCUUCCAGAAGUAGCUGCCGAGUAAUCUUAUAGUCUAUGUCGACGUUUUAGAAAUAAUACCGAGCGAUUGAAGGUUGACAUCAGUGUUUUAGAAGUAACACCGAGCAAUCGAACACGAGACCAGCGUUUUAGAGGCGAUGCCGAGUUAGUGAAGGUCGACAUCGGUAUUUUAGAAGCGACGCCGAGCGAUUGAACAUGCGAUCGGCGUUUUAGAGGCCAUGCCGAGUGACUGAAGGUCGGCGUCGGCAUUUUAGAAGUAAUGCCAAGCGAUAGAAUACGAGUUCAGCGUUUUGGAGGCAACGCCGAGUGAUAGAAGGUCAGCGUCGGCAUUUUAGAAGUAAUGCCGAGCGAUUGAAUACGAGGUCAGCGUUUUAGAGGCGACGCUGAGUGAUUGAAGGUUGGCGUCGGCUUUUUAGAAGUAAUGCCGAGCGAUAGAAUACGAGUUCAGCGUUUUAGAGGCAACGCCGAGUGAUAGAAGGUCAGCGCCGGCAUUUUAGAAGUAAUGCCGAGCGAUUGAAUACGAGGUCAGCGUUUUAGAGGCGACGCUGAGUGAUUGAAGGUCGGCGUCGGCAUUUUAGAAGUAAUGCCGAGCGAUAGAAUACGAGUUCAGCGUUUUAGAGGCAACGCCGAGUAAUUGAAGGUCGCCGUCGGCAUUUUAGAAGUAAUGCCGUGCGAUUGAACACGAGAUCAGCGUUUUAGAGGCAACGCCGAGUGACUGGAGGUCGCCGUCGGCAUUUUAGAAGUAAUGCCGAGCGAUUGAAUAUGAAAUCAGCGUUUUAGAGUCAACGUCGAGUGAUGAGGUGGCGCAUCGGCUUUUUGGAAAUAACUGCCGGAUGACCAUGUGGCCUGCUGGGGUUUUGGAAAUAACCGCCGGGUGAUGAUUGGACACUUUUUGAAACGGUAUCUGGCUCGAGAAUAUCCCAUGAGAACUGCGCUUUUAGCCGCCUUUGCUUUCCGUGCCCUAGUUCUUGCAUUCCCGCAUCUGAAUCUUCUCUGUCACUCGCCCCCUACUCUGUUCGCCAGUGAGAAGCAAGAUGGCGCCCAAGAGAAAAACUGCGAACUCGUCUGCUGCGGUGAUCCCCGCAAUCGACCCCAAUAGUCAGUUACCCUUCGCAGGUAACCACAUGUCUGUUAUUUCCGAAGCUGAGCUUCUCCGCUUCGUCUCCAUCGGGGUUCUUCCUCCGCGGGAACUCUGUUCUUGGCGGAUUUGCCACGGGACUACUGUCCCAACCGAAGAUACCCACGAGUCAGUAGUUUACGCUCCUUUUCUUCUCCGCGGCCUCGGCCUUCCCAUCUCUCCUUUUUUCCGUGGCCUCCUUGAUUUCUAUCAUAUCAACUUGACUCAUUUGAACCCUAAUUCCAUUCUCCAAAUUUCCAUUUUCGUUCACCUGUGCGAAGCCUACCUCGGUGUGAUGCCGCAUUUCGGUUUAUGGAAGUAUCUGUAUCAUUGUCGUCCUGGGAUGGCCGGGGGGCAACAUCAGCUGGUCGGAGGUGCCAGUUUGGAGAUGCGCCGUGGGCGGAAGACCGAGUAUCUUGAGAUUCCCCUCAAAGAUAGCAUUAAAGGGUGGCGUCUGGAGUGGUUUAUAGUUGAUAAUUAUGGAAAUUCUCUCCCCUCCCGGUCAGGAAGACAGCCAGACGUUCGCACUCCGAGUUGGACUGAGUCUCCUACAGAUCAGGAAGUGGCCGAGGCAGGUGUGUUGCUUACUGAAGUCGGAUUACUAAAAGAGAGAGGUCUGACUGCCGAAGCUGUGGUCACUGAUUUUGUUUUCAAGAACAUUCAGCCACUGAAAGACAGGGCCUAUCCGGCAUAUCUGUAUCGAGGGCUGGCCGACUCAACCCGGGUUACCAAUAGGAGAAUUCCUUCUGUUGACUUGGUAAGCCGACUUGAAAUGAUCCUUAGGGGUAAAGUUUCAAAUGUUGGUGCUCCAGUGGCAUACUCGGCUUGGAACCUACCUCCUCCCAAAGCUUUCACCCUUUUUGUGUCAAAUCCGCCUGUGACUGAUAGCAAUUUGGGCCUUAGAGUGCGACCUUCUGCUGAAGAAGUCAGUACUUUGGUUGCUUCGCUCGAGGCGAUUCCUGAUGAUGAACGACAUGUUUAUUUUGAAGUGCCUCUGAACCCUAGUGAUGCAGACAUAAAUGACAUGCUUGAUCUGUUAGCUGAGGAUUCGUCCGAUGCUGCUCCUGAUGGCACGUUGGCAGUAGUGCCCCUUCCAGAGGUUGAUACAACUUUGGAUGUCCCGAAACCUGUCAGUACUCGCCCGAGACGCCCUAGCCGAACCAGUCAGCCCGAGCCUUCUGCUGAUGAGCAAAAGAAGAAGAGAAGAUGCCUCCGGCGAGUAUCCAGUUUUGAUGAGGACGCCGGUACCUUAGCUCCUGCUGCUGAAGAAGUGCCUGCAACUGGUCUUACUGACACUGAUCCCAAUGGGUGUGCCCAAACUGUUGUUGAUCCCAAUGGGAGUGCUGCUUGCGUUGCCGCUGUGGAGGAUGAAGAGGAAGAAGAUGAAGCUCCUUUAACUCGGAAAAACAGUCGGCAGUUCGUCGCCAGCGGUGGAAGUAGUGGAGUUCCUUCUCCUGCUUUGUCUGCCCUUAUUGGUCUGCAAGAACUGUCCAUGGCCAACUUUGAUCAAACUCUAGAGGAUAUGGUUCCAGAAGAUUUGCUAUCAGAGCCUGUGGAUGUUGAUGCAACAGAGACUUGUGCCGUCGUGCCCGAUGCUGGGUUGAGGUCAUCCCGUGCCUCGUCGACCUUAGAGCAUGAUCUCGAGGGUCGGGAUGCUGAAUUGGAUUGUUCCGGUCCCAUGGAAGUAGCUGAAGGCCCGUCAACCUUAGAGGUGGUUACGGCAGAGAGCUUGGACCCCUUGAAUAGUGCUGACAUGUGCCCAGCCCCCGAGGAUGUCGCCGGGGAAGACUUAGCUCGGGUGAAGAGUACAAGCCGCUGCCCAGCCCCCGAGGGUGUUGCCGGGGAUGAUCCGGCUCAAGUGGGCAGUGCCAACUGUGACCCCGCCCCCGAGGGUGUCCGAGCAAGGUCUCCUUCCUGCACUUCCAUGGAUGUUCAUGCGGGUUCACCUCCACACUCUGGCGGUAUAGUGGUGGCCCAAACUCUGGAUCAGGGGGUCGCUUUAGAGGGCAGCAUCCCCACUGGUCUGGCGUUAGGCUCUGUUGAAUGUAUUGAGCUCGUUCCUGCUGGUCUGUUGCAAGCUGCUUCGGGUGGUGGCCUGGCACCUGAUUAUCAGCUGAUUUCUCCUGAUUUGGGGAUCCCUUCGUUCUUUUCCAACCUCCAGGUACUGUGCUGUAUUUUAGCUUGACCUUUUCGUUGCAUGAAUUUUUGUCAUUAUGUUCAUCCGCUCUUCUCAUCAGACUUUGGUGGAUGGGAUGGCCAGCCAGCUGAGAUCGCAGGGUGCUUCCAUCCCAGAAGUGGCUUCAUCUCUUGAGCGUUGGAAUCCAAUGUCGCUUCAUCGUCGUGUAUCCGAGUUGGAGGCAACUAAUGCUGGUUAGUGCUCUUCUUCUUCUUCCUUGCCUUUAUUCGUGGAUUGUUUUACCUUCUAACCUCAUUUCGUUUGAUUACCUCUUGAUAGGAAUGACUCGGCAGAUUGCAGUUCUUGAGGAAAAACAUUCCCGAGAUCAAGCUGAAAUGGCUCAACGGUGUGCUGACUUCGAGGAGAAGUAUUCUCAAAGCCAGACUGAACUGAAUCAGGUCUCCGCUGCUUUGGAUGACGCCAACGCUCUGAGUUCUUCUCUUCAUGCUCGGCUUGACUCUGAAAAGGUAACUUACAAUACCGUGCUUCGCCUUAUUACAUGCUUGGAUUCUGAAUGAGUUGAUUUUUGUUUGUAGGAAGAAAAACGUAUCCUUGCUGCUUCUCGCGACAAUCUGGACAGAUUGUAUCGAGACUCUAGCAACUCGCUAACCAUCUUGGAGAGGAGCCACCGUUUUACGAUGGAAGAACUGGACAAUCAGCGUCGUAGGCUGCAAGAAUCUGCAUACGAAGUGACCCGCCUCACGCAAUUGAUAUCAGCAAAAGAUGCCACCAUCAAGGGACUCCGAACUUCUAAGAAAUCCAUUGCUCAGGAGUUAGAAACUGCUCAGCUGGCUGCUAAAGUUGCCGAGGAAACUGCUAUUACUCUCAAAGCUCAGCGUGAUAAAGCCUUGGACAAGGCUAUUCGGGCGGGACAAAUCUUGAUGAGAAGACCCGGCGUGGUUGUCCCUGAAGACAUAAAAGCCGAUGUGAACGCUGCCCCCGAUUCUUCGAAUCGCCCUUCUUCGUCAGUCGCUCCUGAGAGAGACAUUGGAAAAUAGAGAAACGUUUCGCGUGCUAUGAGCGCGCGGUUAGCAUGAUCAAGUACUCGUUAGGGGCUAUCAGCUUAUCAUUCGAAUGAUAUGAUCACUCUCUUAUUGUAUCAGAAUUUAUUAAUUCGCAAGUUUGUGGUAACGCUGCAUGAUGAUUAUGAAGUCUGUUUUCGGGAUAUGGAAGUCAUCCCCUGAAUCGCAUAAGCGCGAGUAUAUUGCACUGGCUUAAGCCAUCGCUGACUUUUAGCCGAUAGCUCCGUUGGUAGGGCAUAGUGGUCGCCCUGGGUUAAGUAGGCGUGAGCAUGUUGCGCCGGCUUAAGUCGUUGCCGACUUAAGUCGAUUGCUCCGUUUGUGGGGCAUAGUGAUCACCCCGAAUUAAGUAAGCGUGAGCAUGUUGCACCGCCUUAAGUCGUUGCCGACUUAAGUCGAUUGCUCCGUUUGUAGGGCAUAGUGGUCACCCCGAAUUAAGUAAGCGUGAGCAUGUUGCACCGCCUUAAGUCGUCGCCGACUUAAGUCGAUUGCUCCGUUUGUAGGGCAUAGUGGUCACCCCAAAUUAAGUAAGAAUGCAAGUCAAUCGUAAACGAGCCGAGUAUCUUUGAAAUCUCUCUUUAUUGAUGACGUAUUUCCAUUUUACAGAAUACAUGGUCGCCCCAGCUGUUUUGAAAUGCAACUAGGGGUAAAACUUUCUGAGGUGCUCUAUGUUCCAGGAGUUCCCAACUUCUGUGCCAUCCAUCUGGGUGAGGCGAUACGAUCCGGGCCGAGUGACCUCUGCUACUAUGAAAGGCCCUUCCCAUAAGGGUGAUAACUUGUGCCGUCCCUCCCCCGUUAGAAUUCGGCGGAGGACGAGGUCUCCUAUCGAAAAGAAACAUUGCCGCACAGCCUUGUCGUGAUAGCGCCUUAGAGUCUGCUGGUACCGUGCUGAUUGGAUUACUGCAUUCAGUCGUUCUUCCUCAAGUACAUCAAUAUCCUCCAGCCUGGUGGCCUCGGCUUCUGCUAUGCUUUCGAAAAUCAAUCUUGGCGCCCCAAACUUGAGAUCAGCAGGUAGCACUGCCUCCGACCCAUAGACCAUGAAGAAAGGAGUGUUUCCAUGCAGGGCUUGGCUAGGUUGGGUUCUCAGGCUCCAAACAACAUAAGGCAGUUCUCUUAUCCAUUUUCCUGCGAAUUUUUCAUUCUUAUCGAAGACCCUUUUCCUGAGUGCCUCCAAUAUCAUUCCGUUGGCUCGCUCAACCUGCCCGUUGGCUCUUGGAUGUGCUACAGAUGCGUACUUGAUCUGAAUGCUCUUUUGCUCGCAGAAGUCAAAGAAUUCUGAACUGGUGAAGUUGGGUCCCAAGUCAGUGAUGAUACUGUUUGGUAUCCCGAAUCUGAAUAUUAUGCUUUGUAUGAAUUCCACGGCUUUAGCAGAGGUUAAAGAAGCAAUGGGCUGGAACUCUAUCCAUUUAGUGAAUUUGUCAAUUGCCACCAAUACAUGGGUAUAUCCUCCUUGAGCUUUCUUGAAAGGUCCAAUCAUAUCCAGUUCCCAGCAUGCGAAAGGCCAAGUUACUGGUAUGGUCUGUAGCUGCUGCGCUGGCAUGUGCUGUUGCUUUGACAGGUAUUGGCAAGCUUCGCAUCUCUGAACUAACUUGGCUGCAUCGUUCUUCGCCGUCGGCCAAUAGAAUCCUGACCUGAAAACCUUCCCGACUAGUGUUCUGGAUGCUGCAUGUACUCCACACUGCCCUGCAUGGACCUCCUCCAGAAGUUGCUUCCCGGUGGACGGGAGAACGCACUUCAUGAAGACGCCUGACGCGCCCUUCCUGUACAAUACCUCCCCAAUGAGUGUAUAGUGAGCUGAUUGUCUGGCAAUGCGCUCUGCCGAGUUCUUGUCAUCUGGUUCUUCUUCAUUCUUUAUAUACUUAAUAAUCGGCCGUCUCUAGUCAUCAGAGUCUGACUCGGGUUGAUCUAUGAUGUUGCACUCUUCUGUUUGAUCCAUUGAGAUACUCGGCUGGAGAAUUUCUUGCACGAAGACUCCGGGCGGGACCUGAGUCCGACCGGAUCCGAGCUUGGACAGUACAUCGGCCGCCGUGUUCCGAUCUCUUUCUAUAUGAUGAAACUCCAGACCCUCGAAUUUAUCUUCCAGCUUUCGGACGGCAGCGCAGUAUUUUCCCAUUGAAUCACUUGAACAAUCCCAUUCCUUGUUUAUCUGGCUGAUGACUACCAGAGAAUCUCCAUAUACCAUCAAUCUCUUGACGCCCAAUGACAUGGCGAUGUUUAAUCCGUGUAUCAAAGCUUCAUACUCGGCUGCAUUGUUAGAGGCCGGGAAUAGCAACUGGAGAGCAUACUUGAGGUGUUCGCCUCCCGGUGCAGUGAAGAGAAUCCCUGCUCCUGCUCCCUGCAGCUUCAGCGAGCCAUCAAAAUACAUUCGCCAUACUUUUGCCGUUUCUGGAUUGUCUGGUACUUGUUGUUUUGUCCAUUCUGAUACGAAAUCAACCAGUGCUUGAGUUUUGAUGGCGGUGCGAGGUCGGAACUCGAUAUCGUGGGAUCCCAGCUCGUAAGCCCACUUGGCUAUUCGGCCAAUGGCUUCCUUGUUGUGAAGAAUGUCCCCUAUCGGAAAACCAGUGACUACUAUGACUUUGUGGUCAUCAAAGUAGUGACGCAGCUUGCGGGCAGUUAGAAGUACUGCAUAUAAUAGCUUCUGAACCUGAGGAUACUUUUUCUUCGAGGGGCCUAGAACUUCACUGAUGAAGUAAACAAGAUGUUGCACUGGGUAGGCAUGCCCUUCUUCUACUCGCUCGACUACCAACGCAGUGCUUACCACGUGAGUCGUGCAAGAGACAUAUAGCAACAAAUCUUCAGCCGGUUGAGUCGGCGUAGCUCGCCGGGGUGGUUUCAGUACUGGUGGUGUUGUCAAGAAUUUCUUCAGUGCGUCUAGAGCGUCUUGUGCUUCUGAAGUCCAUUGAAACUUAUCCACCUUCUUGAGUAGCUUGUAAAAUGGCAAACCUUUUUCUCCCAGCCUGGAUAUAAAUCUGCUCAGAGCUGCCAUGCAUCCGGUGAGUCGUUGAACCUUCUUUUGUGACCGAGGAGCUUCCAUCUUCAUGAUAGCUUCAAUUUUAUCUGGAUUAGCUUCAAUUCCCCGGUGGCUGACGAUAAACUUGAGCAACUUUCCUGCUGGUACCCCGAAAACACAUUUUUCAGGAUUGAGCUUCCAUCUAUAUCUUCUCAGGCUGUUGAAAACCAGUUGUAAAUCUUCGAUGAAGUCUUCCGAAUUCUCUGUUUUGAUCACCACAUCAUCUACGUAAGCCUCCACACGCUUGCCCCAGUGAUCGGCUAAGCAUGUUUGAAUGGCUCUCUGAUAAGUCGCUCCAGCGUUUUUGAGGCCGAACGGCAUGGAGGUAUAACAGAAAGCACCAAACGGAGUGAUGAACGCCGUUUUUUCCUCGUCUUCCUUUGCCAAACUAAUCUGAUGAUACCCGGAGUAGCAAUCUAAGAAAGACAGCACAGAACACCCAGCGGUGGAAUCCACCACCUGAUCUAUCCUCGGGAGCCCGAAGGGAUCCUUCGGACAGUGUUUGUUGAGAUCAGUAUAGUCGACACACAUGCGCCAAUCCACUUUAUUCUUUUUGAGUACAAGAAUAGGGUUGGCUAACCACUCGGGGUGUAAUACCUCUCUAAUAAAUCCAGCCGCGACCAAGCGAGCUAACUCGGCACGAAUGGCCUCUCUCUUGUCGGGCGUGAAACGACGUAGCUUUUGCCGGAUCGGCCUCGCCUGGGGAUAGACCUUCAAUUUGUGCUCGGCCAGUUCUCUUGGAACUCCCGGCAUAUCCGCAGGUUGCCAUGCGAAUACGUCUCGGUUAUCUUGCAGGAACUGGACGAGCGCGCUUUCCUAUUUGUCGUUCAAGCUGGAGCUGAUGAUGGCCGUCUUGCGCUCAUCAGCGAACCCCAGGUUGAUUCGCUUGGUUUCUUCAGUCGGCCGCAUAGAGGCCACGGCCUGGGCUUCGUUCGCCGGCACUGCGAGGUUCUCCUCAGGCUUAGAGUUCGCCAGCGUAGGAGGAACCGUUGACGACUUGGUGGUGAGGGCUGCUUGGAUGGCCACUCGGAAACAUUCUGCGGCGCCUUGGAAGUCGGCGCGCACAGUUUUGAUUCCUUGCGGUCCUGACAUCUUCAGUAUCAUGUAUGUAUAGUGCGGAAUGGCCAUGAAUUUAGCCAGCCCCGGCCUCCCGAUGAUGGCGUUGUACCCGCAGUCGAAGUUCGCCACCUCGAACCUCAGGAACUCGGUUCGGUAAUUCUCCGGAGUUCCGAAGGUGACCGGCAUGUAGAUGUGGCCCAGCGGGUAUUCCCCUUCCGUCGGCACGAUGCCAAAGAAAGGAGUGUCCGACUCAUGGAGCUCUUUAAGGUGAACCCCCAAGCCUUGAAGUGUCCGGGGGAAAGUGACGUUGAUGCUGCUCCCCCCGUCCACUAGCACCUUCUUUACCUGGCUUUCUCGGAUCACCGGAUCGACGAGAAGCGGGUAUUUGCCUGGAUGGUCGAAGUUGAGCCAUUGAUCCUCCCGAGUGAAAGUGAUCGGGUGCUCCGACCACCGGUAUGGGGCGGGAGGACCGGUGGUCGCCACCAGUAUCUGGCGGUCGUUGAGCUUUUGUUGCCUUUUGUUCUCCUGCGACCCAUGUCCGCCGAAGAUGACGUUGACCUCCCUAUCAACGCGCGGGAAAGCUCCUCCUCUCCCCUCCUCCGGCUGAUGGGGCUGUCGCGGUUCAUCUGGUCCUCCCCUCGGCGGAGGAGGCGGUAGAGGUUGGAAGGGUCGGCCGUGCCCGACGGAGUGCUUGAAGUCUCGACAGUUACGAAGAGUGUGGCGCAUGUCCUUGUGGUACGGGCACUGGUGAGAGCACCUAGAGGGGGGGUGAAUAGGUGAUCCUGCGAAACUUUAAACUUAUAGCCACAAAAACUUGUUAAGGGUUAGCACAAUAAUUGCCAAGUGGCUAGAGAGGAGAUCUUGUACAAUAUGACAACCACAAAGAAUUCAACACAGAGAAGACACGGUGAUUUAUCCCGUGGUUCGGCCAAGUACAAAACUUGCCUACUCCACGUUGUGGCGUCCCAACGGACGAGGGUUGCAAUCAACCCCUCUCAAGCGGUCCAAAGACCCACUUGAAUACCACGGUGUUUUGCCUUGCUUAUCUUUAUCCCACUUGCGAGGAAUCUCCACAAAUUGGAGUCUCUCGCCCUUACACUUAAGAUUCACAAAGAAGCACGGAGUAAGAGAGGGAAGCAACACACACAAAUCCACAGCGAAAUGCGCACGCACACGACCAAGAAUCGAGCUCAAAGACUAUCUCAAAGUUCUCACAAGAACGGAGCUCGAAUCACUUAGAAUAACAAACGGAUGCGCAAGAACUGAGUGUGGAUGAUCAAGAAUGCUCAAAGGUUGCUUGGUGUCUCCCUCCAUGCGCCUAGGGGUCCCUUUUAUAGCCCCAAGGCAGCUAGGAGCCGUUGAGAACAAAUCUGGAAGGCCAUCUUUGCCUUCUGUCGUCGGGCGCACCGGACAGUCCGGUGCACACCGGACACUGUCCGGUGCCCGAUUUCCUUCCUUAAACUGCGCAGUCGACUGUUGCAUAUGCAGGAGCCGUUGGCGCACCGGACAUGUCCGGUGCACACCGGACAGUCCGGUGCCCCCUUCCGACCGUUGGCUCGGCCACGUGUCCCGCGCAGAUCGCGCGGCCGACCGUUGGCUCACCGGACAGUCCGGUGCACACCGGACAGUCCGGUGAAUUUUAGCCGUACGCCGUCAGCAAAUUCCCAAGAGCGGCCUCUUCGGCCGAGGCAGCCUGGCGCACCGGACACUGUCCGGUGCACCACCGGACAGUCCGGUGCUCCAGACCGAAGCCUCCUGACUGUACACAGCCAACUCUUUUUCUUCCUGUUUCCAAUACUUAGACAAGUAUAUUAGUACACAAAACCAAUGUACUAAGACUUAGAAACAUACCUUAGCUCUUGAUUUGUACUUUGUUCAUCCAUGGGCAAAGAUUCACAUUUAAGUACUUGUGUUGGCACUCAAUCACCAAAAUACUUAGAAAUGGCCCAAGGGCACAUUUCCCUUUCAAUCUCCCCCUUUUUGGUGAUUUAUGCCAACACAACAUAAAACAACUAGAACAAGUGCAAUAUCACUCAAAUAAAACUCAAAUUUAUUUUGAUUCAAUUUUGGCAUAUAUGGAUCAUCCUUUGCCACCACUUGGUUUGUUUUUUGCAAAUCAAACUCAAAUCUCUAUCUCUAUGUCAAACACACAUAUUGAAGCAUAAGGAGAGUCAUUCCAAAAGAGAUUGAUCAAAGAUUUCAAAAACUCCCCCUAUUUCCCAUAAUCAACACUUCUCCCCACAAGAAGCCAACUUUUGACAAGAGAGACAAUAAUAGACAAUAAAAGCGUUUGACAAAACAAAAACUCUAUUCUACUAUUUUCAAAAUUUCUCAAGUGGUAGCUGAUCCAUUUAUCGCUUUGGCCUUUAUUUUCUCCCCCUUUGGCAUCAAGCACCAAAACGGGAUCAAUCUUGGCCCUUUUAACCCCAUUGCCUCACCAAAAUCUUCAACUAAGAGCAAAUAGGCAAUAAGAGUUUAAAGAUGAACUUGGAAUAAGUUACCCUCUCAUCGGAGUGCAGUGGAAGUCUUUCAUGGUCCAAGUCCACCUUUUCCCUUUCAAUCCUCCUUCGAGACUAAAUCAUCAAACUCAAGUACAUGGUUAGUCUCAAAGGGUCAAGUUGUAACACAUCUCCCCCUAAACAUGUGCAUCACUUUGCAACGGACUUGUGAGGUCCAGGGAGUGUUUGUACAACUUGAGCACCAUAAUAAGCAACAAAAUGCAAAAGGAACAUGAUCAAAAGCAUAAAUACAUGUAUGCUACAAUUCAAUCCAGGUUCCGCGAAUCUAAGACAUUUAGCUCACUACGCAACCUGCAAAAGGUCUUCUCAUCUAGAGGCUUGGUGAAGAUAUCGGCUAGCUGGUUCUCGGUGCUAACAUGAAACACUUCGAUAUCCCCCUUUUGCUGGUGGUCUCUCAAAAAGUGAUGCCGGAUGUCUAUGUGCUUUGUGCGGCUGUGCUCAACAGGAUUCUCCGCCAUGCGGAUAGCACUCUCAUUAUCACAUAGGAGUGGGACUUUGCUCAGAUUGUAGCCAAAGUCCUGGAGGGUUUGCCUCAUCCAAAGCAGUUGCGCGCAACACUGACCUGCGGCAACGUACUCGGCCUCAGCGGUGGAUAGGGCAACAGAGGUUUGUUUCUUAGAGUUCCAUGACACCAGGGACCUUCCUAAGAAUUGGCACGUCCCCGAUGUACUCUUCCUAUCGACCUUACAUCCAGCAUAGUCGGAGUCUGAGUAUCCAACUAAGUCAAAGGUAGACCCCUUUGGAUACCAGAGCCCGAAGCAAGGCGUAGCAACCAAAUAUCUAAGAAUUCGCUUCACCGCCACUAAGUGACACUCCUUAGGAUCGGAUUGAAAUCUAGCACACAUGCAUACGCUAAGCAUAAUAUCCGGUCUACUAGCACAUAAGUAAAGCAAAGAACCUAUCAUUGACCGGUAUGCUUUUUGAUCAACGGACUUACCUCCUUUGUUGAGGUCAGUGUGUCCGUCGGUCCCCAUUGGAGUCUUUGCGGGCUUGGCGUCCUUCAUCCCAAACCGCUUUAGCAGAUCUUGCGUGUACUUUGUUUGGGAGAUGAAGGUGCCAUCCUUGAGUUGCUUCACUUGGAACCCAAGGAAGUAGUUCAACUCGCCCAUCAUCGACAUCUCGAAUUUCUGCGUCAUCACCCUGCUAAACUCUUCACAAGACUUUUGGUUAGUAGAACCAAAUAUUAUGUCAUCGACAUAAAUUUGGCACACAAACAAAUCACCAUCACAUGUCUUAGUGAACAGAGUUGGAUCGGCUUUCCCAACCUUGAAAGCAUUAGCAAGUAAAAAGUCUCUAAGGCAUUCAUACCAUGCUCUUGGGGCUUGCUUAAGUCCAUAGAGCGCCUUAGAGAGCUUACACACGUGGUCGGGGUACCGUUCAUCCUCAAAGCCAGGGGGUUGCUCUACGUACACCUCCUCCUUGAUUGGCCCGUUGAGGAAAGCGCUCUUCACAUCCAUUUGGUACAACCUGAAAGAAUGGUGAGCGGCAUAUGCUAGCAAGAUACGAAUUGAUUCUAGCCUAGCCACAGGAGCAAAAGUCUCCUCGAAAUCCAAACCUGCGACUUGGGCAUAACCUUUUGCCACAAGUCGAGCCUUGUUCCUCGUCACCACCCUGUGCUCGUCCUGUUUGUUGCGGAACACCCACUUGGUUCCCACAACAUUUUGCUUGGGACGAGGCACCAGUGUCCAAACUUCAUUGCGCUUGAAGUUGUUGAGUUCCUCCUGCAUGGCCAAUACCCAGUCCGGAUCUAGCAAGGCCUCCUCUACCCUGAAAGGCUCAAUAGAAGAGACAAAGGAGUAAUGCUCACAAAAAUUAACUAAUCGAGAUCGAGUAGUUACUCCCUUGCUAAUAUCACCCAGAAUUUGGUCGACGGGGUGAUCCCUUUGAAUCAUCGCUCGAACUUGGGUUGGAGGUGCCGGUUGCGCUUCUUCCUCCAUCACAUGAUCAUCUUGUGCUCCCCCUUGAUCACACAUCUCCUUUUGAUGAACCUGUUCAUCGUCUUGAGUUGGGGGAUGCACCGUUGUUGAGGAAGAAGGUUGAUCUCGUUCAUUUUGUUCCUGUGGCCGCACUUCUCCAAUCGCCAUGGUACGUAUAGCGGCCGUCAGAACAUCUUCUUCAUCUACAUCAUCAUAAUCAACAACUUGCUCUCUUGGAGAGCCAUUAGUCUCAUCAAAUACAACGUCGCUAGAGACUUCAACCAAACCCGAUGAUUUGUUGAAGACUCUAUACGCCUUUGUAUUUGAGUCAUAACCUAACAAAAACCCUUCUACAGCUUUGGGAGCAAACUUAGAAUUUCUACCUUUCUUCACUAGAAUGUAGCACUUGCUCCCAAAUACACGAAAGUAAGAUACAUUGGGUUUGUUACCGGUUAGUAGCUCAUACGAAGUCUUCUUGAGGAGGCGAUGAAGGUAGACCCUGUUGAUGGCGUGGCAAGCCGUGUUCACGGCUUCCGACCAGAAACACUCGAGGGUCUUGAAUUCUCCAAGCAUUGUCCUCGCCAUAUCGGUUAGCGUCCUGUUCUUCCUCUCUACCACACCAUUUUGCUGUGGUGUGUAGGGAGCGGAGAACUCGUGCUUGAUUCCUUCCUCCUCAAGGAAUUCCUCCACUUGAAGGUUCUUGAAUUCGGACCCGUUGUCGCUCCUUAUCUUCUUCACCUUGAGCUCAAACUCAUUUUGAGCUCUCCUGAGGAAGCGCUUGAGGGUCCCUUGGGUUUCAGACUUAUCCUGCAAAAAGAACACCCAAGUGAAGCGGGAAAAGUCAUCAACAAUAACUAAACCAUACUUACUCCCUCCUAUGCUCAGAUAGGCGACAGGUCCGAAGAGGUCCAUAUGCAGCAGCUCCAGGGGUCUUGAAGUGGUCAUCACAUUCUUGUCGUGAUGCGCUCCUCCCACUUGUUUACCUGCUUGACAAGCUGCACAAGGUCUAUCUUUUUCGAAUUGCACGUUAGUUAAACCUAUCACAUGUUCUCCCUUUAGAAGCUUGUGAAGGUUCUUCAUCCCCACAUGUGCUAAGCGGCGAUGCCACAGCCAGCCCAUGCUAGUCUUAGCUAUUAAGCAUGCAUCUAGACCGGCCUCUUCUUUUGCAAAAUCAACUAAAUAAAGUUUGCCGUCUAAUACACCCUUAAAAGCUAGUGAACCAUCACUUCUUCUAAAGACAGUCACAUCUACAUUUGUAAAUAGACAGUUAUAUCCCAUAUGACAUAAUUGACUAACAGAUAGCAAAUUAUAUCCAAGACUCUCUACUAAAAAUACAUUAGAGAUAGAAUGCUCAUUAGAAAUUGCAAUUUUACCUAACCCUUUUACCUUGCCUUGAUUCCCAUCACCGAAUAUAAUUGUAUCUUAGGAAUCCUUAUUCUUGACGUAGGAAGUGAACAUCUUCUUCUCCCCCGUCAUAUGGUUUGUGCAUCCGCUGUCGAUAAUCCAGCUUGAACCCCCGGAUGCAUAAACCUGCAAGGCAAAUUUAGGCUUGGGACUUAGGUACCCAACUCUUGUUGGGUCCUACAAGGUUAGUGCAAAUUUCCUUAGGGAUCCAAAUGCAAGUUUUGUCUCCCUUGCAUUUUGCCCCUAACUUCCUAGCAACUAUUUUCCUAUCCUUUCUACAAAUAGCAAAGGAAGCAUUUAGGGCAUGAUAAAUUGUAGAAGGUCCAUGAACUUCCCUAUGAGCAUUAACAACAUUUCUCCUAGGCAUAUUGUGAAUAACAUUUCUUCUACCAACCUUUCUAUCAUGCACAACAUGAGAACUAGAAGCAGUCAUAGCAUAAGAAACAUAAGCAUGUGAAUCAAAGGCAUCAUAGCUUCUAAAAGCAUUUCUAGAAUUUUUCCUAUCAUGAUACAAAAAGGCAUGGUUCUUUUUAGCACUAGUAGCCAUAGGGGCCUUCCCUUUCUCCUUAGCGGGAAUGGGAGCCUUAUGGUUUGUUAAGUUCUUGGCUUCCCUUUUGAAGUCAAGUCCAUCCUUAAUUGAGGGGUGUCUACCAAUCGUGUAGGCAUCCCUUGCAAAUUUUAGCUUAUCAAAAUCACUUUUGCUAGUCUCAAGUUGAGCCUUGAGACUAGCUACCUCUUCAUUUAAUUUAGAAAUGCAAGCUAGGUGUUCACUAUAAGCAUUAAUGUUAAUAUCUUUACACCUAGUGCACGUUACAGCAUUUUCUACACAAGAGAUAGAUUUACUAGCAAUCUCUAACUUAGCAUUCAAUUCAUCACUAAUGCUCCUUAGUUUUGAAAUUGUCUCAUGGCAAGAAGAUAAUUCACAAGAAAGCAUUUCAUUUCUUUUAACUUCUAGAGCAUGAGAUCUUUGUGCUUCUACAAAUUUAUCAUGUUCUUCAUACAAUAAAUCCUCUUGUUUCUCUAAGAGUCUAUCCUUCUCAUUCAAGGCAUCAAUUAAUUCAUUGAUUUUAUCAAUUUUAUUUCUAUCCAAUCCCUUGAACAAACUAGAAUAAUCUAUUUCAUCAUCACUAGUCUCAUCGUCACUAGAAGAAUCAUAAGUGACAUCAUUACAAGUGAUUACCUUUUUCUCUCUUGCCAUGAGGCAAGUGUGACGCUCGUUGGGGAAGAGGGAUGACUUGUUGAAUGCAGUGGCGGCGAGUCCCUCAUUGUCGGAGUCAGACGAGGAGCAGUCUGAAUCCCACUCCUUGCCAAGAUGAGCCUCACCCUUUGCCUUCUUAUAAUUCUUCUUCUUCUCCCUCUUGUUCCCUUGGUCCUGAUCACUAUCAUUGUCGGGACAGUUAGCAAUAAAAUGACCAAGCUUACCGCAUUUGAAGCACGAACGCUUUCCCUUGGCUUUGGUCUUGCUUGACUGUCCCUUGCGACCUUUAAGCGCCGUCUUGAAUCUUUUGAUGAUGAGAGCCAUCUCUUCAUCAUUCAGUCCGGCCGCCUCAAUUUGUGCCACCCUGCUAGGUAGCGCCUCCUUGCUUCUUGUUGCCUUGAGAGCAAGGGGUUGAGGCUCGUUGAUUUGUCCAUUCAAGGCGUCGUCCACGUAUCUUGCCUCCUUGAUCAUCAUCCGCCCGCUUACGAAUUUUCCGAGAACCUCCUCGGGCGUCAUCUUCGUGUACCUGGGAUUCUCACGAAUAUUGUUCACGAGAUGAGGAUCAAGAACGGUAAAUGACCUUAGCAUGAGGCGGACGACGUCGUGAUCCGUCCAUCGCGUGCUUCCGUAGCUCCUUAUUUUGUUGAUAAGGAUCUUGAGCCGGUUGUAUGUUUGCGUCGGCUCCUCGCCCCUUAUCAUCGCGAAUCGUCCGAGCUCGCCCUCCACCAACUCCAUCUUGGUGAGUAAGGUGACAUCAUUCCCCUCAUGAGAGAUCUUGAGGGUGUCCCAAAUCUGCUUGGCAUUGUCCAAGCCGCUCACCUUGUGAUACUCGUCCCUGCACAAAGAGGCUAGCAACACAGUAGUAGCUUGUGCAUUUUUAUGGAUCUGUUCAUUAAUAAAUGAAGGACUAUCCGAGCUAUCAAAUUUCAUUCCACUUUCUACAAUCUCCCAAAUGCUUGGAUGGAGAGAAAAUAGGUGUGUACGCAUUUUGUGACUCCAAAAUCCGUAGUCCUCUCCAUCAAAGUGAGGAGGCUUGCCAAGUGGAAUGGGGAGCAAAUGAGCAUUUGAGCUGUGCGGAAUGCGCGAAUAAUCAAAAGAGAAGUUUGAGUUAACCGUCUUUUGUUUGUCGUAGUCGUCAUCCUUGUGGGACGAAGUAGACUCGUCGCUGUCGUAGUAGACGAUCUCCUUGAUUCGUCUUGUCUUUUUCUUCUUCCCAUCUUUACGUCUGUGGCCCGAGCCAGAGUCGUUGGAUUUGUCAUCUUUUGGCUCGUUGACGAAGAACUCCUUUUCCUUGUCGUUGAUCACGAUUCCCUUCCCCUUAGGAUCCAUCUCUUCGGGCGGUUAGUCCCUUUCUUGAAGAGAACGGCUCUGAUACCAAUUGAGAGCACCUAGAGGGGGGGUGAAUAGGUGAUCCUGCGAAACUUUAAACUUAUAGCCACAAAAACUUGUUAAGGGUUAGCACAAUAAUUGCCAAGUGGCUAGAGAGGAGAUCUUGCACAAUAUGACAACCACAAAGAAUUCAACACAGAGAAGACACGGUGAUUUAUCCCGUGGUUCGGCCAAGUACAAAACUUGCCUACUCCACAUUGUGGCGUCCCAACGGACGAGGGUUGCAAUCAACCCCUCUCAAGCGGUCCAAAGACCCACUUGAAUACCACGGUGUUUUGCCUUGCUUAUCUUUAUCCCACUUGCGAGGAAUCUCCACAAAUUGGAGUCUCUCGCCCUUACACUUAAGAUUCACAAAGAAGCACGGAGUAAGAGAGGGAAGCAACACACACAAAUCCAUAGCGAAAUGCGCACGCACACGGCCAAGAAUCAAGCUCAAAGACUAUCUCAAAGUUCUCACAAGAACGGAGCUCGAAUCACUUAGAAUAACAAACGGAUGCGCAAGAACUGAGUGUGGAUGAUCAAGAAUGCUCAAAGGUUGCUUGGUGUCUCCCUCCAUGCGCCUAGGGGUCCCUUUUAUAGCCCCAAGGCAGCUAGGAGCCGUUGAGAACAAAUCUGGAAGGCCAUCUUUGCCUUCUGUCGUCGGGCGCACCGGACAGUCCGGUGCACACCGGACACUGUCCGGUGCCCGAUUUCCUUCCUUAAACUGCGCAGUCGACCGUUGCAUAUGCAGGAGCCGUUGGCGCACCGGACAUGUCCGGUGCACACCGGACAGUCCGGUGCCCCCUUCCGACCGUUGGCUCGGCCACGUGUCCCGCACAGAUCGCGCGGCCGACCGUUGGCCCGGCCGACCGUUGGCUCACCGGACAGUCCGGUGCACACCGGACAGUCCGGUGAAUUUUAGCCGUACGCCGUCAGCAAAUUCCCGAGAGCGGCCUCUUCGGCCGAGGCAGCCUGGCGCACCGGACACUGUCCGGUGCACCACCGGACAGUCCGGUGCUCCAGACCGAAGCCUCCUGACUGUACACAGCCAACUCUUUUUCUUCCUGUUUCCAAUACUUAGACAAGUAUAUUAGUACACAAAACCAAUGUACUAAGACUUAGAAACAUACCUUAGCUCUUGAUUUGUACUUUGUUCAUCCAUGGGCAAAGAUUCACAUUUAAGUACUUGUGUUGGCACUCAAUCACCAAAAUACUUAGAAAUGGCCCAAGGGCACAUUUCCCUUACAACUGGGCGUCGAGGAUGUCGUCCAGCGUGCGCUCGCCUCCACGAGGUCCUCCUCGGGCGCGAGAGGCGGGUGGUCCGGCGGCGUGUACUUCUUCACGAGGCCUCUUCUCCCAACGUUUGUCGGGUGGUUGGUUCGCGUCACGUCGUGGUGCUGCCGAUGCAGGCUUUGCUCCUCCAAUGAGAUCCUGGGCCCGCUCGUCGGCGGUGAUGUAGAGGUCGGCUUCCCGGAACAGCUCCUCGGAGGUAGUCGGUGCUUUUUGUAGUAUGGCUCGGACGAAAGUCGAGUCAUUGGAUCCUUUGUAGAAGUCCUCGAUCACGGCCGCCUCCGUGACCUCGGGGAUACGGUUUCUCAUGGUCUGGAACCUUUUGAGGUAUGACCGGAGAGUCUCGUCUCCCCGGCGCUUGAUGGAUUUGAGGUCCCAUGGUUGCGCUGGUUUGUCGGAGAGGGACUGGAAGUUGGCGGUGAAACAUCGACUGAAGUCUCCCCAGUCGUCGAUGCAGUGUCGGGGUAGAUGUCGUAGCCACUGCAGCGCGUCUUGCCCAAGGACAAUGGGCAGAUACGCGGUCAUGACGUCUUCAGAUGCCCCGGCAGACCGAGCAGCGGUGGUGUAGACGGCUAGCCAACCCCCUGGAUCCUGCUUAGGUUCAUAUUUGUCGACAUUGGAUACCUUGAAGUUGGGAGGCCAUUGGAUGGCCCUAAGGCGCGGAGUAAGAGCGGAUACUCCGCACGUGUCCUCCUGCCGUCGGGAACGAUGUCUGUCCCGGGGAGGGGAGUGGUGGUGGUGGUUCCUCGACCGUCCCCGGGUGGUACCGCCAGUUGAGGCUAUUGCCGACUCAGUCCUGGUGGGCUGGCUUUGAGUCGGGAAGCCGUGAUCUCGGUCAUACUCCUCCCAACGACGAAUUUCGUUUUCAUGCCGCCGUUCGCGCGAAGCAUUGAUAGAGCUUCGCGCGUCUCGACGACUGUUGAUGGUGUGUCGCAAAUCGUUCGGUGGGUGAGCGAGCGGUAGAAGAUGGUUGGCCGCCUGAGUGAACAGGCGUCGGUAUCCCUCGGCGUCGGGAGUCCGAGGAAGUCCGUCAGCUAUCCGAGCUAGAACGCCUCCGACUUCGCUCGGCGUGUUCAUAGCUCGGGCGAAGUCGGGGUUCAGGUUGCGCCCGAAGAGCGGGUUCUCCCGGCGUUGCCUCGCAUCUUGCUCGGCUUGCUCCUGAGUCCGUCGGCGAUCGCGUCGUCGGGAGUUCCUUCGUUCCCUGAAGACGCGUUCUUCCGGGGUUUCUCCUAUCUCCGAGACCUCGUCUCGCGAGACAGGCUGCUCCGGAUCCCGUUCUCCGGCCGCGUGAUGUCGUCGAACGUUCCUGCGUCGGUUCCUCCGUCGGCGGGAUUCUCGUUGAGGUGGUUCUUCUCCAGGCGCGGUCGGUUCGUCGUCAGAGACGGCGGGUGACUCCACUCUCCCGAUGAAGAGGACGUCGGGGUAGAAUGGUGCUGCUGUCGCGGCGACUUUCUUUCCGUUCUCCUUUGAGGCCGGAGGAACGGAAAGAACGACUUGCCUUUCCCUGGUCUCCUUCUUCCUCGCGAUCCGUGUCCAUUCCUUCGUCGGGGAAGUAGACAGCGGAGUCUUCCGGGUCAGCGAGCUUCCAGCUCCAGCCUUCCCGGAGAUAAUCUUUUUCCGAAGAGCUGGAGGUAGCGUCUUUCCAGCAUUUUCGGAGUUUGUUGGAAGAGACUUCUUUUCCGGCAGAUCUGCUGUCACACCCGGUUUUUAGAAGGCAAACCGAAUGCGAACCAUGUACGUGCCAGGAUCAGUUAUUCACGUACACAGCAGUUACAUAAUAUGGACAUCAUCACACAGUGCUCAAAAUAAUAUUAAAAGGGGAAAUAAUAGUCGAUUACAUCAUACGUCUGAGACGUCCAUAUAGUUCUUACAAUAAAUCAAAGUGCGGAAAAGAAACGUAGAUAACGCGGCCUUCACAGGCAGCCGACUGGGGGUUGCCGCUAACCCACACCUAGAACUCGUCGUAAUCUUGGAACUCCUGGAAGUCUCCUUCCACAGCUUCAUCUUCGCCUGAGCAGUGGUUGCAAUGCUGACAACCUGGGGGGGGGGGUUUGGUGUGUAGAGCAAGGGUGAGUACACAUCAACAUACUCAGCAAGUAUCCUGUUUGGCUGUAGUGGACUAGCUUUAUGUGGGGAUAAGUCAAGCAGUUGCUUUUAGUUGGUCAGGUUAUUACUUACUAGUAGAAAGCCAGGUUUUAACAUUAACCCAAGUUAUUAGCCCAAUGUAUCCUUUCCAAACGGAAAGAAUACCACUUACCAGCACCAUAAUCAUAACCAGAUUCAACAGUCUCAUAACCACCUGUACCACAAUAUCUCUGAUCAAGUACCACUAAUCAUUGGAGCUCCCUUGGCCGCUCAUAACCGCGAGCACGGCUGAUAUAUCAGUUUCAUAACACUCUGCAGAGGUUGUGCACUUUACCCACAAGCCGUGAUUCCCAUUCUGCCCGGAGAUCAUGACUCUCCAUUGAUCACUACCAAGGUGAUCCAGCAGGGCAUCACUACGAAGCCUUUACAAAGAUUCCCCGGGGCUGUAGCCACCCGUUAGGUUUCCUAAAUGCACCGCACUCCUCCCCAAGGGGCGAACCCAAACUUGGCAGAGCGAGCCGCAUACACCGAGCCCCAUUGACGGCACGACGGCUAAGUGAACUACACCCCGGAUCCUCUAAUUAUUCAGCUAAGGGCACCCCAUUCCACCCUCAUGGUUGCACUGUUUUCCCGGGCGGUCAUCCAUAGAACAGGUCCUUACGGAGAGGCACUCGAGAAACCGCUCGAGUCCCCUUGAAAACCACAAGUAUAAUCAUAAAGAAGAGCGGGAAAACAGCGUAUCAUAGAUAAUCACAUCAUGUUCAUUGAUUAGAGUUGAGCAAUAGCAUCAGACUAAGUAGUAAUAAUCCGACCCAAAUAGGUAAACAAGGACAUGGAUAACAAAAGCUAGUCAAUCCUUAGGUAUAAAUGUGUAAAGCGGGAGGUGAAUUAAAGAAUGAAUAGGACAUAGAUAGGUCAAAGGACACUUGCCUCCACCAAACGACUGCUGCUCAGGGGCUUCUCCUGCGAAUUCCUCGGGCUCUUCGACCGGAUCGUUCUCUAUGCGAGCGCAAACAUACAUACAUACAUCCACAUAUUUAAUACAAAAGAACAGUACACCAUACAAGAUAACAAAUAAAGCGAAUAUGCAUCAAGUAUGACAUUCGAUAACGCAUUUGUUAUGGUUAGAAAGAAACGGGAAAGGUCUCGCAGGGGGGGUUAAAUCUUAUGCACUAAUGACACAAUUGGUUUUUAACAAAAGAAUUCUGUUACAUAUACACUAAUGGAAACCUAAUCACUUUUAGUUGAUCAACAUUGCACAGGGUAAACAAUUAACUACGUGCAUCAAUAGCAUAACGGAAUUUUAAAUUAAACUUCCUAUUUUCCCAUAGCAUGAACAGUGAUUAGCCUACUUAAAAUACAGUAAUCAUGAUUACAGAAAGUAAAUAAAAUAAAAUAAAAAAAUAAAAAAAAAACAGAAGGGGGGGGGCGGUUGAACCGGCCCUAGGGCGGUUGAACCGGCCCUAGGCGGGGCGCGGGCGCGGGCGGCUGAACCGGCGGGGCAGGGGGCGGCGCAGGGGGCGGCCGAGCCGGGGGGGGGGGGCGGCCGAACCGGCGGGCAGGGAGGCGGCGCAGGGGGCGGCCGAGCCGGGGGGCGGGGCGGCCGAACCGGCGGGCAGGGAGGCGGCGCAGGGGGCGGCCGAGCCGGGGGGCGGGGCGGCCGAACCGGCGGGCAGGGAGGCGGCGCAGGGGGCGGCCGAGCCGGGGGGCGGGGCGGCCGAACCGGCGGGCAGGGAGGCGGCCGAACCGGCCAUGGGGAAAGGGGAGAGGGGAUGGGGGAGGGAGGAGAGGGGGAGGGGGAGCUCACCGGGGAGGGGCGCGACGGCGAGGGGCGGCCGAGGGCGGCGGUUGGGCAGGGGGCGGCGGCGGCUUAGGGCAGGGGUAGGGGCGGCGGCUUAGGGAGAGGGAGAGAAAAUGAGAGAAAAUGAGAGGGAGAGGGAGAGGGUUUGGGGAAAAAGGGGAGGUGGGGGGGGGCGGUUGGGCCUAUUGGGCCCAGGGGGGGGGCGCGCAGGGGCGGCUGGGCCGGCCGGGGUCGGCCCACGGCGCGGGAGAGAGAAAAAAAAGGAAGAGAGAGAGAAAAGAGAAAGAAAAGAGAAAGAAAACAUUUUCGAAAUCCGAUUCUUCUACAUGAAUGCAUUUGCACUUUCAAAGCAAUCAAAGGAAAUGCAAGGUUCGGCAUGGUGCAUCGAGCAACAUAAAGCAUUUAGGGUUUUUCUUACACGGGAAAUCCAAACCGAAUCCCGCUAGAACUUUGGAAAAGGUCAAGGUUUAGCGAGGGAAAAAGAAAAGGAAAGGUAACGCCCGAAUUUUGGCGAGUAAAGAAAAGAAAAAAAUUCAACUGCAAAAUUCGGGGCGUUACAAACCUAUCCCCCUUAAAAGAAUCUCGCCCUCGAGAUUCAGGGCUGGCUAGCAAAGAGCUCCGGGUACUUGGCCAUCAGAUCAUCUUCACGCUCCCAGGUUGCUUCUUCCUCAGAGUGGUGACUCCAUCUGACUUUGCACAUCCUGACGGUCUUCCUUCGGGUGACUCCAUCUGCAACCUCAAGGAUCUGAGCUGGCUUCUCAACGUAGGUCAAGUCCUCCUGGACUUCAAGACCUUCCACUGGCAACUGCUCUUCUGGCAUACGCAAGCACUUCUUCAACUGAGACACAUGAAAGACAUCAUGCACAGCAGACAAAUUCUCUGGCAAACUGAGCUGAUAAGCCACUUCUCCACGUCUUGCAAGAAUCUGAUACGGACCAAUGUAGCGGGGUGCUAGCUUGCCUUUCACUCCGAAUCUUCUGACUCCUCUGAUCGGUGACACCUUCAGAUAGACAAAGUCUCCGACUUCGAAACUCAGCUCUCUUCUUCUUGUGUCUGCAUAGCUUCGCUGCCUUGAUUGCGCUAUCUUCAGAUUCUCUCGGACCAUCUUGAUGUUCUCUUCGGCUUCAAGCAAAAUGUCUGGCCCAAACACUUGCUUCUCUCCAGGCUGAUCCCAUUGCAACGGAGUUCUACAACUCCUUCCAUAGAGCGCCUGAAAUGGUGACAUCUUCAAACUGGCCUGAUAACUGUUGUUAUAGGAAAACUCUGCAUAAGGCAAUCGCUUGUCCCAUCCGGACUGAUCUUGCAACGCACAGGCUCUCAACAUAUCUUCAAGAAUUUGAUUGGUUCUUUCAGUCUGACCAUCUGUCUGCGGGUGAUAAGCUGAACUGAAAUUCAGAUGCGUGCCCAAGGCUUCAUGCAACUGCUGCCAGAAAUGAGAGGUGAACUGCGUUCCUCUGUCUGACACUAUCUUCUUUGGCACACCAUGAAGACAAACGAUCCGAGACAUAUACAAUUCUGCCAAUACUGCACUGUUGUAGUUGGUCUUGACAGGUAUGAAGUGGGCUGACUUGGUCAAGCGGUCCACUACUACCCAAAUGGAAUCGUAGCCGGCUCGAGUGCGAGGCAAUCCGACUAUGAAAUCCAUGCCAAUUUCAUCCCAUUUCCACUGAGGGAUCUGCAACGGUUGCAACAAUCCAGCUGGUCUCUGGUGUUCUGCCUUAAUUCUUCGACAACUAUCGCACAUAGCCACAUGCUCUGCGAUUUCCCUUUUCAUUCCGUACCACCAGAAUUUCUUCUUCAGAUCCUGAUACAUCUUCUCACUGCCAGGGUGAAUCGAAUAGGCUGUCUCAUGAGCUUCCUUAAGAAUCAACUCCCGAAUAGACUGGACAUUGGGAACACACAAGCGGUCUUUGAACCAUAUCACGCUUUCUGCAUCUUCUCGAAAGUCUUUGCCUUUGCCAUCUAGAAUCAAUCGCCGAAUCUCACUGAUCUUCUCAUCAUUUUUCUGCGCUUCUUUGAUUUCGCGCUCCAAGGUAGGUUCCAAUUCAACUGUGACUCCUCGCGAAUUGUUCAGAAAUCCGAGACUCAACCUGUCAAACUCCUUGGCCAACUCAUAAGGCAUCGGGCGAGCAACCAUCAGAUUGACUUGACUCUUUCUGCUCAGAGCAUCUGCCACUACGUUUGCUUUGCCUGGAUGGUAAUGAAUCUCCAACUCAUAGUCUUUGAUCAAUUCUAACCAUCUUCGUUGCCUCAUGUUCAAUUCUGACUGAGUGAAUAUGUACUUCAGACUCUUGUGGUCUGUGUAAACAUCGCAUUUCUGUCCAUACAGAUAGUGCCUCCAUGUCUUCAGUGCGUGAACCACUGCUGCCAACUCUAGAUCAUGGAUUGGGUAGUUCUUCUCAUGAACCUUCAGCUGUCGGGACGAGUAAGCCACAACUCUUCCCUCUUGCAUCAACACACAUCCCAAACCUGUGUAACAAGCAUCACAAUACACCGAGAAGGGCUUGUGCACAUCAGGCAAGACUAGGACAGGCGCUGUUGUCAACUUCUCUUUCAGCGCUUCAAAGGCCUCUUGGCAUUUCUGGGUCCACUUGAACUCAACCUUGUUGCCUAGCAACGCUGUCAUUGGCUUCGCAAUCUUCGAAAACCCUUCAAUGAAUCGCCGAUAAUAUCCGGCCAUUCCAAUGAAGCUCUUGAUUCCUCUAGCAUCUGUUGGUGCUUUCCAGUUCAGAAUGUCUGCCACUUUCUUCGGAUCCACAGCCAAUCCUUCUUUGUUGAUUAUGUGACCCAAGAACAGGACUUCACUGAUCCAGAACUCACACUUGCUCAACUUUGCAUACAACUGGUGCUCUCGCAAUCUCUGCAACACCAUCCUCAAAUGAUCUGCAUGCUCUUCUUCACUUUGAGAAUAAACCAGAAUGUCAUCAAUGAAUACCACCACGAACUUAUCAAGAUAAUCCAUGAAUACACUGUUCAUCAAGUUCAUAAAGAAUGCUGGCGCAUUGGUCAAACCAAAAGACAUCACUGUGAACUCAUAUAAACCAUACUUGGUAAUGAAUGCCGUCUUCGGAAUGUCCGAAGGUCGGAUCCUGAGCUGAUGAUAACCUGACCUCAGAUCGAUCUUGGAGAACACACUGGCUCCUCUCAACUGGUCGAACAGAUCUUCUAUUCUGGGCAAGGGAUACUUGUUCUUAAUCGUGACUUCAUUCAAAGCUCGAUAAUCGAUACACAUCCUCUUAGUACCAUCUUUCUUCUCCACAAACAAGACAGGGGCGGCCCAAGGCGAGGUGCUUGGCCGGAUGUAACCUUUCUCUGACAGCUCAUCAAUUUGCUUCUUAAGUUCAUCCAACUCUGGUCCAGAUAUUCUGUAAGCUCUCUUAGAGAUGGGGGCGGUUCCAGGAAGAAGCUCUAUAGCAAAUUCAACUUUCCGCUCUGGUGGCAUACCCGGUAAAUCCUUUGGAAACACAUCUGGGAAUUCAGACACAACCUUGAUACUCUCAAUUGGGUCUGCUUCACUGCUAUCAACAGCCAUCUGAUAACAACUUCCUUUCUUUGGCUCAGGCGGGACUAACUCGGUCACCACUUCCUCUCCUAGUGGGGACACUAACUUGAUGGUCCUUUUAUCACAACUGAUAACUGCCUGAUACUUAUCUAGCCAAUUCAUCCCUAGGAUGACAUCUAUUCCCUGAGUACCCAUUACUAUAAGGUUGGCGGGAAACGCUAUCCCCCUUAUUUCCACACUUACAUUUAAACAAAUGCUAUCAGCUCGAAUUCUACCACCGGCUGAGUCAAUUUGAAUGGGGGUUAACAUGGUAGUAGUUGGAAGAUUAUGUGCUUCUACCCAUGAUGCAGUAAUGAAAGAAUGUGUUGCUCCAGUAUCAAAUAACACUUCUGCAAUAUGGGAAUCGACUGGGAACAUACCUACUGUCAUGCCGGGGGUCUCCUGAACUGCUUCAGCUUCCAAGUGAUUCAAUCUUCCAUGAUUAUAGCGCUGCUGAGAGCGAUUGCCUGCUCCAGGCUGAGGCACAUUCUGCUUUGCUGGGGCAUUGGGGCCUGACUGCUGCUGGGCUGCCUUCUUCGGACAUUGCAUCACCCAGUGGCCUUGCUCUCCACAGUGGAAACAUGCCCUGUUUCCAACUUGAGCUGGUGCUGCCUGACUGUUCUGCUGAUUUGCUGGGGCAGGAAGACGAGGUGCUUGCUGAUUCUGCUUCUGAAACUGACCUCCUGACUGAUUGCUCUGACGGUUCUGGUACUGAUGCUGAGGAUACUGCCUUUGAAACUGCUGAUACUGCUGACGCUGCUGAUGCUGCUGAGGUGGACGCUGGUUCUGCCUGAACUGCUGAGGUUGAUUGCCUGAGAAACGGGGACGGCUGCUGCUUCCAGGCUGGGGUCCACUGAUCUUGCGCUUACGAUCUUCCAUCUCCUUGCGCUUCCUUUCUGUCAUGAUUGCUCUGUCAAUCAGGUGCUGGAAUGUCGGGAAGGUGUGAUUCAUCAGCUGAUACUGCAGAGGGUCAACCAAGCCUCUCAGGAAACGGUACUGUCGCUUGGCGUCGGUAUUGACAUCUUCGGGAGCGUAGCGAGACAAUUGCAGAAACCUGUCCCGAUACUCACUGACAGACGAUGACCCUUGCUUAAGGGCCAGGAACUCCUCCUUCUUCACUGUCAUCAGACCUGCAGGAACAUGGUACUGACGAAAGCUACCCCUGAAUUCUUCCCAGGUGAUGGUGUCGGGGUUGGCAUGGGUGGCGAGGUAAGACUCCCACCAUGACUGGGCUGCUCCUCUCAACAGACGGGGACCAUACAGAACUUUCUCCCUGUCAUCGCACUGAGCGGUAUGCAACUCCCGCUCCACAGUGCGCAGCCAAUCUUCAGCAUCCAUGGGGUCAGAAGAGUGAGCGAACGUUGGUGGAUGACCUCUCAUGAAUUCAGCACGCUUAUCUCUAGGCAUCUGAGGCAUCUGAGGCUGGGGUGGUGCUUGUUGCUGCUGCUGCUGCUGCUGCUGAAUGGCGGCCAGAGUCUGACCGAUAGCUUGAACUGCCUGAGUCUGCAUCAGAAACAUCUGCUCAAUCGACAUCGGGGGCGGGGGCGGCAGGUGCUGCUGCUGGGGCACCUCAUCCUGCGGAGCGGCUCGCUCCUGCUGAGCACGCCUUCCUCCUCUACGCCUGUUCUCUGACAUCUGCAGAACGCAACCACACAUCAGAACUGAUCUGGCAAAGCUUGCAGCAUAAGAAAAGAGUAUAGAAUUCUCCAACAGCACUGAACAGAUGAGCAUCUUCACUGAUCUCCAACACAGACCACACAGCUUCUCAGAUAAAGAGGAAAGGAGAAUAAUGGGUUUCCCAACUAUAUAACUAACUUUAUUGACAUAGUAUGUAAACCAAAAUGCAGGGGAUACCCACACUCUGGUGACAAUCAUUACAAAGAUCCAAACCAAACAUAGUUCAUCAUGACAAACAUAGAUGCACAGGAUAUAGCAAACUACCCUGUCUAACUAAAACUAACUAAGAUCGAGGCUAACGCUAAGACUGAAGCUUCCAUGUAUAUAUUUCGUAUUAAUUACAAGAUCCAACUCUAACGAUCUAUGGUUCUAGGUUGAUCUUGGUCUUGCAGGCGGGAUUGCCAUAAGACUGGUGUCCACGCUGAGGUGAGCGGUACGGGUGCUGAGUCCCAACGGGAGCGGGGGAUCCACCGUCCAGAAAACGACGUUCCGCGCGCUCAGCCCGCAGCAGGGCGAUCUCAGCACGAGCCCUACUCAGCUCGUCUAAUGCAUGGUCCAGCUCCGUGUUUAGCACGGCGGCUAGGUUGACUGUGCUGCUCAACCUAGGAUUGCCCUCACCGACGGGUGAGACAAUCACGCCUCCUGUGCUGCCAGAUGAACGGCGGGGGUAAUACUUCAGGUCAAGACCGUCAGCUGCCCCACCGAAAACCGAGCAGUAGUGCGAAAGCGCACGCCGUGCAGCAUCUUGCAUGGCUGCCUCAGCUGAGUCCCGCUCAGAGAUAGAAUAGUGCUCUGAACAGGCCUCUGCACCCUGGAGACUGUCCUCCGGGCAGCGCACCAAGCAAGUCGCCUCCCAGCGGUCCGGGUAGACCCCGCGACUAUGCUGGUAGACCACACAGCGAUACUCGACGGACCAAGUAUGCCGGUCAAAUGCCCGACGUAGCAGGGUGUCGAGCGCAUCAUGGAAGUGACACCCGCGAGCAGCGUCGCGAGUGAUGGGUCGAGCAACCCAUCCUUCCGGCUCAGGAUUAGCAGAGAAGUCGGUGUCGUGGCUCAAGCUGUCGUCGCCUCCUCCGUCGUCUGGGUCUCCCCCAGCAGCUACUCCAGAAGCUGGGGCGCCCAGUGGUGGUGCAGGGGGCGGCUCCAGAGAAAGCACAGGGGAGCAGCUCCUCACAGACUCUAUCUCCUGGUGGAGCGAGAGGGAAGAGCUCCGCUGCUCCUGUCGUCGACGUUCCUGCUCCUCACGCAGGCGGUGGUGCAGUCUCUCCAAGUGGCUGGACUGUCCGGCCACGGGACGGCGAAGCGGACGCUCAGCAAGACGGGAGGGUAAGAAGGGGAUGACUGACUUUCGUGCAGUGUGUCUAAGUCGAGCCAUCUACAAAAGACAUCGCAAGCAAAAGGGUGAGAACAGAAUUAAUAUGACCAGCAAGUAAUGAAUCAUAAGUAAAUGAAGGAUUGGAAUAAAACAUGAUUUUUAGCAAGGUAUAGUAUAUAGUAGAACAUAGGUUUGGUCAGUAGGACCAACUUUUGAAGGGAUAUCAAAGUCAAGGAAGAGACAGAGGUCUAUAAUCCUUAGAACGACCAUUCUACUCUAGGUUAGCGGUCCUACAGUCAGCACGGCUUUGAUACCACUUAUGUCACACCCGGUUUUUAGAAGGCAAACCGAAUGCGAACCAUGUACGUGCCAGGAUCAGUUAUUCACGUACACAGCAGUUACAUAAUAUGGACAUCAUCACACAGUGCUCAAAAUAAUAUUAAAAGGGGAAAUAAUAGUCGAUUACAUCAUACGUCUGAGACGUCCAUAUAGUUCUUACAAUAAAUCAAAGUGCGGAAAAGAAACGUAGAUAACGCGGCCUUCACAGGCAGCCGACUGGGGGUUGCCGCUAACCCACACCUAGAACUCGUCGUAAUCUUGGAACUCCUGGAAGUCUCCUUCCACAGCUUCAUCUUCGCCUGAGCAGUGGUUGCAAUGCUGACAACCUGGGGGGGGGGUUUGGUGUGUAGAGCAAGGGUGAGUACACAUCAACAUACUCAGCAAGUAUCCUGUUUGGCUGUAGUGGACUAGCUUUAUGUGGGGAUAAGUCAAGCAGUUGCUUUUAGUUGGUCAGGUUAUUACUUACUAGUAGAAAGCCAGGUUUUAACAUUAACCCAAGUUAUUAGCCCAAUGUAUCCUUUCCAAACGGAAAGAAUACCACUUACCAGCACCAUAAUCAUAACCAGAUUCAACAGUCUCAUAACCACCUGUACCACAAUAUCUCUGAUCAAGUACCACUAAUCAUUGGAGCUCCCUUGGCCGCUCAUAACCGCGAGCACGGCUGAUAUAUCAGUUUCAUAACACUCUGCAGAGGUUGUGCACUUUACCCACAAGCCGUGAUUCCCAUUCUGCCCGGAGAUCAUGACUCUCCAUUGAUCACUACCAAGGUGAUCCAGCAGGGCAUCACUACGAAGCCUUUACAAGAUUCCCCGGGGCUGUAGCCACCCGUUAGGUUUCCUAAAUGCACCGCACUCCUCCCCAAGGGGCGAACCCAAACUUGGCAGAGCGAGCCGCAUACACCGAGCCCCAUUGACGGCACGACGGCUAAGUGAACUACACCCCGGAUCCUCUAAUUAUUCAGCUAAGGGCACCCCAUUCCACCCUCAUGGUUGCACUGUUUUCCCGGGCGGUCAUCCAUAGAACAGGUCCUUACGGAGAGGCACUCGAGAAACCGCUCGAGUCCCCUUGAAAACCACAAGUAUAAUCAUAAAGAAGAGCGGGAAAACAGCGUAUCAUAGAUAAUCACAUCAUGUUCAUUGAUUAGAGUUGAGCAAUAGCAUCAGACUAAGUAGUAAUAAUCCGACCCAAAUAGGUAAACAAGGACAUGGAUAACAAAAGCUAGUCAAUCCUUAGGUAUAAAUGUGUAAAGCGGGAGGUGAAUUAAAGAAUGAAUAGGACAUAGAUAGGUCAAAGGACACUUGCCUCCACCAAACGACUGCUGCUCAGGGGCUUCUCCUGCGAAUUCCUCGGGCUCUUCGACCGGAUCGUUCUCUAUGCGAGCGCAAACAUACAUACAUACAUCCACAUAUUUAAUACAAAAGAACAGUACACCAUACAAGAUAACAAAUAAAGCGAAUAUGCAUCAAGUAUGACAUUCGAUAACGCAUUUGUUAUGGUUAGAAAGAAACGGGAAAGGUCUCGCAGGGGGGUUAAAUCUUAUGCACUAAUGACACAAUUGGUUUUUAACAAAAGAAUUCUGUUACAUAUACACUAAUGGAAACCUAAUCACUUUUAGUUGAUCAACAUUGCACAGGGUAAACAAUUAACUACGUGCAUCAAUAGCAUAACGGAAUUUUAAAUUAAACUUCCUAUUUUCCCAUAGCAUGAACAGUGAUUAGCCUACUUAAAAUACAGUAAUCAUGAUUACAGAAAGUAAAUAAAAUAAAAUAAAAAAAUAAAAAAAAAACAGAAGGGGGGGGGGCGGUUGAACCGGCCCUAGGGCGGUUGAACCGGCCCUAGGCGGGGCGCGGGCGCGGGCGGCUGAACCGGCGGGGCAGGGGGCGGCGCAGGGGCGGCCGAGCCGGGGGGGGGCGGCCGAACCGGCGGGCAGGGAGGCGGCGCAGGGGGCGGCCGAGCCGGGGGGCGGGGCGGCCGAACCGGCGGGCAGGGAGGCGGCGCAGGGGCGGCCGAGCCGGGGGGCGGGCGGCCGAACCGGCGGGCAGGGAGGCGGCGCAGGGGGCGGCCGAGCCGGGGGGCGGGGCGGCCGAACCGGCGGGCAGGGAGGCGGCCGAACCGGCCAUGGGGAAAGGGGAGAGGGGAUGGGGGAGGGAGGAGAGGGGGAGGGGGAGCUCACCGGGGAGGGGCGCGACGGCGAGGGGCGGCCGAGGGCGGCGGUUGGGCAGGGGCGGCGGCGGCUUAGGGCAGGGGUAGGGGCGGCGGCUUAGGGAGAGGGAGAGAAAAUGAGAGAAAAUGAGAGGGAGAGGGAGAGGGUUUGGGGAAAAAGGGGAGGUGGGGGGGGCGGUUGGGCCUAUUGGGCCCAGGGGGGGGGCGCGCAGGGGCGGCUGGGCCGGCGGGGUCGGCCCACGGCGCGGGAGAGAGAAAAAAAAGGAAGAGAGAGAGAAAAGAGAAAGAAAAGAGAAAGAAAACAUUUUCGAAAUCCGAUUCUUCUACAUGAAUGCAUUUGCACUUUCAAAGCAAUCAAAGGAAAUGCAAGGUUCGGCAUGGUGCAUCGAGCAACAUAAAGCAUUUAGGGUUUUUCUUACACGGGAAAUCCAAACCGAAUCCCGCUAGAACUUUGGAAAAGGUCAAGGUUUAGCGAGGGAAAAAGAAAAGGAAAGGUAACGCCCGAAUUUUGGCGAGUAAAGAAAAGAAAAAAAUUCAACUGCAAAAUUCGGGGCGUUACAUCUGCGAGGCGGUGUAGAAUUCCCCCUUCAUUCGCUACAGAUGAGAUUGUCCCGAAGCAGAAUACAGAUCCGGGACGCACGGUGAUCUUGCUGUGGAAGGUGACGGCCAUUGAGCUAGCUUGGAUCGUCGACACACCCCCUACCUGGCGCGCCAGCUAUCGGUGUUUUGGGUCCGACCGCACACCUGGGGUUACCCCUCAAGGUGUUUUUAGGAGUAGGACGGUGUCAACGACUGUAGCAAAAUGGUUCGUGCCGAUCGCACGAGGGACAGUGGACAAGAUUUGCAGGUUCGGGCCGCUUAGAGAUGCGUAACACCCUACGUCCUGAUGAGUAUUUGAGUGCGGUUACAAGAGGGCUCUCUGGAACUGAGGCACAGAGAGUUUACGUGAGUGGCUAAGUAAAGUAGGGUCGAUCGUUCUGAAGGGGUGCCCCCUAGGCCUUAUAUACUCGACCGUGGGGCAGUACACGUGGAUAUGAUAGCUACAAGUAGCUGAAAGAUAGUAAACCUCUUGAGUUUAUCCCUACGUAACCCUUCCCGACUUAUCCUCGCAUGGCUCUGUUGCAUGGGGGCUUCAGCGCGGGAAAGUCGGGUCUCUGUUGCGAUUUACUCGUUCGACGUUGUGGGCCGUCCGGGUUUGCUCCAAUCCAGUCUUAUGUCUUCUCCGCUUCGUUGAUUGUCUUUCCCCAGGCCCACGAAAGACGACUUNNNNNNNNNNNNNNNNNNNNNNNNNNNNNNNNNNNNNNNNNNNNNNNNNNNNNNNNNNNNNNNNNNNNNNNNNNNNNNNNNNNNNNNNNNNNNNNNNNNNNNNNNNNNNNNNNNNNNNNNNNNNNNNNNNNNNNNNNNNNNNNNNNNNNNNNNNNNNNNNNNNNNNNNNNNNNNNNNNNNNNNNNNNNNNNNNNNNNNNNNNNNNNNNNNNNNNNNNNNNNNNNNNNNNNNNNNNNNNNNNNNNNNNNNNNNNNNNNNNNNNNNNNNNNNNNNNNNNNNNNNNNNNNNNNNNNNNNNNNNNNNNNNNNNNNNNNNNNNNNNNNNNNNNNNNNNNNNNNNNNNNNNNNNNNNNNNNNNNNNNNNNNNNNNNNNNNNNNNNNNNNNNNNNNNNNNNNNNNNNNNNNNNNNNNNNNNNNNNNNNNNNNNNNNNNNNNNNNNNNNNNNNNNNNNNNNNNNNNNNNNNNNNNNNNNNNNNNNNNNNNNNNNNNNNNNNNNNNNNNNNNNNNNNNNNNNNNNNNNNNNNNNNNNNNNNNNNNNNNNNNNNNNNNNNNNNNNNNNNNNNNNNNNNNNNNNNNNNNNNNNNNNNNNNNNNNNNNNNNNNNNNNNNNNNNNNNNNNNNNNNNNNNNNNNNNNNNNNNNNNNNNNNNNNNNNNNNNNNNNNNNNNNNNNNNNNNNNNNNNNNNNNNNNNNNNNNNNNNNNNNNNNNNNNNNNNNNNNNNNNNNNNNNNNNNNNNNNNNNNNNNNNNNNNNNNNNNNNNNNNNNNNNNNNNNNNNNNNNNNNNNNNNNNNNNNNNNNNNNNNNNNNNNNNNNNNNNNNNNNNNNNNNNNNNNNNNNNNNNNNNNNNNNNNNNNNNNNNNNNNNNNNNNNNNNNNNNNNNNNNNNNNNNNNNNNNNNNNNNNNNNNNNNNNNNNNNNNNNNNNNNNNNNNNNNNNNNNNNNNNNNNNNNNNNNNNNNNNNNNNNNNNNNNNNNNNNNNNNNNNNNNNNNNNNNNNNNNNNNNNNNNNNNNNNNNNNNNNNNNNNNNNNNNNNNNNNNNNNNNNNNNNNNNNNNNNNNNNNNNNNNNNNNNNNNNNNNNNNNNNNNNNNNNNNNNNNNNNNNNNNNNNNNNNNNNNNNNNNNNNNNNNNNNNNNNNNNNNNNNNNNNNNNNNNNNNNNNNNNNNNNNNNNNNNNNNNNNNNNNNNNNNNNNNNNNNNNNNNNNNNNNNNNNNNNNNNNNNNNNNNNNNNNNNNNNNNNNNNNNNNNNNNNNNNNNNNNNNNNNNNNNNNNNNNNNNNNNNNNNNNNNNNNNNNNNNNNNNNNNNNNNNNNNNNNNNNNNNNNNNNNNNNNNNNNNNNNNNNNNNNNNNNNNNNNNNNNNNNNNNNNNNNNNNNNNNNNNNNNNNNNNNNNNNNNNNNNNNNNNNNNNNNNNNNNNNNNNNNNNNNNNNNNNNNNNNNNNNNNNNNNNNNNNNNNNNNNNNNNNNNNNNNNNNNNNNNNNNNNNNNNNNNNNNNNNNNNNNNNNNNNNNNNNNNNNNNNNNNNNNNNNNNNNNNNNNNNNNNNNNNNNNNNNNNNNNNNNNNNNNNNNNNNNNNNNNNNNNNNNNNNNNNNNNNNNNNNCUUGCACUUACAAAUUAUGCAAACUAGUUCAAUUAUGCACUUCUAUACUUGCUUUGGUUUGUGUUGGCAUCAAUCACCAAAAAGGGGGAGAUUGAAAGGGAAUUAGGCUUACACCUAUUUCCUAAUUGAUUUUGGUUGUUGAAUUGCCCAACACAAAUAAUUGGACUAACUAGUUUGCUCUAGUCUAUAAGUUCUACAGGUGCCAAAGGUUCACAAUAAGUCAAUAAAAAGACCAAGGAUGGGUUCGAACAAAGAGAGCAAGGGAUAACCGAAGUGUGCCCUGGUCUGGCGCACCGGACUGUCCGGUGUGCCAUCGGACAGUGUCCGGUGCACCAGGGGACUCCAAGCUGAACUCCUCACCUUCGAGAAUUCUCAGAGGCGCUCCGCUAAAAUUCACCGGACUGUCCGGUGCAUCACCGAAUAGUGUCCGGUGCCCCAGAGGAGAGCGACUCUGAACUCGCCAGCUUCGGGAAUCUGCUCCGCUAAAAUUCACCGGACUGUCCGGUGAGCCAGCGGAGCAACGACUACUUCACGCUCAACGGUCGACUGCAACGCAUUAAAUGCGCGCCAGCGCGCGCAGAGGACAGAGCACACGCGGGUGGCACACCAGACAGUCUACAGGACUUGUCCGGUGCACCACCGGACAGCUAGGCGGGCCCACAAGUCAGAGCUCUAACGGUCGGAACCCAACGGCCAGGUGACAUGGCUGGCGCACCGGACAGUGUCCGGUGGCGCACCUGACUGUCCGGUGCACCAUGCGACAGAAGCUUUCACCAAACGACUAGUUUGGUGGUUGGGGUUAUAAAUACCCCCAACCACCCCACAUUCAAGUCAUCCAAGUUUUCCACCUUCCAACUACUUACAAGAGCUCUAGCAUUCAAUUCUAGACACACCAAAGAGAUCAAAUCCUCUCCAAAUUCCACACAAAGCCUUAGUGCUUAGAGAGAGUGAUUGUUGUGUUCAUUUGAGCUCUUGCGCUUGGAUUGCUUCUUUUUCUCAUUCUUUCUUGUGAUCAACUCAAUUGUAACCAAGGCAAGAGACACCAAUUGUGUGGUGGUCCUUGCGGGGAAGUUUGUUCCCGUUUGAUUGAGAAGAGAAGCUCAGUCGGUCCGAGGGACCGUUUGAGAGAGGGAAAGGGUUGAAAGAGACCCAGUCUUAGUGACCACCUCAACGGGGAGUAGGUUUGCGAGAACCGAACCUCGGUAAAACAAAUCCUUGUGUCUCACUUCUUAUUCGCUUGCGAUUUGUUUUUUGCGCCCUCGCUCGGACCCGAUUAUAUUUCUAACGCUAACCCGGCUUGUAGUUGUGCUUAAGUUGUUAAAUUUCAGAUUCGCCCUAUUCACCCCCCCUCUAGGCGACUUUCACAUGCACAGUUCGUGGACGCGUACCGGGAGCUGGGUGCGCGGACCGCUGCCUUCGAAGUGCCCGGUCAAGAAGCGGGCCUUCGCUUUCUGGAAUGGUUGUAGGAGGAGCUGGGGGUGCUCCCGACCAUCGUGACGAGUUUCAUGUCCUUCGCCUCCCUCGUCACCUGCGAGGGGGCCGUGAAUGCUUUGUCCCGUGAGGGGUGCAGGCAUUACGAGGUCUUCGACCAAGCGGACGAGAACUUUGAACGUGAAAUCUUCAAGGUCGAAGACCUUGUGCUGAAGCAAUCGGCGGGGGCGCUGUUCGAUAGGAUGUGGGGCCCGCACGGCCGAGAGGCGGUUAGGGAGCGGUCCGACCGGGCAAUAGAUCAGGUAAAGGCUAUUUUUGGUGUGGUUGUGUGUGUAGAUGUGUGUGGUUUUGCUGAAGGAGUGUGCUGUUGUUACAGAUGGCGCACGCCGAAGACAUCGAGGACCUUGGGGGUCUGGACGGCGCGCCGCCUGAGGCCGCGGAGGCCGAUCCGGUGCCGCCAUCUGCAGCCAACAAGGGCCCCUCGGCGACCCCUGCACCGACUGCAACCAGCGAAGACCCCGCACCAGCCCUUGGGCCGACGUGUGAGGACGCCUCCAAGACGGUGGCCGAGCCGGCUGCCGAAGACUCCACGACCUUGGUCGGGUCGUCGCAGGUGGCUGAAUAGGUGUUGGGGAGUUUGUAAAUUUUAUCUGUGUGAUAGUGAAACUCGGUUGUUGCGCAGGUUCUGAGGUUUGGGCCUGCGCACGCAACCGCUACUGACAAUACUAUUUUUGUGGCGGCUUCGACCAUGACUGCCGAUGAUGAUUCGUUUGGCUCUGUGUCUAAGUGUUUUGAGUCUGAUGAUUCUGGGAGUUCGACUGCAUGGACGGAGGAGUCUUCGGAUGAGGGCUUAGAUUAUUUUGUUGCGAUGGAUGUGGCUGCGGCGGAGACUUCGCCGCGUGUGGAGGGUGCUGGGGAUCUUCCUGGUACAAGUACUGGGUAUAGGCAGCGAAGGGCGGUGGCGAAACAGAGAGUGAGUGAAUUGCCGCGAAGUGGUAGGCGUCAUCGUAGUGAGAUGGAGAGUGGUCGUCUUCGCGUGGACGGGGCUGUUAAACGAGAGUUGUUAUCCUCACCAACUGGGGCGAGUAUAGGUGAGGGGGAGAUGCAAAAUCUGUUUGAAGGUGAAGAAUUGAGGAUAAUGUUGUUUAAUUACAGGGAGAUGGGUAUCAUCCCGAAGGUUGAGCCGAUGUAAUAUACGAUGUCCUCGCUGUGUGUAUGUAACCAAAAUUUGUAUGAUAAGGCUGCGCGCCUUCGUUGAUUCGGCUGCACCCGUAGGCUACUUCUGCACGGAGUCUUUUGUAAAGGACUUCGAUCUUUGUGUAUUUAUUGUGCUGUUCCAGCUGCACCCUUAGGCGACUUUUUGCACGGAGAGUCUUUUGGAAAUGACUUCGAUUUUGCAGUAUUCUGUUGUUCCGGCUGCACCCUUAGGCGACUUUUGCACGAAGAGUCUUUGGGAAAAGACUUCGUUUGUCACACUUGUGCUAUUGCGGCUGCACCCUUAGGCAACUUUUGUGUGGAGAGUCUUUUACAAAGACUUCGAUUGUCGCACUUGUUGUGCUAUUCCGGCUGCACCCUUAGGCGACUUUUGCACGGAGAGUCUUUUACAAAGACUUCUAUUGUCGCACUUGUUGUGCUAUUCCGGCUGCACCCUUAGGCGACUUUUUGCUCGGAGUGUCGCACGCGAGGGUAGUCUACGCUGCCUCUCGCGGUGACUUUGGAGUGGUCGAAUGCCGAAGACCGUUGAUGCGGUCUUUUUCGACAUGUAUCUUAAUUUUUGUGGGGGAUUUUUGCAGAUAUAUUACAUGGCUCCGCCUCGUUAAAAACAUCACCCCCUGGGAGGAAAAGAGUGCGAGCCGGAAUGAUACUGUUUGGUGAAUUACAAGGGCAAGUUGGCCCUGAGGAUUCAAACAAAAAAUUUGUGAAGAUUAUCAAUGUUCCAGGAAUGAUCUAGGUCUUCGCCGGAUGACGUUGUUAGCCUGUACACACUAGGGGACGCCUUUGACUUGACGAUGAAUGGACCCUCCCACUUCGGCUCCAGCUUGCCUCGUGACUCUGUCCGGGUUGUGCGGACGAGUACGAGGUCCCCUUCGCUGAAUUCUCUUGGGACGACUGCGUGGUCGCGCCAGGCCUUCGUUUGAGCUUGGUAUUUGUUAAGGGCCUGUAGGGCGAAGACGCGGUCUCCGUCAAUGAGGUCCUUGGAGGUUGGUCCAUCUAUGUUGGGGACGGCUGAAGUGCUUGUUUGUGGUGACCCAUGCUUUAUCUCCUGCGGGGUCAUAGCCUCCGAUCCGUAUAGUAGGCGAAAGGGAGUGAACCCAGUCGCCCGACAUUCGGUCGUGUUUAGCGCCCAGACUGCUUCGGGUAGCAGGUCGGCCCAUUUUCCCUUCUUGUCGUCGAGAAGCAUUUUUUUGAUGGCAGAGAAAAUCUUGUCGUUGGCGCGCUCGAUGACGCCGUUAGUUUGUGGGUGAUAUACUGAGGCGAAGGCAAGCUUGGUGCUGAUGGAGUAGCAGAAGUCCCUGAAGUCCUGGCCGUCAAACUGUUUGCCAUUGUCGACUGUUAGCUCGGACGGGACUCCGAAUCGGCAAACAAUGUUCUGCCAGAAGAAUUUCUGGGCGGUCUUCGACAUUAUUGUUGAUACUGCCCUUGCCUCGAUCCACUUGGUAAAAUACUCGACGGCAACGAAGGUAAACUUGAGGUUCCCCUGGGCCGUGGGCAGUGGCCUGACAAUGUCUAGCCCCCAGUGUUGAAGUGGCCAUGUGUGAGCAAUCAGCUUUGUGAAUUGCGAAGGGUUGCCCAAACAAGGAGAGAACUUCUGGCAGGCUUCGCACGACCGCGUAACUCGAUUCGCGGCGCAGAUUAUAGCGGGCCAGUAGAACCCUUGGCGGAUCACCUUGGCAGCGAGGGCCCUAGGCCCUGAGUGAGAACCACAAGUUCCACUGUGGACUUCGCGCAGGAUCUGGGUGCCUUCGGUUUCGGUGACACAUUUGAGCAUGGGUUGACUGACCCCCUUCUUGUAUAGCUGGCCCUCAAUAAGUGCGAAGUCCUGGCUUCGGUGCUUGAGGCGCUUGGCCUCGUUGAUGUCACUGGGAUGGUAGUAUCCUUGCAGGAACAGGAUUAUUGGGGCCCGCUAGUCUUUGGUCAUGAUGAGGUUAACUAUACGAUGGCCCUCAGCGUCAUUUGUUAUUUGGAGACCCUCUGGAUUGCGGACGGCUGGCGUGCCGAUGACGUGGUAGAACACGUCAAAGGGCAAGGCUUCGCCUCUGGCCGCUGCUUUGGCCAAUGCGUCGGCCUCUUCGUUCCUGGCGCGGUCCACAUGCUACAAGGUGAAACCCUUGAAUUGUUUCUCAAGGCUGUGAACAGCCGUAAGAUAUUGCAUGAGUGCGGGGUCCUUUGCUGAAUAUUCUUUCUCAACCUGGCCAGCGACAACUUUGGAGUCUGUCUUGACAAUGCAGGUGGCAACGCCGAGUGCUUUCAGCAUGCGAAGGCCCAGAAUGACGGUUUCAUACUCUGCUAUGUUGUUGGUGCAUCUGUCGGAUUCCAGAGCAAAGCUAAGGCGUGCUACGUAUCUGUGCUUGACGCCGGUAGGUGAUGUGAUAAUUGCAGCCGCACCUGCCCCCGCAUGUCACCAUGCGCGUCACAGUGGAUGGUCCACACCUUCUCUGAGGGCUCUUCUUGCUGCCGUGCCGGCCCUGUCCAGUCGACGAUGAAAUCUGCGAGGACUUGCGACUUGAUUGUUGUCCUGGGCUCGAAGGUGAUGUGGUAUUCGGAGAGUUUGACCGCCAAUUUGGCGAUACGGACGGACGCCUCCGGAUUUCUGAAUAAUUCGCCGAGUCCCCUGUCCGAGGUGACUCGCACCUUGAACGCUUCGAAGUAGUGGCGCAACUUGCGCGAUGCCAUGACGACUGCGUAGGCAAUUUUUUCCAACUCUGUCAUGUUGCAUUUGGAAGUCGUGAGGACUUCGGAGACGUAAUAAACCGGACACUGCCGAGUUGUGCCCUCUCUAUCCUGCUCUUGGACCAAUGCUGCGCUGACUGCGUGUGGCGAAGCUGCAAUGUAAAGCAACAGAGGUAGCGAGGGGUCGGAGCUUGUAAGGGUUGCUAUCUCUGAUAGGUGCUGCUUGAGUGAUGCGAAGGCUGUCGCUUGCUCUGGUCCCCAUGCAAAGUCUUUUGCGCCGCGUAGCGUUUUGAGGAAAGGUAGGCUUCGCUCUGCGGACUUGGAAAUGAAUCUAUUGAGGGCAGCCAAUCUGCCUGUUAGACGCUGGACAUCUCUGGCUGACUACGGAGGCGUCAUGUUGAUGAUGGCCUGGAUCUUGGUCGGGUUGGCCUCGAUCCCGCGGUGUGACACCAGGUAGCCCAGUAUCUUCCCGUGGCGAACUCCAAAGACGCACUUCUCGGGGUUCAGGCGAAGUCGUGCGUCCCUGAAAGGGAAAUGUGCCCUUGGGCCAUUUCUAAGUAUUUUGGUGAUUGAGUGCCAACACAAGUGCUUAAAUGUGAAUCUAUACCCAUGGAUGGACAAAGUGCAAAUCAAGAGUAAAGGUAUGUUUCUAAGCCUUAGUACAUUGUUUUGAAGACUAAUGUAUUGUGUCUAAGUGCUUGAAAUAGGAGAAAUCGAGUCAGAGAAUAAGUUGGCUGUGUACAGCCAAAAGGCUGUUCGGUCUAGAGCACCGGACUGUCCGGUGGUGCACCGGACAGUGUCCGGUGCGCCAGGCUGUCUCGAGCGAAGUGGCCGCUCUCGGGAAUUCGCCGACGGCGUACGGCUAUAAUUCACCGGACUGUCCGGUGUGCACCGGACUGUCCGGUGAGCCAACGGUCGGCCGGGCCAACGGUCGACCACGGAAUCUGCGCGCGACACGUGGCCGGGCCAACGGUCGGAAGGGGGCACCGGACUGUCCGGUGUGCACCGGACUGUCCGGUGCGCCAACGGCUCCCAGAUCUGCAACGGUCGGCUGCGCCAUUUAAGGAAAGAAAUCGGGCACCGGACAGUGUCCGGUGUGCACCGGACUGUCCGGUGCGCCCGAUGACAGAAGGCAAGAUCAGCCUUCCAGAAUUGCUCUCAACGGCUCCUAGCUGCCUUGGGGCUAUAAAAGGGACCCCUAGGCGCAUGGAGGAGAACACCAAGCAACCUUAGAGCAUUCUUGAUCAUCCACACUCAGUCUUUGCGCAUUCGUUUGUCAUUUGCAGUGAUUCGAGCUCCGUUCUAGUGAGAACUUUGAGAUAGUCUUUUGAGCUCGAUUCUUGGCCGUGCAUGUGCGCAUUUUGCUGUGGAUUUGUGUGUGUUGCUUCCCUCCCUUACUCCGUAUUUCUUUGUGAAUCUCAAGUGUAAGGGCGAGAGACUCCAAGUUGUGGAGAUUCCUCGCAAACGGGAUAUUGAAAGGAAAAGCAUAACACUGUGGUAUUCAAGUUGAUCAUUGGAUCACUUGAGAGGAGUUGAGUGCAACUCUCGUCCGUUGGGACGCCACAACGUGGAGUAGGCAAGUUUUGUACUUGGCCGAACCACGGGAUAAACCACUGUGUCUUCUCUGUGUUGAUCUUUUGUGGUAUUGUGUUUUGUUGAGACUCAUCUCUAGCCACUUGGCGAUUAUUGUGCUAACACUUAACAAGUUUUUGUGGCUAUAAGUUUAAGUUUCACAGGAUCACCUAUUCACCCCCCCCCCCCUCUAGGUGCUCUCAAUUGGUAUCGGAGCUGUUCUCUUCAAGAAGGGACUAAUCGCCCGAAGAGAUGGAUCCUAAGGGGAAGGGAAUCGUGAUCAACGACAAGGAGAAGGAGUCCUUCGUCAACGAGCCGAAGGAUGACAAGCCUACUGACUCGGGCUCGGGCCACAAGCGUAAAGAUGGGAAGAAGAAGAAGAUAAGGCGCAUCAAGGAGAUCGUCUACUACGACGAUAGCGAUGAGUCUACUUCUUCCCAAAAGGACGACGACAACGACUACAGGAAGACGGUCAAUUCGAACUUUUCAUUUGAUUAUUCUCGUAUUCCACAUAGUUCGAAUUCGCAUUUGCUUUCCAUUCCUCUUGGCAAACCUCCACACUUCGAUGGGGAAGACUACGGAUUUUGGAGUCACAAAAUGCGUAGUCACUUAUUCUCUCUCCAUCCAAGCAUAUGGGAGAUUGUAGAGAAUGGAAUGAAAUUUGAUAGCUCGGAUAGCCCUAUGCUUAUAAAUGAACAAAUCCAUAGAAAUGCACAAGCUACUACUGUUCUAUUAGCAUCUUUGUGCAGGGAAGAGUACAAUAAGGUGAGCGGCUUGGACAAUGCCAAGCAGAUCUGGGACACCCUCAAGAUCUCUCAUGAGGGGAACGAUGUCACCUUACUCACCAAGAUGGAGUUGGUGGAGGGCGAGCUUGGACGGUUCGCAAUGAUAAGGGGAGAGGAGCCAACUCAAACAUACAACCGGCUCAAGACCCUUAUCAACAAAAUAAGGAGCUACGGAAGCACGCGAUGGACGGAUCACGACGUCGUCCGCCUAAUGCUAAGGUCCUUUACCGUUCUUGAUCCUCAUUUGGUGAACAAUAUUCGUGAAAAUCCUAGGUACACCAAGAUGUCGCCCAAAGAAGUACUUGGGAAAUUCGUUAGCGGGUGAAUGAUGAUCAAGGAGGCAAGAUACGUGGACGACGCCUUGAAUGGUCCGAUCAACGAGCCGCAACCCCUUGCUCUCAAGGCAACAAGGAGCAAGGAGGCGCUACCAAGCAAGGUGGCGCAAGUUGAGGCGGCCGGGCUAAAUAAUGAGGAGAUGACCCUCAUCAUUAAGCGCUUCAAGACGGCGCUUAAAGGUCGCAAGGGACAGCCAAGCAAGACCAAAGCCAAGGGGAAGCGCUCGUGCUUCAAAUGCGGUAAGAUUGGUCAUUUUAUUGCUAACUGUCCCGACAAUGAUAGUGACCAGGAACACGGGAGCAAGAGGGAAAGGAAGAAGCAUUACAAGAAGGCCAAGGGAGAGGCACAUAUCGGAAAGGAGUGGGAUUCGGAUUGCUCCUCCUCCGACUCCGACAAUGAAGGACUCGCCGCCACUGCCUUCAACAAGUCAUCCCUCUUCCCAAACGAGCGUCACACUUGCCUCAUGGCAAGGGAGAAGAAAGUAAGCACUCAUAAUACUAGUACUUAUGCUUCUUCAAGUGAGGAUGAGUCUAGUGACGAUGACGAGAUAGAUUACUCAUGCUUAUUCAAGGGAUUAGAUAGAACCAAGGUAGACAAAAUUAAUGAAUUGAUUGAUGCCUUGAAUGAUAGGAAUAUACUUUUAGAAAAGCAAGAGAAUUUGUUGUAUGAAGAACAUGAUAAAUUUGUAGAAGCUCAGAAAUCUCUUGCUCUAGAAAUUAAGAGGAAUGAAAUGCUCUCUAGUGAAUUAUCUUCUUGUCAUGAAACCAUUGCUACUUUAAAGAGUGUUAAUGAUGACUUAAAUGCUAAACUAGAAGUAGCUAGUAAAUCUAAUUCUUGUGUAGAACAUGUUGAGAUUUGCACUAGGUGUAAAGAUUUCGAUGUUGAUGCUUGUAGUGAUCAUUUAGUUUCAAUUUCCAAAUUAACUGAGGAAUUGGCUAGUCUUAAUGCCCAACUUAAGACUAGCAAGAAUGAAUUUGAUAAACUAAAAUUUGCAAGGGAUGCCUACACGAUCGGUAGACACCCCUCAAUUAAGGAUGGACUUGGCUUCAAGAGGGAAGCCAAGAACUUAACAAGCCAUAAGGCUCCCAUUCCCGCUAAGGAGAAAGGGAAGGACCCUAUGGCUACUAGUGCUAAAAAGAACCAUGCCUUUUUGUAUCAUGAUAGGAGACAAACUAGAAAUGCUUAUAGGAGUUAUAAUGCUUACGAUGAUUUUUCUCAUGCUAUGUUUGCUUCUAGUUCUUCAUAUGUGCAUGAUAGAAAUGUUGGUAGAAGGAAUGUUGUUCAUAAUAUGCCUAGAAGAGAUGUUGUUAAUAUUCCUAGGAAAGUUAAUGAGCCUUCUACAAUAUAUCAUGCUUUGAAUGCUUCCUUUGCAAUUUGUAGAAAGGAUAGAAAGGUAAUUGCUAGAAAGUUAGGGGCAAAAUGCAAGGGUGAUAAAACUUGCAUUUGGGUCCCUAAGGAAAUUGUGACUAACCUAGUAGGACCCAACAAGAGUUGGGUACCUAAGUCCCAAGCCUAAAUUUGCCUUGCAGGUUUAUGCAUCCGGGGGUUCAAGCUGGAUUAUUGAUAGCGGAUGCACAAACCAUAUGACGGGGGAGAAGAAGAUGUUCACCUCCUACGUCAAGAAUAAGGAUUCCCAAGAUUCAAUUAUAUUCGGUGAUGGGAAUCAAGGCAAGGUAAAAGGGUUAGGUAAAAUUGCAAUUUCUAAUGAGCACUCCAUAUCUAAUGUGUUUUUAGUAGAGUCUCUUGGAUAUAAUUUGCUAUCUGUUAGUCAAUUAUGCAACAUGGGGUAUAACUGUCUAUUUACAAAUGUAGAUGUGUCUGUCUUUAGAAGAAGUGAUGGUUCACUAGCUUUUAAGGGUGUAUUAGACGGCAAACUUUAUUUAGUUGAUUUUGCAAAAGAAGAGGCCGGUCUAGAUGCAUGCUUAAUAGCUAAGACUAGCAUGGGCUGGCUGUGGCAUCGCCGCUUAGCACAUGUGGGGAUGAAGAACCUUCACAAGCUUCUAAAGGGAGAACACGUGAUAGGUUUGACUAACGUGCAAUUCGAAAAAGAUAGACCUUGUGCAGCUUGUCAAGCAGGUAAACAAGUGGGAGGAGCGCAUCACAGCAAGAAUGUGAUGACCACUUCAAGACCCCUAGAGCUGCUGCAUAUGGACCUCUUCGGACCUGUCGCCUAUCUGAGCAUAGGAGGGAGUAAGUAUGGUCUAGUUAUUGUUGAUGACUUUUCCCGCUUCACUUGGGUGUUCUUUUUGCAGGAUAAGUCUGAAACCCAAGGGACCCUCAAGCGCUUCCUCAGGAGAGCUCAAAAUGAGUUUGAGCUCAAGGUGAAGAAGAUAAGGAGCGACAACGGGUCCGAGUUCAAGAACCUUCAAGUGGAGGAGUUCCUUGAGGAGGAAGGGAUCAAGCACGAGUUCUCCGCUCCCUACACACCACAGCAAAAUGGUGUGGUAGAGAGAAAGAACAGGACGCUAAUCGAUAUGGCGAGGACGAUGCUUGGAGAAUUCAAGACCCCCGAGUGUUUCUGGUCGGAAGCCGUGAACACGGCUUGCCACGCCAUCAACAGGGUCUACCUUCAUCGCCUCCUCAAGAAGACUUCGUAUGAGCUACUAACCGGUAACAAACCCAAUGUAUCUUACUUUCGUGUAUUUGGGAGCAAGUGCUACAUUCUAGUAAAGAAGGGUAGAAAUUCUAAGUUUGCUCCUAAAGCUGUAGAAGGGUUUUUGUUAGGUUAUGACUCAAAUACAAAGGCGUAUAGAGUCUUCAACAAAUCAUUGGGUUUGGUUGAAGUCUCUAGCGACGUUGUAUUUGAUGAGACUAAUGGCUCUCCAAGAGAGCAAGUUGUUGAUCUUGAUGAUGUAGAUGAAGAAGAUGUUCCGACGGCAGCUAUACGAACCAUGGCGAUUGGAGAAGUGCGGCCACAGGAACAAGAUGAACGAGAUCAACCUUCUUCCUCAACAAUGAUGCAUCCCCCAACUCAAAACGAUGAAUAGGUUCAUCAAGAGGAGUGUGAUCAAGGGGGAGCACAGGAUGAUCAUGUGAUGGAGGAAGAAACACAACCGGCACCUCCAACCCAAGUUCGAGCGAUGAUUCAAAGGGAUCAUCCCGUCGACCAAAUUCUGGGUGAUAUUAGCAAGGGAGUAACUACUCGAUCUUGAUUAGUUAAUUUUUGUGAGCAUUACUCCUUUGUCUCUUCUAUUGAGCCUUUCAGGGUAGAAGAGGCCUUGCUAGAUCCGGACUGGGUGUUAGCCAUGCAGGAGGAACUCAACAACUUCAAGCGCAAUGAAGUUUGGACACUGGUGCCUCGUCCCAAGCAAAAUGUUGUGGGAACCAAGCGGGUGUUCCGCAACAAACAGGACGAGCACGGGGUGGUGACAAGGAACAAGGCUCGACUUGUGGCAAAAGGUUAUGCCCAAGUCGCAGGUUUGGACUUUGAGGAGACGUUUGCUCCUGUGGCUAGGCUAGAGUCAAUUCGCAUCUUGCUAGCAUAUGUCGCUCACCAUUCUUUCAGGUUGUACCAAAUGGAUGUGAAGAGCGCUUUCCUCAAUGGGCCGAUCAAGGAGGAGGUGUACGUGGAGCAACCCCCUGGCUUCGAGGAUGAACGGUACCCCGACCACGUGUGUAAGCUCUCUAAGGCGCUCUAUGGACUUAAGCAAGCCCCAAGAGCAUGGUAUGAAUGCCUUAUAGACUUUCUAAUUGUUAAUGCUUUCAAGGUUGGGAAAGCCGAUCCAACUCUCUUUACUAAGACAUGUGAUGGUGAUUUGUUUGUGUGCCAAAUUUAUGUCGAUGAUAUAAUAUUUGGUUCUACUAACCAAAAGUCUUGUGAAGAGUUUAGCAGGGUGAUGACGCAGAAAUUCGAGAUGUCGAUGAUGGGCGAGUUGAACUACUUCCUUGGGUUCCAAGUGAAGCAACUCAAGGACGGCACCUUCAUCUCCCAAACGAAGUACACGCAAGAUCUGCUAAAGCGGUUUGGGAUGAAGGAUGCCAAGCCCGCAAAGACUCCGAUGGGAACCGACGGACACACCGACCUCAACAAAGGAGGUAAGUCCGUUGAUCAAAAAGCAUACCGGUCAAUGAUAGGGUCUUUACUUUAUUUAUGUGCUAGUAGACCGGAUAUUAUGCUUAGCGUAUGCAUGUGUGCUAGAUUUCAAUCCGAUCCUAAGGGGUGUCACUUAGUGGUGGUGAAGCGAAUUCUAAGAUAUUUGGUUGCUACGCCUUGUUUCGGGCUCUGGUAUCCAAAAGGGUCUACCUUUGACUUGGUUGGAUACUCAGAUUCCGACUAUGCUGGAUGUAAGGUCGAUAGGAAGAGUACAUCAGGGACGUGCCAAUUCUUAGGAAGGUCCCUGGUGUCGUGGAACUCUAAGAAACAAACCUCCGUUGCCCUAUCCACCGCUGAGGCCGAGUAUGUUGCCGCAGGACAGUGUUGCGCGCAACUACUUUGGAUGAGGCAAACCCUCCGGGACUUUGGCUACAAUCUGAGCAAAGUCCCACUCCUAUGUGAUAAUGAGAGUGCUAUCCGCAUGGCGGAAAAUCCUGUUGAACACAGCCGCACAAAGCACAUAGACAUCCGGCAUCACUUUUUGAGAGACCACCAGCAAAAGGGAGAUAUCGAAGUGUUUCAUGUUAGCACCGAGAACCAGCUAGCCGAUAUCUUUACCAAGCCUCUAGAUGAGAAGACCUUUUGCAGGUUGCGUAGUGAGCUAAAUGUCUUAGAUUCGCGGAACCUGGAUUGAUUUGUAGCAUACAUGUGUUUAUGCCUUUGAUCAUGUUCAUUCUGCAUUUUGUUGCUUAUUGUGGUGCUCAAGUUGUACAAACAUUCCCUGGACCUCACAAGUCCUUGUGUAAGUGAUGCACAUAUUUAGGGGGAGUUGUGUUACAACUUGACCCUUUGAGACUAACCAUAUGCUUGAGUUUACUUGAUUUAGUCUCGAAGGAGAAUUGAAAGGGAAAAGGUGGACUUGGACCAUGAAAGACUUCCACUGCACUCCGAUGAGAGGGUAACUUAUUCCAAGUUCAUCUUAUGAACUCUUAUUGCCAUUUGCUCUUAAUUGAAGAUUUUGGUGAGGCAAUGGGGUUAUAGGGCCAAGAUUGAUCCCGUUUUGGUGCUUGAUGCCAAAGGGGGAGAAAAUAAAGGCCAAAGCGAUAAAUGGAUCAGCUACCACUUGAGAGAUUUUGAAAACAGUAGAAUAGAGCUUUUGUUUUGUCAAAACUCUUUUGUUGUCUCUCUUGUCAAAAGUUGGCUUCUUGUGGGGAGAAGUGUUGAUUAUGGGAAAAAGGGGGAGUUUUUGAAAUCUUUAAUCAAUCUCUUUUGGAAUGACUCUCUUUAUGCUUCAACAUGUGUGUUUGACUUAGAGCUAGAGAUUUGAGUUUGAUUUGCAAAAACAAACCAAGUGGUGGCAAAGGAUGAUCCAUAUAUGCCAAAAUUGAAUCAAAAUAAAUUUGAGUUUUAUUUGAAGUGAUAUUGCACUUGUUCUAGUUGCUUUAUGUUGUGUUGGCAUAAAUCACCAAAAAGGGGGAGAUUGAAAGGGAAAUGUGCCCUUGGGCCAUUUCUAAGUAUUUUGGUGAUUGAGUGCCAACACAAGUGCUUAAAUGUGAAUCUAUACCCAUGGAUGGACAAAGUGCAAAUCAAGAGUAAAGGUAUGUUUCUAAGCCUUAGUACAUUGUUUUGAAGACUAAUGUAUUGUGUCUAAGUGCUUGAAACAGGAGAAAUCGAGUCAGAGAAUAAGUUGGCUGUGUACAGCCAAAAGGCUGUUCGGUCUGGAGCACCGGACUGUCCGGUGGUGCACCGGACAGUGUCCGGUGCGCCAGGCUGCCUCGAGCGAAGUGGCCGCUCUCGGGAAUUCGCCGACGGCGUACGACUAUAAUUCACCGGACUGUCCGGUGUGCACCGGACUGUCCGGUGAGCCAACGGUCGGCCGGGCCAACGGUCGGCCACGGAAUCUGCGCGCGACACGUGGCCGGGCCAACGGUCGGAAGGGGGCACCGGACUGUCCGGUGUGCACCGGACUGUCCGGUGCGCCAACGGCUCCCAGAUCUGCAACGGUCGGCUGCGCCAUUUAAGGAAAGAAAUCGGGCACCGGACAGUGUCCGGUGUGCACCGGACUGUCCGGUGCGCCCGAUGACAGAAGGCAAGAUCAGCCUUCCAGAAUUGCUCUCAACGGCUCCUAGCUGCCUUGGGGCUAUAAAAGGGACCCCUAGGCGCAUGGAGGAGAACACCAAGCAACCUUAGAGCAUUCUUGAUCAUCCACACUCAGUCUUUGCGCAUUCGUUUGUCAUUUGCAGUGAUUCGAGCUCCGUUCUAGUGAGAACUUUGAGAUAGUCUUUUGAGCUCGAUUCUUGGCCGUGCGUGUGCGCAUUUUGCUGUGGAUUUGUGUGUGUUGCUUCCCUCCCUUACUCCGUAUUUCUUUGUGAAUCUCAAGUGUAAGGGCGAGAGACUCCAAGUUGUGGAGAUUCCUCGCAAAUGGGAUAUUGAAAGGAAAAGCAUAACACUGUGGUAUUCAAGUUGAUCAUUGGAUCACUUGAGAGGAGUUGAGUGCAACUCUCGUCCGUUGGGACGCCACAACAUGGAGUAGGCAAGUUUUGUACUUGGCCGAACCACGGGAUAAACCACUGUGUCUUCUCUGUGUUGAUCUUUUGUGGUAUUGUGUUUUGUUGAGACUCAUCUCUAGCCACUUGGCGAUUAUUGUGCUAACACUUAACAAGUUUUUGUGGCUAUAAGUUUAAGUUUCACAGGAUCACCUAUUCACCCCCCCCCCUCUAGGUGCUCUCAGUCCCGCAUGUUCGCGAAUGUCUCUGCAAGGUCGGCUAGAUGAUCCUCUUUGUUUUUGCUGGCAACGGCGAUGUCGUCCACAUACGUGAAAAUGUUCCAGCCUACUUGACUCUCGAGCACCGUCUUGGUGAGGCGAAAGAAGGUGGACCCAACGUUCUUUAGUCCCUCCGGCAUUCUAACGAAGCAAUACGUGCCGAAGGACGUGAUGAAACUGGUACUGGCCUUGUCUUCCUCCUUCAUAUAUAUUUGGUGAUAGCUAGAGAAGCAGUCGAGGAGUGACAUGACUUCGCAUCCGGUCGCACUAUCGACGAUUUUGUCGAUCCGAGGCAGCGGGAAAUUAUCAUUGGGGCAGGCCUUGUUGAGGCUGGUGAAAUCGAUGCACAUCCGCCACUUGCCGCUUUUCUUUUGCACCAUAACUACGUUGGCGAGCCACGUAGGGUAGGUGAUUGGCUCGAUGAAAUUGGCCUCCAGCAGGCGGUGUACUUCGGUUUUGGUGGCUUCUGUCUUUUCAUCGGACAUUUUGCACAACCGCUGCUUCUUUGGGCGCACAGAAGGGUCGAUGCCCAGGCUGUGCUCGAUGAUAGUGCGACUGACUCCGACCAGGUCGAGGGCGGACCAGGCGAAGACGUCCUUAUUUCUGGAGAGACAGGAGAGGAGUUUCUCCUCAUCUUGCGAAGUCAGGUCUUCGCUUAUGAUGACCAUUUGUUUUGGUGUUGCCUGGUCAAGGGGGACUGUCUUUGUCCCAUCGUUGCUCUGCAGCUGUGCCUUUUCAUGUUCGUUGGCGGCUGGGCGGGUAGCCUCGGGGACUUCGCGCUGCGUCGUGAGGUAGUGUACGUUCUGUUGCCCUAGAACGAAGUCUCUUUCAAUGUUACGCGCAGUCUGCUGGUUGCCAUAGACUGUGAUCACGCCUUGCGGACCCGGGAUUUUCAUGCACAGGUAAAGUCCGUGAAUGGCUGCUUCAAACUUGUUGAUGGAGCCCCAUCCCAUUAUGGCAUUGUACGGGUAUACCAUAUCGACGAUGUCGAAGGUGAUCUGCUCACUUCGUGCAUUGGGUGCUACGCCGAAGGACAAGGGUAGCUCUAUCUUGCCCACAGGGAAGGUGCCCUUGCCACCGAAGCCAUAUAGUGGGUUGUCCGAAGGCUUAAGUAGACUGUGGCUGAUGCCCAUGCGGUCGAAGGCAUGGAGGAAGAUGAUGUCCGCUUGGCUACCGUUGUCAACUAAGACUUUGUGCAGGUCCCAGCUAGCCACACUGCAGUUGAUAACCAUGGCGUCCAUGUGGGGUGCGCUGCGCAAAUCAACAUCUCUAGCGUCGAAGGUCAGUGGCACAUGUGACCACUUUGUUUGCACGACUGGGCCAGUGAUGGUGACGUGGUUGAUGCUUCGAUAGUGAUCCCUCUUCUGUCGCUUCGUGUCGAAGUCGACGCUGGACCCCCCAGUGAUCAUGUGAAUGACUCCACGAUACGGUUGAUCAGCGAAGUCUUCCUGUUUUGGUGCUUGGGGUGAUUUGGGUGGUGGAUGUUUGGCUGAUGUGGGUGCAGAGGCGGGAGUGGGGGUGGUACGACUUGUACCUCCUGGUGGUGCUGGUAUGCGUGGUUAGGUGGAUGCUGAGCGGGGCCGUGGUUGUAUGGUUGUGGGAGUUGGUGUUGAUAUGUGUGCGCGACAACUCUUGGGUUGUCAGCGGGUUGUGCCCGAGACAUCCUAUCCCUGGUGGCCUUCGUUUCUAGGAAAUCCCUCGUCGGGUGCGCACAGUCUUCGCCGUGAAAUAGGCAGUAAAAUCUGCGCGGCUGCUGUGCCCGUCCUCGGCCCCGACCACGAGUGCCAUUGAUGUGGCCCUGGGGGGAUAAUCUUGACGGCAAGGGGCGUCGCCGGCGGGGUGCUGGUUGGCGAUGUUGUGCACCUGCUGCUGACUGCGGCCGUCCCGACCGGAGUCUGACUGCGAAGGUCUUAUCCACGUUCGGCUGGACUGCGGAGGGUCCUUGGGUUUCCUCUAGGACUCGACCUUGCGCUGGUGGAGCUCCUCUAAUCUGGCAUACUUUUCGAACAGCUGAUAGAGCUCUUGGAGGUUCUUGGGUGGGUCCUUGAUGCAGUGACUGUAAAGGACGCCAGCCCAAAGGCCACUGAUGGCGUAGUGGAUGGCAAUUUGGUCGUCGACCGAGGGCAGCUGUGACUUGAGAGUCAGGAACUUGCGGUAAUACUCCCGCAGGGUUUCUUUCUCUAGCUGCUUGCAGAGUGACAGUUCGGCCAAGGCGUCAGUGUCUAGGCGGUACCCUUGGAAGUUGAGCAGAAAUUUGUCCCAGAGACUUCUCCAGGAGUCGAUGGACAGUGGGGGCAACCUAGUGUACCAGGUCAGGGCUGGACCCUCGAGGGCGAUGAUGAAAGACUUGGCCAUCGUGGCGUCGUCCCCUCCGGAUGAUGUGACAACGACUUAAUAACUCAUGAUGUACUAUGUUGGGUCGGUGCUGCCGUUAUACUUGGGGUAGGUCCCUGCCCUGAAGUUGGCGGGCCAUGGUGACACUUGUAGUUGCGGCGCCUGGGGGCUCCGCUCGUCAAGGUAGUUGAUGCCUUGGAAUGCUGCGACGUGCGGGACGAAGGGUUCGCGCUGAGGGAUGAAUAGGUCUCCGUCCGGCGCGCGCUGUUGGAGGGGCGGACCGUGUUGCAUAUCAUGUUGGCCUUCGCAUUGCAUGAGUGCAAUCUCUUGCUCGAGUUGCUAAGCCCUCAGUUCCUCGUCUCGUAUCAUCUGGCGCACCUUGGCUUGCGCGGAGACACGUUGGCGCUUGGCCUCGAGGAUUUCUUUCUGCCUCUGGAGGUUGCGGUUCUUCAUGCGCAGGGCCCGCAGCUGUAGUUGUUCCUCUACUGGAAUGCCGAUGAUUUUGCCGUCUUCGGUGGCGUCCUCGCCCUCUAGUGGAGCGAAGCCUGGUGGUGGUUCUUGUGGCUGUCCUCCGGAGCUGCAGGUGCGGAGGGUGCCUUCGGAAGUUGGUUGAUUGUUGCGUUGUCUCUUGCUGAGUGCGUCGUCCUCGCAGACUUCUUAGUGGGUGGUGUUUGCAAGGGCCUUGCUCUUUUUCUCGGCUAGCAGCGCUGCCUUCACUGCUUCGUCGACGGAUGGGAUUGCCUUCGAGUUAGCUCUCUUGGGUGCCAUCGCGGGUGAUUUGUUCGUAGCACGAACGGUGGACGGCAAAUGUUGGAGCUUGCUCUUCCGGGCAAGAUGAUCCAACGAGAGAGUGAAAGAACGCAAGCAAGGUUUUUCUCGAGAUGGCAAUAGCUCUGUUAAUCUAGCCUCUCGAGGGCACUGUACGGGGGUAUUUAUAGGUGCCCGGGUGCCCAACGUCCUGAUGUUAGGACGUUUAUGCCCCCAGGCAUCUGGAUUAUCCCUAGGAUAUUCCCAUAAUGGAGGGUUACAGACUGUCAUUACAGGAAAGUCAUUACAAAUCGGGCCCGUAACUCAUAUCGCCGUCGCGGGGCCUGAUACGACGGGCCGCUUCCCACGUGGGCCUCCAGGUUGGGUGAGGAUAGGGAUGGCAGCGGGUCGGGUUGUGUUCGGGUCUGAUAAUACCCGACCCGAUAUCAUACCCGACCCUUAUACAAAUAUCCAUACCCACCAAGUCAAUCGGGUAAAAAAAUGGACCCAUACCCGUACCCACCGGGUAUCCGUCGGGUAUCGGGUAUCCGGUGGAUAUGGUACUGUAAAAUAUAAAUCUGCAUGCAAAUUGAUGAGCAACACAGUUUAUGACAGAUGGGAGUUAAAAAACAACAUCACAACAUGUGAAAUAUAUAAGCAACAUCACCAGUUUACAAACCAUAGAUUCAUAGUACAAUUCAUGACUAGUACACGUCCAAUUCACAUAUCAUAGUACAGUUCACAAAUCAUAGUACACGUUCAGUUCACAAAUCAUAGACUCAUAGUACACGUCCAGUUCACAAAUCAUAGUUCACACAACACAAAUAUAAGCAACAACACAAUGACAGGAAGUCCAUGAUGUUCAUGUAGUAGCAGGCAGGCAACAACGUCGUAGUAGCAGCCAAUAAGUUCAUGGAUCAAUGAUUUCAGAUUGCAUGCCAUCCUAACAAAGUGACAAAUCAUAUAGUUAUUCAAAUAGAAAUUUAGUAAAAUAUAGAAUGGCUAAAUUUCAAUAUAUCGUUGCUUCAUCUUCAUCAUCAAGGCAAGUCAUGAGUGCAUUGAGUACAUGAGAUCCAUGACCUAAUCAAAGAGAAGUUUGAAACAUUAGUGCUAUCACAGUGAAAGGAAUGAAAAUAAAACAACAUUAUAGUUCCACUAGUAUUCAUACCAAGCAUGUCAGCGCGAGCCCAAGCUUGCAUACACAUCAAGGCUUCAACCAUUUUUGGGGCUAGUCUACUACGACUUGGGCUAAUGACCCUUCCACCAGUACUAAAGACAGACUCAGAAGCCACGGUUGUCACAGGAAUAGACAUGAUAUCUCUAGCAAUCUUUCUCAAAGUGGGAUACUUCACCCCUGCCACAUUCCACCAACCAAUGAUGUCUAAGUUUGUAGUUCUAGCCAACAUUUCCUCUUCCAAAUACAGAUCCAAUUCUGUGCUAACAAAAGCGGGUGGGGCAGCAGGUUCAGCAGAUAAAUAUUGAUCAAAAAUGUCAAAAACAGCUGCAUCCCCUUCAUUUUGGAUAGUAGUACUGCUGCAAGGCCCAGCAACACCAUCUGUUGUGCCAAAACCCUCCAUGGAACCUUGGUAUUCCUUCACUAAAUCAACCAACAAAUCCUUAACUUUCGUAGUUUCUCUACCCACAUUCUCAUGUCCAUAAAUUUCAGUAAACAUAGCAUACAAGAACUUCAUUUCAAACCGAGGAUCAAGAACCGUGGCAACAGCCAUAAGACCAUGAACAUCUGUCCAAUAUUUCAAAAAUUUAUCUUUCAUGGCUGUUGACAUGUCUUCUAUGGUUGGGUUAUCACUAGAUCGCCAUUUCUUAAUUGUUAAAUAAAUUCCACAGAUUUUUGGGAAAAAAAGGUUGGCUGUCACAUAAGAAGUCCCAGACAACAGUUCUGUAAUAUCAUAAAACAACCCCAACCUAUCACAAAGAUGCCUAGAAAAAUUCCAAUCUUCUUCUGUUGGUUGAAAAGGGGCACACAAUUUUUCCUUUUUUGCAAGGCGAUUAAAAACUGGAACAUAAAGCAUUGCAGUGCUAAGCAUUAGAUAUGUGGAAUUCCAUCUAGUUUUAACAUCAAGUGCUAUUCUUUUGUCAUACUUAAUGCCCUCUUGACCAACAGCCUUUUCAAAUCGUUCAUGCCUUUUUGGUGUAGAUGACCAAAACCCAACAGUGUCCCGAAUCCUACCAAUUCCCACUUCCAUGACUUUUACUCCUAAUGCAUCGUUUAUACCCAUACCAUCUUUGACAAUAAGAUUAAUGAUGUGAGCAGCACAACGCAUAUGCAACAAUUUGCCAUGCAACAUGAGGAAGUAAAGAGGCAUCUUAUCUUGCAUUUCCUUCAUAACAUUGUCAUUGGUGCUACAAUUGUCAAGAGUUACAGUGGAAACCUUCUUGUCAAUCCCCCAAUCCAUGAGUACAUCAUGAAGUACAUCACUUAUGACUUCGGCUGUAUGUGGGUGUGGCACAUACAUAAACCUACAAAAUGGAGUAACAAGAAAGUGUAACUCUUGACAAGAAAGUGUAACUAGUAUAUAUGCAUGGCAGCAAAAAUAAAGAGCAGCAGAAAUAUUACCUUAAAAGAUAGCUUUUUAGACUCCAAUUUUCAUCAAUAUAGUGUACAGUCACUGCCAUGUAACCCUUCUUUUGAUGAUUUGCUGUCCACAUAUCUGUGGUGACCGCAAUACGAGAUUUUUGUUGUUGGAACAUUGUCACCAUAGAGAGCUUUUGAACUUCAUACAUAUCCAGAAUAUCAUUUCUAAUGGUAUUUCUUGACACUAAUUUAAACAACGGUUGCAGGGAAGCACAAAACUUUCUAAAGCCUACAUGGUCAACCAUAGACAGCGGGUACUCAUGCACACAUAUCAUUAAUGCAAGUUCUUUCCUAGCAACAUCUUGAUCAAAUACAUACUUCUCUAAACAAACACUGCCAUCUGGAUUUUGUGAAAAUUUCAAGGAGGAUUGUUUUAGGCCUUUUCUAGCUUGUCGUGACUCACAUGUAUUUAUGUGGCUUUGUAAAUGGCUGGUACCACUUUUACCUUCAGCUGUCAAUAGUUUGCUACACCAAUUGCACUUAGCUUUCCGUUUACCAGAUACAGUAACUCUAACAAAAUCCUCCCAUACUUUAGACUUCAACUUCCUCUUACACCCAACCUGUGCAGCAUCAUCUAUUUCAACAUCAUUCCUUGUCCCUUGGGUUGCUGCAUCAGAUGGAGUGGGAUCUCUAGAGCUACCAACAUCAGCAGGAGCUGCUCCUAUGCCACUGCGACGACUGCUACUGUCUUGUGGAGUUGACAUUGGAUUUGGGCUUCUAACUGAGUGAGCUACUGAGUACCUGAGGGCCCGACGGCGGACGGCGCAGGCGCGCAGGCACAGCUCGGGGACGCCGGUCGGGCCUAGGGCUCGGGGACGCCGCAGGUUGGGGACGGUCGCCGGCCAUAGUCGCAGUCGUAGCUUGGGGCCGGUCGCCGGUCGCAGCUUGUCAGUCGCAGCUUGGACACCGCUCGGGGCUCGGGGCUCGUCGCAGGCCGCAGGCGUAGCUCGCGCGGGGCUCGUCGCAGGUCGCAGCCGCGCAGGCCGUAGGCGUAGCUCGCGCGGGGAUGUGGCCUGGCCGCCGCCGGGGACUGGCUGCUGGGCGGGGGCGCGGGGAUGUGGCGUGGGGCGUUGGGGUCCUGCCGUCCUGGCCUCCUGGGAUGGGAGUGGCGACUGGGAAUCUGGGAUGGGUGGACGGGACGAGAGCUCGGGAAGGGAAGGCCGGAAGGGAGUUAGGGAAUUUAGGGUUAGCUUAGCCGGUUGCUGAUUUAGCCUUUGGGCAGUUGGGCUUCUUUUCUUUGCUUCAUGGGCCACAAAUCACAAUUCGGGUAUCCAGUGGAUAUCCAUGGGUAAAACAUACUAUCCGUACCCUACCCGACGUAUUUCGGGUACCCGACCCGAUACUAUCCACGGGUAAGAUUUCAAACUCGUAUCCAUGUCCACCGGGUACGAAACCCGUGGAUAUCCAUACCCACGGGUCCAAUUGCCAUCCCUAGGUGAGGACGUGGGAUGGCGGGACUUUGUCGUGGCCAUUUGUCUUGCGAUGAGAAGGACGAAGGGUAGCCUGCGCCGGUCAUCUAGCUUCCGUAGGUGCGCAGAGUUGAUAAGGGCUUCGAGGGAAGGGUAGUGCCUUUGCCUUCGCCCCAACAAUGAUGAUGAUGAUCCUACGAAUGUCUAAAUGAAUGUAUAUGAAUGCAAUGAAUGAUGUGAUGUAAUGUGCAAAUGAAUGUCCAAACACACGCGUACGAAGCCACAUCCAGACCCUACAUUCUCUUAGGAAUGACCAAAAUCUCUUUGUCGUUUAUUUUUCGGCUUCAUCGCUUAUUUUUCGGUGUAAGUUCUACAUUCCCUUAGGAACGUCUUUUAAACUUCUUCGUCUUCUAUUUCGGUGGUAUCACCAUUGACUUUUCGGUGUAAGUUCUGCAUCCCUUAGGAACGUCUUUUGAACUUCUUCGCCUUCUAUUUCGGCGGUAUUUAGCUCUGCAUUCCCUUAGAAACGACUUUUGAGCAGAAAACUUACGCUGCGCUCCCUUGGGAACGGCUUUUUUAGCUUCGUCGUGCUCUGCAUCCCCUUAGGGACGACUUUCGAGCUUCUUCCUGUUUUUUUCUUUUUCUGCACUCGAUGAUGUAUGCUCAGAUUUUAUAUUUUACAUUCUUUUGGGGAUUCUACUCUUGUAUAGCUAAAUAAGAAAGGAAAAUUACAAGCUAGGGUCCCAUUAAAAACCUUUCUCUGCUUUUGUAUAAAUGACGCGACGGGUUCAGCGCAGAGACAGCCACCGCAGAAGGCAGGGGUAUCCGGGUGAUCAGGGGAGUGGAGGUACAAGAACAGAAGCCUGAAUUCUCGCUGCGCUCGCUUCAGCGCAUCAGCGAACCCCUCGGCCACGAAGCGCGGGCCGCGGCCAGCGCCGAACUCGCGCUCGAACUCAGCGACGAAGUCGGCCGCCUCGGCAGCUGACGGCGGCAACUCUAGCAGGCGGUCACCGCUGCCGGCUUGCCCCGCGAGGCCGAGGAGGGAGAGGGAGCGGGACAGCACGCCCCCGGCUACCCAGGCGCCAAGGCGGAACGUGCCGGCGACGAGGCCGACCCCACCCGAGACCACGUGGAAGGGGAGCGUCACCAGCUUCCACGCGAUCCCCGGCUGCUGCUGGGGCGGCAGCGGCAUCGGCGGCGGGGGCGCGACGAACUCUGCAUCUACCGCCAGCGGAGCGGAAGGGGCCGGGUCACGCGAGGAGGUGGAGGCCGAAGCGGAGGGCGAGGAGGGGUUGGCGGUGAUGGUGGACACCGCGAGCUGCAGGUCCCAAUUGUGCGCGGCGAGGAUCUCCGUGCAGAGGUCCGUGUUGGAGAUGCCGGUGACGGCCUGGAAGUAGCUGACCUUGUCGUCGACGGUCUCGGCCAUGGCCGCCGGCGACGAGGGCUAGGGUUUGCAGAUUGAGGCCAGUGGUAGUGGUGGCGGUGGUAGUUAGGAACUAGGAAGAGGCCAGAAGCCGAGAGAGAUGCGGUUGCGAGCCGGGAGGGCGACGGCCGACGGGUCAGUGCUGAACUGCUGAGUGCUGACGUCUUCUAUUCUCCGUCUCGCCGUCCCGGUAGAUUGAACGGCGUGCCGUAUUACUGCACUCCGCGACAACGCGUCAGUUUCUACGAGAUUUUAUUUUACGACUGUGGGGCAAAGAAAACGGGCGAAGAAUUCUGAGAACCACAUGAUCAAAUUUUCAAAAAAUAAAAAUAAAAACACUCCGUUUUGGACCAAAGCUUCGUUUCACAGACUUCGCUCACAUAGUCACAUGUUCUGCCGACAUUUGGCUGACGGCAACCCUCUGAAGCUUGGCUCAUCAGCCCAACAGACACCGCAACUGUUGAUCAUGAACUUGUUUCCAUAAAGCUGAAAAACUAGCCCUGCAAAUAAAGGACGGCGCAAUAGGCUAAUGCAACAAUUAGUUUCACGAUGAUGGACAAGACGGAGACACACACUGGAAAUACCCGCACAAACUUGCAAUCAUAAGAAUAUCUGAACCGCAUAAGCUCCAACGCAUGGAUUAAAUCAGCCCGCAAUUUAACAAGCAAAGUAAAGCAGGAUCGCUUCAACUAGGAUUUCAAACUCGUAUACAAAUACAAUUUUUUUCAAAAAAAAGUGUACACAAAAGCAACUAACUGCAUUACAAGGACAAGGUCUCUCGUUGGAUUCAUCCUGAGCGAUACACAAGGGUACAGAGCCUCGCGAUCCAGUUUCCAGUGGUACAUCCAUAUGCCUACAGCUCCUCGAUAAGAACCGCGGAUUGUGGUUUGCUCUUUCUAUCCGCCUUCCAAUUCCCGGUCUCCAACUCCUCCAUAGAUGCUUUCUGCACCUGGACGAUGUGAGCUAAAGAUGGCCACGCCUCAUCUGGCUGCUCAUGGACCCAACAAGUCAUGAAGAAUAGCUUCCUAGCUGCACUACGAAGCUUCGGAGAGUUCUGUGCCCUCUCCGUCUUGCCCACUUUCUCCACCUUGAGCAUGCUCUUACCAACUUCAAUGAGUCGAUGGAAGUCGCAUAAGGCACAAAUAAGUGCGUUCUGUCCCAAGGAGAGAAUGGCGAUGAUAUCGUCCACGAGUCCAAUAGCAAACCUGAAACCACCAGUAUGCCUGUAAGCUGGUGAGCAUGUCUCCUCGAUGCAGGCUGCGAGUGCUUCAGGUACAGUCUCAGGUUUAGCAUCCUGGCCCAUGACUUUCGACAUCGACAGGGCGACAGUGCAAGCACCCAAAGGAUCUGAGUGCCAAUCACCGUUGUAGAGCCGAAGUGUGAAGCAGUAACUGUACAGAAUGUCAACCAAGUGGACAGCAAGCAAAGGAGAUGGCUCUGUCCUUGUUAACUGUUUCAAUGACGGGAGAGGAGAUUCUGGCCCUUCAGGGAUUUCGUUGAUGCUAGCCUCUUGGUCAGUAUUUGGAUCUGGAUAUGGUACAGCAGUGUCUUCUGCGUUUACUUGUCUGAUAAGCUGACUUCCAUCCAGGCCAAGGGAAAUAGAUCUGGCUGAGGGUUUUUUCCACCAAGGUGUCCACGGUUCAAUCAUCUUACUGAGCUCACCUGAGGCCAGAGCUUGACGGAAUCGUUUGAUUUCACAAUCAGAGAGGUCUUCCAGCUUUAUCUCUUCCCCUGUACGAUAGAAAGAGUAGAUCAAUAUGUGUCUGGUGAGAUACUUGAUAUGCAUAUCAACAUUUACUGAUUCCAACGAACUUGCAGUCUAAAAGGGUAAGGACAUAAAUAUCACCCAACGUUUGUAGAUGGACGAAUGAGUAAAAUGGACAAGUAUAGACAGUUAGACACUGCUUUAUUGCAUUGCUCAUCUCAAAACAUAAACCAUGAAAACAAUUGAUAAAAAAGAAAUAUCAGAACAAAAUAAUUGGAGUUGCCACUGAUCACCAGCAUAGGUAAUUGCUAGGAGUUCAGGCCACAGAAAGCCAGGUUAAAUAUGAGAACAAUUGGGCAGAAGGAAAUACUAGAACAAAAUAAUUGGAUGUCAGUCCCACCUGGGGGAGGGUGCUGUGGCUACUGCUGCUCCAACUAGUGGGGGCGGCUAGGGCAGGGAGAGGACUGGGUGGCUGCUGUAGAUGGCGCAAGGGGAGGCAGAGGCGGCGCAGAGAGAGAUGAGGCACAGGGAGAGAUGGAGAGGAGACCGAGGCACAGAAGGGGGAGAGCUUUCGCUCUAUUUCUGCUUAAGAUCUGAAAGGUUAAAUGACCCCUCUUAUUUAUAGUCCUGGGGGACUUUGACUUCCAAGCAAUCUAUAAAGUCCUUAUAGAUGUGGACUCUCUUUUCCUAAUUAAAAGUCAGGCAGGACUAUAUAAAAAACUAGAGUCGUGGCGGGAGAUUUUAGAGUCAAAAGGUUUUAGACUCAAUAGAACUAAAACCGAAUACAUGAGAUGUGACUUCGGCACUACUGAACAUGAGGAAAGAGAUUAGUUUGAAAGGUCAAGAAGUGCCCCAAAAGGACACUUUUUGGUAUUUAGAAUCAAUGCUACAGAGAGAUGGAUGUUGAUGAUGAUGUUAGCCAUAAAAUCAAAAUAGAGUGGAUGAAGUGACAUCAAACAUCUAGUGUUCUAUGUAACAAGAGGGUAACACAAAAGCUAAAAGUUAAUUUUUAUAGGACGUCGAUUAGACGAGAUAUGGUGCAGAAUGUUGGCUAAAAAAGACAUGUUCAAUAGGUAAAAAUACGUAUGUUAUGUUAGAUUUGUGGACAUAUAAAAAGAAAUCAAGUUCGGAGCGAUGAUAUACGUAAUAAGAUAGGGGUAGCACCAAUUGAAGAAAAACUUGUCCAACACCAGUUGAGAUGGUUUGAACGUAUCCAACAAGACCUCUAGAGACACCAGUGCGUAAUGGAAUCCUAAGAUGUGGUAGCGAUUGAAAGGGAGACAGAAGAAGGGCGAAGUUGACAUAAAAAGAGACAGUAAAAUGAGACUUGAAAGGAUAGAACAUACCCAAAGAUUAGCCUUGAAUAGAAGUGCAUGGAAAACAUCUAUCCAUGUGUCAUAACCUUGACUUAUGGUUUCUAUUGGGUCUUAACUCUAGCCGCCCCACCUUGCUUGGGACCAAAAGACUCAAGUUUUUGUUGCAAUCUAGACUAUCCCGAUUGGGAGGCGCGCUACAGUACCGUGCUACAGUCAUGGUGGAUGUCUGUUUUGGGGCCCAGUCGGAUGUCUAAGCUUGGCAGCUUGGCUGACCAGGGCCCUUCUCUAGGCUUUGCAGGGCUUAGCCAGGGGCCCAUAUUUAGGCCCGUGACAUUGGAGUUGACACCGAUCACCAGCAUUUGACAGCUUAAUUAAUUCCUAGAAGAUCAGGUCACAGAAAGACAGGUUAACCAAAAGGGAGUAAUGAACAUAAUUCUCACACAAAGAGUUAAUCAAGAAAUUCAACUGUGAAAGCUCUUCCCAGACAAGUGCAAUUCAAGUCGACAUAAGGUAUUAUGAUUUCUAAGACUAAGAGAUAAGAGUGUUUAAAAGACACACAAAAUUUCAUAAACAAUAAAUAACCUAUUAUAGUACUAGGAAAAGCUACUGUGCUGUCACAUUUAGAAUGGCAUGAAAGUAAUCAUAACGUACCAGACAUAACUUUUUGAAUAAGCUCCUCUGAUAACAUGGACUCUGCAGGACAAAAAGGUACAUGUCAAAAAUAAAAUCUUCAGCAGUCUACUAAAGCAAUAUUGAAGGGCAGGCCUGGUACAGUGGUGAGAGCUGUCGCACAAAGUCACCAGGUCACAGUUUAUCCCUUCCCGGACCCACUCAUGUGGAGACCUCCGGCACUGGGUUUGCCGUUUCUCAGUCUACUAUAUAAAUAUGUACAACCAAUUAUCUACAAGAUGACAUAUAAUUUAUCUGUAAUACCGAAAGGAAAUACAUUCAUAACAGACAAGCCACCAUAACUCGAUAACUACCUAUAAACAGGAAAACUUAAUGUACCAAACAGUAAAAUCGUAAGUGUAGCAUACUGCGCAUGGAGCAGGGGCAGCCCUAGAGCCCAAGCGGUAGGGGGGCUCAUCCCGGGGUGAGCCCAAGAAAAAUGAGAAUACCCCCUGUAAUUUUCACCUCAGCAGCCCAGGGAAAUUCCAGGUUUGAAGGCCCAGCCCCACCCGACCUAACAACGACACAGCCAGCCUCUCCCUCUCUCGCAGCUGAAAAAUAUUUUACAUGUUGCUUGAACAAUGUUAGUUUACAUAGUUAUUCUUUAUUAUAUAAAUUAUAGCUUUUAGUUUACGGUUCAAUUAUAUUUAGCUCCUCUCUUGUCUCAUGUCUGAAUCCACCACUGGCAUGGAGGUAUCUGUAGUUUUGUCCUCAUUAGCAGUUAUCACAAUAUAAAAAAAUGAAAUUAUGUGCACCUCUAGUGUUAUUAUUAAAGAAAGUAAGAUAGAUCAAUGGCAUAGGAACAUGUAGCACGCAGAACAUACCAUCUUCACCAUCUGAUGCCAUCUCUUCUUCCAAGUGGAGCCGCUUGAGGAUAUCUAGCAUCUUUUUCUUUGAUUCAUCCUCAGGUUGCAUCUGCUUAAGCUCGUCCAUAACAUUCUCACGCAUGAAGGAUUCAGUGCAUUGAACACUAUGACCCUAUGAAACAAGAAUUGAGAAAAACAUUUAAAGCAAUAUCAAGAAAAUAAAGCACUCUAGUGCAAAAUUAGCAAACAACAAUGUUCCUUUGCAUCUGUGUGCAUAGAAAAGAAGACACACGAACUUGUCAGCUUCAAUCUCUCAGUUUUAAAUAAGACGUUAUAACAACACAAACUGUUAGAGCUGUAAUGCCUAAUGUAAUGGGUUGUGAUUGUGUAAUGGGCUUAUGUAAGGAUCUGGUACGCCUAGAGGGGGGUGAAUAGGCUACCUGUAGAUUUUCAGUUCAAGAAACUAUUAAAUUCCAGAGCGGCAGUUCCGCUCUCAGCCCGGCACUGGCGCACUGCCAUGCAGAAGUCCGGCACUGCCGGACAAUAGUAAAUGCUCCAAACACGGUCAAAUUUUUACAGAAUCUGAUAGAUAUGAUUUAUUACUUCUAUGUAGAAUAUGAGAAUGAAAUGAGCAAUGCGCAGUAAGCAGACAGAAUAGGGUAGAGAAGUAUUCAAAUGUAAACCACUAAAACCCUAACUAUUCAAAUCACCAUCAGAUCAGCACACUUGGACACAACAUGUAUCCGGUGGUUUAGCUCGCCACAAAGGUUUGCCUACCUCCACGUUGUUGAGGAGAGUCACAAAGGCCAAUGGUCACACACCCUUCCUCGAUCUCAAGCCAAGAGCUCUUGCUCUUAGUAUGAGAGGGUUUUCAUUAUGAAUGAGGGAAACUUACAGCAAUCCAAGAGGGGGGAUGUCACACGCCGGCUAGGAGCAAGCUCCAAGAAUCAAUGUGUCAAGCGCCUCAGCACCUAACAACGCCGGACCGCGACUACGCAGUCCGUAGUCGCGCUCCAGACCUUCAGGGCUGAUUUGGUGACCCGGGAUCCCGGGAGGAUCGGAGGGGAUUGAAGGGGAAAUUAGUUUAUUUCCCCCUCAAUCCCCUCCAAUCCUCUCGGGAUCCCCUUGUCACCAAAUCAACUCUCACCGUGAAGGAAAUCCCCACCGGCGGCUUGAGAGUAGCGAGAGAGAGAGAGAGAGAGAGAGAGAGAGAGCAGGUUCAGGAUAACUGAUUGCUUGAUUCCUUUCCUCCAAGUUUGGUUACAAUAUAUAUGCCAAUGCCCCAACUAAUCACUCCUAGAUUUAAGGCAUGGAAAGGAAACUGAUCUCAACUAAUCACUCCUAGAUUUAAGGCAUGGAAAGGAAACUAAUCUUUUAUUUCUAAAUCUGGCCACUAACGGUGGCACCUUCCUGUGUCGCGCGAGCAGCCCGCUCUGCCGCGCGCCUGAUGUCACGACGGCGCCUAUACGUUUGCCCGUACAUGACACAAUGAGUGAAUGUCGGCCUUAAGUUGCUCCAAUGCUCAAUGAGAAACUGGGGAAAACCUAGGGUUCUUGUUGUUCUUGGGGUUUUCUCUCAGUUUUGGAGGAGAAGCCACAGAAAUUUGAGCCAAGGUGGAGCAAGUGAGGGAGAGGGAGAUUCAAAUGGGACAAAGGGGUACUUGUAACCUGUCUGUUGUAUCCCUAUGUCAGGAUACGCAACAGGUAACUGUUGGAAACCAAGGAAUUAAACAAAUCAAGAAAAUUCAGAUUCCAACGGUCAAUAAAUGUCCAUCAGUGCCGGAGUUAAGGCUGGCAGUGUCGAGGCACCGCAGUGACGCACAACCCACACUGGUUAGAUUGAUCUGAAAUUUUGGCACUAGCUAACUGGGUUUAGGUAUGAUAGGAAAGUAAUCCUUGAUUGGUGGUAGUUCUGUUUUAGGAAAUAGCUAAUAUGGUAGUAGUUCAGUCCUAUAUGGACAGAUCUGGUCGACAGGAUCAGGACUGGUAACAGUCCGGUUUAUUUCCUUGUAAUGGUUAGUUUGUUUCCAUGUAAUGGUCUAUAAAUAUAUGGCCUUAGAGGCUAAGAAAAGGCAGUCAAUAGGGCGCCACCAAAACACAUGUGUUCUGUCUCCGAGUUUCCUGUGUUCUGUCUCCGAGUUUCCUGUGUUCGCAUGUGUAUGUGAGACUGACCUGGGAGGUAGGAGUUCGCCGGCAACCUGCUGAAGGUUGUCUCUCCGGCGUGGUUCCUGACAAGUGGUAUCAGCGCCAGGGGGUGCCAAGAUGUCGUUAGGGAAGACUGUUGACACCCGUGCGACAUUACCAUAUCCUACCUGCUGCAAGCCUACAACAAAUAGAACAUGUUGUAAAAUGUAGUUUCACAUUAGCUCACAAUUAACAGGAUCAAAUCCGCUAGAACAAUUAGAACAUGCUAUACAAAAACCAAACACCGAUCAAAUAACCACAUACAUUGCAAGAUUCCUCCGAUGUUGGUGUUGUUCUUCUGUUGGCUUCACCACAAGCGACAACGAUUCAACGUCAGGCACCAGGGCGUGGGCGUCGUGCUUCGGCAAGGCAAUUCGGUCUUCGGUGUGCUGCCGCGUGUUGCCAUGUUGGGUUGUCGGUCAGCCGGCCGCACGCACGGGCAGACCGGCGAGAAGUCAGAGGCGGACUAGAGGACAGCCGGAGACGAACUAGAGCCCUGGAGGUGUGGCCACGUGGAGCAAGUAGGCGGACAGCAAGUUGGGUGUGGCGGGCUAGCGGCGGACAGCAACUUGGUGCUUGGGCGGCCAGCGACUGGUGACCUGGUGGCUGGUACUGGAGCGGCCGACAACCAACGACCUGAUGGCUGGUACUUGUGCGACCGACGACCGGCGGCCGACGAACGGCGGCUAGCCGGCUGCUACAGUUGCAAAACUCUUGGUCGUCUUGGACUCUUGGCCGGCUACAAGACUCUUGAUGUUGUGGCCCGUGAACGUGACUCUGUGGUGGUCGUGGUCUAGCCCAUUAGGAUGAGGUCGUCAAGGACUGAAGGUGAACGUGACGUGAAGCGUUGGUGUGUAGUGGAAGUUCGGGUAGUAUGUCUAUUCGGGUACUGAUACAACUGACCCAAAAUUUGCUAAAAACUUUGGGUACCGGAAGUUCGUACCCAAAAUGUUUCUCAAGUUUUUCGGGUUCGGGUUAUUUGGGUUUGGGUUUGGUUUUGGGUUCGGGCUUCUAGUAUCGGGUUUUCUGCCCACUCCUACAUGGCGGCACGGGAGACUCCUUGACAGCACAUCGCACACAGGGGUGUGGGAAGCAAGGGAGCAAGAGGGGGAACCACAGAGUGCCUCAAGGAGGUUGUCGUACUCAAAGGAGGAGGCAGCGGAAGGGGAGACGGAGAAGGGAAAGUCGGAGACGAGGACUCUGUAGGUGGAGAGGUCAAGGCACCGGUACCCCUUAUGAGCAGGAGAGUACCCAAGGAAGACGCUACGAGUGGAGCGAGAUGCAAGCUUAUGAGAGCAGUGGCAUAGAGAUUAGGAUAGCAAGCGCACCCGAACACGCGAAGGUGAUCAUAGGAGGGAGAGGUACCAAAGAGAGCAAAGUAGGGGGUGGGGUGAUGAACCGCCUUGGUGGGGAGGCGAUUGAGCAGAUAGGUAGCAGUGGCCAGUCCAGUAGCGAGCGGGAAGGGAGGCCUGGAACAACAAGGAGCGCAUGACGUUGUUUGUGGUGCGAAUCAUGCGCUCAAUCCUGCUGUUCUGAGAAGAAGUGUAGGGGCACAACAUCCUCCACUGAACGUCGUGUGAAAGGAAGAAGUCACAGGACGCGGAGUUAUCAAACUCUCGCCCAGUGUCACACUGGACAGCCCGGAUGGUGAGUCCAAACUGAGUGGAAACCCAAGCGAAGUUAGAGAGUGUGGGAAACAUAUCAGACUUCAAGCGUAACGGAAAAGUCCACAAGAAAUGAGAGUAAUCAUCCAGAAUGAGCAAGUAAUAUUUAUUGCCAGAAAUGAUGAGAACGGGGGAUGUCCAAACAUCACAAUGAACCAGAUCAAAAUUGCUCGUUGCUCUGGAAGAGGAGGGAAAAGGGAGCCUAACAUGUCGACCUAACUGAAAGGCGUGACACAAAUGCUCAAAAGAACCCCGACUACAUGAGAUGAUAGAACUGCUAGACAACUUAGACAUCACAUCAGGCCUGGGGUGGCCAAGGCGGUGGCGCCAAGUGAUAGAUGAGGUAGCAGCGGUCAAGGCAUGCAGCGUGGAGGUCGGGGAAUUGGAGGCAAGCAGGCGAAUAGUGUACAGCGGCUCGGAGCUGUCACACCGCGUGUGAAGGAUCCUGGUAGCAAGAUCCUUCACAGACAAGCCAAAGGGGUCACCGGGAAAUGGAUCUUCAACAGAAGCUGAAGGUGGAUGGCUCCUUGGAUCGGCACAAGGCUCGUUGGGUCCUGUGGGCUUCACCUAGCGUCCCAGGGUGGACUAUGACAAGACCUUCAUCCCCGUGGUGAAGCCUGGUACCAUCAAGAGUGUUCUGACUCCGGCUCUCUCACAGGCUUGGCCAGUGCAUCAGCUCGACGUCAAGAAUGUCUUCAUGGCACUCCGACAGAGACGGUGUAUUACACUCAAUUGGUCAGCUCUGUGGACCCGGCUCACCCAACAUCAGGGAUGAAAGUGGCAAUCCGAACUAUUAGAACAAAUUUAUUAUUUUAAAAUAGAUCUGUAUAAAAUUUGAUGUUGAUGUUUUAUUAUGUUAUGAAGCACAUUAUUAGAAAUAAGAAUAAAAUAUUGCAUAAAUUGUUUUAUGCAUUAUUUGCUCUCUACAACAAAAAGUGAAACAUUACCGAAUUUGUUUCUGAAUCCAUACCGAAUUUUACAUCUAUCAUUUAAGAAAAUAUAGGAUGAAUUUGUGGUUUACCUUUUAUGAAUAUCUAAAAGCUCAAUGUUAAAAACAAGAAUACAAAUUUGUAUAGUAGAUUAUAUAUCCUAUUUAUUCGCAACCAAAGAAAAAUGACCAAAAAUUGAUAACUGAAUAAAUAUCGUUCCGACCAUUUUCAUCCCUACCCGACAUGGUUUGCAAGCUCAACUGGUCCCUCUACGGCCUCAAGCAGGUGCCCCGAGCUUGGUGUAGUCGCUUUGUCGCCUUAUUGCUCUCACGAGGCUUCUUCGAGACCAAGGCAGACACCUCCCUAUUUGUCUUCUAUCGUGGCCUGGACACGACGUACAGCCUCCUCUAUGUCGAUAACAUCGUCCCCACGGCCUCCUCGCACGAACUCCUGUGGCGUAUCAUCUCCUCCCUCUAGCAGGAGUUCGCGAUGAAGGACCUGAGUGAGUUGCACCACUUCCUGGGGAUCACCAUGGAGAGCCGGUCCCAGGGCUUGUUUCUCCACCAGCACCAGUACAUCGUCGACAUCCUCGAUCGCGCUAGCAUGGCUGACUGUAAGCCUUGCACGACUCCGGUGGACACUCAGGGCAAGGCCUCCUCCAACGACGGCCCCCGGUGGCUGAUCCCACCAGCUACCAGAGUCUUGUUGGGGCACUGCAGUACCUCAUCUUCAUCCGGCCCGACAUCGCAUACGUCGUCCAACAUGUGUGCCACCAUAUGCACGCCCCGCAGGAGCCACAUCUCACUGCUAUGAAGCGGAUCCUGCGGUACCUCCAAGGCACUUCCGACUUCGGGCUCCUUCGAUGAUCUGCGACCAACGACCUCGCCAUCUACAUCGACGCCGACCGGGCCGGCUAUCCUGACACACGUCGAUCCACCUCCAGUUUCACCAUGUUCCUCGGCGACAGUCUUGUCUCGUGGUCGUUGAAGAGGCAGCCAGUCGUCUCCCGCUCCAACGCCGAGGCCGAGUACCGUGUUGUGGCUAACGGCAUAGCCAAGGCAACAUGGCUUUGUCAGCUACUUCAGGAGCUGCAAAGUCCGCUAAUGUGCAGUACUCUUGUCUACUGCGACAACGCCAGCGCCACGUACCUCUCCACCAAGCUCGUACAGCACCAACGCACGAAGCAUGUCGAGCUUGACCUCCAGUUUGUCCGCAAGUGUGUCGUCGUUGGGGAUGUGCGUGUUCUUCAUGUCAUGUCUCCACGACUUCUCAGAUCACCGACAUCUUCACCAAGGGCCUCCCUACGUCAGUGUUUUAGGAGUUUUGGUCCAAUCUCAACAUCUGUUGUGGCUAGAGUUUCGACUACGGGGUGUUAGAGUUGUAAUGCCUAAUGUGAUGGGUUCUGAUUGUGUAAUGGGCUUAGGCCCAAGUACUCCUAUUAUAAAUACAUCUCCCAACCCUGGUUAGGGUUAGGGUUUCCAACACAAAGCAGUUUACUUCCAGAAGCUUGUUUCGUGCAUGAAUAAACAAGCAGUUUCUUUCAAGAACUGAUUGAAAGUGUCAUACAGACAUACUGAUCCUCUCAGACCAGCAACUAGAGGUGAAUUACAGCAUAUAAGUAAAAAAAAUCAUGUUACCUAGAGUCUAGCUUUGACGAAUUUUUACAACUUACUGUCACUUCAGAUGUCAGCUGAUUCAAAUUAUGCUGGGUUAGGUCAGCAAAGAACCCAACUAUUAAACUAUUAGGAGAGAUUCACUAAAGGGGAGAACAUGGAAACUAUGACAUAUAAAUUUCUUUGAACUUUUUUGGAUUGCUCCUUUAAUCUAAAUGUAUAUUUGUUAAACCCAGCACAGCAAAACAAAAUGCAUUAUUCCACGCAGAUCACCAAAUAUAGAGGCCAAAGUGAACAAUUGGCAUGUGGUUUGUAUGAUUCAGAGGUAAGUCGUAGUUUAUAUCAUGGAUAAUUACACAUUUUGAGCAGGAAUCAGAGGAUUUCUUGUCCAAAAGCUUCAAAAGUCAGUGAGCGAUUCGGCAAACACCUUGUGGGCGUCAGCAGAGGGCAGCCCGGGCAUGAGAGUAACAAAGUGAAUGAAAUACCCGAACGGUAUUCUACAAGCCCUAAGACAGGACGAGCGCGCAACGAGAUCACACACACACGAAGCGAGAGGAGGCCGCACCUUGUAGCACGAGAGUGAGCAGUACCGGGCGUUGCAGCGGGGGCAAGUGUACUGCGCGAACUGCUUCUGACACCUGCAAGCAAGCGGCGCAUAGAAUAACGCAUUAGCACGAGCAGGUAGGAACCAAGAUCCGCUAGGGCCCGAUGCUUUGCGCCAGCAGGAGAGGAGAAGCCGUAUGUCAGAGCCAAGCCUUACACGCGGCAGAUGACCCUGGUCUCGGCGAAGGAGGAGUACGACGAGGAGGCGGGGGAGGACGAGGACCCAGCGGCCUCGGGUGCGGAGAGCACGACGUCCCUCUCCAUCGCCGGCACGCGCGGCGCCUGCUCUUGCGCUUCCAGUCUCUGUCCUUCUCGGCGGUGUUGGCUUUGGGAAUUUGGGGAUGGGGGGACUUCCUUUCCUCCGGCGUGCGGCGGGCGCGGAGGCUUCUCGAUGCUCGGCGAAGGCCCAUUGGUGGUCAUGGCCCAAGCAUAGGAUUUCCAAGUGUCAUGGCCCAUUGGUGGUCCUGAUCCUGAUUGGCGGUGAAGGCGGCUGGAGUUGAAGAGGAGGGUGCGGAAGAGACGAGGACUCGAGUGUUUGCGAGGGUUGCGGCCUGGGGUUUUCCUUUGCUUUGCGCCGCCUCAAUCGGUCGGAAGGGCGGAGCAGCAGCAGGAGCACAACGAGGCUGCCUCCUCGGCUUUUCUGGGAGUUCGGACCCGUGCGGCGCGACGGGCGACGGCGACUGAACAUUCCAGAAGGGGGCGCGUGGGAAAGCGACGGGCCGGCGGACGGAGGCCGGGUGGGCGGCGGGAUCGGCACAACAACUCAACAAACUUGGCCUAUUUCUUGCUGGGCUUUGUGCGGGUCGAACCGCCCUGUGACUGUGAUUCUGUAUGGUUGUGGCCCGCUCUGUCGGGCGCAUUUUUGGGUAGACGUGUGGUCUGGUGACGGCGCCGGCCUGGCCAAAAAGUGGCGUCGUGCGCUGGGCGGCGGUGGGGUCUAGCCGCCGUCUGGGCGCUCCGCUGCCGGGUCGAAGGACCUAUAAAACGGAGGGGUCGAGGAAGCUAGUGAGUGCCAUCGUUGGGCCGGCGCAAACCCUAGUCGCCACAUCACUGCCUCCUCACACCAUCUGCCUGUGGUUCCCAUGUCAUCCUCCCCCGUUUGAGGUCUUCCUGCUCCUUCAGAUCCGUCUAUGUGUGUGUUUGUCGUGCCUGAUACUGGCUCGGAAGGUAUUCCGAUCUGUUUCUUCGGUGCCGUAUAUUUCGUUGCGAUUUUGGUUCGGUUCUUUCUUGCUCUUCGUGGGUCGUUGCUGGAUAACACGGAUCGAUGAUGCUGUUCAAGAAGUACUGCGUUAUCUUCCUGAUGCAAGUGUUAGGCCCUCGUUACGAAGGCUUCCUGACGACACAAAUAUCUUGCUGAGAUCCAAGUGCGCAACUUCUCUCUUUUUUCUCUUUCUUUUCCGUAUUUCUCGCCGUGUGCUUUUUCUCCUCUGGAUUGAAUUUUGCGUACAGUUUAGUUUUCACCAAAUGCAAUCGUAACUUACGGGCAGGAUGUUUCAGCAACGAAGUAAAGGAGGAGAUUAUUCCGUCAACCGUAAGGUUCCGCUAAGAGCUUUAGAAUAUGAAAGGCAUUAGUGGUAACAAGAUUUGAUUUGGUUAGGUGUUAGUACAAAAAUGAGAUUCCAUUCCAAUGCUGUUGGGGGUACUGCUAGUGAAUAUGGCCGGGCAUCUAUCACGGUGUUGUAUGUGUACGAAAUAAUGUCUGCUUUCGAUACGGUAAGUUUUGCUUUAAGUUACAUAAUCAUCUCCAGUGUGACCUAUAAAAAUACCCUGUAAUUUUAAAAUUUGAAAAUAGUAAAUUUUGUAUAGUUUAAGACACUAAUAAAAUAUUCUUCAAAUCUAGGUUAUAGAAUAGCAGUAUAUCUAAUGCACUUGAUAGGAUGUUCUAUAAUUUUAACAAAUUUUAGAAAAUAAGAUAUUAUUAAAGUAGUUUUUCUAUCUCCAGCUCUAUAUUUCAAUUUGAGUUCAAUUUGAAAAUAAGACAUUGUUGAAAAUGCUCAAACAUUUUACAUUUACGGUAUAACAAACCACACACGGAAAGGACAUGAAUGUGUUUAACAUACUACGGUUGGCGCAACUACGGUUUCAAAAUAAUAGCAAACCACGUAGCGCAAGACGUCUGGACGGCGGGCACAUCCAGAAGCGUGGCAUUAGUAAUCAGAAACAAUGAAACUGGAAGUUGUAAGCAGCAAACCCAACCCAACGAAAUGGACUGCGUACAUGUUUAGUGAAUCCAGCGAAAAACAAUAGUUCAGCCAGUUGCCAGUUUAAAUGUCUUAGUUAUCAUCUGGCGGACACAGGUUAACUGAGAUAAUGCACGUAGGUGAGCAUCUAACAACACUGUUCCACAACUGUCAAGCGAGCUUAUUUACAUCAACAACUGCAGCAUCCUCCAGUAGCUGCCAUCAACUAUCUUUCUACCCAUCAGCGGCAUAGAAGGGAAGUGACUUGAGUGGCAUCACCUUCUCC
rnacentral:lncRNA from 1 species